rnacentral:lncRNA from 1 species
CAUUUCCAAAUCUUGUCCUUCUUGAUCUUAGUGAUCGUCAACUUGGUGGAAAAAUCCCGCAUCAGAUAGGUAAUCUAUCAGCAUUGAAGCACCUUGACUUGUCCCAUUGUGGUUUAUCCGGUGAGUUACCUCCUUCUCUAGGAAACCUAACCCAAUUAGAGUACCUUGACCUUUCCUAUAAUUAUAAUAUUAACGGUUCCAUCCCUCCACAACUAGGGAAUCUAGUGAACCUUGUCAGUUUAAAUUUGAGUUGGACCAGUCUUAGUGGAAACAUUCCACCCUUUCUUGGGCUAUUGGCCAACCUUAGGCAUCUACUUUUGGAUAGGUUUCAAUUUGAUGAUGGUAAUAAUACAAUCCCUCAAAAUUUGUGGAAUUUGAGGGGUCUUGAGACUUUAAGCCUAAGUCGUUGUGGAAUUGUUGGUCCAAUCCCUUCUGCUUUGGGUCAGUUAUUAAAUCUCAAAUAUUUACGUCUAGGGGGAAACAAAAUUAAUGGAUCUAUCCCAUUUGAAGUCGGAUUUCUAUCAAACUUGACAUAUUUGUAUCUCUACAACAACAAACUGGUUGGUUCAAUCCCUUCUGCUUUGGGUCAGUUAUUAAAUCUCAAAUCUUUAUUUCUUUCGGGCAACAAAAUGAAUGGAUCUAUUCCAUCUGAAGUUGGAUUCUUAUCUAACUUAACUUAUUUUUAUGCCUCCAACAACAGACUGGUUGGUUUAAUACCUUUCUCCUUGUACCAAUUAACCAAUUUGGAAAAUUUGUCCCUUGAUAAUAACCAGCUUGAAGGUUCCAUCCCUCAGAAUAUUGAAAAGUUGAUGAACAUCAAGGUUUUAAGCAUCACUAAUAAUAGUUUUACUGGUCAUAUCCCCCUAGCUUUGUGUCGUUUGACAAAUUUGGAAUAUAUUGGCCUUGGCAACAAUCAAAUCAGUGGUUCAAUCCCAUCUUGUAUUGGCAAUUUAUCCAAUUUGUAUACCUUAGAACUUGAUUCAAAUCUAUUAAAAGGUCCUAUCCCUGAAGAAAUUGGUAGGCUUUUUCACCUAUCAAAUUUAAACCUCAGCUUCAACCAACUCUCAGGUAGUGUCCCUAUCUUGUCUGCCACUAAGCUUCGUAUUAUCGAUGCUGGAAAUAACUGUAACAAGAUUUCUCCCGAUCCAUUUGAAGGCAACAGUCAUCUAUCACCCUAUAUGUGUCCUUCUCCAGUAACCAACAAAGCCAACAGCAGUACAAUUCUUUACUAUAUCAACAUAUUCCUCCCUAUUGCCAUCUUCUUCACAUUCUCCAUUUUGGGAUAUUUUCUAUUUUCACGAUUUAAGCUCAAGAAUAACCGUGUCGGUGUACAACCGACGAAGAAUGGGGAUUUGUGUUCCAUAUGGAACUAUGAUGGAAAGAUAGCAUACGAGGAUAUUGUUGCAGCAACAGAGGAUUUCGACUUUCGAUACUGUAUAGGAGUUGGUGGUUAUGGAAGUGUUUACAGAGCACAACUACCUUGUGGUAAAGUAGUUGCCUUGAAGAAACUUCAUCGUUUAGAAGAUGAAAAUCCAGCCUUUGACAAGAGCUUCAGGAAUGAGAUCAAGUUUCUAACAGAAAUACGACAUCGAAGCAUCGUAAAGCUUCAUGGGUUUUGUCUACACCGACGGUCCAUGUUUUUGAUCUACGAGUACAUGGAAAAAGGGAGUUUGUUCUGCAACCUAAGAGAUGAAGUGGAAGCUGUGGAAAUGGAUUGGACAAAAAGAGUGGAGAUCAUCAAGGGCAUAGCGCAUGCUUUGUCUUACUUGCACUAUGAUUGCAGCCCUCCAAUAGUUCAUCGAGACAUAUCAAGUAACAAUGUUCUUUUAAACUCGAGCUUUGAGGCCUUUGUAGCUGACUUUGGGACUGCUAAAAUGUUGGAUCUUGAAUCAUCCAAUCAGACCAUUAUUGUGGGCACAUGUGGUUAUGUAGCUCCAGGUGGUUUUCUUUGCUUCGUUUGAUGACAUUUUCUUCGGAAUUUAUAAAAUUAAUUGAACAUAUAAAUGAUUUUCUUUUUUAUCUGGUUUUUGGUAUGCAGAACUUGCAUAUACGUUGGUUGUCACCGAAAAAUGUGAUGUCUAUAUUUUUGGAGUGGUAGCACUGGAAACGUUAAUGGGAAAGCAUCCCGAAGAAUUGUUAUCAUGGUUGUCAUCACCAACUUCUUUGGUAAAUAUGAGGCUGAUUGAUGUGCUAGACAACCGUUUACCACUUCCGACAAGUCAAUUAGUUGCACAAAAUCUUGUUCGCAUUGCUACUUUGGCAUUCGCCUGCCUAAAUCCGCAACCUAAGUCUCGACCAACGAUGAAAAAAGUGUGCGAAGAGUUUCUUUGUGGUCAAACAUCCUUGGGAGUUCCCCUUCGGAUGAUCUCUUUGUUACAACUUGUGAACUGUGAAAUGCAUAUUGGAGGCAAAACUGGAACUUGUAAUGUUUAAACUCCAUGUGGCUGUUCUUGAUUAGAUAUUGUUUAUCAUGCUUUGAUGAUUUGUUUGUAAACCAUAUCCUGUGUUAUAUAUGGUGGAAUGAAUUGCAAUGUUCAAUAAAUUUGUUUAUUUGAUUGUUUUACAUAACAUAAAUUCGACAAUUUGAUCCAAAUAUUCAAACACCAUCCUAAUAGCUUCCUUCAAUUUCGUGCUUCUUAGAUAAAUAAAAUAUAAGUAAAUUAAUGGUGAAUUAAAGCAACAAAAUGCAACCAAUACAUUAAGAAUUUACCUGAACUAACUAUAAUUCAUUAAACAAUCUCUCCACUUAUGUAAUGGAAGUGAGAUUUCACAGAUCUGGGCUAGGUAACAUCCAAACUUAAAAAGCAACCAAAGGGGUCAAAAUGGAGCCAGCACAAAUUCCAACAUUUGUUUUUUUCCAUAUCAAGCACAUUAAGAUUUAUUGCUUGGUAGAGUUAAAAAUUGAAAUGAAAGAAAAUAAACAUUUAAAAAUGCAUAAUUUUGAACUAAUAUACACCUCUCUCUCAUUUUCUUUCUUUUCAUCAUUCUAAUUUGGAAGUAUCGGUUUUUAUACAUUACGAUGGAAAAUGAUUCUUUCCUCUCACUUUUCUUCCAUAUCAAGCACAUUCAAAUUAAAAUAUUUAUUUAAUUUUUAUACAUCGUAAAAUGUACCAAUAGAAUUAGAACAUUAAUACACAUAUCAAUUUUAAAAAAAAGAUUAAUUUUUAAUAUUUUUAAGCUUCGUAUAAUUUAGAAAAAAAUUGUCUUGAAUGAAUCUAGACAUAGACUUAACUUGUAAAUGGUUUUUAUUAAUUUUUAAUUUUUUGAACUUUAUUUAAUAUUUUUAUAAUUUUGAAUAUUUUUUUACAAAUUUAUAAAAUUUUAAAAAAUAAAUUUUUUUAAAUAUUUUUUUAAUUUAAAAAAAUUUUAAGCUUCGAAACGAAUGAACUUGGUACUGCAACAUCAGCAACUAUUCCUUUUAAAAAUUAAAUAUUCCUUUUAAUUUUUAUUUUUUAAAAUAAAUUUUUUUAUUUUUGUUGACAUGGUAGUUGAAAUGGUAAUGGCACAUCAACAACUAUCACUGACAUGAAGCAUCAUGUUAGCGUCGUUAAUGAUUAUGUCAACAUUGCAAUGGUCAACAUUAUUCAAAGGGUCUAUUUGGUCAAUUUUGUUAGUUUAGUGGCUCAAUUGGGUGCAAAAAGUUCGUAGAGAUUUAAUUAAUUUUUUUGAAAAAGUUCGAGGACCAAAAAUAGCAUUAAACCCUUCUUUAACUAUUGAUAUAUCCUUUUUUAUGUAUAGGUCAACGGCCUAUUUGACCAAUUUCCUUUAUUUUAGGGAUACUGCAAACUACCAUCUUUCUAAUUUCCAUUGCCAGAACUAUGACAGUAGUAGAUCCAUCGCCUUUGGCGUCCGAAGCCAUAGCUAUGGUAGAAAGUGGGUGGUGGAGUAACUAUAGCAACAAUGCUUCAGAACGUUGCCAGUGGCCAGGUAUAUCAUGCAACACUGCUCGAAGCAUCAUCCAAAUUAACUUAUCUUAUGCAUUCCUUAUCGAGGUUGGAGAUAGAUUUGGGAAAUUGAAUUUCUCUUCGUUUCCAAAUCUUGUCCUUCUUGAUCUUAGUCAUCGUCAACUUAGUGGAAAAAUCCUGUAUCAGAGAGGUUAUCUAUCAGCAUUGAAGCACCUUGACCUUUCCUUUUGUGGUUUUUCCGGUGAGUUACCUCCUCCUCUAGGAAACCUAACCCAAUUAGAAUUCCUUGACAUUUCCUAUAAUUAUAACAUUAACGGCUCCAUCCCUCCACAACUAGUGAAUCUAGUGAACCUUGUCAGUUUAAAUUUGAGUAGAACCGGUCUUAGUGGAAACAUUCCACCGUUCCUUGGGCUUUUGACCGACCUUAGGCAUCUACUUUUGGAUAGGUAUCAGUUUGAUGAUGGUAAGAAUACAAUCCCCCAAAAUUUGUGGAAUUUGAGGGGUCUUGAGACUUUGAGCCUAAAUGGUUGUGGAAUUGUGGGUCCAAUCCCUUCUGCUUUGGGUCAGUUAAUAAAUCUCAAAUAUUUGGGUCUAUUGGAAAACAAAAUUAAUGGAUCUAUUCCAUCUGAAGUUGGAUUCUUAUCAAACUGAUUUUUGAUCUCUUCGACAACAGACUGGUUGGUUCAAUACCUUUUUCCUUGUACCCAUUAACUAAUAUGGAAAUUUUGUCCCUUGGUAAUAACCAGCUUGAAGGUUCCAUCCCUUGGAAUAUUGAAAAUUCGAAGAACAUCAAGAUUUUAAGCAUCAUUAAUAAUAGUUUUUCUGGUCGUAUCCCCCCAGCUUUGUGUCGUUUGACAAAUUUGGAAUAUAUUGACCUUGGCAAAAAUCAAAUCAGUGGUUUAAUCCCAUCUUGUUUUGGCAAUUUAUCCAAUUCGGAUACCUUAGAACUUGAUUCAAAUCUAUUAAAAGGUCCUAUCCCUGAAGAAAUUGGUAGGCUUUUUCACCUAUCAAGUUUAAACCUCAGCUUCAAGCAACUCUCAGGUAGUGUCCGUAUCUUGUUUGCCACUAAGCUUCGAAUUAUCAUGCUGGAAUUAACUGUAACAAGAUUUCUACCGAUCCAUUUGAAGGCAAUAGUCAUCUAUCACCCUAUAUGUGUCCUUCUCCAGUAACCAACAAAGCCAACAGCAGUACAAUUCUUUACUAUAUCAACAUAUUCCUCCCUAUUGCCAUCUUCUUCACAUUCUCCAUUUUGGGAUAUUUUCUAUUUUCACGAUUUAACCUCAAGAAUAACCGUGUCGGUGUACAACCGACGAAGAAUGGGGAUUUGUGUUCCAUAUGGAACUACGAUGGAAAGAUAGCAUACGAGGAUAUUGUUGCAGCAACAGAGGAUUUCGACUUUCGAUACUGUAUAGGAGUUGGUGGUGAUGGAAGUGUUUACAGAGCACAACUACCUUGUGGUAAAGUAGUUGCCUUGAAGAAACUUCAUCGUUUAGAAGCUGAAAAUCCAGCCUUUGACAAGAGCUUCAGGAAUGAGAUCAAGUUUCUAACAGAAAUACGACAUCGAAGCAUCGUAAAGCUUCAUGGGUUUUGUCUACACCGACGGUCCAUGUUUUUGAUCUAUGAGUACAUGGAAAGAGGGAGUUUGUUCUGCAACCUAAGAGAUGAAGUGGAAGCUAUGGAAAUGGAUUGGACAAAAAGAGUGGAGAUCAUCAAGGGCAUAGCGCAUGCUUUGUCUUACUUGCACUAUGAUUGCAGCCCUCCAAUAGUUCAUCGAGACAUAUCAAGUAACAAUGUUCUUUUAAACUCGAGCUUUGAGGCCUUUGUAGCUGACUUUGGGACUGCUAAAAUGUUGGAUCUUGAAUCAUCCAAUCAGACCAUUAUUGUGGGCACAUGUGGUUAUGUAGCUCCAGGUGAUUUUCUUUGCUUCGUUUGAAGACAUUUUCUUCCGAAUUUAUAAAAUUAUUUGAAAAUAUAAAUGAUUUUCUUUUUAUCUCGUUUUUGGUAUGCAGAACUUGCCUAUACGAUGGUUGUCAGCAAAAAAUGUGAUGUCUAUAGUUUUAAAGUGGUGGCACUGGAAACGUUAUGGGAGAGCAUCCUGAAGAAGAGUUAUCAUGGUUGUCAUCACCAACUUCUUUGGUAAAUACGAGGCUGAUUGAUGUGCUAGACGACUGUUUACCACUUCCGACAAGCCAAUUAGUUGCACAAAAUCUUGUUCGCAUUGCUACUUUGGUAUUCGCUUGCCUAAAUCCAUAACCCAAGUCUCAACCAACGAUGAAAGAAGUGUGCGAAGAGUUUCUUUGUGGCCAAACAUCCUUGAAAAUUCCCCUUCGAAUGAUCUCUUUGUUACAACUUGUGAACCGUGAAAUGCAUAUUAGAGGCAGAACUGAAACUUGUAAUGUUUAAACUCCAUGCACUUGUUCUUGAUUAGAUAUUGUUUAUAUAUUGUGUUCUAUAUGAUGGAAUGAAUGGCAAUGUUCAGUAAACUUGUUUAUUCGGUUGCUUUACAGAAGAAAAAUUCUACAAUUUGAUCUAAAUAUUCAGACACCAUCCUAAUAGCUUCCUUCCAUUUCGCCCUUCUUUCAAGCAUGAUAGACCAAGUCAAAGGAUGAAUCAAAUAUAAGUAAAUUAAUUGUGAAUUAAAGCAAAAAAUAAAAUAAAAUUUGAAUAAAUAAAAUGGAUUAAUUAAGUAUGCACAAAUUUAGAAAUGCACUGUUUCUUUCAUCAAUUUGCAUAAGGUUAAAUGGUUCAGAAGAAAGCUUUCUAAAAAAGAUUACACUAAAAAUGACCAAACCAUUUUGGAAAGAGGGAACGAUGCUUAGGGGUAAUCUUUUUUAAAGCAAAGGCCACUAUUGAAGAAACUUCAUUAAUGCUUAGGGGUAAGGUCUUUUAACUUUUUUACAUUAUGUAUAAUAAUUCAGUUUGAUUUAAUUUUUCAUUUUUCUACUAAUUUUAAAUUUAGGGUUUUAGAUUUAUUUUAAUAAAAUGAUCUUUAUUUUAUAGUUUUUGGAUAUUAUUCGAUAAAUUUUCAAAGUCUUAUAUAUAUAAGGUUUAGAAUUUCCAGUCCCCCGAUGAAAGGGUUAAAAAACUAAAGCACAAAGAAGUAUUUAUAAAGUGAAACUAUGAAGAAAACAGAGUAGUCACCAAGGAUAAUAAUAUAAUAUAAUAUAAUAAUCUCUUCCAACUUCAGCUUCGAUAUAAAUGAUCUUUCAUUCCACCAACAAGCCAGGUCUCUUGGGCUAUAUUACAUGAAAUGUCGUAGAAAUCAGGGUCAUAUUUCAUCACUACUAAGCUCUCUUUCACCUUCCUGUUUUCCUUUUCCAUUAAAGACCUAAUUUUUUUCUUUUUUCCUCGUCUUUCCUCUUGCACUCUUGUUUGUCUCCUUGAUCUUCCUCGUCCUCUCCGGCCCUAUUAGCUUCUUCUAACUAGCUCUUAGCAGGAGCGGAUCGACAACGCAGAAGUAAGAAAGCAUUUGCAGGUGGGAUUGCAGCAGCUUGAUCAUCAACAUGAUCGAGGGAGCAUUUACAGCAAUCACAAUUCCUAAUAUCAAUCUGCAACCUAACUGUCAGCUUAAAGGUCUAAAGUCAAAUGCCGAGUUGGUUAUAACAUGUAAUUAAGUAAUGAAACCUGCAUUUAUAAUUUAUUGAAGGAAUCAGGCUGCCACAAUAUCUAUAAAUGAUUAAGUUCAAGCUAUACAAAUUAUAUUAAAAAUAAGAUGAUCAUUACAAAAAAAUAAAAAGGAAGGCCCUUUUCACCAACAGUAAAAUGUAAUUAAGUAAACCAUGUAUUUUUCAGUUUCUUAAUCUUAGCCUGAACUAAAUAUUGCAUUGCAAAUGACAUAAUAUGACCCAUGUCAACAAUGUAAACAGACGCACAUUAAAAUUUAAAUUUAAAUCCAUAAAACUUUAUGUACUUAUAUUCAUGCAUUUAUACGAACACAAGAAAGAUAUACAAAUUUAUAAGAACAAGCACAGUGUCAAAUCAAUAUGGUUCCUUCCCUCAAUGCAAACAUCGUGUGACAUCAACCAAUAUAAAGAAGAUAACAAAAAGUAUGCCCUAGUUUCAGCACUCUUUUAAGGCAGUUACUAAAAGUUUCUUUCAACCAAGUUAAGAAGCAUAUCAAGAAAUCAAGUUAAGGACGACUUCUAAUGAAAGUUGACAAGAAAUUUUCCAGAGAUGAAUGCACUAUCCACAACCCGUUCUAACAAUUUGAUCUUCGAUCUUACCUUCUAUUAUAAGUGUGAGUAGCCUUUGUUUGUGGCAAUUUCUGAUUGGUUCCAGUAUUCAUUAAUAAGAAAGAUUUUCAUUUCUUAAAUAACGUAUACAUCCUGAACCCAUUCUAUAUCAACAACAACAAUAAUACACACGAUAGAGUGAUAGAGUACAAAUUUUCGUACAAGAUUUCACACAUACAAGAAAAACAAAAUAAGUGAAAUAAUUCCAUCUAAAAUGAAAUUAAUCAAAGAAAGCCAAAACUGAUGUAGUAGAACAGAUGACUGAGAAUGUAAAAUUUUCUUAUAUUAGUUCCAUUUUUUUUUUAAAAAAAAGAGAGAUUGCAAAGUAAAUUAAGAAAAUUCUGUAAUACCCGCAAAGGGUUUGUGAACAAACAAGUUAACUCAGAUAGAAAAAAAUUAGAUUGAGAAACCAAUUAUUCAACCAUGAAUGUAACACCCUAAACCCAGCAUGGACGAAAGUCUAAGUUUAGGAAGUUACCAUGUCUCACCUAUGCGCAGUCAUUCUUAAAGCAAAUCAUUCUUCAUAAUUAAGUUAUAAAAACAUCCAGUAUCCAUAACAUAAUCAAAUUUUAAAGGAUUGAAAUACGAAUUCUAGCUAUAGAUUCACACACAUAUAGAUAUAAUAUGUCCUACAAAUGACCAAGUCCCUCCGCGCGCCAGCCGCUUAAUCCUAUGGGUUCCCUGAAAUUCAUACGAAUAAUUAGAGUGUUGCAGUAAAGAGUAAAACAUAGUUGAGCUAUACUAUAUAAUGAUGUAUAUAUAUUUGAACGGCAUUGAGUGUUUAAGUACAGCUUGAUAUCAUCAUUUUAGUAACAUCCUAAUGCAAAUUCAAAUAUAUAUAAUAGACUGACAAGUCAACUUGAUACAGAUAUAGACAUAAAUCUCAUAGGCCAACCGAUACACACCAUCUCCAUGUUUACUUCCUCCCCCUUUACACACCAAUAGGUAUAUAGCACCUAUCCAUCCCUAUACACCUCAUAGUGUCGAUAUGACACGUUGCAAUGUUUAUAGUCUCAGUGCCAGAAUAACAAAAUAUACAGGUGGUUUGACCACCGAUUCAAAAUAGAACUCUUCCUCCACAUCACAAUCUCCUUACAUGUAGUUUCAAAACAAAUACUGAUCACAUACAUAACACAUUAGUUAAACAAUCAAUCUAUAAUAUACAAAUACUGAUCUUAGUAAUAACUAUUUCAUACCAAUAUGCAAAAUCACUUAACAACGAUGAUAAUUAGACUUAUUCAAUAAGUGAAGUUCAAAUGAUGGCUUAUCCCGCCUUACACGUCCACUACCGCACUAACAGAGGUUCAGAAUUCAAGAUCAUACACCCACAUGGCCUGGCACACUCCAGUGUGCCUUGCCUAUGUGUGUCACACGGCCUGAACACCGGCCCGUGUGUCUCACCCGAUUGCCUCUAAUAGAAACUUAGUGAAUUACACGGCUAGCACAUACGCCCGUGUGGCCACUUGUGUGACUCCAGCACGAACUCAGUGAGUUACACGGCCUAGAUACACACCCAUGUGUCUCACCCGUGUGACUCUUGUACUUUAUUACCCACACAUACGGCCAGGCACACGCCUGUGUAAGUUGCCCGUGUGUCUACAAUUCGAAAUCAGGGAGUUACAAGGCCAACCACACGGCUUCCCACAUGGUCGUAUGGCACACACGGCCAGGACACAUACCAAUGUGGCCACCCAUGUUCCGUUUACAAUCGUUGAUUCUGGCAAAGAAUAACGCAAAAAAGAGGGUUUUCGGUACCCACCUGUUACACGAUGUUGUAGAAGCACCACAAUACAAAAUCCAAGCCUAAAACAAGUUUCAAACUUCCCAUUUCAAUAAGAAAUUCAUAAAUGAAAUUAACAACAAUCAAUUUCCGUCGAAAUCUUCCACUCACUACACAAAAUGAAAGGAAGUUAUUACCGUGAAUUCCUCGUCCCCGUUUGGUUCCUAAAUAAGGUGAAAAGUGUUAGGCAUCUCUUGAGUCUCCCCUGUUAAACUCUCAACUACUGAAAGAAAUCAUUCUUUUCCAUAUGCUCAUAACAUUGAUUACAGGGGUAUUUAAUGCAUGCAGUACAUGCAACCUCAUCAGUAACUACUAACAGAAACCUUAACAACUUUCUAACUAAUAACAGAAACUGUUACUCCUAACAUGCCCCUUACUUAUCAACUCUUCUUCUCAUCAAAAACUUCUUGACUUGUAUCAGUAACACAAAGUAGAUCUCGAAACUUAGUGAAAAUUCCCACUGGCAAAGGUUUUGUCAAAACAUCGGCAAUUUGGUCUGAUCCCGAAACAUGGCCAACUUGAAGUACUCCAUUUGUAACUUUUUCCCUAACGAAGAACAAAUCCAUCUCUACGUGCUUGAAUUUUGAAUGUAAAACCGGGUUCCCUGCUACUGCAACAGCAGCUGAACUAUCACACCAUAUCAAUGCUUUCUUUGGAACUGGAACAUGCAACUUAGUUAGUAAUGAGCGAAUCCAAACCAAUUCUGCAGCGAGAUGAGCAACACUUCUAUAUUCUGCCUCUGCUGUUGACCUAGAGAUCACUUGCUGCUUCCUUGAGCUCCAGGAGAUCGGGUUCCCUCCAAGAAACACGCAAAAUCCUGAAGUGGACCGUCGAUCAUCUACAUCCGAACCCCAACUAGCAUCCGAGUAUCCUUCAAGCAAAAACUUCGACGAACGAACAAACUUCAACCCGUAAUUCAGUGUGCCUUGUAGAUAUCUUAAGAUUCUUUUCACAGCUUUGAAAUGCAAAUCCGAAGGUUUAUGCAUAAAUUGACAAACUUUGUUAACAGCAUAUGCUAUGUCGGGUCUAGUAAUUACCACAUAUUGUAAAGCACCAACGAUACUUCGAUAAUGACUUUCAUCUUCAACAGGACUCCCAGUAUUAGCAGAAAGAUGACCGGUGGUGACCAUUGGUGUAGGUAAACUAUUUGACUUCUCCAUAGAUGCACGUUGAAGAAGAUCCAGAAUGUAUUUUCUUUGUGUGAGAAGCAGCCCUUGUGUAGUGUACUUGACUUCAAUUCCAAGAAAGUAACUUAACUUCCCCAGAUCUUUUAACGAAAACCUGCCAUUUAACUGAGUAACGAAAUCGCCUAUGAACACAGCAUCAUUCCCAAUAAUGAUAAUGUCAUCAACAUAUAUCAACACAUAAAUCAACUGGGACUUGGUUUGAAAAAUGAACAGGGAAUUAUCGGCUUUUGAAACCUCAAACUUCAUGGACACCAAUAAUUCUCGCAACUUAUUGAACCACGCCCGUGGUGCUUGUUUGAGACCGUACAAGGCUUUUCGAAGCUUGCAAACUAGCUUCUCACCAUUUGCCCCUUGCUUUUCGAACCCUGGAGGCUGCACCAUGUAGAUAUCUUCACUCAACUCCCUAUUUAAAAAAGCAUUAUUUACGUCUACCUGUCGAAGUGGCCAGUUAGAUGACAUAGCUAAGGCAAGAACAACCCGAAUUGUAGUUGGCUUAACAACCAGGCUAAACGUUUCUUGAAAGUCAAUACCAGCUUCUUGCAAGUAACCCUUAACCACAAGCCUGCCCUUGUAUCGAGCAAUAGAUCCGUCUGCAUGCUUUUUCAGUUUAAAAAUCCAUUUACAACCAACAGCUCGUCGUCCUUCAGGUAGUGGCAUGAGAUCCCAGGUUUGGUUAGCUAGCAAAGCAUCAUAUUCCGCUCUAGCAGCGUCUGUCCACGCCGGGCUUUGAAACGCUUCACUUAUCGUCAAAGGCUCCUUUUUAGCCAAUACCGAAGCUAAAACUUUCGGUUUAAAAAUUCCAUUUUUUGAACGGGUCGGCAUGGGGUGCAUACUAACAUUAAAUGGAGCUUCAAUUUGACAUUCACUCUGUCCAUGCGUCAAAGAAGUUUCUGACCGACACUCAUUUGGACCACAUAAUGGAGAAACUUCUGUGGGAAGAGACGAGCUGGAACGAGAGGGAGUAUGAUGUGAUGGAACUGACGAACAUGCCAUUGGAGAUGUCCUAACCAAUCGUGUGUCUGCUUGUGUUAAACCUGUUUCAGAAAAAUUAUUACACACAAUAAUAGGGAGCAUGGUCUGCUGUUUACAAGAUUCCUUCAUGACAUUGUUGCGGAACUUUGAACAAAAACCGCCAUGAAACGGAAACCUUUCCUCAUCAAACCGAACGUGCCGAGAAAGAUAGACCCUACCAUCAUCAGCAAGACACCGAAACCCUUUUAUAUUCGGGGUACUCCCAAGAAAAACACAAACUUUUGACCUGUACUGUAGCUUGUAUUGCUGAAAAGGUCUCAAAUUAGGAUAGCAAGCACAGCCAAACACCCAAAGAGUAGUAUAGUCAGGUUUGUUACCAUGAAGUUUCUCAUACGGACUCAUUUGAUGUAAAAUUAGAGUAGGCAGUCUAUUUACUAAAUAAACAGCAUGUGCAAAAGCAUAAUACCAGAACUUCAAUGGUACACCAGAUUGAGCAAGAAGAGAUAAUCCCAUAUCAACAAUUUGUCUAUGCUUCCUCUCAGCAACUCCGUUUUGCUCGGAGGUGUAUGGACAAGUAACCCUAUGUUGAAUACCCAGACGAGAAAACUCUUUUGCCAAAACACAAUAUUCUCCCUCACCAUCUGUUUGUAACAUCUUGAUGGGACAACCAAAUUGAGUUUUUACCAUCUGAUGAAAAUUAGCAAAACAAGAAGCAACCUCAGAUUUAUUUUUAAGAAAGUAGAUCCAAGUAUAUCUACUGUACAUGUCAACAAAGGACACGUAAUAGCAAAACCCAUUGGAAGGCACAUGAGCUGGCCCCCAUAUAUCAGAAACUAAAGCUCAAAAGGAAUCUUGUACACUGUAGUGGAAGCAGGAAAAGGAAGCUUUUGAGCCUUGCCCAUCUGGCAGGCCGUACAUAUAGUAGGUAAACUAUUCUGUACAAACGAGACUUUACAAGAUUUUAAAACUUGAGACAAGACAUUAGAGCACGGAUGCCCAAGUCUGUUGUGCCAUAAAACUGCAGACGAAAGUUGGGCACUGUUUAUUGAGCACGGACUAGGCUUCGAAAGAAAACUAUGACUAUGGAGAGUAGACUUGGACAGCUGAAAAUGAUAGAGACCUUCAUGUAUGUGGCCCUCGAGAAGGAUCUUCCCUGUCUAAAUAUCCUUCACAAAACAGAGAAAAGGAUGAAACUAAAAAAAAAACACCGUUAUCUUUUGCAAAUUGUCCCACAGACAACAAAUUUUUGCACACUGUAGGAACAUGUAACACACGUUGAAGAUGAAGAAGUCUAGAGCCAGCCAGAAUAUUAGAAGACCCUAUAUUAGCUAUAGGUGCUGACUUACCAUUGCCCAUAACAACUUGACCUACACCUGUAUAAGGAGUUACUGACAUAAGAGCGGAUCUGUCAGGUGUAACAUGAUUUGUUGCACCGGAGUCUGGAUACCAGGUCUGAUCAGCUGAUGAUGAUGAUGGAGUUGACAGUCGAGAGCACGAACCAGAACAAUUAAGUACAGAAGAGCAUGCCGUGGAAGAAGGAGCAAACUCGUGCACUUGAUGAAAAUUGACUGAUGUGUUUUGUCCAAAAUAAUUCUCAUCAAAUCGAUGAUAACAAUUUUGUACAAUAUGACCAACCUUACCACAAAGUUGACACUGUGGUCUAGAACGAGACCAUCCUCGACCAGUGCCUCUAGUUCUGCCACGUAACCAACUGCGAUUCGAACCACGAAACCCUUGUUUUGAGUCCUGAGCAUAAGAAGGUUUCGAACUAUCUGCACCAUCUUGAUAUUUAGUUAAAUUUGCCUGCAAAGGAGUUUCUGACAAAACAGCCAACUGUCUAGCCUCAAAAUCAAGAAGCAUAUCAGUCAACAAAUCCAAUGAAACUGAAGCAGCAGACGCAAAAACACGAAUAGACUCAUAUUCAAUGGGAAGCCCAGAUAGAAUAACACUAACUUGCUCUUUUUCCGUAACAUCACUGCCAAUAGCUGUUAAGCUAUCAGUAAGAGUCUUGACCUUAUGCAAAUAUUCUUUAACGUUUAAACUACCUUUCUUGAUCGAGUAUAAUGCAUGACGCAUACUCGAGAUCUUAAUAUUCGACGUAGCGCCAAAUCUUCUUUCAAUGGUGUUCCAAAUAUCAAGACUCGUUUUAGCUGCAGUUAGAUGAACCAAAACUUCAUCCGUGACCGUCGAAACAAGCCAAGCAGCAAGAAACUUAUCCUGUUUCUUAUGCACAAGAAAGCAAGGAUUAUCAACAACACGACCAUCAGCCUUUACAAGAACAGCAGGAGGAACAGAAAUCGUGCCCAAAACAAAGCCUUCAAGCCCAUAUCCUUCAAGAAUCAGUAACAACUGAUGUUUCCACAGCAAGAAAUUAUGUUCUGCAAGUUUGACCGUAUCAUGCUUGGUAAAAUAUUGAACGGUUGAAGAACCACCACUACCAAGAUCCUGCGACUGGGCUGCUCCACCAAUAUUUGAAGAAUUAUGCGGAGUAUCUGCACUUGGUUCCAUGAAGAAAAAAAAAACAACAAAACUAUUUGAUUUAAAAAAUUUUGGCUCUUGAUACCAUGUUAAACUCUCAACUACUGAAAGAAAUCAUUCUUUUCCAUAUGCUCAUAACGUUGAUUACAGGGGUAUUUAAUGCAUGCAGUACAUGCAACCUCAUCAGUAACUACUAACAGAAACCUUAACAACUUUCUAACUAAUAACAAAAACUGUUACUCCUAACAUCCCCUAAUGUAUGAAAACACAAUGAACAAUAAAGUCAUCACACACUUCAGAAUUUUGAAGGUUUUUACCCAAUUCGCACAACAACACUUUAAAAUAGAAAUAAUUUACUCGAUCACCUUAAAACGUACCAGAGUAAGCAAUAUUACAACCCCAAUGAAGCAAUUAUGCAAGACGAACCAAACUAAAGAAGUUCUAGAGAAAUUGUAUACUAAACCGAAGCAAAAAUAAGAAAAAGAAAAAAAAUUGAAAAUGGAAGGAAAAAAAGAACGUCUAACUAUCACUAGAGGGAAGAAGUCUUUUAAAAUUUAGAUCAGUUUUAUGAGAAAGUGCAAAACAUAAAUCCUCGUUGCAUACAAUGAGACUCAAACACGGGACCAAACAUAAAGCAAAUGUUUAAUUAGUGAAUCAGCAGGCUCAUUCUUGACACAAAAUGAUAAUAGAAUUAAACUUAAAUCAGGAAUUCUAAAUCAAGGAUUUUAAUAAAGAAAUGAACAAGAUUUCAAAAUUCAUGUGACUCGGACCUCAUAUCUCAAGUAAACAAACAGAACAAACAACCACAGAAGCAGACACAUAUCCAUUAACACAUCCUAUAAAUAAAACUCAGAUUUUAGGGCGUUGCAUUGAAAGAACUGUAAAAUACAAUGAUUAGGAACAAAAACGAUUACCCUCUUUUUCUUUGUCGGCAACCACUUGAUUUUAAGUCUUUGAACAUAAAUUUGUCGGCAAAGAAGACAUACUUGGACCUAAAUCCAUCUUUUGUAUUUCUACGUUGAAUAAAAAAUCCAAUCAAUUGAUGAAACAAUCAUUUGAUUUCUAGUAUUUUGAUUCAAUAAAGAUAUAAUAGUUUUUUCAAUCAAAUGAAAAAGAAAACUAAAAAAAAAAAGAGGAGAUGAACGGUUUUUUCAGCUAAGGUUUAGGGUUUAAAAAUUUUAAUUAAUAAAUUUAUUUAAUUAAAAAUCUAUUCACAUCCCAUUUAGAAAUCCAAGUUGGAAAUUAAAAUCUAGUUGGACUGCCACGUAGGAUUACCGUGAGGGAGAUAACAGAACUUAAUGGAAGAGUGAUCACUUCAUAACAAUAUAAUAACAUAAGUGACUAAAAUGUAACCUGAGGCAAAUAAAAGUGAUUUUUUUUAUAGUUUACCCUUAUUUUUAUACUAAUUUUAAGUUUAGGGUUUUGGACUUAUUUUAAUAAAAUGAACUUUGUUUAAUGGUUUUUGGACAUUAUUCGGUAAGUUUUCAAAGUCUUUUAUAUAAGGCGUAAUAAUAAAUUUAACCCUUGAUGUUUAUAUCUUUUGUUAAUUUGGCUCUUAUUCUUUUUUUUUAAUUUGACUCUCAACCUUCUAAAAAGAGUCAAAUUUAACCAUUAACAUUUCAAAAAGAAUCGAAAUGAUUUUUUAAAUAAAAAUAUUAACUAAAAUGUUAUUUUUUUAAUAUGGAAGCCCACGUAGCAUUCCACAUGAACUUCAUAGUAUUUUUUGAACUUUUAUGAACUUUUUUGAAUUUUUUAAGUUUUUUUUCAACACUUUUAUAAUUUUUAAAUUAUCUAUAGAAGUGACAUAUAAGAUAAAUAAUGUCAUAUCAGUAUAAAGUACACAUGGAUUGACACGCAGAGUGUUACACCAACAUCACUAAAAAAUUAAUGUUUAUUUAGUAUUUUGUUAAAAAAAAGUUUUUUUGAUUCUUUUAGAAAGAUUAAUUUUAAGGGUCAAAUUGACUACAUAUAAUAUAAUUGUUGAGGAUUAAAUUUUUCAUUUUAUCUUUCUAUAAAUAUUUUCCCAAAAAAAUUAAAUUUUCAAGUACAUCACUUACAAAGUGUUUUUUUUAUAGAUUUUUUAAAUUUAUUUCACUAUUUAAAAAUAAAAUAUUUAUUUUACAUAAUAUAGAAUUAUAAUUAAUAAUAAAUUAAACAAGAAAUAAAAUUCGAUUCAAAUAAUCGUGAUUUUUUAACUUGUGCCAAAAAAUAAUCUAAACAUCAUGGUUGAAAUCAAAUUUUCAAUUUCUUAAUAUUUUUUCUUUCAAAACCAUAACAAUGAUAGCUAGUCAUGGUGGUCGUCCUUAGUUUUCUUUUUUUAAAAUAAUAAUAAUAAUAAUAAUAAUAAUAAUAAUAAUAAUAAUAAUAAUAAUAAUUGUAAUACUUAAAUUUUACCCGGCCCCAAAUAAAUAAAAUAAAUACAGAGCUUGAUUUGCAAACAGGCCAUAAGGGCCCAAAACCCAAAAUACAACAGGGGCCCAAAGCUCAAUGGCCCAAAUCAUAUGCAGAAACCCUAGGGUUUCUGAAGAAGACCUUUGCGCCGCAGCCGCAGCCAUCACCAAGCUGAAUCUUCACGAUCUUCACCUGCAAACACAAGAAAGGAAAGAAAAUCAAAUCAAAUCAAAUCGAAUCAAAUCAAGCAAAUUUCUUACUUCUAUUUGUUGUAUUUUCAUUCGGCUAUAUAAAGCCAUAGACAAUAUUGUAAAGGGGCCGGAUUUUUAAAAAUAAAAAAUACAAAUUACAACUUUCGCAAUAUCAAGGGCAAAAAAAUCGAAACAAAGGUUGAUACUUGCAAUUUUUAAUAAUUUUCUAUUGUUACAUAUAUAUUUUUUUAUUUACAUACGAAUAAAAUAGAGAAGAGAAGGAAAGAAACAACCUGCGUUUGGAGCCUAAACCGUCGUGUGCCUCCGAGGUAGCCGUCUCCGAGGAAAGACGGUCGGAAACCGAAAGGUUUCUCGGGUUUUUGAGGCAUCUCCGCUUUUAUUUUGAGGGUUUUGAGCCCGGAUCUAAGCUCAGGGGGUUAAGAAGGUUGAAAAGGAAAAUUUUUUACUUUUUCCGGCCACCGCGGACGGUGGUGCCGGCGCCGGAGAUCAGCGGCCGGCGUGGUGGCCGUUGACCGGCCGAUGACCAUCCGAUGAUCGGCCCAUGGCCGGAGGACAGAAAGGUUGAGAGAGUUUUUUUUAAAAAGUUUUUUUGUUUUUUUUAAAUGUUUUGAAAUGAAAUUUUUGUUUUAUUUUUGGCUUAAAUAGCCAAUUGAAAACGGCGCCGUUUUGAGGGGAGGAUCCGUGCGUCGACCCGACCCGGACCCAGGAUCACCGCGUUUUUAUGCGGAGGGGAAAAUUGCAUUUUUAGCCCCUCCGCCUUUUUAUGUUUUACAAUUAGGUUUAUUUAAUUUUUUUAAAUUAGCCCUUUAAUUCGUUUUCGAUUUCAAUCUAACCCUGCUUGAACGACACUGUUCUGAGGAGAAGGGUAAAUUGCCUUUCUAGCCCCUCUGAGUUAUCAGCGUGUUCAAUAGGAUCUUUCAAUUUCUAUUUAUUUACAGAUUUGUUUCAGAAUUUUUAUUUACAGUUCAAAUUAGCCUUUUUUUUUCUUUCAUUUUCUAUAUUUUCUAUUUUUUAUAUUCUUUUUUCAUAUUAAUUUGUUUUAAUAUAUAUAAUAUAUUUUUACAUACGCACAUUUAUUUUUGUAGAAUUGUAUAAUUAUUUGUUUAUUUAUUUAUUUAUAUGUAAUUAUUCUUUAUAACCUAUAUGUAUAUAUUUAUUUUAGUACAUAUAAAUAUGCAUAUAUAUUAAUAUUUUUAAUCAAUAUAUAUAUGAAUAUAUAUUUAUUUUUUUAAAAAAUGAAAAUAUAUAUUUUUUAUACACUUUAUAAUUUAUAUUUUUCCUUUUAUUUUCACAAAUGCAUCAUAUAUGUAUAAGUUUCGUAUCCCAAAAUUUAAGUUGUAUGUAUAUUUUUAAUCUUCAUAAUUUCUAUGUGUAUAUUAUAUGUUUUCUAAUUUUUAUUUAUUUUGAUUUCCUUGUUUGUGAUUUAAUUGUGUUUGUAUUUAAUAUUUUGCAUGACAUGGAUUAUUGCUUUAUAUUUAAUUUAUUAUUUGUUUAUAUUAUUUUUAUGCUAUUAAUGUAUUUAUUAUUGUUGAAUUUAUUAUUAUAGCAUUUGUAUGUAAUAGAACAUGACAUCAUCUUUUACUCGAUUUUAAAGUUACAAAAUUGAGAUAGUGCUUGGAUUGAGGAUUUUCAAGGAAAUUGAGCCCUAACGUAUUGAGUUCCGAUUUUCUUUGUUAAGUUUAAGAAUCGAGCAUUUCUCUUUAAUAAAAAUAAGAAUUCAUUAUUGGGAAUUCAACACGUUGUGUCCUAACGUAUUGGAUGUGAUGCAUUGAUUUCUCGAAAUGAAGAUUUUUCUAAAAAAUAAUAAAGGAAAUAUUUCGAGUUUGGGAUUUUAAAGAAAUCGUGCCCUAACGUAUUGGGUGUGAUUUCUUGAAUCUUGGAUAAGUGGAUGUUCUUUUGAAGUUUUAUCGCACUUGUAUUUUGGCCCAAUUCAUUUUGGAGGAAAUUAGAAUGUUGUGCCCUAACGCAUUGGGUGUGGCAUUUUUGCUUCUCUAAAUGGAGAAAGGUCUUAAUACGCAACAUUUUAAGUUUUUUUAAAGAUUAUAUUUUUUUAAAUUUUCGACCUUAAGACAUUAAUUGGUUAAUUAGGUACCAAUUUUGGGCGUUAUGAGGGUGCUAAUCCUUCCUCAUAUGUAACUGACUCCCGGACCUGUUUUUCUAAAAUUCGCAGACCAAAAUCAUUUUAGGUGACCCAAUCACACCUUAAUAAAAGAUUGGUGGCGACUCCCAAUUUUCAUUUUUUUAAAGUCGACAACCUAAAAUAAAAUUUUUUAUUUUUCAAAAAAAUGGUUUCGACAGCUUGGCGACUCCGCUGGGGACUUUUUUUUUAAAUAAGAGAGUCAAGCCACAAAGUUGAUUAAUUUUUGUCUUAUGGUCGAGAAAAUAUUUUUAAAAAACUCAUGACAUCCUUUUUGCAUUCAUUAUCUUCUUGUUUAAAUAUUGUUUGCAUUAUACAUUUCAUGAGUGGAACAAUUUUACCCUUUUCAGUGGGAGUGAGAAGCUAUGCCUUCGUGAGGUUUUCACCUCCGUAUAGGAUAGUGGAUCGCUUUCGGGAUACAUCGGUACUUAUGCCUUCGUGAGAUUUUCAUCUCCGUAUAGUCAUAGGGAAAAUGUGUCCCCCUGAACUGAACUCGGUCCAUAUGAGCCUAUAAUGGGUGAGGAUUGAGGAAUCUGCUGGUUCGGGUACCUUUACUUUAGAACCGAACCGCAUAUAAUGAGCCUUAGGAGCUUACCUUAGUUAGAACCGCACUAAACCCUGGUAGAUAUCCGAAUAGAUGUUUUAUUAUUUCUUGAUUGUUUUCUAUGUUUAUAUAUAUUACUGACCUUUUGUGUUUUAUUUUGAUUGCAUGACAUGGCAUUUCACUUCAUCAUAAAAGGCAUCAGUUUAGAUUUGGUUGCUAGAUAGAAAGCUUAACAUGGAAAAAGGGUUUCUUGAUAAAGUGGAGGACAAUGCGCCUGUUCGAACUUGGUCUGAAACAAUGCAACAGGAAAAGGGUGAUAGUCUGGCCGAUGGGUAUGUAUCAGAAUUAUGGGAUUUUACUCGCAUCAGUGUGGCUCAAAACAAUUUGCAGGAGUUGAAAGAAAUUUGGGAUCAGUGGAAUAAUGAGAUUAGGCAGUUAUUUUACGACAACUAUGGGGACUUGCCUUAUUUGCUUGAUGUGAAGGUAGACAAACACUUGUUUCGAGCCCUCGCCCAGUUUUGGAAUCCUGCUUACAGUUGCUUCACGUUUGGGAAUGUUGAUUUGGUACCUACGAUAGAGGAGUACGUGGCAUUAUUUUGAUGUUCAAAGUUCCAAGUAGAUAGGGUCUACUCGAGAGCGGUGAAUGUGCCAACCUUUUCAAAGAAGCUGAUAGGUAUAACAGGGAUGAGUGAGCAGUGGGUCGCUGCACGAGUUAAGCAAAAGGGGGAUAGCAAGUGCAUUCUUUGGAGGAGCUUGAAGGAUGCCAUUCUCACACACCCAGACAUAAGAAAGAGGUUAGAUAUUUUUGCCUUAAGUAUAUACGGCUUGGUUGUCUUCCCUAAGGCCUUGGGGCAUGUGGAUGAAGCAGUCACCGAUUUAUUUGAUCGACUUGAUAAAAGGGUUACAUCGAUUCCGACAAUUUUGGCAGAAACCUUCAGGUUAUUGAGUGCAUGCUGAAAGAUGGGUGAGGGUAGAUUUAUCGGAUGUGCGCAGCUUCUACUUGCAUAGUUUCACAGUCACUUUUGGAAGGUGGAUAAAGUUUCGUAUCGAGUUUUCUCUAAAAAUUAUUCACCACUAAAGGAGAUAAUUGCUACACCGAGGAGAGAUGACAUUUCUGAGGAAAAGUGGAUGGCUAUUCUUCAAAAUCUUCAAGAGGAAGAUGUUGAGUGGAGAGCUCCUUGGUUACUACCAGAUGAGAUCCUAUAUAGGUGUGGAGAUUUCAAUUGGGUACCUUUAUUGGGCAUUUGGGGUGCUGUCGGAUAUGCCCCAUUAUUGGUGCUAAGGCAAUAUAGGUUGAGACAGUUUAUACUUGCGACUCAAGGGAUAGCUGAUUGUGAAUUUUCAUAUAAAGAGGAUGGUUAUAGAAAGAAGAUUCAAGAAAUGUCUAAGGCGUGGAAAUAGACUCGCUAAAUGAAGAGGUUAGCUGUAGGGCAAAUGACGACUCCUGAGUAUUAUGGAUGGUGGGCUAGGAGGAUUAAUGAUAACACACCUAAGUUAAAUCAUGAGGAUGGCCAGUCAAUAGAAGAGCAUUUGCGAGUCAUCCCUUCGGAAUUGGAAAUUGUAAGAUAAGAUUUUGAGAGGAAGAAUGCGGAUUUGGAGAAAAGAAUAGAGCAAAUGGAGGUGGAAAAGACGAACUUGAGAUUGGACAUAGACGUUCAGAAGCUUGAGAAUGAGAGGUUGAAGAAAGAGAAAAACAAGGCUGAUGAGGAACUGGGCAGUCUAAAGACGGAUUAUAAAAAGUUGUGUUUGUCAAUAAGAACUGCUGGGCUGGGAAAGACAUCAGAACAGUGGUGAGCAGAAAUCCAAGAAGAAAAGGACAAGGCAGAUAGAUGGGAACAGAGAUUUCAAGAGAUGCAAAGGCGAAAUGAGGCCUUAGAAAAGAGUUUGUCAGAAAACCAGAAGGAAAAGGGCGAGUUAAAAGAAAAGGUGAUUGUGUUGGAAAGGUCUCUUCGUCAGUUUCGAAAUCGAAAUUCUACGAUAGAGUUGAAAGCAAGCUUGAGCAAGAUUGACGAAAUGAAGGGAAGAAUCGAAGAGCUAGAAACGGUGCUGCAAAAUUGUGAGAUUCAGAUCAAUCACUUGAAGGCAAAUGAAAGUCGAAAUAAUGAACAGCUUCACCACUUUCAGAGUCAAGUUAGAAGCAGAGAUCAUCUUAUCGAGGAAGCUGUGGUCCAGAUUCGAGAAGUAGCUGAUCAUAUGCAGACUUUAGCAGUACAGGCUGACAUGCUGAGUGUGAAGUAUGAAUUAGAAUCGGAUCGGGGGCAAGAAUUAGCUUUGUUACUUAGGAAGAUUAGAGUUCUGGGUACUAAGGCAAAGUCUUACUUGUAAUUCGCUUUAUGUAAAGAAAUUUGCUUUCUAGUAAGGUUUUCUUAUAUUGAAUUGAAUCAAAAUUGACGUCUUUUUGCAUUAAUGCAUUGCAUUACUUCAUAUGCAUUUAAAAAACAUUAAAAGAUUCUAAUUAAUUUAAGUCAUUCCUCAGUUAAUCUGGAAACCAAUCAACCUACCAAACAUCGCUACGGUACUCGAUCCAAAACUAGAGACAUGGACCAAAGGCUAGAACAGUUCCAGAAGGAAAUGCAAGAGCAAAUGAGUGAGUAACUAGAGAAAAUUCAACAAAAUAUGAUGGAAAAAAUAAUGGAAUCUCAGGGGAGUAUGAUGGCUAAGUUGACUUAGUUAUUGACUGGAGGAGUUGAUAAAGGGAAGGGCUUGGUGCUCAACAAUGAAGAAGGAGACAACGAGGAACCUGUUUAUUCCUCAGGACUUACUUCUCAACAAGCGGGGAUAUAUCCGCGCAAAUCCUCCGUUACUAUCAAGCCUCAUGACGGUUCUGAAACACCGAUAAACUUUCAAGUUAGAGACAAUCUGGCUAAUCCUGUUAUCCCUAACUUUGGCGAGACAAUCGAGAAAAUAAAUGGGGAAUUGCCGAAACAGCUCGAGGAAAAGUAUAAAUGGCUGGAGGAAAAACUUAGAGCAAUAGAAGGUACUGAGAGCUACCAUGGAAUUGAUGCUAGAGAAUUGAGCUUGGUUCCAGGAUUGAUACUUCAUCACAAAUUCAAAAUGUCAGAGUUCGAGAAGUACAACGGGACUAGUAGCCCCGAAGCCCAUAUUACUAUGUUCUGCAGAAGGAUGACUGGGCAUGUUAAUAAUGACCAGUUGCUGAUACAUUGCUUCCAGGACAGUCUCACAGGGGCUGCAUCCAAAUGAUACAAUCAACUGAGCCGUACUCAGAUUAAUUUAUGGAGAGAUCUAGCACAGGCAUUCUUAAAACAGUACAGCCAUGUGACUGACAUGGUACCUGAUAGAAUUACUCUGCAAAACAUGGAGAAGAAGCCUGGUGAAAGUUUCAGGCAGUACGCACAGAGAUGGAGGGAGGUUGCUGUCCAAGUUCAGCCAUCUCUUCUAGAAAGAGAGAUGACGAUGCUUUUCGUCAACACAUUGAAGGCACCAUUUAUUACACAUAUGUUAGGAAGCGCUACAAAAAGUUUUUCCGACAUAGUCAUGAAUGGAGAGAUGAUAGAAAACGCUAUCAGAAGUGGGAAAAUAGAUGCUGGAGAAAGUAGCAGAAGGGCAGCCUCAAGGAAGAAAGAGAACGAGGUUAAUAACACAAGUUCAUAUUUGAAGACAGUUACCGUGAAUCAGCUAGAAAAAGUGGCUGUUAAUCAGUAAGGAUCAUCAAAGCAGAGAUCUGACACAAGACAAAACACAAAGAAGCUUCAAUUUACGCCAAUCCCAAUGUCGUAUAGGGAGUUAUAUCAGAAUAUAUUCAAUGCACACGUGGUUGACCCUCAUCACUUAAAACCCCUGCAACCUCCAUAUCCCAAGUGGUACGAUGCGAAUGCACAGUGCGAUUAUCACGCAGGAAUUGUGGGGCAUUCUAUAGAACAUUGUACGACAUUCAAGAAGCUGGUAGAAAGGCUUAUAAGUAUGGGCGUAGUUAAAUUGGAUGAUUCGCCUAGUACAGAGAAUCCGUUACCUAAUCAUAAUGAUAAUGGAGUGAACAUGAUAGGUAGGAGCGUGGGUAGAAAGAUCAAGGAAGACAUAUUGGAGGUGAAUAUUCCUUUAAGGUGGGUCUAGAAAAAAAUGGUAGGAAGGGGAUUGAUCGUCUCAAGUUCAGAGAGAAGCUUUAAAAGGGUGGAAAAUUACUGUGAGUUCCAUCACGAGGAAGGACAUGAAAUCUAAGAAUGCGUAGAAUUCAGAGCUUUGGUUCAAGACCUGAUGGAUAACAAGGAGAUGGAAUUUUAUGAAGAAGUUAGGGAAGAGGGGAGCAUUUGCACAUCAGAGUCUUCGAAGGUUCCAAGAGUAGCGCAACCGGUUGUCAUCAUCUCGCGGCCCAAGAAGGAGAAGGUGAAAACACCAGUAAUACCAAGGAUUGUAAUAAAGAAGCCUGCAACCUUUCCUUACCAAGAUAGUAAGAAAGUUUCAUGGAGCUACGAGUGUAAUACAACUGUCCCAGGAAAAGAGACUACAAAGAGCCAGUAUGUGAGUACCAAUCCCGAACCUAUGAAAAGGGCCCUAAUAGGAGAGGAGAGAAGGAAGAUAGUUGAGCCAGUGAAGGAGGAAAAAGCUGUGGAAUUCCUCAAGCUCUUGAAGCACAGCGAGUAUAAUGUUGUUGAGCAGUUGCAUAAACAACCGACUCGCAUAUCUGCAUUGACCAUGCUCUUGAACUCUGAAGUACAUCGAAAUGUGUUGAUGAAGAUGCUAAAUGAGACCUAUGUGUCCAAGGAUAUUUCUGUCAGUAAGCUAGAUCGGCUGGUCAAUAAUAUUAGUGCUGAUAAUUUCAUAUUUUUCAAUGAUGAUGAGAUACCUCCUGGGGGCAUGGGAUCUACCAAAGCUUUGCAUAUUACUGUACGAUGCAAUGGGCAUAUUUUUCCAGGAGUAUUGAUUGACAAUUGAUCAGUUUUGAACGUACUGCCAUUAGUCACACUUAACAGGUUGCCCAUAGAUAGUUCACAUAUGAAAACGUGUCAAAAUAUAGUGAGGGCGUUUGACGGUAUAGAAAGGAAGGUUAUGGGAAGAAUUGAGAUACCCCUACUAAUUGGCCAAACCGUCUAUGAGGUAGAUUUUAUUGUGAUGGACAUCAAACCUUCCUAUAAUUGUUUAUUAGGAAGGCCAUGGAUCUAUUCGAUAGGGGCAGUACCGUCAUCAUUACAUCAGAUGUUGAAGAUAGUGUCAGAUGGUCGGCUAGUGACAAUAAAAGCUGAAGAGAAUAUAAUAUCGGCUGUAUCCAAUGAGACGCCAUACGUAGAAACCAAUGACGAGUCAGUAGAAUGCUCAUUUCGAUCCUUGGAGUUUGUAAAUGUGACAUUUAUUCCUGAAGGGAGUAAAAUUUUGGUGCCAAAAUUAUCCAAAACUACUGAGAUGGGUUUACAGUUGUUGGUGGGAAAAGGAGCUUUACCCGGAAGAGAGCUAGGGAGAUAUCUUCAAGGGAGGAUUGAGGUUCCAGUACUGAAAGAAAAGCAGGAUCACUUUGGCUUAGGAUACAAGCCAGAUAAGGGACAGAGAAAGAAAGAAAUAGAAAAAAGGCAGGAAAAGAGAAGAGCACGCUUAAAUGGGGAUGAAGCUAGGUGGGAGCCGAUGAUAAUUCCCCACAUAUCCAAAACUUUCAUAUCUGGAGGAGUUAUUCAUCAGGAGAGUAGGAAAUCAGUUGAGGAAAACAUUGAGGAGACGUUGGGAAAUAUGCACAUUAAUGCCAUCUAUGAGCAUGAGAAUGAAGAGAGAAGUUGGUUAGACAUUCGUCCUUAUGAGCCUGGGAGUGUUCUAGACAAUUGGACUGCGGAAGAAAUACCUAAAGUCUUUAGAACUGUCUCAGAGUAAUAUUCAGAACAAACUUGUUAUUUUAGCCUAGAAAUAACAAGAAUUCUUUUGUGAAAUAGGCUUAUGUUUAAAAAUCAUUAUUUUAAUAAAAUACAGCUUUGCAAUUGUUUCAAGUAAAUAUUCGUUAUUGUUUCGAGUAACUAUUCUUUCCUUCUUUCCAUACGCCUAAGUAUAUUCUUUCAUUACAUAAAUAAUUGUACAUAAAUUCAUAUAUUCUUUUGUAACCAUAAUAGGUCUCUGUGUAUCAAUGACGUGAAUGACGCUGCUACGAGCUCAGAGUGCCCUUUUGAACGAAAUGUGUGUUUAGAGGGAUCGCAGGAAUUUGAAGGUGAAGAAGAUAGUAGUUUAUCUUUGGACUUAUUAAGGAUGGUAGAACAAGAGGAAAAGCAAAUCCUACCUCACAAAGAAUCAGUAGAAAUUGUGAGCUUAGAGGAAGGAAAAGAGGUGAAAAUUGGAACUGAGAUUUCUGCAAAGACAAGACGAGACCUCAUUGAGCUACUCCAAAAAUUUAAAGAUGUCUUCGCAUGGUCCUAUCAAGAUAUGCCCGGAUUGAGUGCUAACAUUGUAGUGCAUCGCCUACCUAUAAAAGAGGGUUGCAAACCCGUUCAACAGAAGCUCAGAAGGAUGAGGCCUGAUAUUGUGCUCAAAAUAAAAGAGGAGGUUAAGAAACAGUUUGAUGCUGGUUUUUUACAGGAGGUCAAAUAUUCUGAGUGGUUAGCCAAUAUUGUCCCAGUCCCUAAAAAAGAUGGAAAAGUACGAAUGUGCGUCGAUUACAGGGAUUUAAACAAAGCUAGUCCAAAAGAUAAUUUUCCCUUGCCACAUAUUGAUACUUUGGUGGAUAAUACGGCAUGAUUUUCGCUAUUUUCUUUUAUGGAUGGGUUCUCAGGGUACAAUCAGAUAAAGAUGCAUCCGGAAGAUAUGGGAAAGACUACGUUCAUUACUUUAUGGGGAACGUUUUGCUAUAAGGUGAUGUCAUUCGGAUUGAAGAAUGCGGGAGCAACAUAUUAGAAAGCCAUGGUAGCCUUGUUCCAUGACAUGAUACACAAAGAAAUUGAGGUGUAUGUUGAUGAUAUGAUUGCCAAAUCCAGAACAGAGGAGGAACAUGUGCAGGUCCUGAAAAGAUUAUUAUUAAGAUUAAGGAAAUUUCAGCUCAAGCUUAAUCCGACAAAAUGCACUUUCGGAGCCAGGUCAGGGAAAUUGUUGGGCUUCAUAGUUAGUGAAAAAGGAAUUGAGAUUGAUCCGGAUAAAGUCAAGGCAAUACGAGAUUUAUUACCACCACGUACCCAGAAAGAAGUCUGGGGUUUCUUGGGAAGACUGAAUUACAUUGCUCGGUUCAUUUCACAAUUGACUGAGAAAUGUGAUCCCAUAUUUCGCCUUUUGAAGAAACAUAAUCCUGAUGUCUGGAAUGAAGAAUGUCAGAAGGCAUUCGAAAGGAUAAAGCAAUAUUUAUCCAAUACCCCAAUUCUAUCACCACCUAGCCCAAAUAGACCUUUGAUUUUGUAUUUGACGGUGUUCAACAACUCCAUGGGAUGUGUAAUGGGUCAACAUGAUGCUACAGGAAAGAAGGAAAAGGUGAUUUAUUAUCUCAGCAAGAAGUUCACUGAUUGUGAGAUGAGAUAUUCACCUAUCGAAAAAUCAUGUUGCGCCCUGAUUUGGACAACCAAGAGGUUGAGGCAAUACUAACUCUAUCAUACGACUUGGCUAAUCUCAAAAUUAGACCCUUUGAAGUAUAUGAUGGAAUCAACAGCAUUAAUGGAAGAAUGGCUAGAUGGCAAAUCCUGCUCUCUGAAUUUGAUAUCGUAUAUGUAAGUCAGAAGGCCGUCAAGGGGAAUGCGAUAGCAGAUUUCUUGGCUAGCAGAGCUCUGGAAGAUUAUGAGCCUCUGGAUUUUGAUUUCCCGAAUGAAGAUUUGAUGUAUGUGGCAAACGUUGAAAAGGAUCCCCAAGAAAAUCAUUCUUGGAAACUAAACUUUGACGGAGCGUCGAAUGCACUAGGCAAUGGGAUUGGGGCAGUCCUGGUGUCUCCGAAUGGAGAUUUUUAUCCUUUCACCAGUAAAUUAAACUUUGAUUGCACUAAUAACAUGGCUGAGUAUGAAGCUUGCAUCAUGGGUAUACGGGAAACAAUAGAACGGAAAAUCAAGACAUUAGAGGUGUACGGAGACUCAGCAUUGGUGAUAUACCAGCUAAGAGGGGAAUGGGAGACAAGAGAUCCUAAAUUGAUCCGUUACUGAAGUCUGGUUUUGGGAUUGAUUGAAGAGUUUGACAACAUUACCUUCUGUUAUUUCCCACGAGAAGAAAAUCAGAUGGCUGAUGCUCUUGCUACUUUAGUUUCCAUGAUUAAAGUGAAUUAGUUGGAGGACAUGAAGCCUAUUCAAAUUAGUAUUUAUGAGAUCCUAGCCCAUUGUUACAAUAUUGAGGAGGCAGAGAAUGAUAAUCAUCCCUGGUACCAAGAUAUAUUGCAAUAUGUGAAGAAUCGCGAAUAUCCUGAUCAGGCAACGGAGAAUGAUAAGAGGACAUUAAGGAGGCUAGCUAUUGACUAUGUCUUAGAUGGGGAGAUCCUAUACAAAAGGGGAAAGGAUCGAGUACUGUUGAGAUGCGUGGACGCUGUAGAGGCUAGGGAAAUUUUACAAGAAGUCCAUGAGGGUGUUUGUGGAACACACGCUAAUGGAUUCACCAUGGCUAGACAGGUUAUGAGAUUCGGAUAUUACUGGUCCACCAUGGAGAGAGAUUGCAUUAACCAUGCUAAGAAAUGCCAUAAAUGCCAAAUUUAUGGGGAUAAAAUGCACGCGCCUCCUUCUCCUCUUCAUGUUAUGACUUCUCCAUGGCCUUUCUCCAUGUGGGGUAUGGACGUCAUUGGACCGAUAUCACCAAAGGCUUCUAAUGGACAUCGUUUCGUUUUUGUGGUUAUUGACUACUUCACUAAGUGGGUAGAGACAGCCUCAUAUGCUAAUGUUAUGAAGUCAGCAGUCAGUAAGUUUUUGAAGAAGGAGAUCAUAUGUCGAUAUGGAAUGCCUGAAAGGAUAAUAUCUGACAAUGUGUUGAAUCUGAAUAAUAACACAAUAGCGGAAGUCUGCGAUCAGUUCAACAUUAGACACCAUAAUUCAUCACCAUAUCGCCCAAAAAUGAAUGGUGCAGUGGAAGCGGUAAAUAAAAAUAUUAAGAAAAUCAUGGCGAAAAUGGCUGAAACUUACAAGGAUUGGCAUGAGAAGUUACCUUUCGCUCUUCUUGCUUAUCAAACAUCUAUCAGGACUUCUACUGGGGCAACACCUUUUUCAUUGGUUUAUGGAAUGGAGGCAGUGUUACCCAUUGAGGUUGAAAUUCCUUCUCUUCGAGUUUUGGCCGAGUUAAAAUUGGAUGAGGCUGAAUGGAUCCAAUCUCGGUAUGAUCAACUGAACUUGAUUGAAGAGAAAAGAUUAAAAGCCAUUCGUCAUGGCCAAAUGUAUUAGAAGCGAAUGAUGUGGGCUUAUAAUAAGAAGGUUCGUCCCAGAAAAUUUCAUGAAGGGGAUUUAGUUCUGAAAAAGAUCAUCCCUUUACAAAAGGAUUUCAGAGGGAAAUGGAUGCCAAACUGGGAAGGACCUUAUGUUGUGAAAAAGGCUUUUUCUGGAGGUGCUUUGAUUUUGAGUGAAAUGGAUGGCAAGAAUUUUCCGAAUCCUGUAAAUUCAGAUUCAGUCAAGAAAUAUUUCACUUGAAAGGAGAGAGGAAUCAAAGUGAAAACCUGCAAAGGGCACUCUGAUUUCGCAAAAAAAAUAAAAAAAGAGGAGAGGCCAAGGUGAAAACCCGAAAAGGGCACCUUGAGACCAAAAGGGGUUUGAGUUGAAAACCUGAAAAGGGCGGCUCAAACAUUGUCAGAUUGGGACAUAUGGUGAUCUUACUUCACUUAAGACAACAAGAAUAUAGAUAUCUUGAGGCAUUGACAGAGUACUGUGGAUCCCCUAAACACAUGUAAAAUUCAGAAUGGUUCUUGGCUUGUACGGAAAAGUUCAAGCGGCGAUAUCCAGAGCACCUAGUCUUCAUAUUAUUUGUGCCAAGUUUGUUGGUUCUUGUAAAUACUUUAUUCUUUGCUGUUCUUGAAUAUUUUUUUCUUUUCAAGACAUUUACUAUCAAUAAAUUCCUGAAUUAAUUCAUCUCUUACUCAGUAUUUUUGAUCUUUGCGCAAGCAUGUCACAUUAAAAUAAUGAUUGAUGGACUAAUUAACUUUUACAAAAGAAGUUUGGUAUUACUCUGGGAAUUUCUAAAUAAUUUAGUAACCUAAAACAUGACUAUUUUGGAACAGUCCGAGGACAAAAGAUAAAGAGUAUAAGGAGGAAAAAGUUUAAUUAAGAAUGCUUUGGUGGUCUAAAAUAGCGAAUGAGACAGCAGGAGGUUUUGAUGGGGUAGGAAGAAGUUUCCUAUGGAUAGAAAGCUCCUCAUUUGGGCAUAAACAUUUGAUAGGACACCCUGAGAGUUGUGUAAACGAAUUUCGUAAUCUGUAUCCUUAAAAUAGGAGAAGAUUGAAGAAAAGCCAUAUACUCUUGGGUUACAGUGGGAGAACGAUGGUAUGAAUUUUUGCACCCUAAGGGAUUAAACUUUAAGGUUUAUAGUGGGGGCAACCUGGCUAAAUGUUUCUUCAGAAAGCCAGUCAAGUAAGAAGGCAUUGUAGCACAUCAGUCGCAAAGCUUUAAUAAACUUCGAGUAAUGACAACCUAAGCGGGAUCAUUCUCGGAAAAACAAAAUUUUGCAUUCAUGAAAACAUCAUUCAUACGUACCUAGUUAGGAGCAUUGGACUCAUUCUGAUCACGACAUCCUAAUCACUAGGCAUAUUUAGAUUCAUAAAAUGAAUUAUACAGGUCAUGUUCCCUAGAGAACAAACCGGUGAAACACCAAGCCUUGUCUCCCUGAGCAGCAGUGGAGAAGGUUGAAAGUUGUAGAUCUUAUCUCCCUAAACAGUAGUGGAGCAGAUCGAAGACGACGAAUCUUAUCUUUCCAAGAUAGUGGGAAGCAGAUUUAAGCUACCAAGCCUUGUCUCCCUGAGCAGCAGCGGAGAAGGUUGAAGAUUGUAGAUCUUAUCUCCCUAAGCAGUAGUGGAGCAGAUCAAAGAUGGCGAAUCUUAUCUUUCCAAGAUAGUGGGCAGCAGAUUUAAGCCACCAAGCCUUGUCUCCCUGAGCAGCAGCGGAGAAGGUUGAAGAUUGUAGAUCUUAUCUCCCUGAGCAAUAGUGGAGCAGAUCGAAGAUGGCGAAUCUUAUCUUUCCAAGAUAGUGGGAAGUAGAUUUAAGCCACCAUGCCUUGUCUCCCUGAGCAGCAGCGAAGAAGGUUGAAGAUUGUAGAUCUUAUCUCCCUAAGCAAUAGUGGAGCAGAUUAAAGAUGACGAAUCUUAUCUUUCCAAGAUAGUGGGAAGCAGAUUUAAGCCACCAAGCCUUGUCUCCCCCAGUAGCAGCGGAGAAGUUUGAAGAUUGUUGAUCUUAUCUCCCUAAGCAGUAGUGGAGCAGAUCGAAGAUAGCGAAUCUUAUCUUUCCAAGAUAGUGGGAAGUAGAUUUAAGCCACCAAGCCUUGUCUCCCUCAGUAGCAGCAGAGAAGUUCGAAGAUUGUUAAUCUUAUUUCCCUAAGCAGUAGUGGAGCAGAUCGAAGACGGUGUAUCUUAUCUUUCCAAGAUAGUGGGAAGCAGAUUUAAGCCACCAAGCCUUGUCUCCCUGAGCAGCAGCGGAGAAGGUUGAAGAUUGUAGAUCUUAUCUCCCUAAGCAGUAGUGGAGCAGAUCGAAGAUGGCGAAUCUUAUCUUUCCAAGAUAGUAGGAAGCAGAUUUAAGCCACCAAGCCUUGUCUCCCUCAGUAGCAGCGGAGAAGUUUGAAGAUUAUUGAUCUUAUAUCCCUGAGCAGUAGUGGAGCAGAUCGAAGACGGUGUAUCUUAUCUUUCCAAGAUAGUGGGAAGCAGAUUAAAGCCGAUAAGCCUAUCUCCCUAAAGUUGUAGUGGAGCGGAUUAAAACCUCAGAUUUUAUCUCUCUGAAGUUGCAGAGAGCAGAUCGCAUCUAGUCUUAUCUCCCUGAAGUUGCAGUGAGGUAGACUGAAGAGGGCACUAAUUCCUAUACUUUUGAAGAGUACCAAGUCUAGCACGACCGGGCAAAAUUUGGCACUUUUAGAGUCUUUGCUCCAUUCCCGUUACACGACUAUGAGCAAAGAGGGGCAGCUGUAAUACUUAAAUUUUACCCGGCCCCAAAUAAAUAAAAUAAAUACAAAGCUUGAUUUGCAAACAGGCCAUAAGGGCCCAAAACCCAAAAUACAACAGGGGCCCAAAGCUUAAUGGCCCAAAUCAUAUGCAGAAACCCUAGGGUUUCUGAAGAAGACCUGUGCGCCGCAGCCGCAGCCAUCACCAAGCCGAAUCUUCACGAUCUUCACCUACAAACACAAGAAAGGAAAGAAAAUCAAAUCAAAUCAAAUCGAAUCAAAUCAAGCAAAUUUCUUGCUUCUAUUUGUUGUAUUUUCAUUCGGCUAUAUAAAGCCAUAGACAAUAUUGUAAAGGGGCCGGAUUUUUAAAAAUCAAAAAUACAAAUUACAACUUUCGCAAUAUCAAGGGCAAAAAAAUCGAAACAAAGGUUGAUACUUGCAAUUUUUAAUCAUUUUCUAUUGUUACAUAUAUAUUUUUUUUAUUUACAUACGAAUAAAAUAGAGAAGAGAAGGAAAGAAACAACCUGCGUUUGGAGCCUAAACCGUCGUGUGCCUCCGAGGUAGCCGUCUCCGAGGAAAGACGGUCGGAAACCGAAAGGUUUCUCGGGUUUUUGAGGCAUCUCCGCUUUUAUUUUGAGGGUUUUGAGCCCGGAUCUAAGCUCAGGGGGUUAAGAAGGUUGAAAAGGAAAUUUUUUUUACUUUUUCCGGCCACCGCGGACGGUGGUGCCGGCGCUGGAGAUCGGCGGCCGACGUGGUGGCCGGUGACCGGCCGAUGACUGUCCGAUGAUCGGCCCAUGGCCGGAGGACAGAAAGGUGGAGAGAGUUUUUUUAAAAAGUAUUUUUGUUUUUUUUAAAAAAUGUUUUGAAAUGAAAUUUUUGUUUUAUUUUUGGCUUAAAUAGCCAAUUGAAAACGGCGCCGUUUUGAAGGGAGGAUCCGCGCGUCGACCCGACCCGGAUCCAGGAUCCGUGCGUUUUUAUGCGGAGGGGCAAAUUGCAUUUUUAGCCCCUCCGCCUUUUUAAUGUUUUACAAUUAGGUUUAUUUAAUUUUUUAAAUUAGCCCUUUAAUUCGUUUCCGAUUUCAAUCUAACCCUGCUUGAACGACGCCGUUCUGAGGAGAAGGGUAAAUUGCCUUUCCAGCCCCUCUGAGUUAUCAGCGUGUUCAAUAGGAUCUUUCAAUUUCUAUUUAUUUACAGAUUUGUUUCAGAAUUUUUAUUUACAGUUCAAAUUAGCCCUUUUUUUUCUUUCAUUUUCCUUUUUUUUUAUAUUCUUUUUUCAUAUUAAUUUGUUUUAAUAUAUAUAUAAUAUAUUUUUACAUACGCACAUUUAUUUUUGUAGAAUUGUAUAAUUAUUUGUUUAUUUAUUUAUUUAUAUGUAAUUAUUCUUUAUAACCUAUAUGUAUAUAUUUAUUUUAGUACAUAUAAAUAUGCAUAUAUAUUAAUAUUUUUAAUCAAUAUAUAUAUGAAUAUAUAUAUUUAUUUUUUUUAAAAAUGCAAAUAUAUAUUUUUUAUACACUUUAUAAUUUAUAUUUUUCCUUUUAUUUUCACAAAUGCAUCAUAAAUGUAUAAGUUUCGUAGCCCAAAAUUUAAGUUGUAUGUAUAUUUUUAAUCUUCAUAAUUUCUAUGUGUAUAUUAUAUGUUUUCUGAUUUUUAUUUAUUUUGAUUUCCUUUUUUGUGAUUUAAUUGUGUUUGUAUUUAAUAUUUUGCAUGACAUGGAUUAUUGCUUUAUAUUUAGUUUAUUAUUUGUUUAUAUUAUUUUUAUGCUAUUAAUGUAUUUAUUAUUGUUGAAUUUAUUAUUAUAGCAUUUGUAUGUAAUAGAACAUGACAUCAUCUUUUACUCGAUUUUAAAGUUACAAAAUUGAGAUAGUGCUUGAAUUGAGGAUUUUCAAGGAAAUUGAGCCCUAACGUAUUGGGUUCCGAUUUUCUUUGUUAAGUCUAAGAAUCGAGCAUUUCUCUUUAAUAAAAAUAAGAAUUCAUUAUUGGGAAUUCAACACGUUGUGUCCUAACGUAUUGGAUGUGAUGCAUUGAUUUCUCGAAAUGAAGUUUUUUCUAAAAAAUAAUAAAGGAAAUAUUUCGAGUUUGGGAUUUUAAAGAAAUCGUGCCCUAACGUAUUGGGUGUGAUUUCUUGAAUCUUGGAUAAGUGGAUGUUCUUUUGGAGUUUUAUCGCACUUGUAUUUUGGCCCAAUUCAUUUUGGAGGAAAUUAGAAUGUUGUGCCCUAACGCAUUGGGUGUGGCAUUUUUGCUUCUCUAAAUGGAGAAAGGUCUUAAUACGCAACAUUUUAAGUUUUUUUAAAGAUUAUAUUUUUUUAAAUUUUCGACCUUAAGACAUUAAUUGGUUAAUUAGGUACCAAUUUUGGGCGUUAUGAGGGUGCUAAUCCUUCCUCAUACGUAACUGACUCCCGGACCUGUUUUUCUAAAAUUCGCAGACCAAAAUCAUUUUAGGUGACCCAAUCACACCUUAAUAAAAGAUUGGUGGCGACUCCCAAUUUUCAUUUUUUUAAAGUCGACAACCUGAAAUAAAAAUUUUUAUUUUUCAAAAAAAUGGUUUCGACAACAACAACAACAACAACAACAACAAUAAUAAUAAUAAUAAUAAUAGGUUGAGCUCCUAAGCCUAAAAUGGGUCCAAACUCAAGUAACAUCAUAUUAUUCAAUAAAAAAAUUCAAAAUUUGAAUUAAAUAGUUUGAGUAAUUUGAGUUAAUCAAGUUAUUCGAGUCAACCUGAAUAAAAAAUCGGUUUAACUCGAAUAUAAAUUAUACAAUUCGAGUUAUCUGAAAAUCCAAAUAAUAAAAGGCAAAACUACGUCAUUUUGAUAAAUGUUUACCUUUUCUAAAGUUAAAAGUCAAAACCAUUAAGUUAAAAGGAAAAAUUACGUCGUUUCGAUAAAUUUUCACUCAUUAAGUUAAAAGACAAAACCAUUAAAUUGUUUAUGUAGUUAAAUAAUCUUAUCCUUCGUCUACUAGUUAAAUAAUCGGUCCAAAUAAACACAACAUUUAGUAUAAAUAAUAGGAUUCGUUAACUCAACUCGACUUGAUUUGAAAGUUUUUUACUCGAUUUGAUUCAAUUCAAAAAAAAAAUCAAAUUGAGUUCAGUUGCUAAAAUAGGAUUCGUCAACUCGACUAACUCAAUUUUUAACUCGAUUCGACUCGAUUCGAUCGAAUAUUCACCCUUAAUCACCAAUAAUAUUAACCUCAUUUAGCCAAAAAAGGCAACAUUCAUCCUACUAACCUAUUUUCCAUUGUAAUGAGGAAUUGGUUGUCAAAUAAUCAAAGGGAUGUUGUUAGAGAAAAAAAGUUGUCAUCCUAGUUAGGACGAUUGUUGAGAUGGUAGAGUUUAAAUUUGCCCAAUUGAUAUAUGAAUAAGUGGUCAAACAUGGAGAGAAGGUUCAUGCUAGAUACCCUCCACCUUUCCUUUUAUCUUCGUCUUACUAAACUAUAAUUAUAGUUUUUAUUGUUGUUAAUGCAUAUUCUAGACAAAGCAUUGGUGGUUAAUCUACUUAACUAUGUUCUAAGUUAAAUUUGUUGGAUUAAGGAUUGUGCUGAGGGGGGAGCUAUAGGUGUUUUAUUUAUUAGCUUCCUGAUUUGAUUGGUUUUGUUCAAAAAAUUGACAAAGGAGAAUAUUGUUGAGGCGAGUUUGUGACAUGGUUGGUUAAGUGCCAAUGGAAGUGGUCACUUCCACCAUCAUUGUGAUAGUUUCUUAUUUUCCAUUUUUAUAGUUGGCGAUACAAAUUCUUUGGGCUAUGAUUUAUGUCAAUGUUGUGGAAGUUUUUAAGCCCAUCAAUAAAGAUCGAUCCAUUUAGGGAAACAAAUUUAAGGAUUGGAUUGAAUUGCAUCUUGCAAAUCUAAUCCAGUGGAUUAAAGAUGUUGGAUUAGGACAAACUUUGAAGACUUAUCUCCAAUAGUCCAAUUUACAUUGGCCUUUAUUAUUAUAUUGUAUUUAUGCUAUUUUAGCUGCUAGGAAUAAGGGAUUGGAUUAUAGUUGAUCUUUAGUAUGUUAGCAAGUCUUGAACUUCUAUAUAUUUGAUAGACUUGAAUAGGUUUUGUAAUCAAGUAUUUGAGACCACUUAUUAGUUCAUAAAGGAAUAUUUUCUACUCUUUCAUAUUUCUAUCCUCCUAAAUUUCUUUCACUUUACCAAAAAUAAGGCCUUGAAAAAGGCCACGUUCAUCUACUUUGUGGUCGUUACAGUGCUGACACGGUCAUUAACAACAUUAACGUGGCGCUCUAUGUCAGCGAUAGUCAGCUACCAUGUUAGUAAAAAAAAAUUUUUAAAAAUUUAAAAGGAAUAUUUAAAUUUUUUUUACUAGAAUGAACCUAAACAGAUGGUUGUCCAAGUUCAUUCAUUUCAAAGCUUAAUUUUUUUUUAAAUUUAACAAAAAUUAAAGUUUUUUUUAUAAAUAUGCAAAACAUUAUUAAAAUUUAAUAAAAACAUUUAAAAAUUAAGUCCUUAAUGAAUAUGUCCAAAUUCAUUCAAGAUUAGUUUAAAAUAUAUUAAAAUUAGUUUUCUUUAAAAAUUGAUAUGUGUAUCAAUAUUUUUCUAUUGCUACCUUUUAGGAUGAAUAAAAAAUAAAAAAAUAUUUUAGAAAAUAUAUCAAUUUAAAUAAUUUAAAUUUUAUUAAUCAUUCGUCUAAGGAUUUUUUAAAUGUAUCAAUAUAUACAAUUAAAAUAGUGUAUCUAUUAUUUCAUUACAUGUGUAGCUUAAAAGGUUUAAAAAUUUGGAUAUAUUUGAACAUCUGAAAAAACUUUACACAAAUGAUUAAUAAAAUUUAUUUUUAUUUAUUUUCUAAAAUAUUUUUUUAAAUUUUUAUACAUUCUAAAAUGUACCAAUAGAAUUAGAACAUUGAUACACAUAUCAAUUUUUUAAAGAAUAUUAAUUUUUAAUAUUUUUUAAACUUUUUAAAAUUUAGAAAAAUUGUCUUGAAUGAAUUUGGACAUAUACUUAACUUGUAAAUGGUUUUUAUUAAUUUUUAAUUUUUUAAAUUUAUUUAAUAUUUUAUAAAUUUUAAUAAUAUUUUAAAAUUUUAUAAAAUAUAUUAUUUUUUAAAAAUAUUUUUUUAAUUUAAAAAAUUUUUAAGCUUCGAAACGAAUGAACUUGGUACUGCGACAUCAACGACUAUUCCUUUUUAAAAAAAGUAAAUAUUCCUUUUUAUUUUUUAUUUUUGUUGACAUGGCAGUUGACAUGGUAUUGCCACAUAAGCAACUAUAGCUAACAUGAAGCACCACUUAGCGUCGUUAAUGGCUACGUAAACAUUGUAACAGUCAAUAUUAGUCAAAGGGCCUAUUUAGCAAAUUUUGUUAGUUUAGGGGCUCAAUUGGGUGCAAAAAGUUUGCAGGGUCUUAAUUGAUUUUUUGAUAAAGUUCGAGGACCAAAAAUACCAUUAAACCCUUCUUUAACUAUUGAUAUAUAUUUUCAAAGUAUCGAUCAACAUUAGCCAAAGGGCUUAUUUGGUCAAUUUUGUUAGUUUAAGGGCUUAGUUGGGUGCAAAAAGUUCGCAGGGGCUUAAUUGAUUUUUUCGAAACAGUUCAACGAUCAGAAAUACCACUAAGCCCUACUUUAACUAUUGAUAUGUCUUUUUUAAUUAAUUUUACAUUAGCGCAUGGUACAGGCACACAAUGUACGAGGUGUUUCCACGUAUACAUGUAGAGUGUAUUUGAUACCACAGAGGAGUUAGAUGAAAAUGUGAUUAUUAAGGUAGUAAUGUCACCUUCUAGUAAUUGCAAAGAAGUAUAAUUUUCUAGAUGCAUUUGGCUAGUAGAGUGUAAUUAUAUUGUAGUUCUUUGUGCCUUGUUUAGUAAUAUAAAUUGUAAUUACACAUUUACAAAAUUUAUCAAUAAUACUUGAGAAAAAAAUUAAAACAAGUAAAAUAAAUUAAAAUCAAAUCAUUAGUCCAAAAAAGUAAUUGACAACACGAUUACUAAUGAAAAAAGAACAAGAAAAAUAAACAUCAUAUGCAAAUUUAUUAUUGCUCUAGCAUUCCAUGUUUGUUGGGUUAUUCUUUUUCUAACAUUUAACAUAUACUUCUUAUCAUCAUCUAUUAGUCCUUGACCAAUUUCUUCAUUGUUGAUACAAAGGUACAAAAAUAGAGGUGAGUACGGAGGAGGUAAGGCGGAGUGAGUGGUGGUUUUGUGGAGACUGAUUCACUUAAAAAGGCAGAGAGUCUGAAAGGAACAAGAGCACAAGAUGAUUGUUGAAAGAGGAGAUGGUUGCUUAGAGUAACUUUAAGGGUUGGAAAAUCGAUCCCUUCUUCAUCGUUGGAAAGAUAUUUAUAAGAAAGGUCCUCUUGUCCAUUAACAUGGUGUGGUAGGAUAAAUGCUUAGUCCCACCAAAUGUGUAAAUGAUAUUCAUGAACAUUAAGGAUAUUUAUGAUGGGGCCUAUUCUGUUAUUCAUUCGAUGUAACACCCUUUAACCUGAAUCUGUCGUCGGAUUAUGGUUACGAGGCAUUACCGAUCAAAACAAGGUUCAGAACUGUAAUUCAUUUUCAUUUAAUUCAUUUUUUUACCAAUUAUAACCGUACCUAAAUAAUUGACCAAUCAUUCAUAAAACAUAUUCAUUCUUUUCCAUCAUUUAAUCAUCAAAACGUUCCAUAUCAUAAUAAGCAUGCUAAACACAGUUCUAUCAUAUACACCAUUUCCAAGCCAAAUCACAUGGCUAGAAUUACAUUUCAAAAAUAUACUAAUAGUUCACUAGCCUAUACAUGACAUACACCAUAUAUAUAAAGCUUCAAAGGUACCAACAAAAUGAUCGAUAGUGCGAUGACGUUUCCUGACGAUCUCCAAUUCUGAGCUAACUUUGAUAAUCUAAAAAAAAAAAGUGGAAGAAUGCACAAAGUAAGCUGUGGUAGCUUAGUAAGCCGUAAGCAAAUAAAUCAUUGCAAUGAAAAUUAUAAUUCAAUUCUACUAAGUUGAAUUCAAACAUAUCCCAAACACAUAUCCAUAUUAUUACAUUAAAUGCUAAACUUACCUUUAUAUUUCAUAAACAUAAAAUUUCACACCUACCUGAAUCAUUUAGUUUAAAUUCACAUUCGGAUUUGUUAAGAACAUACAGAAAUCUUAUAAAAUUUGUACAAUGCCAUAUCCCGGAUAUGGUCUUACAUGUUAACGCAUAUAGAUGCCACUGUCCUAGACAGGGUCUUAUACGAAUCAUAUACGAUGCCAAUGUCCUAGACAUGGUCUUACACAAAAUCACACCUUUGAAGUACUAAUAUCAUGUCAUCUAUAUCAAAUACAUUUUCUAAGGUUCAUUCUAAGCUAUCGACUUCAUAAUUAAAUCAUUUCAUACACGAAACAUGUCAUCAAAUGCUCAAAUCAAUUCAGCAAUAUAUAUAUUCAUAUACGAAUAUAAUUCGACAAUGAAUAUUGAUAUACCAAGAAAUUUGGCAAUAUAUAACCAUAAACUAAUCAAAUUUGGUAAUGCAUAAUCAUAUACAAAUCAAAUUCGGUAUCCUAUAUUCAUAAACAAUUUAAUUUCAACAAUGUAUAACCAUAUACACAUUAUUUUCAGCAAUGUUCAACCAUAUACGAAUCAAUUCGGAAACUUAUAUCCAUUUACAAUUUAAUUUCAACAAUUUAUAAUCAUAUAAAAAUUAUUUUCAGCAAUUUUCAACCAUAUACAAAUCAUUUCAGCAACUUCUGUAGAUAUACAAUUCAAUUUCAACAAUAUAUAACUAUAAACAAUUCGAAUUCGACAAAAUAAAACAUUCAAAUUCGGCAAUGUAUAUCUAUAAUUAAUCAAAUUUGGCAAUGUAUAAAACAUUUAUAUUUAAUUUCAAAACAUUUAUUUACUUACGAACUUACCUCGUAUUCGGAAUUGACAAAUCCGAUCGAUUACUCGAUAACUUUUGACUUUCCUCGAUCUAACUCCGAUUUCUUUCUUUCUUGAUCUAAAUCAAUUCAAAUUUAACUUAUUUAAAAUACACAUUCAUUCAAUUUCAUCCAAAAACACAUAAAUGGGCAUUUUACACAUUAGCCCUUUAAGUUUCACAUUUAUUCAAUUUAGUCCCUUUUUCACAAAAUCACAAAUUACACAAAAUUUCAAUACACCUAUGCUUAGCCAAAUUCAUUAGCGGUCCCUAUAAGCCCACAACUUGCAUUUAUUUCACAUUUCAACCACUCUAUUUACACAUUUCACAAUUUAAUCCCUAAUUUACAUUUUCAUCAAAAAUCACUUUAUAAAACAUGAUAAUCUAACAUCAAAUAUUUAUUUUUCAUCAUCGAACAACAAAAAAAAUCAAGCUAUGAUCAAUGGCAACUCACAAAUUCAUCAACCAAUCCAAAAAUUAAAGCAUGGAGUAGCUAAAAUACAAAACAACGAUCUCAAAAACGUAAAAAUAAUCAAAAACCGAGUUCAAAACAUACCUAAAUCAAGAAUGCAAAGGGCCAAACCCUAAAAUGCUUCAAAUGGUCUUUCUUCUUUUGAUUUUCAGUGAGAAAAAUGAUAAAAUAAGCUUAAAUUUUGUUUUUUUUUAUUUAUUAUACAUUAAUAUAUAGUUUACCAUUUUACCCUUGGUUAUUAAACCAUUUUAAUCAUCAAGUAUAAGGCCAUUAAUGUCCAUUAACACUACCAAUGGUCUAAUAUCAUCAUAAGGACUUUUAAUUUAAUUAAUCAUAGCAAUUAAGCACUUUAAACAAAUAGAAUGCAACUUUUUGUAUUUUAUGCGAUUAAGUCCUUUCAUCAAAUUAACUAACCAAUCGGUAAAAUUAAAUCAUGAAAAUUUCACACAUACAUGCUAUCAUGCUAUAAACACAUAAAAUAAUAUUAAAAUAAUUUUACAACUUCAAAUUUAUGGUUCCAAAACUACUGUUCUGAUUUAGCUAAAAUCGGGCUGUUACAUUCGAUCAGUACAAGGUUGUUAUGCCCACGCAGAUCCUAAUGGCCUCAAGUAUGUGUUCACACCAAAAAAGUAGGUGCCUAACCUUUCUAAAGGGUUGGUGCUCCUUUGAUCUUGGUGGAUGGUCCAAUGAUAAUACUCUAAAAUGACAUACUUUUUAUGUGUUAAUUGCAUAUAUAUUUUGAGUAUGAUUAUACUAAAUUGUGGUUUUUAUGGUUUUUUAUCUUGUAGGGACCAAAUUGAAGGCAAAAGAAAAUUUGGGGGCAAAAGCAUGAAUUUAAAGAUAAAAUGGGCCAGCUUGCGAAAUAGGAACGAAGUGGUGCCAAAAAUACGAAAUGUGAAAUACUUGGGGGCAAAAAUUCAAAGAAGAGAUUUAUAAACAUAAGAGUCUAUUUAAAUAUGAAUUUUAUUAGGAUUAUUGUUAGAAUUAUCAUUUAGAUUUAAUUUCAGUUUUUUCUUUAUUUAUCUUUUAGAGUUUAAAUAGGAACAAACUAUGUUUUCUAUGUACUAUAAAUAGGGGAUGGAGUGACAUAACCGUCUCUCUAAAGCUCUUAGCUUUUGUUCCUUUUAUUAUUCAAUAAAAUUCCAUUUUAUUAAGCUUAUUUCUUUUUUCUCGAAAAGCAUGAGCCACUAAACUCAUCUAGUCAAAGCUUGUCGAGAUUCCCCAAAAAGGUUCAUGAGGCUUAUAACCCGCACUUAGCCUUCUCAACGAGUAUUCAUCGUUUCUCCGUAUUAUAAGACUGAUGCUUCCAUCCAUGUCCUUCCAAAAGUGAUCUUUCCAUCUUGUGUAAAGGCGACCACUUUGUAUGUUUUGGGAAGGUUGCACAGUCAGUUCGUUAGCUUACUGCGUCAGUGGUUUUCAAGCCCAAGAGACAAAAUGGCAUGGCAUUCACCAUUGAGAAAUGAUGAUCUAGUGUAAGACAGGCUCACAAAAGUGACGGUUUGCUAGAGUCAGGUUCCUCGAAAUCAGAAGUCUAAAAUGUAAAUGGAGCUGGUGGUCGUAGGCAUCCUCUUCCACUAUAACUGGCUUAUUCUGUCAUGAGAAGGAACACCUAAAAGCCUAGGAUUGAACCCAAGGAGGAUCGAGAUAACUGGAGGCUGGAGCUCCUCAAAUUGAAAAAUUCUUUCUCUCAAUUAUGUUUAUUUUUACAAUUUUAAUUUCAAUUUAUACAAUAUCAAUUCGUCCAUAAUUUUAAUUCUGUCUUAUUUUUUUUCAGGUACACCAUUUUUCUUGGGAACCAACUGUGCACGAGAUCUUAAGGAACAAGAAGUUGUACAAAUCUAGCCCCUGAGUAUUUGACCCUACUUCUUUUAUACUAUUCUUUUUGUUAUUUUAUAGGGAUAGGUUAUUUUUGGUGCUUCUAACGACACACAAAAUUUUGGCGCUGUUGCUGGGGACUGGUAAUGUACUAAUCUUGUUUCUUUUUCUUAUGACCAUAUUUGCUCCAAGAAUUCUUGUGUUUGAUUCAAAAAUAGAAAAGACUGGGAAAGCUAAUUGUAAGGAAAUAAAGCUACGUAAAAAGCAGUCAGAAGUGGUAGGGACUCAAAGUAACCCAUCGUCGGAAAUAGAAGUAGGCGCAUAUCAACCUAUGGCUCAAACGAUUCGACAAUUGGCCAAAGCUCUUGCAGGACAACCACCGUUACGCAUUGUGUAUCCUACUAUGAAUACUAAUUUUAAACUGAAGUCAAGAUUAAUCUAGUUACUGUUGACUUUUCACGGAUUACAAAAUGAAAAUCCACACAAACAUCUAAAAGAGUUUCAUAUGGUUUGUCUUAGUAUGAAACCUCAGGACGUAACUAAGGAUCAAAUAAAAUUGCGUGCUUUCCCUUUCUCCCUAGCAGAUUCUACUAGGGAAUGGUUGUUUUAUCUACCUCCUGGAUCUAUUACAACUUGGACUGAUCUUUCCUGUUUGUUUCUCAACAGGUUCUUCCCAGUAUUUUGUGUAGUUGAGUUAAGAAGGGAGACCGUUGGGAUAAGGCAAAAAGAUGUGAAGUCUCUUUAAGACUAUUGGGAGGUAUUCAAGAAAUUGUGUGCAAGUUGCCCACAACAUGGGAUAACAGAACAGUCUCUGCUCUGAUACUUCAAUAAGGGUUAAAGCCCAUAGAGAUGAAUAUGGUAGAUGUUGCCAGUGGAGGAGCAUUGGUCAACAUGACUCCCCAACAGAUAAGGGAAUUGAUAUCCACAAUGGCCGCAAAUACUCAGCAAUUCUGAGUCAAUCUUGAGCCUAUUAGAAGGGUUCACCAGCUAAGUAUUUCAGCUUUAGAAGAUAAAGUCAAUCGACUUACUAAUAUCAUGAAUUAUCUUUUUGCAGUAAAAAUAGGACCAACCUGACCAUGCAAAAUUUGUGCAACACCCGGACAUACAACAGACGCGUGUCCUAGCUUGUGUGAUGAUGCUAUGGCCCAUUUAGAUGCUGUGGGAAAUUUUUCUGGACCACCCCAAAGGCAAUAUGACCCUUAUUGUAAUACCUAUAACCCAGGGUAAAAAGAUCAUCCCAACUUGAGUUACAAAGCUAACCUACAGUACAACCAACCAUACCAAAACCUGAUUCCACAAUAGCUGUGAGAUUCAAGUACCUCUCUGGAAACCAUGGUCAAUAAAUUAGCAGCUAAUAUGCUUGAUUUUUAACAAAAAAUUGAGGCGUCUAUAAGAGAAUUGACCACAUCAAUUGAGAAAAUGAACUCACAAGGGAAGCUACCAUCACAAAUGGAACCUAAUCCAAGACAAUGCUCAAAUGCAAUGACGUUCUGAAGUGGAAAAGUACUGGAACCGAAUCCUGGCAAGAAUCUUAAUCAAUAUUCCACCUAGAAAAAGCAGGAGAACAAUGAACAGGUUCGAACGAAACCUCUAUUACCCAUAAUUCAACCUCCAUUUCCAGGAUGAUUGAACCAAUAUCGAAAAACUAAAGAGGACAAAGAUAUCCUCGAAACAUUCAGGAAUGUUGAGAUCAACAUACCAUUGUUAGAUGCCAUCAAACAAAUUCUGUGAUAUGCUAGGUUCCUUAAAGAGCUUUACACCAACAAGCAAAAAUUAAGUGGAAAUGAAAGAGUAAGCAUUGGUGAGAAUGUAUCUGCGGUGUUACAACGGAAUAUGCCAGCAAAAUACAAAGAUAAGGGCAUGUUUGCAAUACCAUGCAAAAUAGGCCACUUAGGAAUCAAAAAAGCCAUGUAGGAUUUAGGAACUUCAAUAAAUGUAAUGCCUUUUUCCAUUUAUGAAUCACUUAACGCGGGGGGUUUUUUGACAAAAAUAGGUGUUAUCAUUAAAUUAGUAGAUAGGUCUAUUUUGCAUCCCAAAGGAGUCCUUGAGGACGUAUUAGUGAAAGUCAACGGACUUAUCUUUCCUACAGACUUUUAUGUGAUAAAAAUGGAAGAGGAUAACGUUCUUGGGUCGUCAAACAUUUUGUUGGGGAGACCUUUCCUUAGUACUGCAAAUACUAAUAUUGACAUGUGUAGCGGAACCCUCACGAUGGAAUUUGACACGGAGAUCGUAAAGUUUAACAUUUUUGAGUCAUCUUGAACGUAAAUAGUGUUGACAUAAUUGACUCAUUAGUAGAAUAAACUUUUGAGUCACCUUAUAAAGAUAAACUUGAAACAUUGUUUGAUGAUAAUUUCUAUAACAGACCCGAUUUGCCCGGCCCGUUAUGCUAAACCAAACAAAGUAAAUAAUAACAAAAAAACCAAUGUCCAGACCAAUUACAAAAAAACAACCCAAUAGAAAAUAAAAACUCUGAUGGCCCAUUACAAACCCUAGCCCAAAGCUAACAGCAAAAAAAAAAAAAGAAAACCCUAGGUGUGCCGUACCUAGGUCCACCCCCAACAGCAGCCACGCGCGCCUCCGUACGGCCACCUCCGUACCUUCACAUUGGCUUCUGUACACAGUUGGCCCUUAUACCUGCAAAACAGACAUGUAAACACAGAGAAAAAAAGAAAUGGCAUUGUAUUUGGCUAUAAAAGCCACCAAAACCGAAUGUAAAUUUUUUACGAAGAAAAUCAAUAAAAAAUCAGUAUAUUUUCGAAGGUAGAUCUUGUUUGCUUUAUGAUUUCUUAUUUAUUUAUUUAUUUUUCUUAUUUUUUUAGAAGGAAACAGAAAAUAAAAAAGGGAAAGGGAUAAAAGAUGUACCUUUUGCACCAUCGUGGGGUCGAGGUCCAUCGAUUCUGAUGAAAAUCGGCAUUUUUUUGGUCUUGGAACCGAAAAGCCCAAAAAAAUGGGCCUUUUCAAUUUUUUGGCUACCGCGGACGGCGGCGCCGUCGCCAGCGACCGACGGCCACCGCGGUGGUCCGACGACCUAAGCUGGCCGAAUUUUGGAACCUGUGAGAGAGAGGAUGAGAGAAUUUCAAUUUUGGUCCGGCGACCAAUCAAUCCACGCGUCGACCUGACCUAAGGGAAGGAUCCGCGUGUUUUGCUUCGACGGGUUAUUUGCACAUUUAGCCCUUCCGUAGUUUUCAGUUGUUUUAAUCCAGUCCUUUUUAUAUUUUCUAAUUUAUAUUUCAAAUUUUAUUUCAUUUUCAAUGUAGUCCUUGCAAAACGGUGAGUUUUAAGAGUGCGGGAAAAUUUCCCAUAUGGCCUCUGUCCCUUACGCGCGUUUCAGUUUAGUCCUAUUUCGAUUUUACCUUUUAAAUUAUUACGAAUUUUGCCUCAAAUUUUAUUUGGAUUUCAAUAUAAUCCUUUAAUUAAUUUAUAUUUAUUGUUUGUCUAUUAAUCUAUUUAUUAUUCUUUAUUUUACUUUAAGUUAUUUUUAUUUUUAUAUCCACUAUUUUUCAUAUAUACCUAAGCUUUAAUAUUGCUUUUACAAAUUUACUUGUUUUAUUUCCUCAUUUUAAUAAUUCUUAAAUUUAUCCUCAACUACGUUUGUUUAUUUAUUAUCUUAUUUUUAUGAUAAUAAUAAUUAUAUUAUUAUUAUUACCAUAACCCUAAUUUCGCCCUGUUUUUAUAUCCUUCAAAUAUUUCAUAAAUUGUUUUCAUUAAGUAUUUAUUUGUAUAUUUAUUUAUUAAUUCCCUUUGUCCUUUUAAAUUUAGUAUUGCUUUGUUAUUUAUUGAUUGUUUUAUUGUUGUUAUUCAUUGAUAUUAUUUAUUUUAUUCUUUUUUGAUUGUUAAUAUUAGCAUUAAAAUGAUGUAUGUUAUGUUAUCAUUGUUGUUGUAUUUGCAACGAUUUGUUUAUUAGUACGAUCACAUUGAAGUCAUUCGUUAGCUUAAUAUUUUAUUCGUAUAUCAUUUUAAAUAUGACAUUAAUUUUCAUCCAAAUUCAAAAAAAGAGGAAGAAGAUUUUAAAAAAUAAGCAAUAUUUUGUAUUUUGGAAUACGAAAGAUCAUUCCCCAGCUUACGGGGUCUCGAUUUUUCGAUAAAUCUGAAUAUACAAACCAUUUUCAAAAAAUACAUUUUUAAAAUUAUCUCGGGAAUUAAAAAGGAUCGUGUUCCAACUUACGGAUAUGAUUUCUUUUCCAAAAUCGAUGUCGAAACCAUUUUUUAAAAAUAAAAAUAUAUGGUCGACUUUAAAAAAUGAAAAUGGGAGUCGUCAUCGAUCUUUUAUUGAAGUGUGAUCGGAUCACCUUAAAAAUGAUUUUGGUCUACGAGUUUCAGAAGAAAAAAGGGUUCGGCAGUUAGUUAUGUACGAGGAAGGAUUAGCACCCUCGUAACACCUAAAAUUGGUACCGAAUUGAUUACUUAAUGUCCUAGAGUCGGAUGUCAAAAAUUCGAAGAGAUUAAAAAAAUGAUUUCCCCUUUUUAUUAAUGCCAUAUUUUAAAUAAUACUUGGAUAAAUUUGAACGGGAGUAAAAAGGCUUCCUCACCUCGAGACAACAAAAUGUCUUAUCCUGUAAGUUAGAAUGCGACAUUUGAAUUCUCAAGAAUAAGCUAACCUCCAAAAAUUUUAUUGAAGUUUGGCGAUUUUGCAAAAUAAGAAGGGUUUAGCCAUUUUAGUUCGAUGAGAAAAUCGAAACCCCGUAAGUUAGAGUACAAUCCCUCGAACUUCCAAAGACGACAUGUUGCUUGCUUUUUAAUAAAUACAUGUUUUUGAAAAUAAAAGGUCAUUUCAAAUUAACAAGAAAACCGAGACCCCGUAAGUUAGGGUACGAUUUCUCGAAAUUUCAAAACGUAUUAUAAAACCGACUCGAAACGUACUUAGUUGAUUGGUUUGACAUAAAAUAAAACAAUUAAUAAUGAUCGUAUAUAUUGGAAUUUUGACUCAUGACACGAUGACGAGAAAUAAUAGCGUAAUUGUAUGCACGACAUGAUAGUACAUAGCAAAAAUAUAAAUAACAAUGUAAAUACAAAAGAGCAAAUUAAGAUAUAUACGUAUAUGGCAAUUGUCUCACAUCAUAUAUAUUGCUAACAUUCAAAGGUCGUUAAAAAGUCAAUUGAGGCACCAAACGAAUUAACACACAUGAAAUUGUCCAAGCAUGAAAUCAAAGAUGUAUUAUACAAAACAAUAUACAUGCUAACUUAUAUAAGUAUCACAUAUUAAAUGAAAAACAUAAUAAUAAUAUAAAUGAUAAUAUAUAUAAUAAUAUUAGCAAAAGGGUUGAAAUAAACCAAAUAUGUAAAGUAGGGUUUGAAAAUAAAUUAUAUAGAUUGAUUUUAAAAAAGCAUAUAAACAUAUUCAAAAGAAAACUAAAGGUUAACAGUUAUAAUAAUAUGAAAUCAAUAAUAUAUUCGUAGAAUAAAAAGUGAUUUAAUAAAAACCAUGUACAUAUAUAAUGAUAUAGUAUGAAAGUAUUAACAUAUAGAUUUAAAAAUAUAGGGAUAUAAAAGAGAAAUAAAAAAAAAUAUUAUAAAACCAUAAAAGGUGUACAAAUUAUAUCAAGUUAAUAAGCAAAUGACAAAAUAAUAAGUAUUAAAUGUAAGUACUAAAACUUGCAAAUUUAAAAUAAUAGUUUGUGAACACUUUUAAAUUAGGUUAAUAAUAAUUAAAAUAGUAACAAUGAUAAACUUAAAAUAAUAAUAAUGCAUGGUAAGCUUAAAAUAAUACAUGAAAAUAAACUAAAAAAAUAAAUUUAAAAUAAUAAUAUAUCAAAACCUAAAGAGUGUUAAUAAUAAACUUAAAAUAAUACUAACAUCAAAUAUUAAGAUGAUAUUAAACUUAAAAUUGAAUAUAUAUUAAAAACAGCAACAUAAUAAAUGGGUGAAUUAAAUCAAAAUGGUAAGGGUUAAAUUGAUUUUAAGACAAAAUUAGAGAGAAAAAACGGAAAUAAAAUAAAACGGAGGGCUAAAUUGUGACGCACGAAUAACAUGAGGACCGAAUGGGAAAUAUUCCCUUCCCCCAAAACGCGGCGUCUUUAUAAUGGACUAAAUUGAAAUGAAAAUGAAGCGUGUGGUUGGAUUUAAAGGAAACAAAAAGAUCGAUUUAAACUCAAUAUGAAAAACAGGGGACUAUUUGCGCAAAUUUCCCACGCGCUAUAAAACACGCGGAUUUGGGACCGGAUCGGGUCGGUGCACGGGUCGAUAACCAACACGGCGUCGUCUUGAGGCCACUGAGAAAGGCCUCAAACGGCGUCGUUUUGUGUGUUUAUUUAAACCAAACAAAUUAAAAAAAUAUUUACUUCAACCCUAAUUUCAAAACCAGAAGAGGCCCCCCCCCAUUUUCCUUUCCCAGGGUUUUGAACCCCACAGCCACCGCUCUCGUGCCUCCCUCACCUCCGAUCAAUGCUUGAAUAACACGGCUAUCGGAGGAACAAUGGCGCCGCCAACAAAAGGCAAAUCACUCUCACCUCUCUUUUUUAUUAUUAUUUAAAAAAAUAUGAAACAAAGAUAGAAAUCGAAAGAAGAAAACUCGAAAAAAAAUCACCUUCAAAUUGCUAUUUGAUUCUCUAUUUUUUUUAUUUUUCCAAUCCUUUUUACAGAUGUAAAAAUCGGCUUUUAUAGUCGAAUGAAAAUACAAAAAUUAUUCAUUUUUUCUUUUAUAUUUUCUCUACUAUUUGCUGUCACUAUUUUGUUUCUUUAUUGUUGUUGUUGUUUGUUUCUAUUGCAGGAGUGGCCGUACGAUGAUGUGGCACGACGCGUGGCUAACGCGCAGAGGGUGGUGCUGGAAGCGAUUAGGCACGUGGCGGCUUAGGCAGAUACAGCUUUAGGGUUUCUCUUUUUUUUGUAAUCGGGUUUUGGUUCGGCUAAUUGGGUUGAGUUUACGGGGCCCUGUUAAUUUUGCUGUAAUCUGGACAUGGACUUUAAUUAUGUAAAUGAAUUUUGAAUUUGGUUUUAUUUUUAUUGGGUUUUAAUCGGGCCUGGGCAAAACGGGCUAUUACAACCGAGAUAAUCAAAAUUUCUAAAAAUAAAAUUUGUGGUUUUUUAUUCUUGUUUCGGGAUUUAAGAUUAUAUCCCAACUCACGGGGUAUAAUUCUUUUUCUCAAUUGACAUCAAAUACGCCCUUUUUAAAUUCUUCUAGGUAAUUUUAACAAAAGGAUCGUAUUUUAAGUCUCUUCAAAAUAUUUUUAUAAAUUUGCAUAAAAACCAAUUUCUUAAAUCAUGUACUUGUGUUUGAAAAACUAUAAAGUUAUUAGUAAUUGUUUGUAAUUACUCUCGUAACCACCCCAACUCUCAACCCCUAACAAGAAUACUAUAUUUGAGGUGCCAUAAUUACAUUUAAUUAAUUUAGUGAACCCACCAAUUACAAUGGUUAUCCAAACAUAUCGCACCUUUGUAAUAGCAAGUAAUUAUACUCAAAUUUAAUAAUUACUAAAUGAUUUUUCAAACAUUACAAUAAUGAAUUUCUAACGUUUUGCGAAGAAAUUCUUUCCCUCCUUUUUAUUUAUUUACUACGAAGGAAGAUAUUUCAAAAUCACACUUUUGGGUCCGAAUUAAACUGAUUUUUUUUAUAAUUUCAAAACAAUUGCAAAGAAAAUUCAUGAAAUUAAGUUGUUUUCAAAUAAUUAAUUCACAUUGGAAUUUUCAAAUAAGAUGUCACAUUAAUAAUAUUUCAAUCAUUAAAAUAUUAUAUAACACAUUUUGCCAUACGAGAAAAUAUGAAAAUACUAGAAGUACUUAAUCCAGUUUAAUCUGCUCAAGGAAAUGACUCUAACACUGAGCUAAUUCAAUUAAGCCUCUGAAAUUAGCUUAACUUCAUAAAAUUUCUUUGCAAUUUUUUGGAUAUAUAUAUAUAUAUAUAAAAGUAAAAGAAAACAAGUUGAUUGGAUCAUAUUAUUUUCCGUGAGAAAUUAAAAUACCAGCCAAUAUGCAUGCAUUUAUUUUGUAGAAAAUUAAAACCAUAAAAAAACAAAAAGCAAAGAUUCAACUCUUUUAUUAUAGCAUUUGUUAGGGGUGAGCAAAAAUUGAUUCGAUUCAAAAAAAUUAAAAAAAUUUCAAAUUUCAAGUUAAUCGAAUAAAGUUAUUCAAGUUAUUAAAUACCCUUUUAGUCCUUUUCAAUUUUAAAAAUUGACAAACUGGUACAAAAAUUACAAAAUAAUCAAAAUAAUUUUUAAUUUUCAAAAUAUUUAUAAAAAUUCAAAAUUUUAUUUAUUUUUUAAAAAUUUAUACAAAUUUAAAAAUUAUAAAAAAAAAUUGUAAAGAAUAUAUAAUAAAAAAUUUAAAAAUUUUCUAAUAUAAUAAUUUUGGAACCUGAAUAAGUAAAUUAAUGAUUCAAGUUUAUAAUUCUAAAGUAUUUUUUUCUCUAAUUUUGCUUUGAAAGAGUUCUCAAAUAUAUAUGAUUUUAAAUUUGUAUACUCUAUCAUGAAAUUUGUUAUAUUGUAGCAAGAUUUUAACGUGAAAUGUUUAAUUUUUUAAUUUAACUCAAACAAUUUUACUUAAUUCGACUCGACUCGAAUUUCAUUUCACUCGACUCAAUUUGAAAAAAUUCCAAAUCAAGUUAGAUUGAUAAAAUGGGACUUGUUAACUCGAUUAGCUCGAAAUUAGUUUACUCGACCCAAAUAUUUUGCAUCAUUAAUACUAAUAACAACAUGAAAAUGAAUACUCAUCUUUUCUACUUACUAUGCAGGCACGAAAUGGAAAUUUCCAUGAGAAAAAAGUAUUGCGUAUGAAAAGGAAAGUUCCAUGACAUCGACUGAAGCAAUAACAACAAUUGGCCCUAAUAUUUACCACAUAAAUCUUUGACAUUUAUUAAAUUUUUUAAUUUAAUCCCUCUCAUUUUAAUUUCUAAAUUUUAUUAUCGUAUGUGACCCAUUAGGCUUCUUUGACAAUAAAUAUUCUUCAUUUCAAACUAGAAUCUAGCCAUUCAUCAUGACUCCAAAUUGGCGAAGUCAAAAUUAAUUUUUUUCGACAAAAACUUUCAUUUCUAGUUUUUAUGUGUAUUUAAAUCUUUCCAUCAUAUACCCCGAAUAAGCUAAAAGGCAUGACAUGGUGUCUGCUUUGCUCAUCAGGACUUAUAGUUAUACAAGUCAAGAGCAAAAUAGAUAUGUCAUACCAGACCUAAAACAUUCUACUUUAAGCACCUAUCAAUAUAAAUCCAUUUGGUGAUGAAUCAAAGUAUGACGGUCAACUUACAAGGAGAAUUUAUGUCUCAAGUCUAAGGAUUAUUUAUACUACCAAUACAGGGAGUAUUUCUAUAAAUACUAAGGUGUUUUUUACCCUUUAACCUUGUAUUAAUAUUUGUUUUGUUUCAAAAAAAAAUAUUUGUUACUUUUAUAAAAAAAUUGAAUUUUAAAUAAAUUUUCCGACCAAAUUAAUAUAAAUUAACUUGUAACAUUAAUUUAAUAAAAUAUAUUAAACAAGUGUAGAUAUAAUUUCAUUAAAAUAUGCGAAUAGAGAAAACAACAUUAAUUUGUCGGAAGUCCCCACUUUUUGGGUCUUAAUGGGUGAGAAUUUUCCUAGGUUAAAACCCAAGUCACGGAAUCGUCUUUGUCAAGUCUUGGGGCCAUAAUUAGGCACUUCGUACACUUGCACCAUGUACAAGGUGUUCCAAAUAUUUUACAAUAAAUGAAGUUCCAACGCUUUCUAAAUGAAAAUUUUGAUUCAACGACGACUGCAAUUUUGGAUUUAAAUCAUAUCAGACAUUUCACUUCUACAAUAAAUCACGAGAACGCCAAAAUUUAAUCUAGAGAAAUGGCUCUGUCGACACUAAAUUAAUUAAUUAAGCCUCUGAAAUUAACUUAAUUUCAUGAGUUUUCUUUAUAGGUAGAGAUGGACAUCCUAAUUUCAAUUAAAAAAUAACAAUUAAUCAUCUUGUUUUGGUAAGAAAGUAAAAUAGCAGCCAAGAUGCAUGCAUUUGUUUUGUGGAAAAUUAAAUUAAAACCAAGGAGUUAUCAUUAUCAACAAAUAUGGACCAUAAGAAGAUCCAUUCCUUUUAUUAUAUAUUAUUCAUACUAACAACAUAGAAUUUUCCAUGAAAAAGAAAGCACGACACAUGACGAAGUAAAUUCCAUUACAUCGACUGAAGCAAUGGUAACAACUGGCCCCUACAACAAUUGCAACAAGACCUUGACUCCUAUAAUCAGUUUCCAUAAAUUCUUCAGUUUGGAAACUAUAACAUAUAUGCUACAACUGAACCUUUAGCAAACAAUUAGCUGAGGUAGUUAAACAUGGCCUCAUCCUCAACCUUUUCCAUUAUUUUAGGGAUACUGCGGGCUACCAUCUUUCUAAUUUCCAUUGCUAGAACUGUGACAGUAGCAGAUCCAUCGCCUUUGGCGUCCGAAGCCAUAGCUAUGGUAGAAAGUGGGUGGUGGAGUAACUAUAGCAACAAUGCUUCAGAACGUUGCCAUUGGCCGGGUAUAUCAUGCAACACUGCUGGAAGCAUCAUCCAAAUUGACAUUUCUGAUGCGCCCAAUAUUGAGGUUGGAGAUAGAUUUGGGAAAUUGAAUUUCUCUUCAUUUCCAAAUCUUGUCCUUCUUGAUCUUAGUGAUCGCCAACUUGGUGGAAAAAUCCCGCAUCAGAUAGGUAAUCUAUCAGCAUUGAAGCACCUUGACUUGUCCAAUUGUGGUUUAUCCGGUGAGUUACUUCCUUCUCUAGGAAACCUAACCCAAUUAGAGUACCUUGACAUUUCCUAUAAUUAUAAUAUUAACGGUUCCAUCCCUCCACAACUAGGGAAUCUAGUGAACCUUGUCAGUUUAAAUUUGAGUUGGACCAGUCUUAGUGGAAACAUUCCACCGUUUCUUGGGCUAUUGACCAACCUUAGGCAUCUACUUUUGGAUGGGUAUCAAUUUGACGAUGGUAAUAAUACAAUUCCUCAAAAUUUGUGGAAUUUGAGGGGUCUUGAGACUUUAAGCCUAAGUCGUUGUGGAAUUGUUGGUCCAAUCCCUUCUGCUUUGGGUCAGUUAUUAAAUCUCAAAUAUUUACGUCUAGGGGGAAACAAAAUUAAUGGCUCUAUUCCAUCUGAAGUUGGAUUCUUAUCUAACUUGACUUAUUUUGAUGUCUACGACAACAGACUGGUUGGUUCAAUACCUUUUUCCUGGUACCAAUUAACCAAUUUGGAAACUUUGUUCCUUGAUGGUAAUCAACUUGAAGGUUCCAUCCCUCAUAAUAUUGAAAAUUUGAAGAACAUCAAGAUUUUAAGCAUCGCUAAUAAUAGUUUUACUGGUCAUAUCCCCCUAGCUUUGUGUCGUUUGACAAAUUUGAAAUAUAUUGACCUUGGCAAAAAUCAAUUCAGUGGUUCAAUCCCAUCUUGUAUUGGCAAUUUAUCCAAUUUGUAUACCUUAGAACUUGAUUCAAAUCUAUUAAAAGGUCCUAUCCCUGAAGAAAUUGGUAGGCUUUUCCACCUAUCAAAUUUAAACCUCAGCUUCAACCAAUUCUCAGGUAGUGUCCCUAUCUUGUCUGCCACUAAGCUUCGUAUUAUCGAUGCUGGAAAUAACUGUAACAAGAUUUCUCCCGAUCCAUUUGAAGGAAAUAGUCAUCUAUCACCCUAUAUGUGUCCUUCUCCAGUAACCAACAAAGCCAACAGCAGUACAAUUCUUUACUAUAUCAAAAUAUUCCUCCCUAUUGCCAUCUUCUUCACAUUCUCCAUUUUGGGAUAUUUUCUAUUUUCACGAUUUAAGCUCAAGAAUAACCGUGUCCGUGUACAACCGACGAAGAAUGGGGAUUUGUGUUCCAUAUGGAACUAUGAUGGAAAGAUAGCAUACGAGGAUAUUGUUGCAGCAACAGAGGAUUUCGACUUUCGAUACUGUAUAGGAGUUGGUGGUUAUGGAAGUGUUUACAGAGCACAACUACCUUGUGGUAAAGUAGUUGCCUUGAAGAAACUUCAUCGUUUAGAAGCUGAAAAUCCAGCCUUUGACAAGAGCUUCAGGAAUGAGAUCAAGUUUCUAACAGAAAUACGACAUCGAAGCAUCGUAAAGCUUCAUGGGUUUUGUCUACACCGACGGUCCAUGUUUUUGAUCUAUGAGUACAUGGAAAAAGGGAGUUUGUUCUGCAACCUAAGAGAUGAAGUGGAAGCUGUGGAAAUGGAUUGGACAAAAAGAGUGGAGAUCAUCAAGGGCAUAGCGCAUGCUUUGUCUUACUUGCACUAUGAUUGCAGCCCUCCAAUAGUUCAUCGAGACAUAUCAAGUAACAAUGUUCUUUUAAACUCGAGCUUUGAGGCCUUUGUAGCUGACUUUGGGACUGCUAAAAUGUUGGAUCUUGAAUCAUCCAAUCAGACCAUGAUUGUGGGCACAUGUGGUUAUGUAGCUCCAGGUGAUGACAUUUUCUUCGGAAAUUAUAAAAUUAAUUGAACAUAUAAAUGAUUUUCUUUUUUAUCUGGUUUUUCGUACGCAGAACUUGCAUAUACGUUGGUUGUCACCGAAAAAUGUGAUGUCUAUAGUUUUGGAGUGGUGGCACUGGAAACGUUAAUGGGAAAGAAUCCCGAAGAAUUGUUAUCAUGGUUGUCAUCACCAACUUCUUUGGUAAAUAUGAGGCUGAUUGAUGUGCUAGACAACCGUUUACCACUUCCGACAAGUCAAUUAGUUGCACAAAAUCUUGUUCGCAUUGCUAGUUUGGCAUUCGCCUGCCUAAAUCCACAACCUAAGUCUCGACCAACGAUAAAAGAAGUGUGCGAAGAGUUUCUUUGUGGCCAAACAUCCUUGGGAGUUCCCCUUCGGAUGAUCUCUUUGUUACAACUUGUGAAUUGUGAAAUGCAUAUUGGAGGCAAAACUGGAACUUGUAAUGUUUAAACUCCAUGUGGCUGUUCUUGAUUAGAUAUUGUUUAUCAUGCUUUGAUGAUUUGUUUGUAAACCAUAUCCUGUGUUAUAUAUGAUGGAAUGAAUUGCAAUGUUCAAUAAAUUUGUUUAUUUGAUUGUUUUACGUAACAUAAAUUCGACAAUUUGAUCCAAAUAUUCAAACAUCAUCCUAAUAGCUUCAUUCAAUUUCGUGCUUCUUUCAAGCAGGAAAGACAUCUUAGUGGAUGGUCCGGCGAGACAUGUUCUUAGGCAGACUCAAUGAGAGGCUCCUUUAAUUUUAUGGAUGCUCCUUUAAUCUAAGUUGUUUUCAAAUAAUUAAUUCACAUUGGAAUUUUCAAAUAAAAUGUCACAUUAAUAAUAUUUCAAUCAUUAAAAUAUUAUAUAACACAUUUUACCUUAAAAAAAAUAUGAAAAUACUAAAACUUAAUCCAGUUUAACCUGCUCAAGGAAAUGACUCAAACACUGAGCUAGUUCAAUUAAGCCUUUGAAAUUAGCUUAACUUCAUUCAAUUUCUUUGCAAUUUUUUGGAUAUAUAUAUAUAUAUAAAAGAAAAAGAAAACAAGUUGAUUGGAUCAUACUAUUUUCCGUGAGAAAUUAAAAUACCAGCUAACAUGCAUGCAUUUAUUUUGUAGAAAAUUAAAACCAUAAAAAAAAAAACAAAAAGCAAAGAUUCAACCCUUUUAUUAUAGCAUUUGUUAGGGGUGAGCAAAACUCGAUUCAAUUUGAAAAAAUUAAAAAAUAUUCAAAUUUCAAGUUAAUCGAAUAAAGUGUUAAUUAAGAUUGUUGACACCAUUUUUUUGAUGAAAACGGGUCGACUUGGAUUUUGAAAAUGAAAACGAAAAAAAUGGAGUCGCCACCAAUCCUUUUUGAUAAGGUGUGAUCGGGUCACCUUGAAAAGUGAUUGUUUUAAUAAACGAUUUGAUUUUAUUAAAACAACGGUUUUGGUCCACGAAAUUCAGAAAAAAAAAUGAGUUCGGGAGUCGGUUACGUACGAGGAAGGAUUAGCACACUCGUAACACCCAAAAAUUGGUACCUAGUUGAUUAGUUACUGUCUUAAUGUCGAAAAUUGAAAACUUUGAAGAAUUUAAAAAUACAAUCCUAAAAAAUUUUGAAUAACAUGAGUUGGGAUUUAAGAUUCUCUUGUUCCGAAAGAAUAUCACAUCCAGCACAUUAGGAUACGAUAUUUUAAACUCUCGAGACCAAGAUCACCUUAUGGUUUCCAAAAUCUAUACUUUGAAACUCUAAAAGGGUAUUUGGCUAUUUGGCUAAAAGAGAAAUCGAAACCCAGCACAUUAGGGCAUGUUUUCUCGAAUUUCCAAACGCAAAAUAUUGCCUUUAUUAUUUUUUAAAAAAAUCCUCAUCUCGAGAAAACAACGUGUCAUAUUCAAUGCGUUAGGACACAACGUAUCGAAUUCCCGAUAAGAGAAUACAUGCCGAAAAAUUUACUUAUUUAAAAAGACAUUUAAUUACUUCGGGUUUAGAAAAGGGAUCAUGCCCAGUAAGUUAGGACAUGAUAUUUUCUUAAUUCCCGAGAUCGUUUAAAAACUUGAGUUUGAAAAGAUUCGUGUCUUUAGAUUUAUUAUGAAAGUCGAAACCCAGUAAGUUAGGAUACGACUUUCUCAAAUCUAAACACGAAAUUUUGUUUAUUCAAAAGUCAUAAUCCAUACAUUGAAUGAAAUAAUCUAACACGAAAUAGUAGAAAUAAGAUUCGAUGUUAAUAUGCGUAACUAAAUAAAUAUGAAUACGAUGAUGUGAACGUAAAUAAUAUGAACAACCACAACAAAAUGGUAAAUAAAUAAAAGAUGACAAAAUGAUUAUACAUGAAAUAAUAAAUAACUAGGGCUAAAACAUUUCAUAGAAAUAAUGAUGGGAAUAAAUCAAAUAAGACAAUAAUAACUUCAAUGAAAAUAAAUAAAAUUGCAAAAUGAAAAUAAAAAUAAAGACAAAGACAAAACAAAUAAAAACAUCUAUGCACAUGUGUAUAACAAAGUUGGGAAAUACAAAAUGUAAAUAAGCAAGUAAUAAUAUAAAUAUAUAACAAAACAAGUGAGUAUAUAUAUAUCCUAAAAAGACAUGCAUGUAAACAUACAAAAAUCAAAUAUAUAACUAUGCAACUACGUAUAUAGAUUAAAGUAGAUAAAAAUAUAGGUAGAUGUGUGCAUAAGUAAAAGAAUAUAUGUAUGAGUUGUAAGAUAUAUAGAUUUAUAUACAUGAAUAAUGAAAUAAAAUACAUAUGUGGAAAAAAGUAUAUUUUAAAAUCUAAGAUACACAAAUGUAUAUAUGUAUAUAGAAUAUAUAUAUAUAUAGGAAUAAACAAAUUAUAAAAUAUAAGAAUAUGUAUAUAGACACAUAUAUAAUUGUAUAAAAAGAUUACCAACUAUAAAGAACCAUAUGCAUGUAUAUGUAUAUUAUAAGAGGUUUAAAAAUGUAGAUAAAAAUAUAUCUUAAAAUAUAACAACAUAUACAAGCAUGUACAUAUAUAUUUGUGAAAAUAAAAUGAGAUACAUGUAAGCACCUAUAUACAAUAAUUUAGAAUGCAAAUAUAAAUACAUACAUGUAUAUAAAUUAUAAAAUAAAAAAUAUAAGCGUAUAUAUAUAUAAAUAUUAUAUGUGUGUAUAUAUUAUAAAAGUAUGUGUAUAGCGUAUAUUUAAAUUAUAAAACACACAUAGUAUGGAAGUAUGUAUAUGAUUAAAUCUAAGAUUACAAAGGUAUAAACACUACACCAAAACAGGUUUUUAGCGGCGUUUUUUAGGCCUUUAGCGGCGCUUUUUAACGCCACUAAAGAUAUUUGCAAGCGCCGCAAAAAAGGCCGCUAACGAAAACGUCGCAAACGUUUGCAGCGUUUUCAAACAAAAACGCCGCUAAAGACCAUGUUCUUUAGCGGCGUUUUUUCCUAAGCGCCUCUAAAGAACGUGUUCUUUAGCGGCGUUUUUUUACAAGCGCCGCUAAAGAACAUGUUCUUUAGCGGCGUUUUUCUACAAGCGCUGCUAAAGAACAUGUUCUUUAGCGGCGUUUUUCUACAAGCGCCGCUAAAGAACAUGUUCUUUAGUGGCAUUUUUUUUACAAAUGCCGCGAAAGAACAUGUUCUUUAGUGGCACUUUUAUACAAAAACGCCACUAUUUUAGGGAUUUUUUUAUAUUAAAUUUUUCAUUUUUUCGGCCCUCCUGUAGCAAAAAUUCAAAAGCAACAAUUCAAAAGCAGCCAAUAGCAAUAAAUUUAUAUAAUAUUUCAACAUAAGGGAAUAAAAUAAUAUUAAUAUCAAUAAAUAAAAGUGAAUUCAUAUUGUUUUUGCAAAAAAUGUUAAAUGUUAAAUGUUAAAAUGAUAAAAAUAUUUAUGUCAUACACUAUGAAGGCGGAAGUUGCGACUUAAACAUCUUCAUCAUAAUCUGAAGCUGCUGCUGAAGUUCGUCGUACUUUUUGCUCUGCUCUGCUUCUCUCGCUGCAGCCUCUGCUUCCCUCGCUGCAGUCGCUGCUCUCUGCUUUAAGUUGUAGCUGGAGUUCUUCAUAUUUCCUUUGAACCUCAAUUGUAGUCGCUUGCAUCUGAGCCAUCUGGUCUUUUAACCUCUGAACUUCAGCUUGAGCCUGACUCCCCGAAGCCAUGUAUUGGUGGGAGCUGGAUCCAAAAUAUUGGGUUGGGCUAACAAAAGAUCCUUGAAAUCGAACCCGACCAUACCUUUCAGGACCCAAAACUUCAGUAAUAAUCCGGUUAUCAAUAUCUUCAAGAUGAACCGAACUAUGACUAGAAGCAAUUGCUUCGUACUCCGCCUUUUUAUCCUUUAGUUUUUCCUAAUAAAUAUAUCACAUAGUUAGGAACGCAAUAUUAUAUAUUGAAAAACAUAUGCAACAUAACAAUAGUCACAUUACAAGCAAUGAAUUAAACCAUUAGAAAAUAAACACUAUAAAUAACUAAAAUAAGUCAAAUCGUAUUAAGUAAACGUACCAUUAUUUCAGCAGCUUCAGGAGUCAUGGGAGAUCCAUCUUUCUUCCUAUGUGUAAUUUCAAAAAGUUGAAGGCGUCCAACUUUUUGACCGGACGACCGUUCCUACAAUAUAGUAGUAUAAAUAUUAUUUAAUAGAAAGUUAUACAUAUUCGACAAUAUUAAAAAAUUUAAAAAUACCUCUGCCUCAGCUACACAUGCGAAACUUCUCGACCCGGCUGUGUGGGUGAAUUUUUGUUUUUGCCUGCUGCUUAUUCCAACUUGUUCACGAUCCUACGUUAUGAAAUUUUUUAGUACGUAAAUAGAAAAUACUAUAAACCAAAAUAAUUACAAUAGUUUAGAAGUACGUCAGACCUCGCCUUUAUUCGAAUGUCAAAAUCUAACUGCAUCUUCCCAUUGGUACCUCAACAUACCCGGCGGGACAUUUUGCAAUUUCUCAUCAAGGGUUGUUUUUGUCUUAUAAUAAUUUUUCUUCAAAGUACUUUUGUUGUCUCUCCAUCUUUUUCCCAAUGCUUUCUUUACAUAAGCAUCCGAGACCUCUAAAGCAAACCUCGCCUACAAAAAACAAAAAACACAAGUUAAUAAAGUAAAUAUAAAUGAAACUAUUUCCCAAGCAUUAUAGAUGACAUUAACAUUUUGUUACCUUAAUAUUAUCGAGGGCUUGGUUUUUGUUGCUAUCGGGCAUUUGAUGCCAUGACUCGUAGUUUAUAGGCAACAUAUUUGGAUUUCGUGCUAAAAUGCCCAUGUAUCCAGCUAAAAGUCGAGCUUCUGAUCCAACAGGCUGACCAAAACUGUUUCGUCCAACUUUGACACGCUCGACUGGAUCUAACUCGUACAACUCUCUAAGUAGCGUACGUCCUCGACCUCUGCGCGUCCCACCAUUUUCAGCUACAAAUGGUAUAUUAUAAUAUAAGAAUUUGAAAAAUAAAUCAACUAUAACAGAAACACGCAUGUAAAUUAAAUGUAAAAUUACUUUGAACUUCUGUAGGAUCCUCAGCUGUAAUCGGAACAUUUGAAGAUCCAACUGCUGUCUGUUGUUCAGUACUAUUUGUUGCUGUCGAGUUUGGAUCAUUUUGAACAAUGCUUCCCCUUAGAAUUUUUCUUCUAGGCAUUUUAUGUACAAUACACAUAAAAUAGUUAAUAACUUAAUAACUAAUUACAACAAUAACAGCACAUAUAAAACAAUUGAAAUAUAUAAUAAGACGAAGAUUUAAAUUAUGAUAUUACAUAUAAUUAAACAAUCGUAAAAUCUUACUACAUCAUUAUUCGUAAAUAUCUUCAUCGGUAUCCUGACGAACCCAUCCAAAUUGUGCACUAGUACUAGGGAUAUUAUCGUUUAAGUUUUGUUUUGGAAAGGGCAAAGUUACUGAUCUAUCGUCGAUGUUAUCUCUACUUCCACUGCCCAUGUCAAACAAGUCUCUAGGGAUGUUACGGAGUACAACGUACCAACCCUCAUCAGUUGGAUCUUUUGAGUAAAAAACUUGUUUGACUUGAGAUGAUAAUACAUACGGCUCAUCUAUCAGUUGUUGUCCUGUGUGAAUCAAUCGGUCAAAGUUCACCAUUGUAAAACCAAAUUGAUCUUGCUUAAUUCCACGAGCUGUAUUAACAUCGGCCCAAUCACCACGAAAUAAUACAACUUUCCAUUUGCCGUAGUAAUCCAACUCAAUUAUGUCAGUAAGUUGUCCGAAAUAUUCCACAUUUCCCUCGACAGGAUUAUUGUCCCUAGCACUAGCAUAACUUGUAAUUGCAGAAUUGACAACUAUUCCACAAUUUUGCGUUCUCCUCAACCUCUCGCGAUAUUUUGUAUGAAAUCUGAAUCCGUUGAUGAGGAACGCACUAUAUCUUUUAACCACUCGAUUUGGACCUUAGGAGAGCCAUUUAACAUCGUCGUUUACAUUCUUCCCACUCCAAACCUAUUGAAUGGAAAGUAAACUGAGUAAUUCAUUUGUUAUGAGAAAACAUUAUUAUUUGUAAGCAGAAGCUCGAACUGCAUACCGUUUGGCUUAACCAUUCAUAAAAAGAUUCUGUAAACAACUUAUUGAUAUCUCGAUGUUGUGUUCUUCGGGAGCGCAAACGAGAUCUCAAUAUUUGUUUGUACUCACUGUGUUAAAAAAAUGUGAUCUUUGUUAGAAGAUAAACAGUUAUUAGUUUGAUAAAUAUUUAUCAAAUUUGUAGAACUUACUUCCGUAAAGGUUCCAAUAAUUCGUGGUGAAACAGAACAUAUCGAUGUGCUUGUACCCACGAUAAAUGAUCUAAUUCUGUAAUUUCAACUUUUCCGAUUGGUUCUCCAAAACUUUGGAACAAAUAAGUAUCGGCUAAGUUAUGGUCCGUGAGUCCAGCAUUCCUAUUUGGUCUGUUUAACCUUGUUUCAACAUCUUCCAAAUAUCUUGAGCAGAAGGUCAUACAUUCUUCUGCCAAGUAGCCUUCAGCAAUCGAUCCUUCUGGAUAUCGCUUGUUGCGGCAGUAAGACUUUAAUUUGGAUAGAAACCUAAACACAAUAUACAACAUUUCUUAAUUAUUGAAACUAAAGGCAUAGAGGUGAAUGAAGGAAAACUUUAAAAAUUUUAAUUAACACCUUUCUAUGGGAUACAUCCAUCGAUAGAAAACGGGUCCACCAAGAAUUGUUUCGUGCGGGAGAUGGAUUAUCAAGUGAACCAUAAUGGUGAAGAAGAAAGGUGGGAAGAUUUUCUCCAUGUUGCAUAAAGUCAAAGCGGCUCGAUCCUGUACCUUCUAAAGUUCUUGAACGUCCAAAACUUUGCCACAAAUGGCUUUCAUUAUGUUGGAUAGUUCAAUUAUACAAGACGUCACCUUCUUGGACAUACAACAUCGUAGAGCCAUUGGCAGUAAAUCUUGCAUCAAGAUGUGAUAGUUGUGUGAUUUUAGUGAAUAUAAUCUUCGAUCUUUAACACUAACACAUCGAGAUAUAUUUGAUACAUACGCAUCUGGAACCUUUAUAUCCUUCAACACCGUGCAGAACAAUUCUUUUUCCGUCUUCGACAUUGAAAAAAUAGAAGGCGGCAACCGAUAUUUCCCAUUCGGAAGUGGAUUGGGAUGAAGAUCAGGUCGGAUUCCCAUUUGGACUAAAUCAAGUCGACUCUGAAGACUGUCUUUUGAUUUUCCGUCGACAUUCAAAACUGUACCCACAAUGUUCUCACAGAUAUUUUUCUCAAUGUGCAUAACAUCAAGAUUGUGUCGUAGAAGGUGAUGCUCCCAAUAAGGUAACUCAAAAAAAAUACUUCUUUUUUUUCCACAACUCCGCCUCAUUAGGAUCGUCCUCUUCAUCAGAGUCAUCAUCAGCUUCAUCAUUGGAUCUUCUAUUUCUUUGCGUGUUUGGCGGUUGGUUCAUCUUCCCAUAAAUGAAAUUCAUAUCUUCCAACAUGAACAAGAUUUCAGAGCCACUGGUCUGCGAAGGAGCUUCUCUGAACUCUUUAGUACCGUCAAAUACAGAACUCUGAAAUCUAAAUCUAUGAUUUUCCGGUAACCACCGACGAUGCCCCAUGUAAGAGAACUUCUUCCCAUUGUACAACCAUUGCGAACAUGUUUGUGCAGCACAACAAAGACACGCAUAACGACCCUUGGUACUCCAACCGGAUAAAUUGGCAUAAGCAGGAAAGUCAUUAAUGGUCCACAUCAAAGCUGCACGUAAAUUAAAGUUCUCCUUUCUCAGCACAUCGUAUGUCUCGACACCAGCCCACAAUUGUUUUAACUCUUCAAUAAGUGGCUGUAAAUAAAUGUCGAUAUCAUUCCCGGGCCCUUUCUCUCCAGGGAUAAUCAUAGAUAAGAUAAGGGAAGAUUGCUUCAUGCAAAUCCACGGAGGUAGAUUGUAAGGAACAAGCACUACUGGCCAAGUACUGUAGGCAGUGCUCAUGAUCUUGAAAGGAUUAAAUCCAUCAGAUGCUAGCCCAAGCCUCACACUCCUAGGAUCACUUGUGAAGCUUGUAAAUUUAUUGUCAAAUGAUUUCCAAGUUAAAGAAUCUGCCGGAUGCCUUAGUAAUCCAUCAAUGGUUCGUCGAUCAUGGUGCCAUGUCAUUGACUCCGCUGUCUUCGACGACAUGAAAAGCCUUUGAAGCCUUGGUAUCAACGAAAAAUACCGUAAAAUCUUGGCUGGCUUCUUCCGUGACUGUGCAUCAUUUUCAUCAUCGUUCCCAUCUUCUGUGUUUCUACUUGUCCAACGAGAGUGGCCGCAUACAUGACAGCACUGUUGGUUUCUCCGAUCGCCCCAAUACAACAUGCAGUCAUUUGGGCAACUAUGGAUUUUGUUAUACCCAAAGCCUAAAUCUUUUAUCAUUUUCUUCAUAUCUUUGCAUGACCGAGGGAUUUUUGCAAACGGGAACAUUUCUCUCAAAAACUCUAACAGCAUUGUCAACGAGUUUCCGGUUCACCCUCCCAAACACUUUAAUUGAAAAAGACGAACACAGAAGGACAUCUUUGAAAAUUUUGAUCCCUCAUACAGUUCUUCGUUCAUGUCAUUAAGUAGCGCGUAGAACUUUGCCGCUUCUCCAUUCGGCUCUUCAUGACGUACACUACUUCUCGGUUCGGUAAAAGUAUUUCCACCAAUAUUACAAUCAUCAGAGAACAUAAAGUCCGCUGGGAAUGAUUCGACACCAUGAUUGUGCAUAUUAAAUGCAUCCCGCAACAUACCUUCCAUGUCAUCCCCUCUAUCAGACUGAUGGUAAGAAGUAUCAGGAUAAGUUACAUCCAUCCUUGAAGAGGAAGUACUAGGCGGGCAUAUUCCAUGAAAUAACCAUUGUUUAUAACCCCGAACAAACCCAUCAACAAUUAGAUGCUCGUAUACAACUUCACGAUAAUGCCAGUUUAUGUUGACACACUUCUUACACGGGCAAAGAAUCAUGUUCUCUUGGCUUGCAUAUUGAAAUGCAAAAUUUAGAAAAGUCUGUACUCCAUUUCGAUAACUGUCGCUUACCCUUGACAAAUUCAUCCAAGACCGGUCCAUUUCUUAGAUCUUGAAGUUUGAUUUUCACCAGAAAUUACAAUGGUAAGUUAUGUAAGUUAUGUAAGUUAAAUGUAUUAUGUAAGUUGUAAGUUAAAUGUAUUAUGUAAGUUGCAAGUUAUUAUGUAUUAUGUAAGUUGUAAGUUAAAUGUAUUGUGUAAGUUGUAAGUUAUUAUGUAUUGUGUAAGUUGUAAGUUAUUAUGUAUUAUGUAAGUUGUAAGUUAUUAUGUAUUAUGUAAGUUGUAAGUUAAAUGUAUUGUGUAAGUUGUAAGUUAUUAUGUAUUAUGUAAGUUGUAAGUAAAUGUAUUGUGUAAGUUGUAAGUUAUUAUGUAUUAUGUAAGUUGUAAGUUAAAUGUAUUAUGUAAGUUGUAAGUUAUUAUGUAUUAUGUAAGUUGUAAGUUAAAUGUAUUAUGUAAGUUGUAAGUUAUUAUGUAUUAUGUAAGUUAUGUAAGUUAAAUGUAUUAUGUAAGUUAUGUAAGUUAAAUGUAUUAUGUGGGUUAUGUGGGUUAUGAAGGUUAUUGUUAUUAAAUUUUAAUAAGAUUAUUGUUAAAUUUUUUAAUAAUAAUAAAAACAAAAAUAAAUAAUUUAAUUAUAUUUUAACAUAAUUAUUGUUAAAAUAAAAUUAAUAAAAUAAUAUAUAAUUUAAUAACAUUACUAAUAUAAUUAUUAAUAAUAUUUAAUAAAAUAACAUUUUAAACAAUAGUCAAUUUUAAUAUUCCACAUUUUUUUAUAAUUAUUAAUAAUAUUUAAUAAAAUGACAUUUUAUUUUAAUAGUCAAUUUUAAUAUCCACAUAUUUUUUUAUAUUUUAUUUAUCUUUUAUGAUAACAUGAUAACAAAAAUUAAUUAUAAGGUAUACUCUUUAAUAAAUUAAUUAUUUAUAGCAAUCUUUUGGUUAUGUAAGAUAUGUAUGAUGUAAGCAUAGCACUUUUAUGCAUCUUAUUAUAAUUAUUUUUAAAAUUAUAAUAUAUUUUAACAAGUUAUGUAAGUAAUGUAAUAUAUACUUAAAUUUUAGUAAGUAAUGUAUUAAGUAACAUAUUUAAGUAAUAAAUUUAAACAAAUUUUAGUAAGUAAUGUAUUUUAGUAAUAAAUUUAAACAAAUUUUAGUAAGUAAUGUAUUUUAGUAAGUAAUGUAUUUUAGUAAUAAAUUUAAUCAAAUUUUAGUAAGUAAUUUAUUUUAGUAAGUAAUGUAUUUUAGUAAUAAUUUAAACAAAUUUUAGUAAGUAAUGUAUUUUAGUAAUAAAUUUAAACAAAUUUUAGUAAGUAAUUUAUUUUAGUAAGUAAUGUAUUUUAGUAAUAAAUUUAACAUUCAAUCGCAUAAAUGAGAACUAACGUCGAUAAUUUAUUAAUUGACAAGAUCCUUGAAAAUCGAUAAUUUGUUCACUUUAAAACGAAUCCACUAUUUGCCCAUAAUUUAUUCACUUACUCAAAUAUAUAAACUGAUUUAAGAAUUUUAAUCAUUUGCGUAAUUGUUUUUGCUUGGGUAAAAAAUACGUACAAGAAUUACAAUCAUAGUUUAUACCUUGCAGUUAUGGAAAAAUUUGGCAAAGUAACAUGCAAAUUGAGCUAGCAACAUAUCAAUCAAAAAUGAUAAAUAAAACCGAUACCCACAGCGUAAAAAAAGAAUUCUUAAUUAAAACUCCCUUUUAAAACUCAAAAAUAAUAAUUAAAGUAACAAAAUCCAAAAUUUAAACAUUUGGAGGUGUUUUUUUAAGAAAACCGAGGUGGGAAACAUAGGAAUAAAUACCUCAAUUUCCUGGACUUCGAAGCAAACUACUGAAAAAAAUAAAAAUAAAAAGGAAAACAUAAGUAAGUUAGUUCCAAAUAAACAGGAAAAAAUUAGUAUAAAACUUAAAUAUAACAAAAUCCAAAAUUAAAAAUCUUAUUUGAAUAUUGAAAAAUCAGCACUGAGACAUGUCAAACCAUCCACCACAAACAAUAUACUCCAGGUAGGAGGAAUAAUGCAACCACUUAAAGUUAAUAAAGUAAUGUGGAAGUUACGAUGACACCACUAUGUUCAUUAAAGAACUUCUGAUAUCAGUAUCCAUAACUCUGUCAUGGGAGAUCAACUAUGUCUAGUUGAGAAAUAAGCAAACUAAACGAAUCAGACAUAAUUAUGCACUAUUGCAACAAUGAUUGCAUGGUCCGAAUAAUGGCUCAGCCAAGAAAAUUUUAGGAAAAUGGUUUAUUUAACCUUCACCAGCUACCUUGUGUUUAAAUCUGUGUUAAUUUGAGUCUUUCAGGUGUAAGACCAGACGAGUUAUUUACUAGUAUCUCUUGUCUAGUCCAUAUGCAAAAUAUUAGCAGAGCUAUUAAAGGGAAUGUAUUCUCAAGCUCACCAGCACCAUCCACAAUCAUAUAUACUGACAUAUAAAACAGUUUUGCUUAUUGUCCUAGUUGCCACAUAUGUUUAAAAGGAACCGAGAUUAAACUCUAGAAUCCACAUCCAUAAAGAUGAUAAUCCGGGAGUUUGAGAUAUUCAAAUUUAGUUACCCAUUAUAUCAACCUGAAAUUGCUAGAGUGACCACACCAUCCCCUAUGACCAUAGAAGCACCAAAUACUACCAUGACUAGAAGGGCUGUCCUUACCCUUUUAUGCUACUCCAAAAAUCGCUGUAAUGGAGAAACAACAGGCUGUGUUGAGGACCCAUAUUUGUAUUCGGGCAACCCCUAAAUAAACAAUUUUUUUCCUAAACAAACCCUUCUAUUUAAAUUGCUAAAUAAAUAAUUCACAAGUUCCCCAAAUUCCUAAAAAGAAUGGUGUUUUAACCUAAACCGCAAACCCUAAAAUCUAAUUUUUUUUCUAAACCCCAAAUUCAAAAAGCACAAUGCACCCAAAACCCCAAAUCAAGACGAUGUUCUUCAGAAGGAUUAAAUGCAUACCUUUUAACCAGAUAUUCUGCAACUACUGUCAAGAAUGGCGCAAUCGUUGCUUCCUCUUUGAUGAUUUCUGAUUUCUCCUCCCCUUUCUUCCUUAGAAUAUUUUCUUAGGUUUUUUCCCCUUCCCAAUCGGCCUUUGCACUUGCCUUUUCGUUCUGUCUUUGUCGAGUGAGUAAAAAUGCUAAGUUAAACAACAUCUGCAGAAACGGCAUCGUUGAGAAAAAAUAUUAAAACACCUUUGCGGCGUUUCUUGAAAGAACGCCACUACUUAUUCCAAAUUUCAGGCGUUUAUAGACAAAACGCCACAAAAAAUUAAACCUUUUAACAGAAACGGUGCCGUUUUGUUAGUCUGAAAUUCCAUUUUUUGUGGCGUUUAAUAAAAACCGCCACGUAUACUUAAUCUAUUUUAAGCCAAACGCUGACGUUUUAAAUAAAUUAUUCUAAAAUUUUUCUAAGUUAAAAAUCUGUUCCGGAAACGACGUCGUUUAGCCAUUAUAUUAACACCGUUUUGCGGCAUUUUUGGUACAAACGCCGUAAUUUCUUCCACAUUUCCGGUGUUUUCCUAAAAAAUGCCACUAAAUAUUACAGCUGUGAACAGAAACGACACCGUUUUCGUGGUCUGGAAUUGCAUUAUUUGUGGUGUUUUCCUAAAAAUGCCACUAAAUAUUACAGCUGUGAACAGAAACGACACCGUUUUCGUGGUCUGGAAUUGCAUUAUUUGUGGCGUUUUCCUAAAAACGCCACUAAAUAUUACAGCUGUGAACAGAAACGACACCGUUUUGCGUGGUCUGGAAUAAUUGCAUUAUUUAUGGCGUUUUCCUAAAAACGCCACUAAAUAUUACAGCUGUGAACAGAAACGACACCGUUUUCGUGGUCUGGAAUUGCAUUAUUUGUGGCGUUUUCCUAAAAACGCCACUAGAUAUUACAGCUGUGAACAGAAACGACACCGUUUUGCGUGGUCUGGAAUAAUUGCAUUAUUUCUGGCGUUUUAAGCACAAAUGCCACUAAAAUUUGUCAAACUAAAAUAUACUGUAAACAAACGACACCGUUUACCCAUUUUUUAAAACCCUUUUGUGGCGUUUGAUAUAAAAUCGCCACUAAAAGUUCAAGUUUUAAACAGAAAUGGUGCCGUUUUGCUAGUCUCAAUUUGUAUUAUUUGUUGCGUUUUGUGCAAAAACGCCACGAACACUUAAUUGAUGUUUUAAAUAAAUAAUUGUAAAAUUUUUCUAAGUUACAAAUCUUGUACAGAAACGGCGCCGUUUAGACAUUAUUUUAAUACCCUUUUGCGGCGUUUACUGAAAAAAUGCCGCUAUUGCUUCCAAAAUUUCCUUCGUUUUUGCGAAAACGCCAUAAAAAUUUAAACCUGUAUGCAGAAACGGUGUUGUUUUUUGGUUCUCAAAUUGUUCAGUUUGUGGCAUUUUAUAUAAAAACGCCACUAAUACUUAAAGUACAACAAGCCAAAUGGUGACAUUUAAAGUAAAUAAUUCUAAACUUUUUUAUAAGCUAAAAAUCGUGUAGACGGACGGUGUCGUUUACUCAAAUUUUAAAGACACUUUUGCGGCGUUUCUUGUACAAACGCCAGGACUGCUUCCCAUAUUUGCGGCGUUUAACAGUUAAACGCCACCAAAAGUUUAACUAUUCAUUCGAAAACGGCGCCGUUUUGAAUUUUUUUGUUUUUUUUCAUUUCUUAUGUAUUUGGUCCUAUAUAUAUAUAUAUUUCCAAAAUAAAUAAUUAUACCUAAAUAUAUAACCAUCCAUAUAAUAUAUAUCAAUAUAUUUUUUAACUUAUUUAUGAAUUCUAUUUAAAAUAAUAUUUAAAUAUAUCAAUUGGUACUUUAGAUUGAUUUUUUAAAAUAUUAUUUAAAUAAAUUAAUCUAAACUAACCUAAAAUCCUUAUUUGACCCCUAAACCCCUAAACCCUAAAUCUUUAACCCCUAGAUCGUAACUUGUAACCCCUAAACCCCUAGCUAACUUUUAUAUCCCAAACCCUAAAUUUGUACCCUUAAUCCUUAAAAUAGCACGGCCAUCCAAAAUAAUCCCUAAAUCUUUAAUAAAUAUCAUAAAAUAGUUAUAAUUGAUUAAAUAAUAAUUAAUACUAAAAACUUUUUGUAUAAAGUUUGAAAUUUACCGGAAUGGGCCAUUUUCCGCGAAAUCGCGUCCACGUCAGCGCGAUGUUUGGGUACGCGCCAGGACAUCGCGUCCACGUCAGCACGAUUUGCUUACGUGGAAGAAAUCGCGCCCUCUAGGACGUGAUUUGCUGACGUGGCAUAAACUGUUUGUGUUUUUAGUUUGGAAAACUUUGAAAGGCCAUAACUUUUGGCUCGGUUGUCCGAUUGAGGCGAAUUUUUUUUUGAUUUCAAAUAACUUUUCGAGAUCUACGUGCUGGCAAACCGCCGAAGUUUUCAUCGAAAAAGAUCCUCUUUUGCCCCUCAAUUUUGAUUUUUUCGGUUUAAAAUUGAAUUUUGAAACAUUCAAAUCGUUAUUUUCCUCAUUUAUUUGAAGUAAACACCGGAUAUUUUUUUACACAAUUGUCUUAUAUCAUCCUGUUAUAGGUAUAAGUCAGCUCAUUCCACUUUUGAGAAGUUCCCUAACAUUUUCCAUUUUAUUCAAUUUAGUCCCUAAAACCUAAAUAGUCAUAUUUUCAAAUCUAAGCUUCGUUUUUCAAUUCAAUUUCAAUUUCAUCAUUCUUUCAAUUCAAAUUCACAAAAUUAUUUAAGUAUAUAUUUAAGUGUUAUUCAUGAAUUAUUUGAGCAUUACUAUUCAAAUUAGUAUUUAAAUUAAUAAUAUACUGAAACCAAAUCAUAUACCGAACCGAAAAAUCCUAAACAAAUUUAUUAUUACCUCUUUUACAAUUAUAUAUAUAAGAACAUAUUUAAAAUAUAAUUUGGCAAUACUAAUUAAUCUAAACCCUACGUUCCCUAACCCAACCCCUAGCUAAACCCUAAAUCCUUAAUUAACUCCUAAUAACCCUUAAGUGCUAACCCCAACCCUAACCCCUAAACAUUAUAUCUCAACCCUUACACCAUAUCCCUAAAUCCAAUAUUAUAUAUAUAUAUACUCCUGAUCAAUUAUAAUAAUAACCUUAAAAUAGUAACCCCUAAACCGACUUAAAAUCUUAAAUUAAUAAUAUCAUAUAUAUAUACCCUUAAAACCUAAAACCCUAUAUUAACUAUAGUGAUACGCUUAAUUCAAUAUUUUAAAUUUAAAUUAAUACUUACUAUCUCUUUUAAUUACGAUAAUAAUUUCAAAUUUUUAAUAUAUAAAUUAAAAAACAAUCAGUAAUGUACCCAACAAAAACUUUAAAAUUAUUUUAAAUAAUACUAUUUUAAUUUUUCCAUGUGUUUUAUUUCAAAUUAUUUAUACCUGUUAUUUUUUAUUGAAGAUUUUAAAUAUUCUAUUAGAAAUAUGUUUAAUUUGAUUCAAAUAAUAUAAAUAAUAGUUCAAUUAAGAUAAAUUUUUUUUGCGGCGCAUAAAUAAAAACGCCGCUAAAACACCUAGAUUAGCGGUGCUUUACAAAAAACGCCAUUAAUUCCCCCCCCAAAGGACACAAAACGGCAUCGUCUGGGUGUAUUAUUUGCGGCAUUUUUUAUAAACGCUGCUAAUGUUCACUCUUUAGCGGCGCUUUACAAAAAAUGCCACUAAUUCCCCCCCCCAAAGGCCACAAAACGGCACCGUCUGGGUGUAUUAUUUGCGGCGUUUUUUAUAAACGCUGCUAAUGUUCACUCUUUAGCGGUGCUUUUCCUUAAACGCCACUAAUGCUCACUCUUUAGCGGCGCUUUUCCUUAAACGCCGCUAAUGCUCACUCUUUAGCAACGUUUUUGCUCCAAACGCCGCUAAAAGUGCCGCUAAAAGCUUGUUUUGGUGUAGUGAAAUAAUAAUAAGCAUGAUAAUAGUAAUAACAAUAUUAAAAACAAUAAUAAUAAAAAUAAUGAUAACAUUAUUGAAAUUAAUUGGUUUAAUAGCAAAAAUAUAAUAAGGGACUAAUUUAAAUUGAAAACAGAACUUUGGGGGUCUAAAUCGCAAAAUAAAUUAAAAAGGAAGGGCCACGUCGAACGCGCUGAAAAAUUAGGAGGGGCAAAUGGGAAAUAAUCCCAUUCUUGCAAAACGCAGAGUUCCAGUAGGGACUAAAUUGAAAACGCAAUAAAUUUAUGGGUAAAAUUAAAAAAUUAAAAUAACCUAAUUUAAAAAGCAUUAAAAAAGCGGAAGGGCUAAAGGUGCAAUUAGCCCUUCCGUCGAAAAAACACGUGGAUCCUGAGGGUACGGGUCGGGUCGCGCAAAACGACGUCGUUUCGUACGUUUAUAAAAGCUAAUUUUUUUUUGAAAAAUUUUUCAUUCCUCCGCUUCUUUUUUUUUAAAAAAAAAAACUAAGGUUUCUUUCAAACCUCUCCCUCUCCUUCAGUCAGAACCCAGAAACCGGUGAGUUGGGCCGCCACGUCACCGCCGCGCCGGCGUCGGAAAUUCGAAAAGGUAUUUUUUUACUUCUUUUUUUUAUAUAUACUAUGUAUAUAUUUAUAAUAUGUAUAUUAUUACAAAUCAAAAGUAGAAAAACGAAUAAACAAAUAAAUAAAGUUAGAAAACUAGGAAAACCUUUGUGUUUCUUUGCUUUCUCUUGGAUUUUAUUUCUGAAUGAAACCUCAAAAAACCCUUUUCUUUUACAGCCCCAUUCGGCUUUUUGCCAAAAAAAAGAAAAAGAAAAUCCCCCCCACUUUACAGAUUUGUUUUUUCAUGGCUUUAUAGCCGAUUUUUGUUACAACCCCUUUCCUACUGCUAUUGAGUGUUUUCUUUUCUUUUGCAGGUGCUGCAGGCGGCGGUUGGUGGUGAUGUGAUUGUGACGGUGGCAAGUGGGCAAGUGAUUGUCCGGCGGCGGCACUAGGAGUUAAAGCUGAAACCCUAGUUUGACUAGUUUUUGAGUUUGGGUCUGUUGGGCCUGUAACUAUUGGGUCAACCUUGUAAUUGGGCUUAGGUAGGUUGGGCUGAAAUGGGUUAGGUCAAAAUGGGCCUGUACAAAGAUAUUACAUUAAUAAUAUUUCAAUAAUUAAAAUAUUAUAUAAGCCAUUUUUCCUUAAAAUAUGAAAAUACUAAAACAUAAUCCAGUUUAAUCAUUCUAAAGUUUCUAAUUUUGUUUAAAAGAAUUUUCAAAUAUAUAUGUGUUUAAAUUUAUAUGUUCUAGCAUGAAAUUCAUUAUAUUGUAGUAAGAUUUUAAUAUAACAUGUUUACUUUAACUCAAACAAUUUCACUCGAUUCGGCUCGACUCGAAUUUCAUUUCACUCGACUCAAUUUGGAAAAAAAAUCCAAAUUGAGUUAAGAUGAUAAAAUGAGACUUGUCAACUCGAUUAACUCGAAAUUAUUUUACUCGAUUUGAUCCAACACUCACCCCUAAGAAUUGCAUCAUUGAUACUUAUAACAACAUAAAAAUGUAUACUCAUCUUUUCUAAUCAAUAUGCAGGCACGAAAUGGAAAUUUCCAUGAAAAAAAUGUAUCGCGUAUGAAAAAGUAAGUUCCAUGACAUCGGCUGAAGCAAUAACAAUAAUUGCAAAAAGACAUUGACUCCAUCAGCUUGGAAACUAUAACGUAUUUGCUACGACUGGGUUUUUUUCGCGUGUCACCCGUUAGGCUUUCAAUUAUGUAGUAAAUAUAAUCUAUUUCAAUUAAAAAAUAGUAGAAUUUUGUAAUUCAUUAUGAACCCAAAUUAUUGGCAAAGUUAAAAUUAACUUUUUUUGACAAAAAUUUUGGGUGUGUAGUAUUUAUGUGUAAUCCAAUCUUUUCAUCAUAUAUUCUGAAUAAGCUAAAAGGUAUGGAAUGGUGUCUACCUUUGCUCAUCCAUGUCAGACUUGCAUCUCCUUGAAUUAACCUUGAUUAUCGGUCUUCACUAAGGACUUAUAGUUAUACAAGUCAAGAGCAAAAAGGAUAUGUCCCCUAAUAUCACUUUGGGUGAUGAGUCCUUUGUGAACCAUUCCAUCACCUUCGUAUGUCAUAUCAUAUUUAAAAUAUUCUACUUUAAACACCUAUCAAUGCGAAUCCAUUUAAUGAUAAAUCAAAGUAUGACGGUCAACAUACAAAGAGAGUUUGUGUCUUAAGUCUAAGGAUUAUUUACACUACCAAUACACGGGAGUAUUUCUAUAAACAUUUGAGUGAAAUACCAAAUGGAACUCUCAUAAUUGGCCAAGUUAUAUUUUAUAAUUUUUUCGAACUUUUUAAAAAUCAUUAAUAUUUUAUUUUUUAUAUUUGUAAUACAAUAAUUUUUAUAAUUUUUUAUAACUUUUACAUUUUUAAAAAUAUUUUAAUAACUUGAACAUCAACAUACUUCCACUCGGCAUGUCACAUGUCAACUUGUCAUAGCUUCCGUCAACUAAUCAACAACCAAUAUUGAUAAAAUCAGUCAACAACAAUGUUCGUUAACAAAAAUAGCCAAUUAAUUUUUUUCUCAUUGAAUGCUCAAUUGGGUCUGUUUUUCUAUUAUGAGCUUAAUUGAUUUUUUAAUUUUUUACUAAGAUAUUUUUCCUUUAACCUUAUAUUAAUAUUCAUUACUUUAUUAAAACACUUACUUUUAGGUAAUUAUUUUUCCAACCGAAAUGAUAUCGAAUUAACUCGUAACACAAAUUCAAUAAAAUAUACUAUAUAAACAUAUAUAUAAAUUCAUUAAAAUCUGUCAAUAGUGAAAACACCAUUAAUUUGUCUGAAGUCUCUACUUUUUGGAUCUUAAUGAGGGAGAAAUUUCUUAGAUAGAAACUGAAGACGAUAUUUAAAGUAAAUGCCACGUUAAAAGCUCAGUUCUUUGGAAAAAUAAAUUCCAUCACGACUGAACCAAAAAUUCCCUUGUGUCAUAAUCUUUUGUGGAAAAUUAGGCACUUAAUGGAAAAGUAUAUCCACAAAAUGAUAGAAAAAGGCUUUGGGCCACAAUUAAAUCAACAUCUUUAAAUUGUUAAACCAAAUUAAAGAUGGAAUCGUCGUUGUCAUGGGAUCUACACGGGGUGUUCCAGUUUUACGUAUAAUGAAUUUCUAAUGUUUUUUGCAUGAAACUUUUGAUUCAAUGAGAAAGGAAAUAUUUUCAAAAUCAUGCAGUUUUGGAUUCAAAUUAAGCUUUUUUUUCCAAGCAAUUGCAAAAAUUUGUUUCGACAACUAUUAUCAGAUAAAAGUGUAAUUAUUAAAUAGUAAUUACAAAAGAUUUAUAAUUACAAAGAAUUAUGAUUUCCUAGACAUAUUUGGUGACGGAGUGUAAUUAGAUCAUAAUUUCCUAUAUCAUAUUUCGUAGUACAAAUUGUAAAUUAUAAUUUAUAAUUACAUAGUUACUUAAUAUAUUUUUAAAAAAUUAUUAAUUACUAUAAUAAAUUAUCAGUAAAAUUAAAAAAUUUCUAAACAAGUAACAAAAAUUAAAAUAAAAUCAUCAUAUUUAAUAUGUUAAUCCAAGAAAAUAAUCGAUAAUACAAUUACUAAUAAAAAUUAUAAGAAAGAUGAUUUAUGUUAGGUUAUAACAAUUUUUUUUUUUUGAACAAUCAGAUUUGAACCUAAGCUAUUCCUUGAAAAUAUGAAAAGAAAUUGGCAAGCUUUUUGAUCUAUCAUAUCUAAACCUCAGCUUCAACCAACUCUCAGGUCCUAUCCCUAUCUUGUCUGCUACUGAUCUCUACAUUGUCGACGCUGGAAAUGGUUGUAACAAGAUUUCUCCCGAUCCAUUUGAAGGCAAUAGUGAUUUAUCACCCUAUAUGUGUCCUACUCCAGUAACCAAAAAAGCCAACAGCAGCAGAAUUCCUUAUUAUAUCAAAAUAUUCCUCCCUAUUGCGAUCUUAUUCACAUUCUCCAUUUUAGGAUGUUUGCUCUUAGUGGAUGGUCCGGCGAGACACCUUCUCAGGCAGACUCAAUGAGAGAGUUAAUGUUGUCUAUACUGUUGACACGUGUCCAUGUGGCGGGGUAUAACAUUCAUCAUCUAAAUUAAAAUCUGAAUAUGCAUAAUUAAGAUUAUCUAGAUCAUUUUUUUUAUCUGUAUCAUUAAGAUUAUUAAUAUCUGUUUUUUUUCUAUGUACUGUUUAAAAGUAUUGAUAAUUCCAAUUCCACCUAUAAAUGGAAUUGUGAAAUAUACAACAAGUUAGAACGAUUGAACAUUGUUUUUCAGACUAUAUUAAUGUGGUUUGUUAAUAUGGGAAAUAUUUUUUUAGAACAACAAAUAUUGGCCUCUCAACCACAUUUCAAAGCUUUGAAUAAAGAGUUUACGAGCUGUGUUCGGUACUUGUGUCUAGCUUUGUUCUUUCAAAUGAUAUCGUACCCCGUGAUAUAUUGUAAAAAAACCUUUUGCAUUUGCAUAAUCAACAUCUACCACAUAAUAUUUCCUAAAAAACAUGUAACAGUUUAAAUAAUUUGUGAGAAAAAUAAAAUAACAGCAAGGUGAUGAUAAUAUUAAUGUAUUUAUGAAAUACAAUUUUGAUCUAUUUUCUCUCCCAAAGAUCAUUCUUAGCAUUCUAGUAUUUGAGGCACAAAUCAACUUUAUAAUAUAAUAGUUUUUAUAAAUCCAAUUUGCAGUUUACUAUGUGUUCAAAUAAUAAACCAAAUUAGAUAAAAGAAAUAAUAUAAAUUUUAUAAUAUAACAUUUAUAAACAAUGUUUUCUAUAAAUUGCUGAAUAGCUUUUAUGGUGCUUAUGUUAAAGUGCUCAAAUAUAUGGCCAUACAAGAAUAGUAUAAAAAUUAUAAUACAUGCUUUACAAGCACAAUUUGUUAGGUUAAAAUUUGCUUUAUAAAACACAGGAGUUAAGUGAGAUGAAAAGGGUUUCUCCUACCUUAAUCAGUAAUCGAGGGUUUGAUCCUCGCCUAAGUAUGGAGUAGCUUUAAAACUUGUGGCUAGCAUCUACCCCCUUAAUGGGCCUACAGAAUGCGAAGGAUUAGUUACCGGGCUCGCUUUGGUAGAUACAUUGAGGAAUCAAAAAAAAUUUUACAAGAAAUUUUUUGACUUAUGUGUCUAAUAACAAAGCAGUUUUGACCCAAUAAGAAAUAUAUAAUUAUAUUUUAAAAAAUAUAUAAAAAUAUAUGCCAUAAAAUUAAAAUGUUUUAUUAUUAUUGUAUUAAAAUAAAUUUUAUAAACUUGUAUAAAAAAUAAUUUCUUAAAUCAUGUACGUGUGUUUGAAAGACUAUAAGAUAAUUAGUAAUUGAUUGUAAUUACUCACGUAAUUACCUCAACUCUCAACUCCCUAAGAAUUGAAUAGUAUAAUUGAGGUGCUAUAAUUAUAUUCAAUUUAGUGGACCCAACAAUUACAAUAGUUAGCCAAACAUACUAUUCCUUUGCACUUGCAAGUAAUUACACUUAAAUCUAAUAAUUAAUUCACAUUGAAAUUUUCAAAAUCAUACACUUUGGGGUCUAAAUUAAACUGAUUUUUUUUUUAGUUUCCAAACAAUUGCAAAGAAAAUUCAUGAAAUUAAGUUGUUUUCAAAUAAUUAAUUCACAUUGAAAUUUUCAAAUAAGAUAUCACAUUACUAAUACUUCAAUCAUUAAAAUAUUAUAUAAGACAUUUUGCCUUAUACAAGAAAAUAUGAAAAUACUAAAACUUAAUCCAGUUUAAUCAUUCUAAAGUUUCUAAUUUUGUUUAAAAGCAUUUUAAAAUAUAUAUGAUUUAAAAUUUGUAUGUUUUAACAUGAAAUUCAUUAUAUUGUAGCAAGAUUUUAAUGUAAUAUGUUUAAUUUUUUUAAUUUGAUUCAAACAAUUUCACUCGAUUCAGCUCGACUCGAAUUUUAUUUCACUCGACUCAAUUUGAAACACUACACCAGAACAGGCUUUUAGCGGCAUAUUUUGUGGCGUUUUGAUAACAAACGUCGCUAAAAAUCGAGCAUUAGCGGCGCAAAGAAUAAAACGCCACUAAAGAUCUAGCAUUAGUGGCGCUUCUUAUAAAACGCCGCUAAAGAACAUAAUUCGCGGCAUUUACCACACAGCGCCGCAAAAUCUCAAGACCAACACGCAGCGUUCUGGUCUUGAUGUAUAUUGGCAUUAGUGGCGCUUACAAACAAACGCCGGUAAUGUAUAGUAUUAGCGGCGCUUAGCGGAAGCGCCGCAAAAGAUGUUAACCAAAACGCAGAGUUUGGUCUUGAUGUAUAUUGCAAUUAGUGGAGCUUAUAAAGAAAAUACCGCUAAUGUAUAGUAUUAGCGGCGCCGAACGUUAAACGCCGCAAGUCAUCUUAAUCAAAACGCAGCGUUUUGGUAUUGAUGUAUACUAUAAUUAGUGGCGUUUAAGGAAAACGCCAGUAAAGGAUAGUUAUAGCAGUGUUUGGUGGUAAGCGCCUCAAAAUAUCUUAACCAAAACGCAGAGUUUGGUCUUGAGGUGUAUUAGAAUUAGUGGCGCUUGCUGAAAAACGCCGAUAAAGUAUAGUAUUAGCGGCGUUUGUGGAACGUGCCGCAAAGUGUCUUAACCAAAACACAGCGUUUAGUUCUUGAUGUAUACUGGAAUUAGUGGCGCACAUGGGAAAACGCCGCUGAAGCAUAGUAUUAGCGGCGCUUUUACCGAAACACCACAAAAAACCUAAGCCAGACGACAUCGUUUCGAAACUUUUUAGUGCUUUAGCGGCGUUUUUCCUUAAAGCGCCACAAAAUCAUUUUAUAUGUUUUUUAUAUUUAAUUUGUUUAUUUAUAUUAAUUAAAAUUCAAUUUAUUUUUAAUUGAAUAUUUGUUAAAAAUGGAAAAAUUGAAAUAGUAUUAUUUAAAAUAAUUUUAAAAAAUGUUAGGUACAUGACUGAUUGAUUUGUAAUUUAUAUAUUAAAUAAUUUCAUAUAUAAUUAUAAAAGAUACGAUAGUAUUAAUUUUAAAAUAUUUAAUUAUUUAUCAUUAUAGUUUAGGAUUUAAUAUAUAUGCGGUUUAGGGUAUACGGUUAAUUUAAGAUUUAAGGUCGGUUUAAGAGUUACAAUUUUAACGUUUAUAUAGAUUAUGGAAUUAUGGAUUCUGGUUAAUUUAAGGGUUGUAAUUUAAGGGUUAUAGAUUAAGAGUUAGGGAUUUAAGAUUUAUGGAUUCGGUGUUAGGUUAGGCUUUAGGGUUUAGAUUAAUUAGUGUGUUUUAAUUUUUAUAAAAUAUGGUUUAAGGGUUAGGGGUAGGGAUUCGGGUUAGGAUUUAGGGUUUUGAUUAAUUAAUAUUUUUUAAUUUAUGUAUUAAAUAAGGUUUAGGGUUAGUAUAGGUUAGGGUCGGGGUUAGUGGUUUAAGGGUUAGAAGAUAAGAGUUAGUGAUUUAGGGUUUGAAAAUUCGGGGUCGGGUUAGGCCUAUUGGGAACUUUAGUGGCGCUGCAAAAUUUUUAUUUUAUUUAAGGGUUUACGUUAUAGAAUAUAUGAUUUAAUGGCCAUGGUUUAGAGUUUUAGGGAUUACAGUUUAAUGUUUAUUAUUUUGGGUUAAUAGUUUAUGUGUUAGAGUUUGUGUUUAGGGUUUAAGGAUACUGUUUAAAAAUUGAAGAACAUUUAGAUUUUACUAAAGAUUCAUGCAAUUUAAUAUAUGAAUAUAAAAUAUAUGUUUUGUACAGUAACAUUGGCCACGCAAUUACCCUAAAAUAUGGUUUAGGAAUAUUACGGUUUGGGACUUUUGGUUUUGACUUUUACUGUUUGGGGUUUUGGGGUUUGGGGUUUGAGGUUUGGGGUUUGGGGGUUGGGGGUUGGGGUUUGGUUUUUGAGGUUUAAGGUUUAGAAAUUAUAAUUUAAGCAGGUUUAAAACACGAAUUUAUUUUUUUAAAUGUAUUACUCUCUCAUUUUUUUAUUAUUAAUUUUUCCAUUUUAUAACUUUGGUUUUAAUUUUGGAUCAAUUUAACUUCAAUCUUGGAUGACACUAUUUUGACAACUCACGUGCUAGUAUAUUUGUAUUCUAUUCUUAGCGUAUAUAUAAUUUAAAAUAAAUUAUAAAUAUUUUUAAAUUUUGUAGAAAUUUUAAAUUUUUUUGCAAUGAAAGUCGUUAGAGGUGUUUAUCUCAAAACGUCGGAAAGAGUAUUUAACGUUAAGUAAAACUGCAUCGUUUCCUGUCACUAGGAAGGGGAACGGCGCCGUUUUGUUCAUCUGUAUUCGCGGCGCUUUGAAAAACGCCGCCAAGUUCGAUUAGGAGUUAAUGAAACUGCGCUGUUUUACGUUGCUAUUAGUGGCGCUUUUCAUGAAACGCCGCAAAAUUGUAUUUAUGUUUAUUGAAAUGUUGUCAUUUUUGUCUAUUGUAUUAGUGGCGUUUUUCGAAAAUGCCACAAAAUUGGGUAAACUGUUGGGGAAGCGGCUUCGUUUUGACUUAUAGUUAGUGGCGCUUUACUUAAAACGCCACAAAAUUGUUCUAACAUUUGUUGAAACGUUGUCGUUUUGUAAAUGUAAUUAGUGGCAUUUUUGAGAAAACGCCAGGGGUUUGAGGUAAGUGUUGAUGAAGCGACUGCGUUUUGAAUUAUAGUUAGUGGCACUUAGUUUAAAACGCCGCAAAGUUUUGACCUAUAUUUUGUGGCGCUUUGCUUAAAACGCCGCAAAAAUGUUUUUCAAUGUUUGAUUCGAUGCCGUUUAUCUAUAUUAUUAGUGGCGUUUAUAGGGAAACGCCACAUUUUUCAGCUAUUUGUUGAUGAAACGACCGCGUUUCAAUUAAAUUUAGUGGCGCUUUGAUGUAAACGCCGCAAAUGGAUAUUUUUUUAGAUGAGAACGGCGUCGUAUUUUUUCCAUCAGUCUGACCAAAUAUUACACCCGAUAUUUCUCCAUCACUUAUUCCCCAAAUACUCAUUCUCCCCGAAAUCCCUAAAAUUUCCCCUAAUCCCUAACAGCCCCCCAAACCCGACCACCUGCUACUCUGCCGUCUCUUGUGCUGCAUCACUCUGCCCGUCCAUUUUUGGCACUGCAACCAUCGGUAAGUUUGAGUACUUCGUUCUUCGUUCUUUUUCUUCAUGCAUUAAUGUCUCUCUGUUGCUUCUUCAUUGCUGUUGUUUUGACUCCUUCCUCGUAGCAACCCACACUUUCAAUCUUCCAACUUUCCCAGAAGCUCCAAGGCUGAAACCGAGAAGAAGAAGCUGCAAUUAGUAAUUUCAGAUUCCAUCUUCAGUUUUGGGCAAUACCCUUUCCAAGGUAUAAAGCUGUCGAUAUUAAUUUCAUCAUUUAAAAUUAGUGGCUUUGGGUCCUUAGUUCUGAUAUGGUUACUUUUAUUGGACUCGUUGAUGCUCAAAAAUCGGUCCUUUAUGCAUAAAUGGGUCGAUGCUUUUGAUUAGUUUGAUAGUGGGUUUAGGGUACCACGUGUUUCUUUUAUGUGAAAUGCCUUUAGUCUGCUAUAUAUAUAUGGCGUGGAAAAGUUAUUGGCAUCUGUUAUAUCUAAUGAAUUUGUUUUAAAAACUUUUCAAUGGGAAACUUUUUUGUUAAAGGAAAACCAUUCUUCUGUUUGAUUAUAAUGAAUAUAUAUAGGCUUCCUUUUACCAUUUCUGAUUUGGUUUGAUUCUGUUAUAACUUGUUAUAACCAAACUGAAAUCCGAAUUCAAUUGCUAUAGGUGCCUAACUGUUAUUUUGCAGUAAUGGAUUUAGAGUUAAAGUGUUUUAUUUUUUUCCUGUUUAUUUGGGUGUAAUUUUCAUAUGUUUUCCUUUUUUUUGCAAUAUUUACUCCUAUUUUAAAUUUAUUUUGCAUGCAUUCCAAUUUUAGAUGAAGUGGUUGUAUGUUUGAAAUCGAAGUCAAUAUUUACUUUCAUAUUUCUUUCAUGCCAUUCCCAUCAAUCAUUUCAGCACUAGGCAUGAAUUCAAAAUUAUUCAGGUAUCCUGCAAAUCGCAUUGUUGAUAAGGAUGCAAAAUUUGUUUUCUGAUGUUAAUAUAGCCUUGAUUUUUCUCAUGUAUAGUUGUUAGUUGUUAUGGGUAAAUUUUAUAUAAUUUUAUUUAAUUUUAUAAUUAUUUGAAUAUAUAUUCAUAAUUAUACUGUAUUUAUAAUUAUCGAUUUUCAAUUUUAUCGAUUUACAAUUUUAUUUCAAUUAAUAAAUGUUUAAUAAUCAAUUAAUAAAUUGAUCGAUUAAUUGAUUGAAUAUCAAUGAAUUAUCAAUUUUGGUUAGCUAAUUGAUUGAAUGUUUAAUAAAUUCAUUAUAUAAUGAAUUCUCAAAAAAUUAUUACUUGAUUGCAUGUUUAAUAUAAAUAACUUAUUAUGAUAUAUAUUUUAAAGUUAAUAUAUAAUUUCAAUAUUUAUUAUAUUUUUAAAUAUAUUUUUACAAUUUAAUUUAACUUAUUGAUAAUAUAUCUAUUGUUAAGUAAUAAUUUUUUAAAAUUGAUAUCUUACAUUACUUAAAUAUAUAUUUUAAGUAUAUUCUACAUGACUUACAUAUUACUUACUAAAACAUAUUUUUUACUAAAAUUUACUUUAAUAUAUUACUUGAAUAUAUUACUUAAAUAAUUUACUUAAAUACAUUACUUACUAAAAUUUGUUUAAAUUUUAAAUACAUUACUUGUUUAAUAUAUUACUUACUAAAAUUUAAGUAUAUAUUACAUUACUUACAUAACUUGUUAAAAUAUAUUAUAAUUUUAAUAUUUAUUAUAUUUUUAAAUAUUUUUUACAAUUUAAUUUAACUUAUUAAUAAUAUAUAUAGUCCGGAAGUAAUAAAUUUUUUAAAAUUAGAUCUUACAUUACUUAAAUGUAGAUUUUAAGUAGAGUUUACAUGACUUAUCGACUACGAAAACAGAUGUUUUUACUAAAAUUACUUGAAUAUAGUUCGUAAAUAAUUUACUUAAAUAAUUACUUAAAUACAUUACUUACUAAAGUUGUUUAAAUUUUAAAUACAUUACUUAAAUAUAUAUUACUUACUAAAUUUAAGUAUAUUUACAUUACUUACAUAACUUGUUAAAAUAUAUUAUAAUUUUAAUAUUUAUUAGAAAGUAAGAUACAUAAAAGGUGACCUUACUAUGAAUAUUUACUUACAUAAUCAAUUUUGUAUUUACAAGAACUUACAUAACUUAUUAAUAUUCAAUAAACUUAUCUAACUAUCACACAUACACUUAUUAAACUUACAUAAUACAUAACUUGCAUGUUAACUUACAUAAUACAUGACUUAUAUAAAAUUCUCAAAUAAACUUACAUAAUACAUUAGUUACAUAAUAACUUAUAUAAACUUACAUAAUACACAUUACUUACAUAGCAUACAUAACUUACAUAAUACACAACUUAAAUAGCUUACUUAAUACAUAACUUACAUAACUUAUACACGUACAUAACUUACAUAAUUUACUUAAUACAUAAAUAUAUAUCAUAUGAUAUAUAUUUAAAAAAACUCAUUUGUAGUUACCACUGAACAACUUACCCUUGUAAUUUCUGGUGAAAAUCAGACAUCAAGAAAUAAGAAAUGGACUGGUCUUGGAUGAAUUUGUUAAGGGUAAGCGACGGUUAUCGAAAUGGAGUACAAACUUUUCUAAAUUUUGCAUUUCAAUAUGCAAGCCAGGAGAACAUGAUUCUUUGCCCAUGUAAGAAGUGUGUCAACAUAAACUGGCAUUAUCGUGAAGUUGUAUACGAGCAUCUAAUUGUUGAUGGGUUUGUUCGGGGUUAUAAACAAUGGCUUUUUCAUGGAGAAUGCCCGCCUAGUACUUCCUCUUCAAGGAUGGAUGUAUCUUAUGACAGUACUACUUACCACCAGUCUGUUAGAUGGGAUGACAUGGAAGGGAUGUUGCGGGAAGCAUUUAAUAUUCACAAUCAUGGUUUACAGUCGUUCCCAGCCGACUUUGUUGCAUAUGAUGAUUGUAAUAUCGGUGGAAAUACUUUUACCGAACCCAGAAGAAGUGUACAUCAUGAAGAGCCGAAUGGAGAAGUGGUGAAGUUCUACGCGCUACUUAAUGACAUGAAUGAAGAACUGUUUGAGGGAUCAAAAUUCUCAAAAUUGUCUUUUUGUAUUCGUCUUUUCCAGUUAAAGUGUUUGGAAGGGUGGACCGGGAACUCUUUAACAAUGCUGUUAGAGUUUUUGAGAGAGAUGUUUCCAUUUGCAAAAAUCCCUCAAUCAUGCAAAGAUAUGAAGAAAAUGAUAAAAGACUUAGGUCUUGGGUACACCAAAAUCCAUAGUUGCCCAAUGACUACAUGUUGUAUUGGGGCGAUCGAAGAAACCAGCAGUGCUGUCACAUAUGUGGCCAAUCACGUUGGAUAAAUAGAAACACAGAAGAUGGGAACGACGAUGAAAAUGAUGCACAGCCAAGAAAGAAGCCGGUCAAGAUUUUACGGUAUUUUCCGCUCAUACCAAGGCUUCAAAGGCUUUUCAUGUCGUCGAAGACAGCGGGGUCUAUGAUGUGGCACCAUGAUGGACGAACCGAUGAUGGGAAGAUGAGGUAUCCGGCAGAUUCUUUAGCUUGGAAAUCAUUUGACAAUAAAUUUCCAAGCUUUGCAAGUGAUCCUAGGAGUGUAAGGCUUGGCUUAGCAUCUGAUGGAUUUAAUCCGUACAAGAUCAUGAGUACUGCGUACAGUACUUGGCCAGUAGUGCUUGUUCCUUACAAUCUGCCUCCGUGGAUUUGCAUGAAGCAAUCUUCCCUUAUCUUAUCUAUGAUUAUCCCUGGAGAGAAAGGGCCCGGGAAUGAUAUCGACAUUUAUCUACAGCCACUUAUUGAAGAGUUAAAACAAUUGUGGGCUGGUGUCGAGACAUACGAUGUGCUGAGAAAGGAGAACUUUAAUUUACAUGCAGCUUUGAUGUUGACCAUUAAUGACUUUCCCACUUAUGCCAAUUUAUCCGGUUGGAGUACCAAGGGUCGUUAUGCGUGUCCUUGUUGUGCUGCACAAACAUGUUCGCAAUGGUUGUACAAUGGGAAGAAGUUCUCUUACAUGGGGCACCGUCGAUGGUUACCGAAAAAUCAUAGAUUUAGAUUUUAGAGUUCUGUAUUUGAUGGUACUGAAGAGUUCAGAGAAGCUCCUUCGCAGACCAGUGGCUCUGAAAUCUUGUUCAUGUUGGAAGAUAUGAAUUUCAUUUAUGGGAAGAUGAACCAACCGUCAGACACGCAAAGAAAUAGAAGAUCCAAUGAUGAAGCUGAUAAUGACUCUGAUGAAAAGGACGAUCCUAAUAAGGCGGACUUGUGGAAAAAAAGAAGUAUUUUUUUGAGUUGCCUUAUUGGGAGCAUCACCUUCUACGACACAAUCUUGAUGUUAUGCACAUUGAGAAAAAUGUCUGCGAGAACAUUGUGGGUACAGUUUUGAAUGUCGACGAAAAAUCAAAAGACAAUCUUCAAAGUCGACUUGAUUUAGUCCAAAUGGGAAUCCGACCUGAUCUUCAUCCCAAUCCACUUCCGAAUGGGAAAUAUCGGUUGCCGCCUUCUAUAUUUUCAAUGUCCAAGACGGAAAAAGAAGUGUUCUGCAAGGUGUUGAAAGAUAUAAAGGUUCCAGAUGCGUAUGCAUCGAAUAUAUCUCGAUGUGUUAGUGUUAAAGAUCGAAGAUUAUAUUCGCUAAAAUCACAUGACUAUCACAUCUUGAUGCAAGAUUUACUGCCAGUGGCUCUACGAUGUUGUAUGUCCAAGAAGGUGACGUCUUGUAUAAUUGAACUAUCCAACAUAAUGAAAGCCAUUUGUGGCAAAGUUUUGGACGUUCAAGAACUUCAGAAGGUACAGGAUCGAGCCGCUUUGACUUUAUGCAACAUGGAAAAAAUCUUCCCACCUUCCUUCUUCACCGUUAUGGUUCACUUGAUAAUCCAUCUCCCGCACGAAGCAAUUUUUGGCGGACCCGUUUUCUAUCGAUGGAUGUAUCUCAUAGAAAGGUGUUAAUUAAAAAAGUAUAAGUUUUCCUUCAUUCACCUCUAUGCCUUUACUUUCAAUAAUUAAGAAAUGUUGUAUAUUCUGUUUAGGUUUCUAUCCAAAUUAAAGUCGUACUGCCGCAACAAGCGAUAUCCAGAAGGAUCGAUUGCUGAAGGCUACUUGGCAGAAGAAUGUAUGACCUUCUGCUCAAGAUAUUUGGAAGAUGUUGAAACAAGGUUAAACAGACCAAAUAGGAAUGCUGGACUCACGGACCAUAACUUAGCCGAUACUUAUUUGUUCCAAAGUUUUGGAGAACCAAUCGGAAAAGUUGAAAUUGCAGAAUUAGAUCAUUUAUCGUGGGUACAAGCACAUCGAUAUGUUCUGUUUCACCACGAAUCAUUGGAACCUUUACGGAAGUAAGUUCUACAAAUUUUGAUAAAUAAUUUAUCAAACUAAUAACUAUUUAUCUUCUAACAAAGAUUUUGCGGUAUUUUUUUAACAUAGUGAGUACAAACAAAUAUUGAGAUCUCGUUCGCGCUCCUGAAGAACACAACAUCGAGAUAUCAAUAAGUUGUUUACAGAAUCUUUUUAUGAAUGGUUAAGCCAAACGGUAUGCAGUUCGAGCUUCCGCUUACAAAUAAUAAUGUUUUCUCAUAACAUUUUUAGUUACUCAGUUUACUUUUCAUUCAAUAGGUUUGGAGUGGGAAGAACGUAAACGACGAUGUUAAAUGGCUCUCCCAAGGUCCAAAUCGAGUGGUUAAAAGAUAUAGUGUGUUCCUCAUCAACGGAUUCAGAUUUCAUACAAAAUAUCGCGAGAGGUUGAGGAGAACGCAAAAUUGUGGAAUAGUUGUCAAUUCUGCAAUUACAAGUUAUGCUAGUGCUAGGGACAAUAAUCCUGUCGAGGGAAAUGUGGAAUAUUUCGGACAUCUUACUAACAUAAUUGAGUUGGAUUACUACGGUAAAUGGAAAGUUGUCUUAUUUCGUGGUGAUUGGGCCGAUGUUAAUACAGCUCGUGGAAUUAAGCAAGAUCAAUUUGGUUUUACAAUGGUGAACUUUGACCGAUUGAUUCACACAGGACAACAACUGAUAGAUGAGCUGUAUGUAUUCUCAUCUCAAGUUUUUUACUCAAAAGAUCCAACUGAUGAGGGUUGGUACGUUGUACUCCGUAACAUCCCUAGAGACUUGUUUGACAUGGGCAGUGGAAGUAGAGAUAACAUCGACGACAGAUCAGUAACUUUGCCCUUUCCAGAAUAAAACUUAAACGAUAAUAUCCCUAGUACUAGUGCACAAUUUCAAUGGGUCCGUCAGGAUACCGAUGAAGAUAUUUACGAAUAAUGAUGUAGUAAGAUUUUACGAUUGUUUAAUUAUAUGUAAUAUCAUAAUUUAAAUCUUCGUCUUAUUAUAUAUUUCAACUGUUUUAUAUGUGCUGUUAUUGUUGUAAUUAGUUAUUAAGUUAUUAACUAUUUUAUGUGUAUUGUAGAUAAAAUGCCUAGAAGAAAAAUUCUAAGGGGAAGCGUUGUUCAAAAUAAUCCAAACUCGACAGAAAUAAAUAGUACUGAACAACAGACAGCAGUUGGAUCUUUGAAUGUUCCGAUUACAGCUGAGGAUCCUACAGAAGUUCAAAGUAAGUUUACAUUUAAUUUACAUGCGUGUUGACUUAUAGUUGAUUUAUUUUUCAAAUUCUUAUGUUAUAAUAUACCAUUUGUAGCUGAAAAUGGUGGGACGCGCAGAGGUCGAGGACGUACGCUACUUAGAGAGUUAUACGAGUUAGAUCCAGUCAAGCGUGUCAAAGUUGGACGAAAUAGUUUUGGUCAGCCUGUUGGAUCAGAAGCUCGACUUUUAGAAGGAUACAUGAGCAUUUUAGCACGAAAUCCGAAUAUGUUGCCUAUCAACUACGAGUCAUGGCAUCAAAUGCCCGAUAGCAACAAAAACCAAGCCCUCGAUAAUAUUAACGUAACAAAAUGCUAAUGCCAUCUGUAAUGCUUGGGAAAUAGUUUCAUUUAUAUUUACUUUAUUAACUUGUGCUUUUUGUUUUUUGUAGGCGAGGUUUGCUUUAGAGGUCUCGGAUGAUUAUGUAAAGAAGGCAUUGGGAAAAAGAUGGAGAGACAAUAAAAGAACUUUGAAGAAAAUUUAUUAUAAAACAAAAACAACCCUCGAUGAGAAAUUGCAAAAUGUCUCGCCUGGUAUGUUAAGGUACCAAUGGGAAGAUGAGGUUAGAUUUUGGCAUUCGAAGAAAGGCGAGGUAUGACGUACUUCCAAACUAUUGUAAUUAUUUUGGUUUAUAGUAUUUUCUAUUUACGUACUAAAAAUUUCAUAACGUAGGAUCGUGAACAAGUUGGAAAAAGUAGCAGGCAGAAACAAAAAUUCACCCACACAGUCGGGUCAAGAAGUUUUGCAUGUGUAGCUGAGGCGGAGGUAUUUUUAAUUUAUUUAAUAUUGUCGAAUAUGUAUAACAUUCUAUUAAAUAAUAUUUAUACUACCAUAUUGUAGGAUCUGUCGUCCGGUCAAAAAGUUGGACGCCUUCAACUUUUUGAAAUUACACAUAGGAAGAAAGAUAGAUCUCUCAUGACUCCUCAAGCUAGUGAAAUAAUGGUACGUUUACUUAAUACAAUUUGACUUAUUUUAGUUAUUUUUAGUGUUUAUUUUCUAAUGGUUUAAUUCAUUGCUUGUAAUGCGACUAUUGUUAUGUUGCAUAUGUUUUUUAAUAAAUAAUAUUGCAUUCCUAACUAUGUGAUUUAUUUAUUAGGAAAAACUAAAGGAUAAAAAGGCGGAGUACGAAGCGAUUGCUUCUAGUGAUAGUUCUGUUCAUCUUGAAGACAUUGAUAACCGGAUUAUUACUGAAGUUUUGGGUCCUGAAAGGUAUGGUCGGGUUCGAUUUCAAGGAUCUUUUGUUAGCCCAACCCAAUAUUUUGGAUCCAGCUCCCACCAAUACAUGGCUUCGGGGAGUCAGGCUCAAGCUGAAGUUCAGAGGUUGAAAGACCAGAUGGCUGAGAUUCAGGCGACCACAGUUGAGGUUCAAAGGAAAUAUGAAGAACUCCAGCUACAACUUAAAGCAGAGGUGGCAGCGAGGGAAGCAGAGGCCGCAGUGAGGGAAGCAGAGGCUGCAGCGAGACAAGCAGAGCAGUCCAAAAAGUACGACGAACUCCAGCAAUAGCUUCAGACUGUGAUGAAGAUGUUUCAGUCGCAAAUUCCGCCUUCAUAGUGUAUGGCAUAAAUAUUUUUAUCAUUUUAACAUUUAACAUUUUUGCAAAAAUACUAUGAAUUCACUUUUAUUCAUUGAUAUUAAUAUUAUUUUAUUCGUUUAAUUUGAAAUAUUAUAUAAAUUUAUUGCGUUUGGCUGGUUUAAAUCUGGUUGCUUUUGAUUUGUUGCUACAGGAGGGCUAAAAAAAUGAAAAAUUUAAUAUAAAAAAAUCCCAAAAAUAGUGGCGUUUUUGUAUAAAAGCGCCGCUAAAGAAUUCUUUAGCGGGGUUUUAAAAAAAACGCCACUAUUUUUCAUGUUCUUUAGCGGCGCUUAAGUAUAAACGCCGCUAAAGAACAUGGUCUUUUAGCGGCGUUUUUUUCUAAGCAACGCUAAAGAAAAUGGUAUUUAGUGGCGUUUUUUUUGUAAGCGCCGCUAAAGAACAUGUUCUUUAGCGGCGUUUUUUUCUAAGCGCCGCUAAAGAACAUGGUCUUUAACGGCGUUUUUGUUUGUAAACGCUGCAAACGUUUGCGACGUUUUCGUUAGCGGCCUUUUUUUAGUGGCGUUAAAAAGCGCCGCUAAAGGGCUAAAAAACUCCGCUAAAGACCUGUUUUGGUGUAGUGAAAAAAAUUCAAACUGAAUUAAGAUGAUAAAAAUAAAACUCGUCAACUCGAUUAACUCUGUACAAGCCCAUUUUUGCCCGGGCCCAUUACCAAAAAUAAAUACCCAAACCCACCAAACAACCCAAUAACCCACCUAAACACUAACCCAUACCAACAGACCCAAUUACAAGGCCCAGUGGCCCAAAAUUUUAAAAACAUUUCAGAAAAACCCUAAUCCCCCUAACCCUAGCCGUCUAGCCACCUCUUCUGACACCUGGCCUACCACCGCUCUAGCUUCUGCCACCAUCCCAUCCGCACAUACUCCUCUGUCACCGUCGCCCACUUGCUCCAUCAAGUGUCAAUCACCUGCAAACAAACAGCAAAAUCACAGCAAGCAAAGGGGAGAUUUUGUUUUUUAUUUUCGGUAUAUAAAAACUGAUUGGAAAACCAUUAGAGGGGACAGAUCGGGAUGUUUGUAAAAAAGGGGGGAUUUCCUUUUGAAAAAAGCAAAAAAAAAAAACAAAGAGAAAUAAAAACGGAGAAAAGGUUUUAGUUUCCAAAUCUUUUUUCGUUCAUUGUUAUUUAUUUUAUCUAUUUUUUUAUUUUGAUUUGUGUAAAAUACAUAUGUAUAUACGGAUAUAAAAAAAACUUUUUUUUACCUUUUUGAAUUUUUCGGCCACCACGUGUGGUGGCCAGCGCGGCGGCACUGCGGCGGUCCCUCGCCAGUUUCUGGCCAUUACCCAGAGAGUAAACAAAAAAGGGGGAGAGGAUUCUGGUUUUUUUUUUUAGAAAGAAGAGAAAAAUGAGCUUUUUCUAAAGGAUUUUUAAAUUUUAUACUGUUAACAAAACGACGUCGUUUUGGGCUUGGGCACCAAUAGCCAUAACGACGCCGUUUUGAUGUUUGACCCGACCCGCCUACCCAAGGGGAUCCGCGUGUUUUUGACGGAAGGGCUAAUUGCACGUUUAGCCCUUCCGCUUUUUAAUGCUUUUUAAAUUAGGUUCUUUUAAUUUUUUUAAAUUUUACCCAGAAAUUUAUUGCAUUUUCAAUGUAGUCCCUACUGGAACUCUGCGUCUUGCAAGAAUGGGGUUAUUUCCCUUUUGCCCCUCCUAGCUUUUUUAGCGCGUUUGAUGUGGUCCUUCUUCUUUAAUUUAUUUAUGAUUUAACCCCGAAUUUUGUUUUAUAUUUCAGUUUAGUCCUUUUUGUUAUUUUGUUUAUUUUCUUAAUAAAUUUAUUAUUAUUAUUAUUAUUAUUAUUAUAUAUUUUCAUUUAUAUUUACUUAUGUAAUUUUAAAUAUAUGUCUUAUUAUAUUAUUAUUAUUAUAUAUUUGCUUAUAUAUGUAUAUACGUAUAUGUAUAUGUAUGUUUUUUUUAACUUAUUUAAAAUAUACAUAAAUACUUUUUUUUAUAUAUGUACAUAUCUAUAUAUAUGUAUAUCUAUAUAUUUUCCAUUUUUUCUCACGAAUAUAUGUAUAUAUACUCAUAUAUAUAUUUAUAUAUAUUGAAAUAUAGUUUUAUAUAUAUAUAUAUAUCUUAUUUUAUCUUAUUUUAUUUUUAUAUAUAUCUCACAUAUACAUUCUUCCUAUAUAUUUUUCCUUUAGGUUGUAAUAUUUAUACAUAUAUAUAUUUCAUCUUCUUAAGUGUAUGUUUAUAUAUAUAUACUCUUACAUAUUCAUUAUAUUUUCAAGAUAUAUUGUUUAUAUUCUUUAUACUUUGUGAUUUAUAUAUAUACUUACCUAUGUACUUUUAUAUAUUUGAUAAUGGUUUUAUUCGUAUACAUGUAUGUGCAUAUGUGCUUAUGUAUUUUCAUGUAUAAUAGUUUCAAUAUGUGUACAUGCAUAUGUUUUUUCAUAUUUUCAUAAUUUUAUACAUAUAUACAUGUCCUUUAUUGUCUUUUUUACAAUUUUGUUAACCUUGUUCGUUUAUUUAUGUACAUGUUUGUUAUUGUUUUUCUUCUUGCUUUAAUUUUUGUUUGUUUAUCAUUUGUCAUGAUGCUUGUAUGAUUAUUUUUGGUCUUAUUCUUUAUGCUAUGCUUUGCUCGUGUUAUUUUGCUUGCAUUGCCAUCAUCAUUAUUAUUUUACAUCCAUUUUUUUCGAAUUUAUCAAAAAACGAAAAAUUUAAAAUAAAAGUAACACUCGGUAUUUUAGAUCCUCGAGAGAAUCGAGCCCUAAUGUAUUGGGUUCCGACUUUCUUCGUUGAAUUUAAAUAAUCGAGAUUACUCUUUUACAAAUGAUAAAAAGCUCGUUAUCGGGAAUUCGAUACGUUGUAUCCUAACAUAUUGGAUGUAACACGUUGUUUACUCGAGACGAGGAUUUUUCGAAAUAAAUGCAAUAUUCAAUGUUUAAUAUUUUGAGAAAUUGUGCCCUAACGUAUUGGGUUGCAAUUUCUUUAUUUGUUUUAAACAAUUGAAUAUCCUUAUAAAUUUAAAUACACAAAUCUUUUCAAAUUCAAAUUUUAAACGAUCUCGAAAAUAAAAAAGAUCGUGUCCUAACUUACUGGUCGUGAUCCUUUUUUUAAAUUCGAGAUAGUUAAAUAUCUUUUAAAUUUUCGGCAUUCAUUCGCGCAUUGGGAAAUUCGAGACAUUGUGUCCUAACUUACUGGAUAUGAUGCAUUUUUCUCGAUUAACGUGAAAUAUGCCCCUUUUCUAAAAAAUAAUUUUCAGCGUUCUAAUACAAGGAUCGUAUUUUUAAAAUUCUUCAAAGUUCUCAAUUUUUGACAUUAAGACAUCAAGUAAUCAACUAGGUACCAAUUUUGGGCGUAUCGAGGGUGCUAAUCCUUCCUCGUGCGUAAUCGACUCCCGAACCUGUUUUUUUGAAUUUCGCGGACCAAACUCGUUGUUUUAAUAAAAUUAAAUUGUUUAUUAAAAACAACCACUUUUCGAGGUGAUCCAAUCACACCUCAUUAAAAAAGAUUUGUGGCGACUCCCGUUUUUGUUUCAUUUUUCAAAACCAAGUUGACCCCGUUUUCUAUCAAAAAAUGGUGUCAACAGCUUGGCGACUCCGCUGGGGACAUAAAAUAAGAGAGUCAAGCCACGAGUUGAUUAUUUCUUGUCUUUUUGUCGAAAGUUGAAAAUUUGAUUUAAAUAUACGAUCCUCUCAUUUCAUUUCAUUUGUUUUGAGUUAUAGUUUUUAUCAUGUUUUGUAUUUUUAUAUCUCUGCACGUUGCAUUGCAUGACCGUUGGUCACACCUUUUAAGUGGGAGUGAGAAGCUACUCCUUCGUGAGGUUUUCAGCUCUGUGCAGGAUAGGGGAUCGCUUUUGGGAUACAUCCGUACCUAUGUCUUCGUGAGAUUUUCAUCUCCGUGUAGCCAUAGGGAAAUGUAUUCCCCUGAACCGAACUCGAUCUAUAUGAGCCUAUAAUGGGUGAGGAUCGAGGAAUCUGCUGGUUUGGGUACCUUUACUUUAGAACCAAACCUCAUGUAGUGAACCUUAGGGGCCCACCCUAGGUAGAACCACUUUGAACUCCUAGUAUUUACCCGAAUAGGUGUUCUGUUUAUUCUUGCCUACUUUUGCUUUGUACUAACCUAUUUUCCUUUUUUUGAUUGCAUUGCAUUUUCAUCAUAAAAAGAGGUGUUGAUUCACGUUCAGUUGUUAAAUAGAGAGCUUGUCAUAAGAAAAUGGGUCUUCUGAUAAAGUGGAAAAUAAUACGGUUGCCCGAAUAUGUUCCGAGAAAACACAACAAGAGAAAGAUGAUAGUUUAAUAGAGGACAACACAACUAUUGCUCCGUGCCCGAAGAUUCAAGGUGACAAAGAUUAUUCGAGAGCCACUGAACUUUCUUAAAGAGAAGCCAAUGAGCAUCACGAGGAUGAGCGAGCAGCGAGUUGAGGCCCGAAUCAAGUAAAAAGGAGAUAAAAGAGACGUCCCUUUUGAAGAGUUCGUGAGAUUCAUCUUAACGCUCGAAUGAAGAAGAGGAUCGAAUGUCUCUGCCUAUGAGGGCAAGGCCGUAUAUAUAUCCGCUUUAUGUAAAGAGAUUUGUUUUCUAGUAAAGUUGUUCUAAUAAGAAUUGAACCAAGAAUCAACGUCUCUUUUUGCAUUCAUUUUAUGCAUUUGCAUUACAUAACAUCAUGUGCAUUAAGGACUAUUAAAGGAACCUGAUUGAGUAAAAAUAUUUCAGUUAACCUGGGAACCGAAAAAGCUAUCGACUUAGCAUCGUUACGGUACCCGAACAAAAAUGGACCAAAGAUUGAAAAAAACUUGAACGACUCCAAAGGGGAGGCAAGGCCAACUACAACUGUAAAUACAAGAUCGGUUAGCUAAGGUCCAACAAGAUAGAGUUUUGUGAAGGGGUCAAAAAUGUGUUCGUAUCAAAGUCAUACAUGAAGACAAUUGAAGAGGGACUUUGUUAGAUAUCCGCCCUUAUAAAAUUGGGAGUGUUCUAAAUUAUCGGACUGUAGAAGAAAUCUUUAGAGUAAUGUCCAGAACACACUUGUUGCUUUCAGCCUAGAGGCAAUAAGAAGUCUUUUGUGAAAUAGGCUCAUGUCUUAACGUCAUUAUUUUAAUGGAAUGCGUCUUUGAGAUCUUUUGAACCAAUAUUCUUUCAUUUCUUAUGAAUGAUUAUUUUUAUUCUUUUAUCCAAAUCAUUCUUUCAUUCAUUCAUAAUCAUACUGUGCAGAUAAUUAUUCAUAACUUCAUACAUUCUUUGUAUAUUUUCUUGUACCUACAAUAGGUCCCUGAAUAUCAACGACAUGAAUGACACUGCUACAGACUUUGAAUCUCCUUUUGAGCGAGACAUGUGUUUAGAGGGAUCUCACGACUUUGAAGAUGACAUAGAUCGUAGCUUAUCUCCAAGCUUGUUGAGGAUGGUAGAACAAGAGGAUAAACAGAUCAUACCUCACAAGGAAUCAUUAGAAAUUGUGAGCGCGGUAAAUAUUAGAAUUGACCUGACCGCAGAGACGAAGCAAGACAUUGUUGAGUCACCUCUAGAGUUCAAUGAUGUCUUUGUAUGAUCAUACCAGGAUAUGCCCAGAUUAAUCGCUGAUAAUGAAAUCUGCACAGCAGCGCGUUUUCAGAAAUUUGCAGUGAAUGAUGCGAUUCUUCGUCAAGGCAAAUGCCUCUCUCGUUGACUCAGCAUAGCUUUGCCCAUUUGAAGUCAAACUUUUAUCUCUUCAAGUUCUGUGGGAUUUUAUCCUGAUUAAAGAGGAAGAUCAAAAGUUUUCUGUUGUAGUUUUAAAGAAGAUCAAAGAAAAGGAUAACAAGGAUCUGCCUAACCUUAUGAGUUCAGAUUCCAUAAAAAAUGGGGGGAAAGAAAAAAGAAAAAUAAAAAAAAUCAAUCAAAGUCAAAAAAAAGAAAAAAAGAAAAAAGGAGAGGUCAAGGCGAAAACCCGCAAAGGCGCUUUGACCAAAUGUGGAUUUGAGUUGAAAACCUAGAAAGGGCGACUCAAAUUUUGAGCAAAAUGGGGCAUGGACAUCACCAUUACCAAAGACUUCUAAUGGGCAUUGCUUCUUUUUUUUGAGAGGCUACUUCAUGGAUUAAGGUCAUCCUAUACCGAUACAGAAUUUCAGAGAGGAUGGUAUUGGAAAAUGCAUUGAACUUAAAUGAUAGCAUGAUAACUGAGGUCUGAAAUCAAUUUAGAAGCAGACACCAAAUUUUGUCACCGAAUUACCUAGAGGUGAACAAGGACUGGCAUGAGAAAUCAUCAUUUGCCCUCAUUGUUUGUCGAACAUUUGUACUGGGGCAACACUUUUUUUUGGUUUACAAGAUUGAGAUAAUUUUACCUAUUAAAAUCCCCUCAUUGCUUGUUGGAGGAAUCCAAUCGCGAUAUGAUUAGUUAGCCCUAGGAAAAGGGUUAAAAACUAUUCAUCAGGGUCGGAUGUACCAUAAUAAAUGAUAUGAGCCCAUAAUAAAUAGGCUCAUCUCAGAGAAUUCCACGAGAAGGCUGGAUGUUGAAAAGAUUCUUCCUUAACGAAAGGAUUCUAAAGGGAAAUGAAUGCCAAACUAGGAAUAUCCCUAUGUUGUAAAGAAUAUCAUUUUCAGAAGAGCACUGAUCCUGAGUGAGAUUGCCAAUCCUAUAAACUCGGAUCCAGUUAAGAAACACUUUGUUUAAAGAAGAAGGAAGGACCAAGGUGAAAACUUGCAAAAGGCACUUUGAGUCAAAAAAAUGUGAAAAAAAUGAAAAUAAAAAAAAUUGAAAAAUGAAAAAAAUGAAAAAGUAAAAAUGGAGAGGCUAAGGGGAAAACCCACAAAGGGCAUCUUAGGCCAAAGAGGAUUUGAGUUGAAAACCUGAAGGGCGGCUCAAAUAUUGAUCAGAAUGGGGCAUGAAGUGAUCAGAUUGGGGCAUGCGGUGAUCUUGCUAUACCUGAAAGGGUAAGGCGACAUCUUGGGGCAUCGACAGAGUCCUGUAGAUCUCCUAAACACAUGUCAAACUCAGGAAGGUCUUCAGAAAGUUUGUACAGAGAAGUUCAAGCUGCGAUAUCUAGGGCACCUGACAUUCAUAUUAUUUAUAUAUUGAAUUUGUUAUUCUUGGAAUACUUUUUUCUUUUUCAAGAUACAUGUUCCAAUCAAUUUUUUUUUUAUUCUUGCUAUCCUUGAUAAUGUAUUCAUUUCGAGCUAUGCUCUCAAAUCAAUUCUAUUUUAUCCAUCGUUAUAUUCUUCUUGCAAGCAUGUUGCAUUGGAAUGAUGAUACUUUCACAAUAGAAGUUUUGCAUAUUACUCUAGAAGUUUCUAAAUAAUAUAGGAACCUGAAACAGGACUAUUGUUUAGAAAACACCAAGUUUAAAGGGUGAAAUAUCUAAGAAGGAAGAGUCUAAGUUAAGGCUAUCCCUUCGAAUUUUGUUGUCCAAACAUUGACUAAACAAAAUGACAAGAUGCCGUGUUGGUGACAAAGCUUCAAUGAACAAACAAGCAAUGAUCACCGAAUGAUAAGAAAAGGUUUUCUCGGAGAAGAAAAUUUUGCAAUGGUGCAUGAGCAUUUGGUAUGACACCUGGGGAAUGGGGUAAAAGAACCAAAAAGCUUCACAUUUUGUAUCCUUGAAUUGCGAUAGGAGAAGAUUGAGAAAAGCUAUAUCUUUCUACCCUUGGGUUACAGUGGGAGAAUGAUGGUACAUUUUUACGUCCCAAUGGAUUGAACUUUGACGUUCACAGUGGGGGGCAAUCAGAUUAAGUGUUUCUUUGGAUAUGCCAGACGUGCAAGAAGGCGUUGUAGUACGUCAGUGAUAAAACCCUAAUAAGCUUUUGCGUGAUGAUAACCUAAGCAUUAAGGAAUCAUUUUCAUGACAUUUUGCAUUCAUUCAAAUGUCAUUCAUACACAUCUAGUUAGGAGCAUUUGAUUCGUUCUGAUCAUGUCAUCCUAAUCACUAGGCACAAUUAGGUUCAUAAAAUAGAACAUACAGGUCAUGUUCCCCAAAGAACAGAUCAACGAAGAUAGCAGAUCUUGUCUUCCUGUAUUAGGCAGCGGAGUAGAUCGAAGAAAGCAGAUCUUGUCUUCCUGUAUUAGGCAGUGGAAUAGAUCGAAGAAAGCAGAUCUUGUCUUCCUGUUUUAGGCAGCGGAGUAGAUCGAAGAUAUAGCAGAUCUUGUCUUCCUGUAUUAGGCAGUGGAGUAGAUCGAAGAUAUAGCAGAUCUUGUCUUCCUGUAUUUGGCAGCAAAGGAGAUCGAAGAUAGCAGAUCUUGUCUUCUUGUAUUUGGCAGCUAAGGAGGUCGAAGAUAGCAGAUCUUGUCUUCCUGUAUUAGGCAGCGGAGGAGAUCGAAGAUAUAGCAGAUCUUGUCUUCCUGUAUUAGGCAGCGGAGUAGAUCGAAGAAAGCAGAUCUUGUCUUUUUGUAUUAGGCAGCGGAGUAGAUCGAAGAAAGUAGAUCUUGUCUUCCUGUAUUAGGCAGCAGAGUAGAUCGAAGAUAUAGCAGAUCUUGUCUUCCUGUAUUAGGCAGCAGAGUAGAUCGAAGAAAGCAGAUCUUGUCUUCCUGUAUUAGGCAGCGGAGUAGAUCGAAGAAAGCAGAUCUUGUCUUUUUGUAUUAGGCAGCGGAGUAGAUCGAAGAAAGCAGAUCUUGUCUUCCUGUAUUAGGCAGUAGAGUAGAUCAAAGAUAUAGCAGAUCUUGUCUUCCUGUAUUAGGCAGCAGAGUAGAUCGAAAAAAGCAGAUCUUGUCUUCCUGUAUUAGGCAGCGGAGUAGAUCGAAGAAAGCAGAUCUUGUCUUCCUGUAUUAGGCAGUGAAGUAGAUCAAAAAUGGCAGAUUUUACCUCCCUGUGACUACAGUGGAGUACAUUGAAGCCAAUAAUUCUAUCUCCCUGGUUGGCAGUGGAAUAGAAUGAAGAUUGAAGAUGGCAGAUUUUACCUCCCUGUGACUAUAGUGGAGUACAUUGAAGCCGAUAAUUCUAUCUCCCUGGUUGGCAGUAGAAUAGAAUGAAGAUCAAAGAUGGCAGAUUUUACCUCCCUGUGACUACAGUGGAGUACAUUGAAGCCGAUAAUUCUAUCUCCCUGGUUAGCACUGGAAUAGAUUGAAGAUCAAAGAUGGCAGAUUUUACCUCCCUGUGACUACAGUGGAGUACAUUGAAGCCGAUAAUUCUAUCUCCCUGGUUGGCAGUGGAAUAGAAUGAAGAUCGAAGAUGACAGAUUUUACCUCCCUGUGACUACAGUGGAGUACAUUUAACCCGAUAAUUCUAUCUCCCUGGUUGGUAGUGGAAUAGAUUGAAGAUCAAAGAUGGCAGAUUUUACCUCCCUGUGACUACAGUGGAGUACAUUGAAGCCGAUAAUUCUAUCUCCCUGGUUGGCAGUGGAAUAGAAUGAAGAUCAAAGAUGGCAGAUUUUACCUCCCUGUGACUACAGUGGAGUACAUUGAAGCCGAUAAUUCUAUCUCCCUGGUUGGCAGUGGAAUAGAAUGAAGAUUAAAGAUGGCAGAUUUUACCUCUCUGUGACUACAGUGGAGUACAUUGAAGCUGAUAAUUCUAUCUCCCUGGUUGGCAGUGGAAUAGAUUGAAGAUUGCAGAUUCUGUCACCCUAAGCAGUAGUGGAGCAGAUCGAAGAUGGUGAAUCUUAUCUUCCCAAUACAGUGGAGAAGCAUAUUUAAGCCAUUAGUCCUAUCACCCUAAGUAGUAGUGGAAUAGGUCAAAGAUUGUAAAUUCUGUCACCCUAAGCAGUAGUGGAGCAGAUCGAAUAUGGUGAAUCUUAUCUUCCCAAGGUAGGAGGGAAGUAAAUUUAAACCACAAACCUCGCCCCCUGAAGUUAUAACAGAGUGGAUUGAAGAUAUAAGUCAGAGCUCUCUGAAGAGUAGUGCAGUGGAUCAAAGUAACAAGACAUAGUGGACUGGAGUGAAACUACUUGAAGAAGAGGAGCGUCAAAAGAAAUCGAGACUCGGUGAGACCGGGCAAAAAUUGGUCUUUCUUAGUCUUUGCUCUAUUAUCGUUACACGACAACGAGCAAAGAGGGGCAGCUGUACAAGCCCAUUUUUGCCCGGGCCCAUUACCAAAAAUAAAUACCCAAACCCACCAAACAACCCAAUAACCCACCUAAACACUAACCCAUACCAGCAGACCCAAUUACAAGGCCCAGUGGCCCAAAAUUUUAAAAACAUUUCAGAAAAACCCUAAUCCCCCCUAACCUUAGCCGUCUAGCCGCCUCUUCUGACACCUGGCCUACCGCCGCUCUAGCUUCUGCCACCAUCCCAUCCGCACCUACUCCUCUGUCACCGUCGCCCACUUGCUCCAUCAAGUGUCAAUCACCUGCAAACAAACAGCAAAACCACAGCAAGCAAAGGGGAGAUUUUGUUUUUUAUUUUCGGUAUAUAAAAACUGAUUGGAAAACCAUUAGAGGGGACAGAUCGGGAUGUUUGUAAAAAAGGGGGAUUUCCUUUUGAAAAAAGAAAAAAAAAACAAAGAGAAAUAAAAACUGAGAAAAGGUUUUAGUUUCCAAAUCUUUUUUCGUUCAUUGUUAUUUAUUUUAUCUAUUUUUUUAUUUUGAUUUGUGUAAAAUACAUAUGUAUAUACGGAUAUAAAAAAAACCUUUUUUUACCUUUUUGAAUUUUUCGGCCACCACGUGUGGUGGCCGGCGCGGUGGCCGGCGCGGCGGCACUGCGGCCGGUGCGGCGGCACUGCGGCCGGUGCGGCGGCACUGCGGCGGUCCCUCGCCGGUUUCUGGGCAUUACCCAAAGAGUAAACAAAAAAGGGGGAGAGGAUUCUGGUUUUUUUUAGAAAGAAGAGAAAAAUGAGCUUUUUCUAAAGGAUUUUUAAAUUUUAUACUGUUAACAAAACGACGUCGUUUUGGGCUUGGGCACCAAUAGCCAAAACGACGCCGUUUUGAUGUUUGACCCGACCCGCCUGCCCAAGGGGAUCCGCGUGUUUUUGACGGAAGGGCUAAUUGCACGUUUAGCCCUUCCGCUUUUUAAUGCCUUUUAAAUUAGGUUCUUUUAAUUUUUUUAAAUUUUACCCAGAAAUUUAUUGCAUUUUCAAUGUAGUCCCUACUGGAACUCUGCAUCUUGGAAGAAUGGGGUUAUUUCCCUUUUGCCCCUCCUAGCUUUUUCAGCGCGUUUGAUGUGGUCCUUCUUCUUUAAUUUAUUUAUGAUUUAACCCCGAAUUUCGUUUUAUAUUUCAGUUUAGUCCUUUUGUUAUUUUGUUUAUUUUCUUAAUAAAUUUCUUAUUAUUAUUAUUAUUAUUAUAUAUUUUCAUUUAUAUUUACUUAUGUAAUUUUAAAUAUAUGUCUUAUUAUAUUAUUAUUAUUAUAUAUUUGCUUAUAUAUGUAUAUACGUAUAUGUAUAUGUAUGUUUUUUUUAACUUAUUUAAAAUAUACAUAAAUACUUUUUUUUAUAUAUGUACAUAUCUAUAUAUAUGUAUAUCUAUAUAUUUUCCAUUUUUUCUCACGAAUAUAUGUAUAUAUACUCAUAUAUAUAUAUUUAUAUAUAUUGAAAUAUAGUUUUAUAUAUAUAUAUAUAUCUUAUUUUAUCUUAUUUUAUUUUUAUAUAUAUUUCACAUAUACAUUCUUCCUAUAUAUUUUUCCUUUAGGUUGUAAUAUUUAUACAUAUAUAUAUUUCAUCUUCUUAAGUGUAUGUUUAUAUAUAUAUACUCUUACAUAUUCAUUAUAUUUUCAAGAUAUAUUGUUUAUAUUCUUUAUACUUUGUGAUUUAUAUAUAUACUUACCUAUGUACUUUUAUAUAUUUGAUAAUGGUUUUAUUCGUAUACAUGUAUGUGCAUAUGUGCUUAUGUAUUUUCAUGUAUAAUAGUUUCAAUAUGUGUACAUGCAUAUAUUUUUUCAUAUUUUCAUAAUUUUAUACAUAUAUACAUGUCCUUUAUUGUCUUUUUUACAAUUUUGUUAACCUUGUUCGUUUAUUUAUGAUGUUUGUUAUUGUUUUUCUUCUUGCUUUAAUUUUUGUCUGUUUAUCAUUUGUCAUGAUGCUUGUAUGAUUAUUUUUGGUCUUAUUCUUUAUGCUAUGCUUUGCUCGUGUUAUUUUGCUUGCAUUGCCAUCAUCAUUAUUAUUUUACAUCCAUUUUUUUCGAAUUUAUCAAAAAACGAAAAAUUUAAAAUAAAAGUAACACUCGGUAUUUUAGAUCCUCGAGAGAAUCGAGCCCUAAUGUAUUGGGUUCCGACUUUCUUCGUUGAAUUUAAAUAAUCGAGAUUACUCUUUUACAAAUGAUAAAAAGCUCGUUAUCGGGAAUUCGAUACGUUGUAUCCUAACUUAUUGGAUGUAACACGUUGUUUUCUCGAGACGAGGAUUUUUCAAAAUAAAUGCAAUAUUCAAUGUUUAAUAUUUUGAGAAAUUGUGCCCUAACGUAUUGGGUUGCAAUUUCUUUAUUUGUUUUAAACAAUUGAAUAUCCUUAUAAAUUUAAAUACACAAAUCUUUUCAAAUUCAAAUUUUAAACGAUCUCGAAAAUAAAAAAGAUCGUGUCCUAACUUACUGGUCGUGAUCCUUUUUUUAAAUUCGAGAUAGUUAAAUAUCUUUUAAAUUUUCAGCAUUCAUUCGCGCAUUGGGAAAUUUGAGACAUUGCGUCCUAACUUACUGGAUAUGAUGCCUUUUUCUCGAUUAACGUGAAAUAUGCCCUUUUUCUAAAAAACAAUUUUCAGCGUUCUAAUACAAGGAUCGUAUUUUUAAAAUUCUUCAAAGUUCUCAAUUUUUGACAAUAAGACAUCAAGUAAUCAACUAGGUACCAAUUUUGGGCGUAUCGAGGGUGCUAAUCCUUCCUCGUGCGUAAUCGACUCCCGAACCUGUUUUUUUGAAUUUCGCGGACCAAACUCGUUGUUUUAAUAAAAUUAAAUUGUUUAUUAAAAACAACCACUUUUCGAGGUAAUCCAAUCACACCUCAUUAAAAAAGAUUGGUGGCGACUCCCGUUUUCGUUUCAUUUUUCAAAACCCAAGUUGACCCCGUUUUAACAAAAAAAAUGGUGUCAACAAACUCAAAAUUAUUUUACUCGAUCACCACUAGCAAUUGCAUCCUUGAUACUAAUAACAACAUAAAAAUGUAUACUCAUCUUUUCUAAUCAAUAUGCAGCCACGAAAUGGAAAUUUCCAUGAAAAAAAACUAUUGCAUAUGAAAAAGUAAGUUCCAUGACAUCGACUGAAGCAAAAACAACAAUUGCAAAAAGACAUUGUCUCCUACAGAAAUCCAUCAGUUUGGAGACUAUAAUGUAUAUGCUACAACUGGGUUUUUUUCGUGUGUCACCCGUUAAGGCUUUGAAUUAUGUUGGUAAUAAAUAUAAUUUAUUUCAAUUAAAAAAUGAGAAGAAUUUAGUAAUUUACUAUGACCCAAAUUAUUGGUAAAGUUAAAAUUAAUUUUGUUUUGAACAAAAACUUUCGGUGCUUAGUAUUUAUGUGUAAUUCAAUCUUUCCAUCAUAUAUCCCGAAUAAGCUAAAAGGCAUGGCAUGGUGUCUACCUUUGUUCAUCCAUGUCAGACUUGCAACUCCUUGUAUUAACCCUAAUUAUCAGCCUUCACUAAAGACUUGUAGUUAUAAAAGUCAAGAGCAAAAAAGAUAUGUCCCUCAUAUCACUUGAGGUGAUGAGUCCUUUCUGAACCACUCCAUCACCUUCGUAUGUCAUAUCAUACUUAAAAGAUUUUACUUUAAGCACCUAUCAAUGUGAAUCCAUUUGGUGAUGAAUCAAAGUAUGACGGUCAACAUAUGAGGAGAGUUUGUGUAAAUCUAAGGAUUAUUUACAGUACCAAUACAUGGGAGUAUUUCUAUAGACAUUUGAGUGAAAUACCAAAUGGAACUCUCAUAGCGGGUCAAGUUAUAUUUUAUAAUUUUUCGGAACUUUUUAAAAAUCAUUCAUAUUUUAUUUUUUAUAUUUGUAAUAAUUUUUAUACUUUUUUAUAACUUUUACAUUUUUAAAAAUAUUCGAAUAACUUGACAAGCAACAUCAACAUACUUUCAUAUGGCAUGUCACAUGUCAACUUGUCAUAGCUUCCGCCAACCACAUAAACAACCAAUAUUAAUGAAAUCAGUCAACAACCGUUUUCGUUAAUAAAAGGAGCAACUGAUUUUUUUUCUCAUUGAAUGCUCAAUUGGGUCCAUUUUUCUAUUAUGAACUUAAUUGAUUUUUUAACUUGGUAUUUUUUACCCUUUGACCUUAUAUUAAUAUUCAUUACUUUAUUAAAAAACUGAUUUUUAAGUAAUUUUUCUGAUUGAAUUGAUAUUGAAUUAACUCGUAAUACUAAUUUAAUAAAAUAUAUUAUAUAAACAUAGAUAUAACUUCAUUAAAAUCUGUCAAUAAAGAAAACACCAUUAAUUUGUCUGAAGUCUCGAAUUUCUGAGUCUUAAUGGGUGAGAAAUUUCUUAUAUAGAAACUGAAGACGAUAGCCCAAUUCUUUAAUCUUUUGUGGAAAAUUAGGCAGGAAAAGUAUAUCCACAAAAUGAUAGAAAAAGGCUUUGAGCCACAAUUAAAUCAACAUCUUUAAAUUAUUAAACCAAAUUAAAGAUGGAAUCAUCGUUGUCAUGGGGUCAACAUUUGCAGCUUAUACGGGGUGUUCCAGUUUUACGUAUAAUGAAUUUCCAAUGUUUUUUGCAUGAAACUUUUGAUUCAAUGAGAAAGGAAAUAUUUUCAAAAUCAUGCAGCUUUGGAUUCAAAUUAAGCUUCUUCUUUUUCCCUAGCAAUUGCAAAAAUUUGUUUCGACACAUAAUAAAAGUGUAAUUAUUAAGUAGUAAUUACAAAAGAUUUAUAAUUACAAAGAAUUAUGAUUUUCUAGACAUGUUUGGUGACAGUGUGUAAUUACAUCAUAAUUUCUUAUAUCAUAUUUCGUAGUACAAAUUGUAAAUUAUAAUUUAAAAUUACAUAGUUACUUAAUAUAUUUUUUAAAAAUAUUAAUUACUAUAAUAAAUUAUUGGUAAAAUUAAAAAAUUUCUAAACAAGUAACAAAAUUAAAAUAAAAUCAUCAUAUGUAAUAUGUUAGUCCAAGAAAAUAAUCGAUAAUACGAUUACUAAUAAAAAUUAUAAGAAAAAUGAUUUAUGUUAGGUAAUAACACUUUUUUUUUUUGAGCAAUGAGAUUUGAACCUAAGCUAUUCCUUAGAAAGAUGAAUACUCGACCAAUAGACUACAACUUAAAGUUUUUUAGAAUAUUAUAACCAUUUUUAUAAUUCAUGAAUUAGGUUAAAAUAGUAUAAAAUUUAUAAUAUAUAACAAUUAUAAAAAAAAAUUUAUAAAGUGUCCAAUAACUUCCAAAACACUUCUUAUAAAUAAUAUAUUUUUUUAUCUUAAAAAGUUUUUUUUUUAAAUAAGUCAUGGAAAAAAUUAUAAUUGUUUUAUAAAUAAGUAUAUUAUUUUCUAUAACUGAUAGUAUGGACACAUAAAUAAGUUAUAUUUAAAUUUUUUGACCAUAACUUUUUUAUAAAUAAGUAUGUAGUAACACUUUUUAUAAAACAUAAAUUAUUUUUAUAAUAUGCUUUUAGCUAUAACUUUAGAAACUUUUUAGGAUUUAAAUAAUAUAAUUCUUGUCAUAACUUUAUAAAAUAUUAAAAAAAUAUAAUGUAAUUUUUUAGAACUUAUAAUAUGAUUUUAGAAAUUUUUAUUCAUAAUCAUCCCAAACACGCAUGCGUAUUUAUGUUUAUAAUAUAUUUUUUUUAAAAUAUUUUUUUAAAAGUUAAAUUAUGUAUGAAUUUUCCGUGAGAAAUUAAUAUAUCUGGAAACAUGCGUCCAUAUAUUUUUGAUGUAUCAUUAUCAAGAAAUAUGGACCAUAGGAAGAGCAAAGAUUCAAUCCUAUAAUAUAGUAUUUGCAUUACUGAUACUAACAACAUAGAAAUUUCCAUGAAAAAGAAAGCAUUGCGAAUGAUGAAUUAAGUUCCAUGACGACAACUGGCCCCUACAACUAUUGCAACAAGACCUUGAAUCCUUUGAUGAGUUCCUUUAAAUUCCUCAGUUUGGAAACCAUAACAUAUAUGCUACCACUAAAUCCUUACCAGAUUAAACAAUGGCCUCAUCCUUAACCAUUUCUGUUAUUCUAGGGGUACUGUGGGCUACCAUCCUUUCUUUUGCUACAUCUGUGACAGCAGCAUAUCCAUCGCCAUUGGAGUCCGAAGCCAUAGCUCUGCUAGAAAGCAGGUGGUGGAGUAACCAUAGCAGCAAUACUUCACAAUGUUGCCAGUGGCCUGGUAUAACCUGCAACACUGCUGAAAGCAUCACCCAAAUUAACUUAUCUGAUGCGCCCAACAUUGAGGUUGGAGCUAGAUUUGGGAAACUGAAUUUCUCUUCAUUUCCAAAUCUUGUCCUUCUUAAUCUUAGUGAUCAUCAACUUAGAGGAAAAAUCCCGCAUCAGAUAGGUGAUCUAUCAGCAUUGAAGUACCUUGACUUGUCUUAUUGUGGUUUAUCUGGUGAGUUACCUCCUUCUCUAGGGAAGCUGACCCAAUUAGAAUUCCUCGACAUUUCCUAUAAUGAUAAUAUUAAUGGUUCCAUCCCUCCACAAUUGGGGAAUCUAGAGAACCUUGUGACUUUAAACUUAAGUCAAUGUGGAAUUGUUGGUCCAAUCCCUUCUGCUUUGGGUCAAUUAACCAGUCUCCAAUCUCUGAUCCUUUGGGGGAACCAAAUCAAUGGAUCUAUCCCAUUAGAAAUUGGAUAUUUGAGAAAUUUGACUUAUUUGAGUCUCUCCAACAAUAGAAUUGUUGGUCCAAUCCCUUCUGCUUUGGGUCAAUUAACCAGUCUCCAAUCUCUGAUCCUUUGGGGGAACCAAAUCAAUGGAUCUAUCCCAUUCGAAAUUGGAUAUUUGAGAAAUUUGACUUAUUUGAGUCUCUCCAGCAAUAGAAUUGUUGGUCCAAUCCCUUCUGCUUUGGGUCAAUUAACCAGUCUCCAAUCUCUGAUCCUUUGGGGGAACCAGAUCAAUGGAUCUAUCCCAUUAGAAAUUGGACAUUUGAGGAAUUUGACUUAUUUGGAUCUCAACAACAAUAGACUUGGUUUAAUACCCAUUACCCUGUACCAAUUAACUAAUUUGGAAAUUUUGUACCUUGAUUAUAACCAACUUCAAGGUUCAAUCCCUCAAGAUAUUGAAAAUUUGGAGAACCUCAAACUUUUAUUCCUCACUAAUAAUAGUUUUAUUGGUCAUAUCCCUCUAGCUUUGUGUCAUUUGACGAAACUGGAGUACAUUUCACUCUCCCAAAAUAGCUUGAGUGAUUCAAUUCCUUCUUGUAUUGGUAGUUUAUCAAAGAUGCAGUACUUAAGCCUUGGUUCUAAUCUAUUAAAAGGUCCUAUUCCCCAAGAAAUUUGUAAUUUAGCAAAUUUAACUUCAUUGGCCCUCUCCCAAAACAAAUUGAGUGGUUCCAUCCCUUCUUGUGUUGGUAGUUUAUCAAAGAUGCGGUACUUAAGCCUUGAUUCUAAUCUAUUAAAAGGUUCUAUCCCAAAAGAUAUUGGCAAGCUUUUUGAUCUAUCAUAUCUAAACCUUAGCUUCAACCAACUCUCAGGUCCUAUCCCUAUCUUGUAUGCUACUGAUCUCUACAUUGUCGACGCUGGAAAUGGUUGUAACAAGAUUUCUCCCGAUCCAUUUGAAGGCAAUAGUGAUUUAUCACCCUAUAUGUGUCCUACUCCAGUAACCAAAAAAGCCAACAGCAGCAGAAUUCCUUACUAUAUCAAAAUAUUCCUCCCUAUUGCGAUCUUGUUCACAUUCUCCAUUUUAGGAUGUUUGCUAUUUUCACGGUUUAAGCUCAAGAAUAACCAUGUCAGCGUACAACCAACCAAGAAUGGGGAUUUGUGUUCCAUAUGGAACUAUGAUGGAAAGAUAGCAUACGAGGAUAUCGUUGCAGCAACAGAGGAUUUCGACUUCCGAUACUGUAUUGGAGUUGGUGGUUAUGGUAGUGUUUACAAAGCAAAACUCCCUUGUGGUAAAGUAGUUGCUUUGAAGAAACUUCAUCAUUUAGAAGCCGAAAAUCCAACUUUUGACAAGAGUUUCAGGAACGAGAUCAAGUUUCUAUCAGAAAUACGACAUCGAAACAUAGUGAAGCUUCACGGGUUUUGUCUACACCGACGAUCCAUGUUUUUGAUCUAUGAAUACAUGGAAAAAGGGAGUUUGUUCUGCAACCUAAGGGAUGAAGUGAAUGCUGUGGAAAUGGAUUGGACGAGAAGAGUAGAGAUCAUCAAAGGCAUAGCACAUGCUUUGUCUUACUUGCACCAUGAUUGCUGCCCUCCGAUAGUUCAUCGAGACAUAUCAAGUAACAAUGUUCUUUUAAACUCAAGUUUUGAGGCAUUUGUGGCCGACUUUGGAACAGCUAGAAUGUUGGAUCUUGAUUCAUCCAAUCAGACCAUUAUUGUCGGAACUUGUGGCUACGUAGCUCCAGGUGGCGUUUUCUUUUUUACUUGAUUUACUGACCUUUUCUCUGAACAUAUAAUUGAAUUUCUUCUUACUAAUUUGUGUAUGUAGAACUUGCUUAUACAAUGAUUGUCACCGAAAAAUGCGAUGUUUAUAGUUUUGGAGUGGUAGCACUGGAAACAUUAAUGGGAAAGCAUCCUGAAGAAGUGUUAUCAUGGUUGUCAUCACCAACUUCUUUGGUGAACAUGAAGCUGGUUGAUGUGUUAGACAACCGUUUACCACUUCCAACAAGCCAACUAGUUACACAAAAUCUUGUUCAUGUUGCUACACUAGCAUUCGCUUGCUUAAAUCCACAAACGAAGUCCCGACCAACAAUGAAGGAAGUGUGUGAAGAGUUCCUUUCUCGCCAUACAUCCUUGGGAAUUCCUCUUCGGAUGAUCUCUUUGUUACAACUCAUGAACCGUGAAAUGCAUAUUGGAGGCAAAACUAAAACUUGUGAUGUUUAAAGUCCAUGCGCUUGUUGAUUAGAUAUUGUUUAUCAUGCUCUGAUAAUUUGUUUGUGAACCAUCUCUGGUUUUAUAUAUAUGAUGGAAUGAAUUGCAAUGUUUAAUAAAACUGUUUAUCCGGUUGCUUUAGAAGACAUAAAUUCUGGAAUUUGAUCAAAAUAUUAAGACAUCAUCGCUGGCUGCUUCCUUGAAUUUUGUGCUUCUUUCAAACCAACUCAGAUAAAUAACAUAUAAGUAAAUUAAGGGUGAAUCAAAGCAACAAAAUGCAAUCAAUACAUACAUCAAGAAUUCACCUCAACUAUCUAUAAUUCAUGAAACAAUCUCUCAACUUAUAAAAUGUAAGUGAGAUUCCACAGACCUGAUAUCCAAACUCAAAAGCAAUAAAAGGCGUCAUCAAAACCCUGGCAAGUGAAGACGACAUUCUUUUCAAGCAAGGUAGCGAUACAACUUCCUGUCACCUUUAUCCCUCUACAGGAACUCACAUUAGUAUACAUUUUUAUUUAACAUAUUAUAUAAAUUACACCUUAUAAAUAGAAAAAACAAAUGAAACUCUGACUAUUACAUAUAUAUAAUAAUAUACUGCAUAUUUCCUAAAAAAGGAUAAUAUACCGCACAUGUUACAACGCAUUUUCAAAAAAAGAAAAAGAAAUGUGACCAUGAUAUAUAAUUUAUAGGACAAACAAAGGUACUCAUAUUUUAUAGUUCAUCAUUUUUAAUGUUUGGGACUGUAGUCGGCCAUCACGAUUUGGUCGGCAACAAGUGAAUAUAUUAUGGAUAAACUAUUAUAGAGUUUACAAAAUUACAACUUUUUAGUCUGUAAAUUAUAAAAAGUUAUAAAAUAGCCAUUUAAUUAUUAUUAAAUUACACUUUAUAAAUGAUAAACAAAUAAAACUCCAAAUAUUACAUAUUUAAUAAUGUAAGCACAUUGUAAUAGGCUAAUUUUGGCCUGGCCCAAUAUUAACUAAAUUAAAAAAGAAACCAAAUAUAAAAAUUAAUAAUUGUCCAAUAACAGUUCAGAGUUACAAUGGCCCAAUUAACCCAAGAUCAAACAGCAGCCCAAAACCCCUAGCCCAAUUACAACUAGCCCAAAACCAAUAGCAAAAGAAAGACCAGAAAACCCUAGCAGAGACCAACAGCCGUCGUCGUUCCCCAUGCGCGCAACGCCUCCACGCUCCUUUAGCUGGCUGUACCUGCAAAACAAACGAAACCAACAAGGACAGCAAGGAAAGGCAAUAACAAAAAAAGAUCUAGCAAAUGAAAAAGGAGAAUAACAGAAAAUGAGAUUUUUCUUUCUUGUAAUUUUAUUUUUUGUUUUUAUCAGCUAUAUAAGGCCGAAUAAUCUGUAAAAAAGGGGGAGGAAAUUAAAAAAAGCAGUAAAAAAUCAAUCACAAUUUUCGAAAGUGAUCUAAAUUUCUUUUUUUCAUUUAAUUUAUUUGUUAUUUUCCUUAGUUUUUUUUCGUUGAUGGUUGCUUACUGUUUCAGAAAAGAAACACAAAAAAGGGAGAGGGUUUACCUUAGUGUCGGCGCCGAUUGGAUCUUUAUUCACUUCGUCGCAAUCGAAGCUCAAGCGAGGGUUGUAAAGCUAAAGGCAGCAAAUUUUAUUUCCCUGGCAUCGCAGUAGAUUAAAGCUGAAGGUAGCAAAUCUUAUUUCCCUAGCGUCGCAGUAGAUUAAAGCUGAAGGCAGCGAAUCUCAUUUCCUUGGCGUUGCAGUGGAACAGAUUAAAGCUGAAGGCAGCAAAUCUUAUUUCCCUGGUGUCGCAGUAGAUUAAAGCUGAAGGUAGCGAAUCUCAUUUCCUUGGCAUUGCGGUGGAACGGAUUAAAGCUGAAGGCAACAAAUCUUAUUUCCCUAGCGUCGCAGUAGAUUAAAGCUGAAGGCAGCGAAUCUCAUUUCCUUAGUGUUGCAGUGGAACAGAUUAAAGCCGAAGGUAGCAAAUCUUAUUUCCCUAGCGUCACAGUAGAUUAAAGCUGAAGGCAGCGAAUCUUAUUUCCCUCGCGUCGCAGUAGAUUAAAGCUAAAGGCAGCGAAUCUCAUUUCCUUGGCGUUGCAGUGGAACAGAUUAAAGCUGAAGGUAGCGAAUCUUAUUUCCCUUGCGUCGCAGUAGAUUAAAGCUGAAGGCAGUGAAUCUCAAUUCCUUGGCGUUGCAGUGGAACAGAUUAAAGCUGAAGACAGCGAAUCUUAUUUCCUUGGCAUUGCAGUGGAACAGAUUAAAGUUGAAGGCAGCUAAUCUUAUUUCUUUGGUGUUGCAGUAGAUUAAAGUUGAAGGCAGAGAAUCUUAUUUCCUUGGCGUUGCAGUGGAACAGAUUAAAGCUGAAGGCAGCGAAUCUUAUUUCCCUAGCAUCACAGUGAGAUGGUUUGAAGUUAUCAUGGUAGAUCUUAUCUCCCUGAAGUUGCAAUGGAGCAGAUUAAAGCCACAAAACUUAUCCCCCCGACGUUGCAGUGAGGCAGGUUGAAGAGACAAAUCUUAUCUUUCUGAAGUUACAGUGAAGCAGAUUGAAGCCACCAGUCUUAUUUCCUUGAAGUUGCAGUGGAGCAGACUAAAACCACAAAUCUCGUCCCCUUUGAAAUCGCAACAGGGUAGAUUGAAGCUAUGAGCCGUAUAUAAAGUUACAGUAGAGUGGAUUGAAGCAACAAGAUGCAGUGGGCUGGAAUUAGGCUACUUGAAGAAGAGAAGCACUAAGAGAGGUGAAGACUCGGCAUGACUAGGCAAAAUUGUCCCUUUUUAAGUCUUUGCUCCAUUUUUGUUACACGACAACGAGCAAAGAGGCGCAACUGUAAUAGGCCAAUUUUGGCCUGGCCCAAUAUUAACCAAAUUAAAAAAGAAACCAAAUAUAAAAAUUAAUAAUUGUCCAAUAGCAGCCCAAAACCCCUAGCCCAAAACCAAUAGCAAAAGAAAGACCAGAAAACCCUAGCAGCAGACCAGCAGCCGCCGUCGUUCCCUACGCGCGCAACGCCUCCACGCGCCUCUAGCUGGCUGUACCUGCAAAACAAACGAAACCAACAAGGAUAGCAAGGAAAGGCAAUAACAAAAAAAGAGCUAGCAAAUGAAAAAUGAGAAUAACAGAAAAUGAGAUUUUUCUUUCUUGUAAUUUUAUUUUUUGUUUUUAUCGGGUAUAUAAGGCUGAAUAAUCUGUAAAAAAAAGGAUAGGAAUUUUAAAAAAGCAGUAAAAAAUCAAUCACAAUUUUUGAAAGUGAUCUAUAUUUCCUUUUUUUUCAUUUAAUUUCUUUGCUAUUCUCCUUAGUUUUUUUUUCGUUGAUGCUUGCUUACUGUUUAAGAAAAGAAACACAAAAAAGGGCGAGGGUUUACCUUAGUGUCAGCGUCGAUUGGAUCCUUGUUCGCUUCGUCGUAAUUGAAGCUCAAGCGAGGGUUGUAAGGUCAAAGAUCGGCGGAGCUUUCAGCGGCGUGGGAAUGGGUUCAAAAACCCUAGUAGAGGAAAAAGGGGAUAAUAGUUUUUUUUUUAAAGAAUGACAGAAAGUAGUUUUUUUUUUUUAAAAUUGUUGAUUUUAUAUUAGGUAUGAAAUAGCGUCAUUUAAGGCCUGUUUCAGUGGCCUCAAAACGGUGCCGUAUAAGGCCAUGACCCGCGCGGUGACCCGACCUGAAGGAAGGAUCCACGUGUUUUUUAUUGAUGGGUAAUUUGCACCUCUGGUCCCGCCGCAUUUUUAUUUAUUUUAAUUUAGUUGUUUUCAUUUUUUCAACUGAUACUGUAAAUUUUAUUCGGUUUCUGAUUCGGUCCUGAUGAAAUGGCGCGUUUCAGAGGGCGAGAAUAUUUCCCCAUCCAGUCCCUCUGAGUUAUUUGUGCCUUUCAAUUGGGCCCUUCAUUUUGUUUUAUUUUCGUUUUUUCCUUUUAAUUCAGUUUUGAGUUUAAUUUAAUCCAUACUUAUUUAAUUUAAUGUACUUGAUUUUUAUUCUGUUUAAAAUCCAUUUUUCUAUUAUUUUUAGAUAUAUUUCUUUUUAAAUCUAACUUUCUUUUUAUGUUUAAGUUUAAUAUAUUUUUAAGUUUAUUAUCAAUAUUAUAAUAUAUUAUUAUUCUAAAUUUAUCAUUAACAUUAUUUUAGGUGUAUCAUGUAUUUUUUAUUUAAAUUUAUCAUGUAUUAUCUUAUGCAUUCUUGUUGCAAUUUCAAUAUAAUUUAUACAUUUUUUUACGGUUUUAUUUUAUAAUACAUUUUUAAUUUCACUUAUAUAUUUCUUUGCUUUAAAGAUUAAUACAAUAAUACUCUUACAUAAUAUUUUUUAUUCAUAUAUAUAAUUUGUAUUAAACUAUUUUUAUUAUACAUAUAUAUAUACACAAAAUAUAUCAUCGAUUUCAUAUUAUUAUAUAUCUUAUCUAUUUCAUAUAUUUUAUUUCUUUCAAAACCCUACUCUAUUAUAUACUUGGUUUAUAUCAACUUUUUAUACAUACUAUUAUACAUAUAUUAUUAUAUGAAAUUUUUCAAUCCAUAUGUAAUAUUUAUUUAAAUUAAUAUAUAUAUUUUAUGCGUUUUGGAUUUCUUCUUAUACAAUAUUCACUUUAAAAUUCAUUUAGAUAUUAUUAUUCCAUAUAGUAUUCAUAUUUAAUUCUAUUUUUAAACUAUUUCAAGUCUUCACAUUAAUUACUUCUUUUUUAAUUUUUAUAUAUGUAAUUUUGUGUAUAUACAUUGAAAAUUUCAAAUUUCUUUUCUCUUUUUUUUUAGCUAUUUUAAAAUAGUUACAUUUUAUUUGUGAUAGGCUUUUAGGUCAUUAACUUUUAAAUAUUGGUGUUAAUAUUUACAUGUGAUGUGAGAUUAUUGUUAUUAUGUACAUUGUAUUGCUUGUUUAUAUUGAUAGAUUAUUCGUGUUCAUUUGUACGUAUUUUGGCUUACUAAUUAUUCUUUCGAGUUAUACAUUGUCAUCCCAUUGUGUUUUAUUUGUCAAAAAUUUCAUUUCAUUUAAACAUUGAAAUCAUUUUAUUCAAAAGUUUCCAAAAUAAUGCAAUACUCGAUCUUUGGAACUUCGAGAAAUCGUACCCUAACUUACGGGGUUUUGAUUUCCUCGUCGAACUAAAACGACCAAACAUUUUAGUUUUCAAAUACACAAAGUUUCAAUAAAAAUUUUUAAAGGUUAUCUUAUACUCGGGAAAUCCAACAUUGCUUCCUAACUUACGGGAUACGAUAUUUGGUUGCCCCGGGGUGAGAAGGCCUUUUAUACAUUCGUUCAAAUCUAUCCAAGAAUUAUUUUAAAAUAUGGCAUUAAUAAAAAGGGGAAAUCGUUUUUAAUCUCUUCGAAUUUUCAACAUUCGACUUUAAGACAUUAAAUAAUCAAUUUGGUACCAAUUUUGGGCGUUACGAGGGUGCUGAUCCUUCCUUGUAAGUAACUAACUCCCGAACCCAUUUUUACUGAAACUCGUAAACCAAAAUCAUUUUUAAGGUGAUCCGAUCACACCUCAAUAAAAGAUCGGUGGCGACUCCAAUUUUCAUUUUUUUAAGUCGACACUAUUUUUUAUUUUCAAAAAGUGGUUUCGACAGCUUGGCGACUCCGCUGGGGACUGGUUUUGAGAGUCAAGCCACAAAUUGAUUAAUUUUUGUCUUUUUGUCGAAAAAUCAAAUUUUGUUCUCAAUUCACAAUUUCCCUUUUUGCAUUUCAUCCAUUAUUUUCAUGGUUAAUCAUAGUGCGUUUGCUUGGUUGAUCCAAUUUUGUUAAUGUAUAUCUGCAUUUUGCAUUACAUAAGUUGGUCAAUUUUACCCUUCUUAAGUGGGAGUGAGAAGCUAUUCCUUCGUGAGGUCUUCACCUUCGUGCAGGAUAGUGGAUCACUUUCGAGAUACAUCCGUACCUAUGUCUUCGUGAGAUUUUCAUCUCCGUGCAGCCAUAGGGAAAUGUAUUCCCCUGAACUGAACUCAGCCCAUAUGAGGCUAUAAUGGGUGAGGAUCAAGGAAUCUGCUGGUUCAGGUACCUUUACUUUAGAACCAAACCACAUAUAGUGAACCAUAAGAGCCUACCCUAGGUAAGACCACGCCAAACCGCUAGUGGUCACUCGAAUAGGUGCUCUAUUUAUUUCUUGCUUGCUUUUUCUUGGCACUAACUUGUUUCGUUUUGUUCUGGUUAUGAUUGCAUUGCAUUUUCAUCAUAGAAAAGAGGUGUUGAUUCACGUUCAAUUGCUAAAUAGAGAGCUUGUCAUGGAAAAUGAAUUUUUUGAUAAAGUGGAAAAUAAUACGACUGGCCGAAUAUGUUCCGAGAAAACACAACAAGAGAAGGAUGAUAGCCUAACGGAGGAGUACACGACUUUUUUUCGUUUCCCAAGGAUUCAAGUUGACAAAGAUUAUUCGAGAGUCGACAGCAUCCCAACAUUUUUUAAAUAAGCUAACAAGCAUCACGAGGACGAGUGAGUGAUGAGUCGCGGCCCAAAUCAAGCAAAAAAGAGCUAGUAUAGACAAUCAUUGGAAAAUUCACUAGAUUUAUCUUAACAUCCGGAUGAAGAAAAGGAUCAAUGUCUUCACCUGGAGUGUGAGGGAAAAGCCGUAUAUAUAUCCGCUUUAUGUAAAGAGAUUUGUUUUCUAGUAAAGUUAUUCUAAUAGAAUUGAAUCAGAAUCAACGUCUCUUUUUUGCAUUCAUUGCAUGCAUUUGCAUUACAUUACAUCAUAUACAUUAAAGUCCACCAAAAGAUCCUAAUUGAUUAAAAUUAUUUCAGUUGAUCUGAAAAUCAACAAAAACCUACCAACCAAACAUCAUUACUGUACCUGAGUAAAAGGAAUGGACCAAAUGUUGGAGAGAUUAGAGCAAAGGCAAAUACAGAUGCAAGAGCAAUUAACCAAAUUUUAACAAGAUAUGAGGGAUCAGAUGUUAGAGUUCCAAAGAAGUAUGAUAAGCCUGUUAACCCAGUUAUUGGAUAAAGGGUUAGAAAAAGGAAAAAAUCGGGUGGUCCACUUUAGGGAUGAUAGUGAAGACCCUGCUUCUUCUCCAGGCUUUACACCAACAAGCAUCCAGACACAACCAAAUGGGUAUCCACAAAAAGUGUCUGUUAACAUUAGACCCCAAUACUAGACCGGUACCUCGACACUAAUGAAUUACCCGACAGGCUCAAAUUCCAAUAUGAGAGACAAUCUAACCAAUCCUGUGGUCCAUGAUGAUCUAGCUAAAACAAAACAGGUGAAAGUGGAGUUCCCAAAGCAAUUUGAAGAUCGUUACAAACAGAAAAGGCAAGAGUGGAGUUUCCAACUCAAUACUUUAAAGGCUCCGGGGAAUAGGAAGAAUGAAGUGAAUAACGCAAGCAUGUAUAAUAGGGGAUACACAAAACCAAUUACUGUAGGCCAGCCAAAAAUAGUAACCGCUAGCCAUCAGGGCCUUUCAAGGCAAGAAUCUUACACGAGGACAAAUACAGAAAACGCCUAUACUAAUUAUGUAUAGAGAGCUAUAUCAAAACAUGUUUGAAGCACAUAUAGUAUCGCCUUUCUACUUGAAACCAAUGCAGCCCCCAUUUCCUAAAGGGUACGACACAAAUGCCCAGUGCGAAUACCAUGUAGGAAUCAUGGGGCAUUCGAUAGAAAACUGCACCGCUUUCAAAAAGCUAGUUGAAAGGCUCAUCAAUAUGGGUAUUGUCAAGUUCAAUGACUCAUCUAAUCCGCUACCCAAUCAUAUUGAUAAUAGGGUAAACACGAUGAGUUAAGAUAUUAGGAGAAGAAUCAAGAUAGACAUUGUAGAAGUAAAAACUCUAUUGAGUUGGGUCUAGAAGGAGAUGGCAAGAAGGGGAUUAGUCAUUUCGGAUUUAGGAGGAGGCCACGGAAAGACAAUGAACUAUUGUGAGUUCUAUUAUGAGAAGGGGCAUGAGAUCCAAGAGUGCAUGGAAUUCAGGGCUUUGGUUCAAGGCAUGAUGGACAAUAAAGAGAUGGAGUUCUGUGAGAAAAUUAUAGAAGAGAGAAGCCUAUGCACAAUGUUGGGAAGUGUUCACAUCAAUGUCGUAUAUGAGGACACAACUGAAAAGGGGACCUUGUUAGAUAUCCGUCCUUAUAAACCUGGGAGUGUUUUAAAUAAUUGGACUGCGAAAGAAAUUCCUGUAGUUUUAGAGCUUACUCAGAGUAAUGUUCAGAACACACUUGUUACUUUUAGCCUAGAAGUGAUAAGAAUCCCUUUGUGAAAUAGGCUCAUGUCUGAACGUCAUUAUUUUAAUAAAAUACAUUUUUACAUUUUGAGAAAAUAUUCUUUUACUCUUUUCAUAUGAAUAAUUAUUCUUUCAUUCUUUUAGAGAUUUUCUUCCAAUUCAUUCUUUCAUUUCAUUCAUAAUCGUAUUGUACAAAUAAUAAUUCUUAAAUUCACACAUUCUUUGAAUAUUCUUUGUACCUACAAUAGGUCCUUGGAUAUCAACGACAUGAGUGACACUGCUAUAGGCUCAGAAUUUCCUUUUAAACAAGACAUGUGUUUAGAGGGAUCUCAUAACUUUGAAAAUGACGUAGAUUGUAGCCUAUCUCCGAACUUGUUGAGGAUGGUAGAGUAGGAAGAGAAACAAAUUUUACCCUAUGAGGAGACAAUGGAGAUUGUGACCUUGGUGGAGGGAAAAGUAGUAAAAAGUAGAACAUGCAUAACCGAAGAAACGAAGCAAGACCUUGCUGAGUUACUUCAAGAGUUCAAAGAUGUCUUCGCAUGGUCAUACCAGGAUAUGCUCGGGUUAAGCACUGACAUUGUAAUCUGAACAACAGCACGAUGUCAGAAAUUUGCAAUAUGUUCAAGACUAACAUCAUGAACGAUGCAGUGGAGAAAACCUCUACCGGAGCAACGCCUUUCUCUUUGGCUUCUCACCAUUUUGCCCAUUGAAAUCGAGUUUUCAUCUCUUCAAGUUUUUGUUAAAUUUUAUCCCUAUUGAAGAGGAAGAUCCAAAGUUUUUCGUCAUAGUCAGAUGUACCAAAAAAAAUUUCGCCCCAGAAAGCUCUAUGAGAGAAACCUGAUAUCAAAGAAGAUCCUUUGCAUGCAAAAGAAUUUCAUAAGAAAGUGAAUGUUAAGAUGGGAAGGAUCUUGUGUAGAAGAUUUUAUCUAGAAAAACAUUGAUUCUGAUCGAAAAGGAUAACAAUGACUUGCCUAAUCCUAUGAGUUCAGAUCCAAUCAAAAAAUAUUUUAAAAAACUUAAAAAAUAAAAAAAUAAAAAAUAUUUCAAGAAUAAAAUGAAAAUAAAAAUGAUAAAAAAAAGAAAAAAAGGAAAAAAGGAAAAGGAAAAGGAAAGGCCAAAGCGAAAACCCGCAAAGCGCGCUUUGAUAUCAAAGGGGAUUUGAGUUGAAAACCCAAAAAGGGUGGCUCAAAUUUUAAGAUAAGUGAGGCAUGGAUGUCACCGGGCUAAUAUCCCCGAAGGCUUCUGUACAGCCCAAAUUUUGCCCGGGCCCAACAAGUAGAGACCAAAAUACCAUCAGACCCAAUUAAAUUAAACCACCCCAAACUAAACCUAACCCAAACAAACCCAAAAAUAAACUCAAUAAGAAUAGUCCAUUUUACAAAAAUAAAAACCAAUACAAACCCUAAGCCCAAAUUAAAAUACCAUCCCACUACCAAACUAAAACCCUAGCAGCCCUUACUGCCCAUGUGCGCUGUUCAGCCACCUCGCACGCCCUUUGCCUACCGCCGCUACUUGCCUAUCGCCUUAUCCGCAUGCUCUGACAUCUCUGCCAUCUACAAUACACAAGAAGAAGAAAACAAAAAGGACAAAACAAUAGACAAACAAAUCGAAAGAAAACAAAGAAAAUGGAAAAAUAGUUUUGUAUUUUGGUUAUAAAGCCAAAAUGAGAGGCUUGUUAAGCUUCUUCUUCCUUUUACGAACACAAGAGAAAUAAAAAAAGUAAUAUUUCAAUGUGAUAUAUAUUUUUUUGUUGUUUUAGAUCUAGUGCUUUAUUUUUAUUUCUUUUUAUCUACGAAAAUAAAAAAAGAAAAAUGAAGAAAAAAUGCACCUGGAUUCACACCCGAGCCCCAUCACCGGAAACCUUUUCCCUUGGCGCUGAAAUCGGGCCGAGAGGGGUGUAGGGGGUCUCUAUUUUUGGUUUUUUUCUUAAAAAAGGGCCCUGGCCUUCGAAUGGGAUUCAAAUUCGGGGUUAAAACGCCCUUUUACGCCACGUCGGCCACUGGCCAUGGUGGCGCUAUGGCGGAGGCGCGCCGGAACCCUAGGCCAGAUCAUGGCCAGAGAAGGCAAUGGAGGCACAGAGGGAGAGAGUUUUCUGAUUUUUUUGUAAAAAUGGGAGAGAAGAAGUGAUUUUUUUUUUAGGUAUUUUGGUUUAUAUAAGGUACCAAAAUGGUACCGUUUUGGGAAGGGCCAUUAAUGACCAAAAUGGCGCCGUUUUGGGCUAACCGACCCGAUCCGACUCGCUCCGGAAGAAGGAUCCGCGUGUUUUAGCCUUAAGGGGUUAUUUGCACGAGAAGUCCCUCCGCUUUUGCAGCGAAGUGUAAUUCGAUCCUUUUUUAUUAUUUUCUGAUUUGGGCCGCAAACUUUGCUUCUGCUUCAAUUUGGUCCAUAGACCAUGCGCAGAUGUUGUCCCCUGCAACGGCGCCAUUCAAAUGGCAUGGGAAUAUUUCCCUUUCGACCCUGUAUCUUUGGGUACGUUUAGUUCAGGCCCCAAUUGUCUUUUUAUUUAAAUUCUGUCAUUUAAUUUUGUUUUAAUUUCAAUCUGGUCCUGAGUCCAUUUAAUUUAUUUGUUUAUUAUUAUUAGUAUUUUUUUAAACAAAAACUCUUUUAUUAUUAUCUGUUUUAAGUUUUUAUUUAUUUAUUAUUUAUUGUAAACUAUUAUAUAUAUAUACAUAUAUAUCUUUUAAAUUUUCGUAUGUAUGUAUAUAUUAUUUGAAACUAUUUGUACUUAUUUUUUAUAUAUAAUAUUAUUUAUUUUAAAAUGUUCUAUAUUUAUUUAUUUUAAGUUUUCUGGUAUAUUUUUUAUUCGAAACUUUUAUUAUUUAUUGUUCUUAUAAAUCAUUCAUGUUAAAUUAUUAUUUACUUUAGAUUGUUAUAUAUAUUGUCUUGUUUUAUAUUCCUUUGGUUAUUAAUGUUGGUAUUAAAAUUAGAUAUAUUGUGUGCUCAUUUCCAUUGUGUGUACUAUAAUUUGCUUAUUCGUAUCCUCAUAUAUUUUUCAUGCAUUAAUGUAUCAUUUUAUUCAUAAAUUGUUAUGCCAUGUUCCAUUAUCGCUCAAUUUCAUUUCAUCACUUCAAAAGUUGCGCUCGAUUUGUAUACCUCAAUAAUAAACCGAUCUAUUUUAUCACGAACAAAACAAAUACACCUCGUUCAAGUGUUGCACUCGUCAUCAUUCAAAUCCAAGAAGAGUUUUAAAAUAAGGCAAUAUUUUGUGUUUGGAAAUUCGAGAAAACGUGCCCUAACGUGUUGGGUUUCGAUUCCUCGCUCGACCAAAUAGCCAAAUAUCCUUUUAGAAUUUCAAAGUAAGGCAAUAUUUUGCAUUUGGGAAAUUUGAGAAGACGUGCCCUAACGUGCUGGGUUUUGAUUUCUCGUUUAACCUAAAUAGCAAAAUAUCCUUUUAAACCAUGGCUCUUGAAUAAGCAAGAUUUCAUGUUCAGAUUCGAGAGAAAUCGUACCCUAACUUACGGGGUUUCGAUUUUCCUCGACGAGUCUAAAGGACCAAUCAUUUUAAAUCAAAGCACAAGUUAAAUAAAAACUUAUCCUCGGGAGUUCAAAAAUGUCGUGUCCUAACUCAUUGGAUGUAACAUUUUGUUAUAUCAAGGUAAGGAUUUCUAAAAACGCAAAGGUAAUAUUCUGCAUGUGGAAUUUUGAGAAAUCAAGCCCUAACUUACUGGGUUCCGAUUUUUUUGACCCAAGUGACCGAAUAUCCUUUUAAAAUUGAAAAAAAUGAGGUUUUAAUAAAAAAAAUAAAAGAAAGCUUACUCUCAAAAAUACGAGGUGUUGUGUCCUAACUAACUGGAUGUGACAUCUUGUUACUUCGAGAUAAGGAGGCAUUUUCUAUUUUGAUUUAUUCGAGUAAUUUUAAAAUAACACAAUAAAAAGGGAUAGUAUUUUUAAAUUCUUUUCGAGUUUUUAAUUUUUGACACCAAGACAUUAAGUAAUCAACUAGGUACCAAUUUUGGGCGUUACGAGUGUGCUAAUCCUUCCUCGUACGUAAUUGACUCCCGAAUCCAUUUUCUAAAUUUCGUAGACUAAAAUUGUUGUUUUAAUAAACUCAAAUUAUUUACUAAAGACAACCACAUUUUGAGGUGGUCCGAUCACACCUCAUCAAAAAAAGAUUGGUGGCGACUCCCACUUUCGUUUUAGUUUCAAAAUCCAAGUCGACCCCCUGUUUAUCAAAAAAAUGGUGUCAACAGCUUCUAUUGGGUAUCACUUCAUUUGUGAGGUUAUUAAUUACUUCACCAAAUGGGUAGAGACUGCUUCAUGCGCUAAUGUCACCAGGUUAGCAGUUAGCAAGUUUUUGAAAAAGGAGAUUAUAUGUCGAUAUGGAAUGUCUGAAAGAAUCAUAUCUGACAAUGCGCUGAAUUUGAACAACAGCACCAUAAUGGAAGUUUGCAGUCAAUUUAAGAUCAGACACAAUAAUUCGUCACCAUAUCGCCCAAAAAUGAAUGGUGUAGUGGAGGCGACCAAUAAAAAAUAUCAAGAAAGUUGUGAGGAAAAUGUCUGAGACUUACAAAGAUUGGCAUUACCAUUCACCCUUUUGGCUUAUCGAACGUCUAUCAUAACUUCCACCAGGGCAACGCCUUUCUCUCUGGUUUAUCGGAUGGAGGCAGUUUUACCCAUUAAAGUUGAAAUUCCUUCUCUCCGGGUAUUGGUUGAGCUAAGGUUGGAUGAAGCAAAAUGGAUCCAAUCUCGAUAUGAUAAAUUGAACCUAAUUGGAGAAAAAAGGCUAAAAGCUAUUCACCACGGUCAGAUGUAGUAGAAACGAAUGAUGCGAGCCUAUAACAAAAAGGUUCGUCUUAGAGAAUUCCAUGAAGGGGACCUGGUGUUGGGAAAAUAUUUUUUUCUCUACAAAAGAUUUUAGAGGGAAAUGGAUGCCAAAUUGGGAAGGACCUUAUGUUGUAAAGAAGGCCUUUUCUGGAGGAGCAUUAAUUUUGAGUGAGAUGGAUGGUAAAAACCUGCCUAAUCCUGUAAACUCAGAUUCAGUCAAGAAAUACUUCACCUCUAAUUAGAAAACCCUAGCAGCAGACCAACAACCCUCGCUAUUCUCUACGCGCCUCCAGCUGGGUGUACUUGCAAAACAAACGAAACCAACAAGGACAGCAAGGAAAGGCAAUAACAAAAAAGGAGCAAGCAAAUGAAAAAAGAGAAUAAAAGAAAAUGAUAUUUUUCUUUCUUAUAAUUUUAUUUUUUGUUUUUCUCGGCUAUAUAAGGCCAAAUAAUCUGUAAAAAAAGGGGGGAGAAAUUAAAAAAAAGCAGUAAACAAAAUCAAUCACAGUUUUCGAAGGUGAUCUGAAUUUUUUAUUUAAUUUCUUUGUUGUUUUCCUUAGUUUUUUCGUGGAUGCUUGCUUACUGUUUAAGAAAAGAAACACAAAAAAAGGCGAGGGUUUACCUUAUUGUCGGUGCCGAUUGGAUCUUUGUUCACUUCAUCGCAAUAGACUCUCAAGCGAGGGUUGUAAGGCCGAAGAUCGAAGGAGCUGUCGGUGGCAUGGGAAUGGGUUCAAAAACCCUAGCAGAGGAAAAAUGGGAUAAUAAUUUUUUUAAAGAAUGAUAGAAAGUAAUUUUUUUUAAAUUGUUGAUUUUAUAUUAGGUAUGAAACGACGUCAUUUAAAGCAUGUUUCAGUGGCCUCAAAAUGGUGUCGUAUAAGGCCAUGACCCGCGCGGUGACCCGACCUAAGGGAAGGUUCCGCGUGUUUUUUAUUGAUGGGUAAUUUGCAUCUCUGGUCUCGCCGCAUUUUUAUUUAUUUUAAUUCAGUUUUUUUCAUUUUUUCAAUUGAUACUGUAAAUUUUAUUCGAUUUCUGAUUCGGUCCUGAUGAAACGACGCAUUUCAGAGGGCGAGAAUAUUUCUCCAUUCAAUCCCUCUGAGUUAUUCGCGCCUUUCAAUUGGACCUUUCAUUUUGUUCUAUUUUCAUUUUUUCCCUUUAAUUUUGUUUUGAGUUUAAUUUAAUCCAUACUUAUUUCAUUUAAUGUACUUGAUUUUUAUUCUGUUUAAAAUCCAUUUUUCUGUUAUUUUUAGCUAUAUUUAUUUUUAAAUCUAACUUUCUUUUUAGGACAUUCUAUAUUCAUUCAUACACCUCUAAUUAGGAUAUUUUGAUUUAUUCAGAUCAUAACAUCCUACUCAUUAGGCAUAAAUAGGCCUAUGCAAUGAUUCUACAAGUCAUGUUCCCUAGAGAACAGAUUAGUGAAACCACAAAUCCCAUACCACUGAAGUCGCAGUAGAAUGGUUUGAAGAAGAUGGCGAAUCUAAUAUCCCUGAAGUUACGGUGGAGUAAAUUAAAGCCCAUAAUCUCAUUUCUUUGGCGUUGCAGUGGAAUAGAUUAAAGCUAAAGGCAACGAAUCUUAUUUCCCUGACGUCGCAGUAGAUUAAAGCUGAAGGCACCAAAUCUCAUUUCCAUGAUGUUGCAGUGGAACAGAUUAAAGCUAAAGCCAGCGAAUCUUAUUUCCUUGGGAUCGUAGUAGAUUAAACCUGAAGGUAGUGAAUCUCAUUUCCUUGGCUUGUAGUGGAAUAAAUUAAAGCUGAAGGUAGCAAAUCUUAUUUCCCUAGCGUCGUAGUAGAUUAAAGCUGAAGGCAGCGAAUCUCAUUUUCUUGGCAUUGUAGUGGAACAGAUUAAAGUUGAAGGCAGCGAAUCUUAUUUCCCUAGUGUCGCAAUAGAUUAAAGCUGAAGGCAGCGAAUCUUAUUUCCUUGGCGUUGUAGUGGAACAAAUUAAAGCUGAAGGCAGUUAAUCUUAUUUUCCUGGCGUCGCAGUAGAUUAAAGCUAAAGGCAACGAAUCUCAUUUCCUUGGCGUUACAGUGGAACAGAUUAAAGUUGGAGCCAACGAAUCUUAUUUCUCUAGCGUCACAGUAGAUUAAAGCUGAAGGCAGCGAAUCUUAUUUCCCUAGCAUCGCAGUGGGAUGGUUUAAAGUUAUCAUGGCAGAUCUUAUCUCUAUUAAGUUUCAGUGGAGCAGAUUAAAGCCACAAACCUUAUCCCUCUGAAGUUGCAGUGGGGCAGGUUGAAGAGACAAAUCUUAUUUUCCUAGCAUCGCAGUGGAAUGGUUUGAAGAAGAUGACGAAUCUUAUAACCCUAAAGUUGCAGUGGAGUAGAUUAAAGCCGAUAAUCUUAUUUCUUUUGCGUUGUAGUGGAACAGAUUAAAGCUAAAGGCAUCAAAUCUUAUUUCCCUGGCGUCGCAGUAGAUUAAAGCUAAAGGCAGCGAAUCUUAUUCCCUUGGUGUUGUAGUGGAAUAGAUUAAAGCUGAAGGCAGCAAAUCUUAUUUUCCUGGCGACGCAGUAGAUUAAAGCUGAAGGCAACGAAUCUCCUUUUCUUGGUGUUGCAGUGAAACAGAUUAAUGUUGAGGGCAGCAAAUCUUAUUUCCUUGGCGUCGCAGUAGAUUAAAGUUGAAGGCAGCGAAUCUCAUUUCCUUGGCGUUGUAGUGGAAUAGAUUAAAGCUAAAGGCAGCGAAUCUGAUUUCUCUGGCGUCGCAGUAGAUUAAAGCUGAAGGGAGCGAAUCUUAUUUCCCUAGCGUCGCAGUAGAUUAAAUCAGAAGGAAACGAGUAGGAUGGUUUGAAGUUAUCAUGGUAGAUUUUAUCUCCUUGAAGUCGUAGUAGAACAGAUUAAAGCCACAAACCUUAUCCCUCUGAAGUUGCAGUGGGGCAGGUUGAAGAGACAAAUAUUAUUUUCCUGAAGUUACAGUGGAAUGGUUUGAAGAAGAUGAUGAAUCUUGUAUCCCUAAAGUUACAGUGGAGUAGAUUAAAGCCAAUAAUCUCAUUUCUUUAGCUUUGUAGUGGAAUAGAUUAAAGCUGAAGGCAACAAAUCUUAUUUCCUUGGCAUCGGAGUAGAUGAAAGCUGAAGGCAACAAAUCUUAUUUUCCUAGCGUCACAGUAGAUUAAAGCUAAAGGCAGCGAAUCUCAUUUCCCUCGCGUUGCAGUGGAACAGAUUCAAGUUGAAGGUAGUAAAUCUUAUUUCCCUAGCGUCGCAGUAGGUUAAAGCUGAAGGCAGUGAAUCUCAUUUCCAUGGCGUUGCAGUGGAACAGAUUAAAGCUGAAGGUAGCGAAUCUUAUUUCUCUGGGGUCACAGUAGAUUAAAGCUGAAUGAAUCUCAUUUCCUUGGCGUUGCAGUGGAACAGAUUAAAGUUGAAGGUAACGAAUCUUAUUUCCUAGGGUCGAAGUAGAUUAAAGCAGAAGGAAGCGAAUCUUAUUUCUUUGGCGUUGCAGUGGAACAGAUUAAAUCUCAAGGCAACGAAUAUUAUUUCCCUGGCGUCGCAGUAGAUUAAAGCUAAAGGCAGCAAAUCUUAUUUCCCUGCCGUUGUAGUAAAUUAAAGCUAAAGGCAGCGAAUCUCAUUUCUUUGGCAUUAGCGUCGCAGUAGAUUAAAGCUGAAGGCAGCGAAUCUUAUUUCCCUGGCGUGGCAGUAGAUUAAAUCAGAAGGACACGAGUCUUAUUCCCUCAGCAUUGCAGUGGAACAGAUUAAAGCUGAAGCCAGCGGAUUUUAUUUCCCUGGCAUCGCUGUAGAUUAAACCUGAAGGUCGCGAAUCUUAUUUCCUUUUCGUUACAGUGGAACAGAUUAAAGCUGAAGCAGUGAAUCUUAUUUCCCUGGCGUCGUAGUAGAUUAAAACUGAAGGCAGUGAAUCUUAUUUCGAUUGUGUUGUAGUGGAACAGAUUAAAGCUGAAGGUAGUAAAUCUUAUUUCCCUAGCGUCACAGCAGAUUAAAGCUGAAGGCAGCAAAUCUCUUUUCCCUGGCAUUGCAGUGGAACAGAUUAAAGCUGAAUGUAGUAAAUCUUAUUUCCCUGGCAUCGUAGUAGAUUAAAGCUGAAGGCGGUGAAUCUUAUUUCCUUAGCGUUGCAGUGGAACAGAUUAAAGCUAAAGGCAGCGAAUCUUAUUUACCUGGAGUCGUAGUAGAUUAAACUUGAAGGCAGCGAAUCGCAUUUCCCUGGUGUUGCAGUAGAUUAAAGCUGAAGGAAGUGAAUCUUAUUCCUUUGGCAUCACAGUUGAACAAAUUAAAGCUGAAGGCAGCGAACCUCAUUUCCCUAACGUCGUAAUAGAUUAAAGCUGAAGGCAUCGAAUCUUAUUUCCUAAGCGUUGCAGUGGAACAGAUUAAACCUGAAGCCAGUGAAUCUUAUUUCCCUGGCGUCGUAGUAGGUUAAAGCUGAAUGCAGCGAAUCUCAUUUUCUUGGCAUUGCAGUGGAACAGAUUAACACUAAAGGGUGAAUAUUAUAUCCCUGGCGUCGUAGUAAGCUAAAGUUGAAGGCAGAGAAUCUUAUUUCCUUGGCGUUGCAGUGGAACAUAUUAAAAUUGAAGGCAGUAAAUCUUAUUUCCUUGGCGUUGCAGUGGAAAAGAUUAAAAAUGAAGGUAGCGAACUUUAUUUCCAUGUCGUCGUAGUAAAUUAAAGCUGAAGGUAGCAAAUCUUAUUUCCUUAGCAUUGCAGUGGAACAGGUUAAAGCUGAAGGCAGCGAAUCUCAUCUCCUUGCCGUUGUAGUGGAACAGAUUAAAGCUGAAGGCAAGAAAUCUUAUUUCCCUGGCACCGCAAUAGACUAAAGGUAAAGGCGGUGAAUCUUAUUUCCUUGGCGUUUCAGUAGAACAGAUUAAAGCUGAAGGCAGCGAAUCUUAUUUCCCUGCCGUUGCAGUAGAACAGAGUAAAGCAGAAGGCAACAAAUCUUAUUUCCCUGACGUCGCAGUAGACUAAAGCUAAAGCCAACGACUCUUAUUUCCCCUGCGUUGCAGUGGAACAGAUUAAAGCUGAAAGCAACGAAUUCCAUUUCCUUGGCAUUGCAGUAGAACAAAUUAAAGCUGAAUGCAGCAAAUCUUAUUUCCUUGGCAUCGCAUUAGAUGAAAGCUGAAGGUAGCAAAUCCAUUUCCUUGGCGUUGCAGUUGAACUGAUUAAAGUUGAAGGCAGCAAAUCUUAUUUCGCUGGCGUCAGAGUAGAUUAAACCUUAAGGCAGUGAAUCUUAUUUCCUUAGCGUUGCAGUAGAACAUAUUAAAGCUGAAGGCAAUAAAUCUUAUUUCCUUGGCAUUGUAGUAGAACAGAUUAAAGCUGAAGGCAGCGAAUCUUAUUUCCCUGUCAUCACAGUAGAUUCAAGCUGAAGGUAGCGAAUCUUAUUUCGUUGGCGUUGCAGUGGAACAGAUUAUAGCUGACGGCAGCGAAUCCCAUUUUCUUGGCAUUGCAGUGGAUCAAAUUAAAAUUGAAGGUAGCAAAUCUUAUUUCCUUGGCAUCGCAUUAGAUUAAAGCUGAAGGUAACAAAUCUCAUUUCUUUGGUGUUGCAGAGGAACAGAUUAAAGCUGAAGGCAGCGAAUCUUAUUUCCCUGUCGUCACAGUUGAUUAAAGUUGAAGGUAGCAAAUUUUAUUUCCUUGGAGUUGUAGUAGAACAGAUUAAAGCAGGAGGCACCAAAUCUUAUUUCCCUGACGUCGCAAUAGACUAAAGCUAAAACCAGCGAAUCUUAUUUCCUUAGCAUUGCAGUAGAACAGAUUAAAGCUGACGACAGCGAAUUACAUUUCCUUGGCAUUACAGUGGAACAAAUUAAAGCUGAAAGAAGCAAAUCUUAUUUCCUCGGCGUCGUAUUAGAUUAAAGCUGAAGGCAGCGAAUCUCAUUUCCUUGGCAUAGUAGUGGAAAAGCAGAAGGCAGCAAAUCUUAUUUCUCUAGCGUCGUAGUAGAUUAAAGCUGAAGGCAACAAAUCUCAUUUCCCUGGCGUUGCAGUGGAACAAAUUAAAGCUGAAGCAGUGAAUCUUAUUUCCCUGGUGUCGUAGUAGAUUAAAACUGAAGGCAGUGAAUCUUAUUUCGAUUGCGUUUUAGUGGAACAGAUUAAAGCUGAAGGUAGUAAAUCUUAUUUCCCUAGCGUAACAGCAGAUUAAAGCUAAAGGCAACAAAUCUCUUUUCCCUGGCAUUGCAGUGGAACAGAUUAAAGCUGAAUGUAGUAAAUCUUAUUUCCCCGGCAUCGUAGUAGAUUAAAGCUGAAGGCGGGGAAUCUUAUUUCCUUAGCGUUGCAGUGGAACAGAUUAAAGCUAAAGGCAGCGAAUCUUAUUUACCUGGAGUCGUAGUAGAUUAAACUUGAAGGCAGCGAAUCUCAUUUCCCUGGUGUUGCAGUAGAUUAAAGCUGAAGGAAGCGAAUCUUAUUCCUUUGGCAUCACAGUGGAACAAAUUAAAGCUGAAGGCAGCGAAUCUCAUUUCCCUAACGUCGUAAUAGAUUAAAGCUGAAGGCAUCGAAUCUUAUUUCCUAAGCGUUGCAGUGGAACAGAUUAAACUUGAAGCCAGUGAAUCUUAUUUCCCUGGCGUCGCAGUAGGUUAAAGCUGAAUGCAGCGAAUCUCAUUUUCUUGGAAUUGCAGUGGAACAGAUUAACGCUAAAGGCAGUGAAUCUUAUAUCCCUGGUGUCGCAGUAAGCUAAAGUUGAAGGCAGAGAAUCUUAUUUCCUUGGCGUUGCAGUGGAACAUAUUAAAGUUGAAGGCAGUAAAUCUUAUUUCCUUAGCGUUGCAGUGGAACAGAUUAAAACUGAAGGUAGCGAACUUUGUUUCCAUGUCGUCGCUAUAAAUUAAAGCUGAAGGUAGCAAAUCUUAUUUCCUUAGCAUUGCAGUGGAACAGGUUAAAGCUGAAGGCAGCGAAUCUCAUCUCCUUGCCGUUGUAGUGGAACAGAUUAAAACUGAAGGCAAGGAAUCUUAUUUCCCUGGCACCGCAAUAGACUAAAGGUAAAGGCGGUGAAUCUUAUUUCCUUGGCGUUUCAGUAGAACAGAUUAAAGCUGAAGGCAGCGAAUCUUAUUUCCCUGUCGUUGCAGUAGAAUAGAGUAAAGCAGAAGGCAACAAAUCUUAUUUCCCUGACGUCGCAGUAGACUAAAGCUAAAGCCAAUGACUCUUAUUUCCCCGGCGUUGCAGUGGAACAGAUUAAAGCUGAAAGCAGCGAAUUCUAUUUCCUUGGCAUUGCAGUGGAACAAAUUAAAGCUGAAGGCAGCAAAUCUUAUUUCCUUGGCAUCGCAUUAGAUGAAAGCUGAAGGCAGCAAAUCUCAUUUCCUUGGCGUUGCAGUUGAACUGAUUAAAGUUGAAGGCAGCAAAUCUUAUUUCGCUGGCGUCAGAGUAGAUUAAACCUUAAGGCAGUGAAUCUUAUUUCCUUAGCAUUGCAGUGGAACAUAUUAAAGCAGAAGGCAAUAAAUCUUAUUUCCUUGGCAUUGUAGUAGAACAGAUUAAAGCCGAAGGCAGCGAAUCUUAUUUCUCUGUCAUCGCAGUAGAUUCAAGCUGAAGGUAGCGAAUCUUAUUUCGUUGGCGUUGCAGUGGAACAGAUUAUAGCUGACGGCAGUGAAUCCCAUUUUUUUGGCAUUGUAGUGGAUCAAAUUAAAAUUGAAGGUAGCAAAUCUUAUUUUCUUGGCGUCGCAUUAGAUUAAAGCUGAAGGUAGCAAAUCUUAUUUCCCUGUCGUUGCAGUUGAUUAAAGUUGAAACAGCAAAUUUUAUUUCCUUGGAGUUGUAGUAGAACAGAUUAAAGCAGAAUGCACCAAAUCUUAUUUCCCUGACGUCGCAAUAGACUAAAGCUAAAGCCAGCGAAUCUUAUUUCCUUAGCAUUGCAGUAGAGCAGAUUAAAGCUGACGAUAGCGAAUUAAUUUCCUUGACAUUACAGUGGAACAAAUUAAAGCUGAAAGAAGCAAAUCUUAUUUCCUUGGCGUCGUAUUAGAUUAAAGCUGAAGGCAGCGAAUCUCAUUUCCUUGGCGUAGUAGUGGAAAAGCAGAAGGCAGCACAUCUUAUUUCUCUAGCGUCGUAGUAGAUUAAAGCUGAAAGCAACAAAUCUCAUUUCCUUGGCGUUGCAGUGGAACAGAUUAAAGUUGAAGCCAAUAAAUCUUAUUUCCCUGGCAUCGCAGUAGAUUAAAGCUGAAGGCAGCAAAUCUCAUUUCCUUAGUGUUGCAGUGGAACAGAUUAAAGCUAAAGGUAGCGAAUCUUAUUUCUCUGCUGGCGCAGUAAAUUAAAGCUGAAGGCAGUGAAUCUUUUUUCCUUGGCGUUGUAGUGGAACAGAUUAAAGUUAAAGGCAGCAAAUCUUAUUUCCCUGGCGUCGCAGUAGAUUAAAGAUGAAGGCAGCGAGUCUUAUUUCCUUAGCGUUGUAGUGGAACAGAUUAAAGCAGAAGGCAGUGAAUCUUAUUUCCCUGGCGUCGCAGUAGAUUAAAGCUGAAGCUAGAGAAUCUCAUUUUUUUGUAGUCGCAGUGGAACAGAUUAAAACUGACGGUAACAAAUCUUAUUUCCCUAGCGUCGCAGUAGAUUAAAGCAGGAGGCAACAAAUUUCAUUUCCCUAGCAUUGUAGUGGAACAGAUUAAAGCUAAAGGCAGUAAAUAUUAUUUCCCUAGCGUCGCAGUAGAUUAAAGCUGAAGGCAACGAAUCUCAUCUCCUUGGUAUUGCAGCAGAACAGAUUAAAACUGAAGGCAGCAAACCUUAUUUCCCUGGCGUCGCAGUAGACUAAAGAUAAAGCCAGUGAAUCUUAUUUCCCUGGCGUUGCAGUGGAAUAGAUUAAAGCUGAUGACAGCGAAUCUCCUUUCCUUGGCGUUGUAGUGGAACAAAUUAAAGCUGAAGGCAACAAAUCUUAUUUCCUUAACAUCACAUUAGAUUAAAGCUAAAGGUAGCAAAUCUCAUUUCCUUAGCGUUGCAGUGGAACAGAUUAAAGUAGGAGGCAGAAAAUCUUAUUUCUCUAGCGUCGCAUUAGAUUAAAGCUAAAGGCAGCAAAUCUCAUUUCCUUGGCAUUGCAGUGGAACAAAUUAAAGUUAAAGGCAGUAAAUUUUAUUUCCCUGGCAUCGCAGUAGAUUAAAGCUGCACGUAGCAAAUCUCAUUUCCUUGGCGUUGCAGUGGAAUAGAUUAAAGUUGAAGGCAGCGAAUCUUAUUUCCCUGGUAUCGCAGUAGAUUAAAGCUGAAGGCAGUGAAUCUUAUUUCAUUUCCGUUGCAGUGGAACAGAUUAAAGUUGAAGGUAGCGAAUUUUAUUUCCCUAGCGUUGCAGUAGAUUAAAGCUAAAGGCAGCGAAUCUCAUUUCCAUUGCAUUGCAGUGGAAGAAAUUAAAGCUGAAGGCAGCAAAUCUUUUUUCCUUAGCGUCGCUCUAGAUUAAAUUUAAAGGCAUCGAAUCUCAUUUCCCUGGCGUUGCACUGGAACAUAUUAAAGCUGAAGGAAGUAAUCUUAUUUUCCUGACGUCACAGUAGAUUAAAGCUGAAGGCAGCGAAUCUCAUUUUCUUGGCGUUCCAGUGGAACAGAUUAAAGCUAAAGGAAGCGAAUCUUAUUUACCUGGCGUCGCAGUAGAUUAAAGUUGAAAGCGGUGAAUCUUAUUUCUCUGGCUUCACAGUAGAUUAAAGCUGAAGGCAGUGAAUCUCAUUUCGUUGGCAUUGUAGUGGAACAGAUUAAAGCUGAAGGAAGCGAAUCUUAUUUCAUUGACGUCGCAGUAGAUUAAAGCUAAAGGAAACGAAUCUUAUUUUCUUAAUUUUGCAGUAGAACAAAUUAAAGCUGAAACCAACAAAUAUUAUUUCUCUGUCGUCGUAGUAGAUUAAAACUAAAGGCAGCGAAUCACAUUUCCUUGGCAUUGUAGUGGAACAGAUUAACACUGAAGGCAGCGAAUCUUAUUUCCCUAGCAUUGCAGUAGACUAAAGCUGAAGGCGGCGAAUGUUAUUUCCUUGGCGUUGCAGUGGAACAGAUUAAAGCUGAAGGCAGUGAAUCUUAUUUCCCUUGCAUCGUAGUAAAUUAAAGUUGAAGGCGGUGAAUCUUACUUUCUGGGCAAUACAGCGGAACAGUUUAAAGCUGAAGGCAGCGAAUCUUAUUUCCUUGGCGUCGCAAUAGAUUAAAGCUGAAGACAGCAAAUCUUAUUUCUUUGGCGUUGCAGUGGGAUGGUUUGAAGUUAUCAUGGUAGAUCUUAUCUCCCUGAAUUUGUAGUGGAGCAGAUUAAAGCCACAAACCUUAUCCCCCUGAAGUUGCAGUAGAGCAGAUUAAAGCCACAACCCUUAUCCCCAUGAAGUUGCAGUGAGGCAGGUUGAAGUGACAAAUCUUAUCUUCCUGAAGUUACAGUGGAGCAGAUUGAAACCACCGUCUUAUUUCCCUGAAGUUGCAGUGGAGCAGACUAAAACCACAAAUCUCUUCCCCUUUGAAAUCGCGACAGAGUAGAUUGACGCUACGAGUCGUAUCUGAAGUUGCAGUGGAGUGGAUCGAAGCAACAAGAUGCAGUGGGCUAGAAUUAGGCUACUUGAUGAAGAGAAGUACCAAGUAAGGUGAAGACUCGGCAAGACUAGGAAAAAUUAGCCUUUUUGAGUCUUUGCUCCAUUUUCGUUACACGACAAUGAGCAAAGAGGAGCAACUGUAAUAGGCCAAUUUUGGCCUGGCCCAAAAUUAACCAAAUUAAAAAAGAAACCAAAUAUAAAAAUUAAUAAUUGACCAAUAACAGUCCAGAGUUACAGUGGUCCAAUUAACCCAAGAUUAAAUAGCAGUCCAAAACCUCUAGCUCAAUUACAACUAGCCCAAAACCAAUAGCCAAAGAAAUACCAGAAAACCCUACCAGUAGACCAACAGCUGCCGCCAUUCCCCACGCGCACAACGCCCUCACGUGCCUCCAGCUGGCUGUACCUGCAAAACAAAUGAAACCAACAAGGGCAACAAGGAAAGGCAAUAACAAAAAAAGAGCUAGCAAAUGAAAAAGGAGAAUAAUAGAAAAUAAGAUAUUUCUUUCUUGUAAUUUUAUUUUUUUUAUUUUUAUCGGCUAUAUAAGGCCGAAUAAUCUGUAAAAAAGGGGGAGAAAAUUAAAAAAAGCAAUAAAAAAUCGAUCACAGUUUUUAAAAGUGAUCUAAAUUUCUUUUUUUCCAUUUAACUUCUUUGCUAUUUUCCUUAGUUUUUUUCGUUGAUGCUUGUUUACUGUUUAAGAAAAAAUACACAAAAAAGGGGUGAGGGUUUACCUUAGUGUUGGUGCCGAUUGGAUCCUUGUUCAUUUCGUUGCAAUCAAAGCUCAAGCGAGGGUUGUAAAGCUGAAGUCAGCAAAUCUUAUUUCCCUGGCGUCGCAGUAGAUUAAAGCUGAAGGCAGCGAAUCUCAUUUCCUUUGCGUUGCAGAGGAACAGAUUAAAGCUGAAGGCAGCAAAUCCUAUUUCCCUGGUGUCACAGUAGAUUAAACCUGAAGGUAGCGAAUCAUAUUGCCUUGGCGUUGCAGUGGAACAGAUUAAAGUUGAAGGCAGUAAAUCUUAUUUCCCUGGCGUCGCAGUAGAUUAAAGCUGAAGACAACGAAUCUCAUUUCCUUGGCGUUACGGUGGAAUAGAUUAUAGCUGAAGGUACCAAAUCUUAUUUCCCUGGCGUCUAGUAGAUUAAAGCUGAAGGCAGCGAAUCUCAUUUCCUUGGCGUUGCAGUGGAACAGAUUAAAGCUGAAGGUAGUAAAUCUUAUUUCCUUGGCAUCGCAGUAGAUUAAAGAUGAAGGCAGUGAAUCUUAUUUCCUUGGCGGUGUAGUGGAAUAGAUUGAAGCUGAAGGUAACAAAUCUUAUUUCCCUGGCCUCGUAGUAGAUUAAAGCUAAAGGUAGCGAAUCACAUUUCUUUGGUAUUGCAGUGGAACAGAGUAAACCUUAAGGCAGCGAAUCUUAUUUCCCUAGCGUUGCAGUAGAUUAAAGCUGAAGGCAGCGAAUCUCAUUUCUUUGGCAUUGUAGUGGGAUAGAUUAAAGUUGAAGGCAGCGAAUCUUAUUUCCCCGAUGUCGUAGUAGAUUAAAACUGAAUGUAGUAAAUCUCAUUUCAUUGGCGUUACAAUGGAACAGUUUAAAGCUAAAAGCAGCGAAUCUUAUUUCCCUAGUGUCAAAAUAGAUUAAAGCUGAAGGCAGCAAAUCUCAUUUCCUUGGCGUUGCAAUGAAACAGAUUAAAAUUGAAGGUAACAAAUCUUAUUUCCUUGGCAUUGCAGUAGAUUAAAGCUCAAGGCAGAGAAUCUUAUUUCCUUGGCGUUGCAAUGGAACAGAUCAAAACUGAAGGCAGCGAAUCUUAUUUCCCUGGCAUCAUAGUGGGAUGGUUUGAGGUUAUCAUGGUUGAUCUUAUCUCCCUGAAGUUGCAGUGGAGCAGAUUAAAGCCACAAACCUUAUCCCCUUGAAGUUGCAGUGAGGCAGGUUGAAGUGACAAAUCUUAUCUUCCUGAAGUUGCAAUGGAGUAGAUUGAAGCCACCAGUCUUAUUUCCCUAAAGUUGCAGUGGAGCAGACUAAAACCACAAAUCUCGUCCCCUUUAAAAUCGCGACAGAGUAGAUUGAAGCUACGAGUUGUAUCUGAAGUUGCAGUAAAGUGGAUCGAAGUAACAAGAUGCAGUGGGUUGGAAUUAGGCUACUUGAAGAAGAGAAGCACCAAAAGAGGUGAAGAAUCGGUAAGACUAGGCAAAAUUGUCCCUUUUCUAGUUUUUGCUCCAUUUUCGUUACACGAAAACGAGCAAAAAAGGGCAGCUGUAAUAGGCCAAUUUUGGCCUGGCCCAAUAUUAACCAAAUUAAAAAAGAAACCAAAUAUAAAAAUUAAUAAUUUUCCAAUAACAGUCUAGAGUUACAGUGGCCCAAUUAACCCAAGAUCAAACAGUAGCCCAAAACCCCUAGCCCAAUUACAACUAGCCCAAAACCAAUAGCAAAAGAAAGACCAAAAAACCCUAGCAGCAGACCAGCAGCCAUCGCCGCUCUCCACGCGCGUCCAGCUGGCUGUACCCACAAAACAAACGAAAUCAACAAGGAUAGAAAGGAAAGGCAAUAACAAAAAAGAGCUAGAAAAUGAAAAAGGAGAAUAACAGAAAAUGAGAUUUUUCUUUCUUGUAAUUUUAUUUUUUGUUUUUCUCGGCUAUAUAAGGACGAAUAAUCUGUAAAAAAAGGGGGGAGAAAUUAAAAAAAGUAGUAAACAAAAUCAAUCACAGUUUUCGAAGGUGAUCUAAAUUUUCUUUUUCAUUUAAUUUCUUUGUUGUUUUCCUUAGUUUUUUUUCGUUGAUGCUUGCUUACUGUUUAAGAAAAGAAACACAAAAAAGGGCGAGGGUUUACCUUAAUGUCGGCGCCUAUUGGAUCCUUGUUCGCUUCGCCGCAAUCGAAGCUCAAGCGAGGGUUGUAAGGCCGAAGAUCGGCAGAGCUUUUGGCGGCAUGGGAAUGGGUUCAAAAACCCUAGCAGAGGAAAAAGGGGAUAAUAGUUUUUUUUAAAUAAUGACAGAAAGUAGUUUUUAAAAAAAAUUGUUGAUUUUUUAUUAGGUAUGAAACGGCGUCGUUUAAGGCCUGUUUUAGUGGUCUCAGAACGGUGUCGUAUAAAGCCAUGACCCACGUGGUGACCCGACCUAAGGGAAGGAUCCACGUGUUUUUUAUUGAUGGGUAAUUUGCAUCUCUGGUCCCGCCGCAUUUUUAUUUAUUUUAUUCAGUUGUUUUCAUUUUUUUCAAUUGAUACUGUAAAUUUUAUUCGUUUUCUGAUUCGGUCCUGAUGAAACGACGCGUUUUAGAAGGCGAGAAUAUUUCUCCAUUCAGUCCCUCUGAGUUAUUCGCACCUUUCAAUUGGGCCCUUCAUUUUGUUUUAUUUUCUUUUUUUUUUCCAUUUAAUUUUGUUUUGAGUUUAAUUUAAUCCAUACUUAUUUAAUUUAAUGUACUUGAUUUUUAUUCUAUUUAAAAUCCAUUUUUUGUUAUUUUUAAAUAUAUUUAUUUUUAAAUCUAACUUUCUUUUUAUGUUUAAGUUUAAUAUAUUUUUAAGUUUAUUAUCAAUAUUAGUUCAAUAUUAUAAUAUAUUAUUAUUCUAAAUUUAUCAUUAACAUUAUUUUAGGUGUAUCAUGUAUUUUUUAUUUAAAUUUAUCAUGUAUUAUCUUAUGCAUUCUUGUUGUAAUUUCAAUAUAAUUUAUACAUUUUUUUACGGUUUUAUUUUAUAAUACAUUUUUAGGUCAUUUUAUUUGUGAUAGGCUUUUAGGUCAUUAACUUUUAAAUAUUGGUGUUAAUAUUUACAUAUGAUGUGAGAUUAUUGUUAUUACGUACAUUGUAUUGCUUGUUUAUAUUGAUAGACUAUUCGCGUUCAUUUGUCCGUAUUUUGGCUUACAAAUUAUUCUUUCGAAUUAUACAUUGUCAUCUCAUUGUGUUUUAUUUGUCAAAAAUUUCAUUUCAUUUAAACAUUGAAAUCAUUUUAUUCAAAAGUUUCCAAAAUAAUGCAAUAAUCGGUAUUUGGAACUUCGAGAAAUCGUGCCCUAACUUACGGGGUUUCGAUUUCCUCGUCGAACUAAAACGGCCAAACAUUUUAGUUUUCAAAUACACAAAGUUUCAAUAAAAAUUUUUAAAGGUUAUCUUAUACUCGGGAAAUCCAACGUUGCAUCCUAACUUACAGGAUACGAUAUUUGGUUGCUCCGAGAUGAGAAGGCCUUUUUUACAUUCGUUCAAAUCUAUCCAAGAAUUAUUUUAAAAUAUGGCAUUAAUAAAAAGGGGAAAUCAUUUUUAAUCUCUUCGAAUUUUCAACAUUCGACUUUAAGACAUUAAAUAAUCAAUUCUGUACCAAUUUUGGGCGUUACGAGGGUGCUAAUCCUUCCUCGUACGUAACUAACUCCCGAACCCGUUUUUACUAAAACUAGUAGACCAAAAUCAUUUUUAAGGUGAUCCGAUCACACCUCAAUAAAAGAUCGGUGGCGACUCCAAUUUUCAUUUUUUUAAGUCGAAAUUAUUUUUUAUUUUCAAAAAGUGGUUUCGACAGUCAACAUACAAGGAGAGUCUGUGUGUCAAGUUUAAGGAUUAUUUAUACUACCAAUACAAGGAGUAUUUCUAUAAACACUAAGGGGAUGUUUGGUUGAAGGUAAUGGUUAUGCCAUUACCUGUCUAUUACAAGCCUAUUCUACAGGCCCACUUAAGAUGUUUGGUUCAAGGGAAUACCCUAUUACACAUGUAUUCUGUUCCAGGCUUAUGUAGAGAUAAUUAGGGAUCUUUAUUCCCUUCCCUCUUCACCGUUUACCCAUUCGUUGCCAUAUGAACCCUAUUUUACCCUCACAAAUUCUUACCUCAAAAUCACUCGAACGACAACCAUUUCUUGCUUCCUUCGACUCCGACAUUCCUCCCCUUCAUCCAAGGUCAAGUAAACGUUUUUCCUUCUACUGUUCCUUUCAUUUUCCUACCUGUCUAUUUUUUUCUUACCCAAGUUGCGUGCCAAGUGGGGGCAUUAAGGUGGCCUGGGACGAGAGAGAAUCGAACAACCAGUCGGCUUGGGAAGGGGUUGAGUAGGCCUUUGCUGGCUCAACGUGUGAGAGGGAGGUAUGCCGAAACAGUGCAGUACAAUAACAUCAAAUUUCAAGUGUGGGGUUUAGGUAUGCCGAUCACUACUUCUUAAUCUGGAUCUUUAACAUGUAUAGUAUAUUUUUUAUAGUACUGUCCUGAAAGUUUGAUAAUAUUUUCUUAUCUAUUUGAUUAUUUGAAGGUAAAGAGAUGGCGAAGUUCAUAAUUUCUUAUAUCAAAGGCUUGAGAUAAUGCUUGUUGUUAUAAAUCUCAACUGUAUAAAGUAGCUUUAAUCCGCAACUUACAUGAUUCUUUUGCCUCUUGCCGAUAUCUUUAUAUGUCUGUUCUUGGUAUUUCUUCCGUAAAACCAUCAUAGUAGCAACUUUAAGCAAAUUUACAACACUGAUCACUCUUUAUCAUCAAAGCUUUACUUUUCCGAUACUGGAUGAAAUAUGAUAUAGUAUGGGAUAUUCUGUCUCUAGCUGCCAAUCCAAAAGCUAUUUCUGCAAACUUAAGGUUCUCUUUUUCUGAUUCCAAGUUUGUUGUUAUUCAAAGCCACUGAACUUCGUCAAAACUAAUAGUACUAAGUUGUGGAAUUUUAAUGCUUUAUUAUUAGACUAAAAUGUAUUCAUUUAAUACCUUGUUCUGCAAUUUUUUCUUUCUUUUAUCUUUUGGAGCUUUAAUAUUUUAACACAAGUGAUGUCAAUUUUUUGUCUUGAUAAUAUCUUUAUUAUUUACUGAUGCAACACAUAUCAAGUAACUUUCACAAACAUGCAUUGCUUUUAUAUUCCUUCAUUAUUUACUAAUAUUCUACUGGCCAAUGGCAACUUUGAAAUAAGAUGUUUGGUUUCUGGAAGCUCUCUGUAAAGUUUGUCUUUAUGAGUCUACAUCUGGCCGCUUAGAAAUUUAAUUAAGCUAAUAGUUUUUGCUCUUAAACUUAUAUGACAUUCUGUAAGUUCUUUUAAGUUGUAAAAGAGGUGUAUGCCUAGAUUUUAUAACUAUUAUUAUUAACAAUCCCAUGGCUAAUAAGUGAAUUUCCAUUUUCUUUUUACCUUUAGAACAAACUAACUUUGAGUCUGUCAUAGUAUCUCAAUAUUUUAUACAUGGGAUGCCACUAUUUGUACUACUUUUAUUAUUAGGACUUGGGAUUUAAUUUAUUAGCGUUAUUCCAGGUUAUCUCAAUGUCUAAAAGUGUUGAAAUGAAAUAAAAGUUUACAUCUAUGCUUUCCUGUGGUUCAUGACAGACGAAAAGAUUAAUCAUCCUAUUCAAUUUUAGUAUAUGGUUCAUAUUUUGUUCCCAUAUUCAAUAAAACGGUGCUUCUAGUAUAGGCCAGCCUCUGUAGUAACAUUUCAUGCAUUGUAAAUGAUAUAUAGAUUAUUUUGCUAUAGUAUAUCUUAUAAAUAUUAAUCAUCCUCUUUCUUAAAAACUUCCUAAAACCUUGCUAUGGUAUAUCUUAUAAAUAUUCCAUGCAUUGAAGAUAAUAUAUAGAUUACUUUGCAGGCGGCAACAUUGAUCUCAUGGUCUACUGUAGUAACAUUUGUGUUUUAGAAGUUUGACAAAAAGAAAGAAUGCUACAUGAAAACCUUCUUUCUGCUUCCUAGAAUGUGAUUCUGACUUGUUUAUAUGUCUGUAACCAACAACACUUACUUGGUGUUUACAAUAUCUUACUUCAUUUUUCAAUGCUUGUUUAAUGUAUUUCAUUAAUGCUUCUUCUGGACAAGUUUCAAGUGUAAAUCUUUUACAGGAAGAGGAGCUGAGCGAAGCAGCAGUUCUUAUUUUUCUUAAUUUUGCAGAUAAGCAGAUUGGUAAGUUUCAUGUCUCACAUGUAAUUCAUGUUAUCAUUGAAUAUACUUGGCAAAAUUGCCUUGCAGCCUAUGCUAUGAUGAGAUUCAUUGUAUGUAUUUAUAAGUAAGAACUUCAAAAUGAUUUAUGCCCGUGUUCUAUGCAUCUUUCAACAAUAGAAACUAGUUUUAAAUUAUAUUUAUCCACUCCUUGAACAAAUCAUCUUUGAAGUGGUAGAAUGCUGAGUCAUUUGUUCAUGCACAUUGAGUUCUUCAUCAUCAAAGUAAGGGAUCUGUGAACCUAUUUGAUCAUCCUCAGUAACUCCUAAAGGAAAUUAAUUUAUUGGUCAUCAUUGUAGGUUGAAGGUAGCAACAAGAAGGGGGAAAAAUAUCACUCAAGGGUGUGAUAAGAUAACAAUACCCUCCCAAUGUCUUUGUUGUAAGUUGGUUAUGUGUUCAACUUUGGAAAGAUGAAAUUUGUUAAUGGAAAAGGAAGCUGCCAAGUUAAAGAGCAGCACACCCUCGUAGGCUACCAAAUGUCAAGAGUCAAGAACAACAAAAAAAAUGAACAAAGAAAAGGGACAUAAACAAAUAUCUCCACUGGAAUGAUGAUACCAUUACUCUUUUCUAGUAAUACGGGAAAGACAAUAUAUCCAUGUUAAACUACAUUUACAAUUCAAAUUUGAUCUUUUUACUUUAAACAAGAAAGUUUUGUUUAUAUUUAAUUUUCGAUAUGUUUUUAUUUUUGAUAUGUUUCAUUUAAAACUAUUUUAAUCUUUUAAUAUAUUAUUAAACUAUUUUUAUUUUCGAUAUAUUUAAUUUAUGUUAUAUUUAAUUUUGGUCUUCAAAAAAUGUUUUAUAUUACUUAUAUUGUUUGAUUAAAAACUAUAAUUAACACUACAAAAAUUAUCUCAACAAACGAAACAAUAAAAAAAAAAAGAAAGUAAAAUGCUACAAACAAAUCAUGUUAUGGUAAGAAUGUAAUGUAUAUGGAGUUUUAGAUUUUAUUUAAAUAAAAUAAUAAUCGAAUAUUUUAAAAUACAUAAUUUUUAAGAUAUUUAACGCACUAUAUACCAAUAAUCAAAUUGAGUUAAUACAAAAUAAAAGAAAUUAAGACCUAUUUUCUUUUCUCAUAAAAAUAUUAAAUUCAUAUUAAUCAAAUGGGUUUUUUUUAAAUAAUUAUUAAACAUCAGCCAUCAAUUAAUCAAAUCUUCAAAAACACAUUCUUUUCUUUUCUUUCUUUUUUUUUUCUUUUUUGGAUGAUUGAUAAAGAAAUGAAUGUCAAGUUUUUUACUCGCAAAGAUAGUUGUAAUUUCUAUUUUGUGCUUUGUAAAUAUUCUUAAUAUAUAUUGUUUAUUUUUCUUUGAUAGUGUUAUAGCUUCCUCUUCUUCUUUGGCUUGUUUGAUUGCUUCCUUCACUCAUAGUUGAGCGUCUUGUAUCCUGUGAGGGUGCACAAUAAAAUCAUUAUUGCAUGUUGUUUGCUCCAUAAGUUUAUUCGAACCUAUAUGAGUCUUGAUCCUAUUGAAGCGGAGUUGGGAGAAGGAUUACCUAGUAAUGUGAUAGAUGACGACAAACCGAAUAUCGUAAAUAUUCAUCCAUCGGAUGCAUGGGCUACUUGGAGGAUAGAACUAGCCAACCAAAUGUUUAUUCUACCAAUAUAGGAAGUAUUUCUGUAAACACUAAGGUGUUUUUCACCCUAUAACCUUAUAUUAAUAUUUGUUCCUUUUAUGAAAAUUUAAGUUUUAAAUAAUUUUUCGACUAAAUUAAUAUUAAAUUAGCUUGUAACACCAAUUUAAUAAAAUAUAUAAAACAAGCAUAAAUAUAAUUUCAUUAAAACCUGUCAAUAAAAAAAGUACCAUUAAUUCCUUUGAAGUCCUCACUUUUUGGGUCUUAAUGGGUGAGAAAUUUUUUAAAUAGAAACUGAAGACGAUAUUUUAAGUAAAGGGGACGUUAAAACCCAAGUCUUUGGAAAAUAAAUUGCAUCACGACUGAACCAAAAAUUCCCUUAAGUUAUAAUUAGGCACUUAAUGGAAAAGUAAGUCAACAAAAUAAUAGAAAAGGCUUGGGCACAAUUAAUUUAUACUCUAAUGUCUCGUGUAUAAUGCUAUAAGGAUAAUGCUUAUUUAUUAUUAUCUAUUAUAUAGAAAUAUGGACCAUCAGAAACAAAAAAAGCAAAGAUUCUAUCCUUUUAUUAUAUAUUAUUGAUACUAACAACAUAGAAAUUUCCAGGAAAAAGAAAGCACAACACAUGAAGUAAAUUACAUGACAUCGACUGAAGCAAUGAUAACAACUGGCCCCUACAACAAUUGCAACAAGACCUUGACUCCUACAAUCACUUUCCUUAAAUUCUUCUCUUUGGAAACUAUAACAUAUAUGCUACUACUGAACCUUUAGCAAACAAUUAAGUUUACGUAAUUCAACAUGGCCUCAUCCUCAACCUUUUCCGUUAUUUUAGGUGUUGACACCAAUUUUUUUGUAAAAAUGGGGUCGACUUGAAUUUUGAAAACGAAAAUUAAAAUGGGAGUCGUCACCAAUCCUUUUUGAUAAGGUGUGAUCAGACCACAUUGAAAAGUGGUUGUUUUUAAUAAACAAUUUAAUUUUAUUAAAACAACAAUUUUGGUCCAUGAAAUUCAGAAAAAUAGGUUCGGAAGUCGGUUACGUACGGGGAAGGAUUAGCACCCUCGUAACGCCCAAAAUUGGUACCUAGUUGAUUAUUUAGUGUUUUUAGUGUCGAUGAUUGAAAACUUUAAAGAAUUUUAAAAAUACGAUCCUAAAAAUUUUCGAACAAUAUGGGUUGAAAUUUAGGAUUCUCUUGUUCCGAAAGAAUAUCACAUCCAGCACAUUAGGAUACGAUACUUUAAACUCUCGAAACCAAGAUCACCUUAUGGUUUCCAAAACCCAUACUUUGAAACUUUAAGAGGGUAUUUGGCUAUUUGGCUAAACGAGAAAUCGAAACCCAACACAUUAGGCCACAUUUUCUCGAAUUUCCAAACGCAAAAUAUUGCCUUAAUUUAAAAUUUUCUUUUUGUAUUUGGAUAAAAAUUAUAUCUGAUGGAACAAUAAUUAUGAUAAUGUAAGUAAAAAUAAUACGAGCAAAACAAAAAUAAUAAAAGAUAAAUAAAAAAACAAAUCAAUCACGUACACAACAACAAGCAAAUAAACAAGUAAAAAAAACUAAAGCAUUUAAAGUAAUAAUAAUGGAUAUGUAGAUGAGCGAGUAAAUGAACAUCAAGUGAAGCCAUAAUAACAACAAAGAAAAUAGAUAAAAAUUAUAAAAUAUAAAAGUAUAUAUGUACAUAUAAGAGAAAUAUAUAUGUAUGUAUAUACAUAAAAUUAUGAAAAUAUGAAAAAUAUAUGUAUAUAUAUAUUUUUUAAAGAUGUAAAACAUAAAAAGAUAAACAUGUGUGUAUGUACAUACAUAUAUAUGUAUAUAACAAUCAUGGAAUAUAAAAAGUAUAUAUGUAGGUAUAUAUAUGAAUCAUAAAAUAUAAAGAAUAUAUAUAAAAUACAUGUUUUAAAAGUAUAAAGAAUAUGUAAGUAUAUAUAUAUUUAUGAAAAUAAAAUACAUAUAUAGACAUGUAUAUAGAUAUGUAUAAAAAUUAUGAAAUAUAAAAAUAUAUAUAGGUACAUAUAUGUAUAUAUAGAUAAAUUAAAAAAUAUGCAUAUGUAUAUAUAUUAUAAAAACACAUGUAUGUGUAUAUAUAUAACGAAGAUUUCAAAUUUAAAAAAUAUAAAUGAGCAAAUAAUUACAAUAAUAAUUAAUAAUAAUAGUAAUAAUAUUAAAUUUAUUAAGAAAAUAAACAAAAUAACAAAAUGACUAAAUUAAACUUUAAAAUGAAAUUCGGGGUUUAAAUCUACAAAUAAAUAAAAAGGGGGAUCUUUCUGAACGCGCGCAUAACAUGGAGGGAUUAAAAGGGAAAUUUUCCCUUCCCCACUAAAACGGCGCCGUUCAAAUAGGGACUAAACUAUAAACGCGAAGAAUUCUGGGGUAAGAUUGAAAAAUCCUAAAAUACUUGAUUGAAAAACCAUUUAAAAGUGGAGGGACUAAAAGGGUAAAUAACCCAAAGCUUAAAAACACGUAGAUCCCUUAGAGGGGGUCAGGUCGGCCAGCGGGUUAGGUUAAAAUGACAUCGUUUUGGUGCCUGAGAAGGCUGCCCAAAACGGUGUCGUUUUGGAGUUUUAUAAAUAUAAAAAAUAAUUCGAAAAAACAUUUGAAACCCUAUUUUUAAAAAAGGAAGCCCCCGUCUCUUUCUCUGUUUUCUCUCUGGGCUUUUCCUAGAAACCGACGAUGGGACCGCCGUAUAUGCAUAUAUAUAUAUAUUAGAACAAACAGAAGUAAAAAUAAAAAAUAGAAAAAUAAAUGAAUGAAAAAGGUUUCGAAAACUAAAACCUUUAUCUCUGUUUUUAUUUCAUUAUCUCUUUUUUGUUUUUUUUUCACCCCCUUACAGAUUUUUCAAUCGGCCUUAUAUAGCCGAAAUAAUAAUAUAAAAAAUCUCUUUCUGGUAUCCCUAUUUGCUGUUGCUUGUUGGUGUCUGUUGCAGGUAUUUGACGUUUGAUGAAGCAGGUGGCAGAGUUGGUGGCCCCAGCGUUAGAGGCAGCGGUGGCAGGGCAAGUGGGCGAGGGGUCAGAAGGGGUGGCUAUGGUUAGGCAGUAGGCUAGGGUUUCAGUUUUUUCUAAAAAGUUUUAAACAUUUUGGGUCACUGGGCCUUCAUUUUUUUGGGGGUUGUAAUUUUUAAUUAUUUUUGGGCUUGCUGUAUUUGUUUUGCUGGUAUGGGCCCGGGAAAAAUUGGGUUUGUACAACUUCCCCUCUUUGCUCAUUGUCGUGUAAUGGGAAUGGAGCAAAGACUAAGAAAGACCAAUUUUGUCCGGUCUUGUCGAGUCUUGCUUCUUGGUGCCUUUCUUCUUCAGGUAGACCAAUUUUGUCCGGUCUUGCCGGUCUUGUUGCUUUGAUCCACUCUACUGCACUUCAGAGAGAUAUGACUUGUAGCUUCAAUGUUCUUCGCAGCAACUUCAAAGGGACGAGAUUCGUGACUUUAGUCUGCUCCACUGUAACGUCAGGGAGAUAAGACUUGUUAUGGUAAAUUUAAUCCGACCUACUGCAACUUCAGAGGUAUAGGAUUAGUAGCUUCAGUAUACUCUACUGCAACUUUUGGGAGAUAAGACUUGUCAUGGUAAAUUUAAUCCAACCUACUGUAACUUCAGAGGUAUAGGAUUUAUAGUUUUAAUCUGCUCUACUGUAACUUCAGGGAGAUAGGAUUUGUAUUUUCAACUUGCCCCACUGCAACUUCAUGAGGAUAAGGUUUGCUACUUCAGCCUGCUCUACUGCAACUUCAAAGAGAUAAAGUUUGAUAUGAUCUGAUUUACUGCAACUUCAGAGAGAUGAGAUCUAUUAUUUAUAGCUUGAAUCUGUUUCACUGCAACUUUAGGGAAAUAAGAUUUGCUAUCUUUAAUCUGCUUUGCUGCAAACUAUGGUGUCUUUGAUCUGCUUCGCUGUAGUACAAGAAGGCAAGAUCUGCUAUCUUCAGUCUGCUUCACUGCAAACUUAGGGAGGCAAGACUAGUGUCUUCGAUCUUCUUCGUUGUUAGUACAGGAAGGCGAGAUCUGUUAUCUUUAGUCUGCUCCGCUGUCAGUACAGAAAGGCAAAACUGGUGUCUUUGAUCUGUUUCGCUGUCAGUACAGGAAGGCAAGAUCUGCUACCUUCAGUCUGCUCCGCUGUCAGUACAAGAAAGCAAGGCUAGUGUCUUCGAUCUGCUUCACUGUCAGUACAGGAAGGCAAGAUCUGCUAUCUUCAGUCUGCUCUGCUGUCAGUACAGGAAGGCAAGGCUGGUGUCUUUGAUCUGCUUCGCUGUCAGUACAAGAAGGUAAGAUCUACUAUCUUCAGUCUGCUCCGCUAUCAGUACAGGAAGGCAAGGCUGGUGCAUUCGAUCUGCUUCGCUAUCAGUACAGGAAGGCAAGAUCUACUAUCUUCAGUCUACUCCGUUGUCAGUACAGGAAGGUAAGGCUGGUGUCUUUGAUCUACUUCGCUGUCAGUACAGGAAGGCAAGAUCUGCUAUCUUCAGUUUGCUCUGCUGUCAGUACAUAAAGGCAAGGUUGGUGUCUUCGAUCUACUUCACUGUCAGUACAGGAAGGCAAGAUCUGCUAUCUUCAGUAUGCUCCGCUGUCAGUACACGAAGGCAAUGCUAGUGUCUUCGAUCUGCUUCGCUGUCAGGACAGGAAGGCAAGAUCUGCUAUCUUCAUUGAUCUGUUCUUUGGGGAACAUGACCUAUAUAAUCUAUUUUAUGAACCUAAUUAUGCCUAGUGAUUAGGAUGACAUGAUCAGAAUGAAUCAAAUGCUCCUAACUAGACAUGUAUGAAUGACAUUUGAAUGAAUGCAGAAUGUCAUUUUUUCGAGAAUUAUCCUUCUUUGUCACUUAGGUUAUCAUUACUCAAAGUUUAUUAGGGUUUUGUCACUGACGCGCUACAACUCCUUCUUGCUCGGCUAGCAUAUCCAACGAAACACUUAAUUAGAUUGCCCCUCCACUGUGAAUGUCAAAGUUCAAUCCACUGGGACGCAAAAUUUGUACCAUCAUUCUCCCACUAUAACCCAAGGGUAGAAAAAUAGAGCUUUUUCUCAAUCCUCUCCUAUCGCAAUUCAAGGACACGGAAUGUGAAGCUCUUUGGUCUUUUACCCCAUUCCAAGGGUGUCAUAAAAAAUUCUCAUGCACCAAUGAAGAAUUUUCUUCUCCCAGGAAACCAGUUUUUAUUAUUUGGUGAACAUCGCUUGUUUGCUCAUUACAGUUUUAUCACCAAGACAACAUCUUGUUAUUUUGUUCAAUCAAUGUUUUGACGACAAAUUCUAAAAAGAUGGUCUUAAUUUAGACUUUUCCUUCUUAGAUAUUUCAACCUUUAAACUUGGUGUUUUCUAAACAAUAGUCUUGUUUCAGGUUCCUAUAUUAUUUAGAAACUUCUAGAGUAAUAUGCAAAAUUUCUGUUGUGAAAGUAUUAUUAGUCCAUUAAUCAUUAUUCCAAUGCAACGCUUGCAAAAGGUCAUAACGACAUAUAAAAUAGGAUUAAUUUGAGAGCCUGACUCGAAAUGGAUAAAUCAUCAAAGAGUGUAAGAAUAACAAAGGAAUUGAUUGGGAACACAUAUCUUAAAAAAGAAUGAAGUAUUCUAAGAACAUCAAAUUCAAUAUAAAUAGUAUGAAGACUAGGUGCCACAGAUAUCGUAGCUUGAACUUCUCUAUAAAAACUUUCUGAAUACCAUUCUGAGUUUGACAUGUGUUUAGGAGAUCUACAGUACUUUGUCGAUGCGCCAAGAUGUCGCUUACCCUUUUCUGUUGAUUUAGAUAUAGCAAGAUCACCACAUGCCCCAAUCUGAUCAAAAUUUGAGCUGCUCUGAUCACCUCAUGUCCCAUUCUAAUCAAAAUUUGAGCCACCCUUUUCGGGUUUUCAACUCAAAUCCCCUUUGGUCUCAAGGCGCCCUUUGCGGGUUUUCGCCUUGGCCUCUCCUUUUUCUUUUCUUUCUCUUUUUCUUUUCUUUUCUUUUCUUCUUCUUUUUUUCUUUUCUUGAUAUAUUUUUUUAUUAAAUCUAAACUCAUAGGAUUAGGCAUGUCCUUGUUAUCCCUUCCGAUUAAAAUUAACAUUUUUCCAAAUAAGGCCUUACACAUAAGGUCCAUCCUAGUUUGGCAUCCACUUUCUUAUAAAGUUCUUUUUUUGUAUGGGAAGAUCUUCUGCAAUACUAGGUCCCUCUCAUGGAAUCCUCUAGAGCGAACUCUUCUAUUUUUUUUGAGCUCACAUCAUUUACUUUUGGCGCAUUUGACCAUGAUGGAUAACUUUGAACAUUCCUUUUCAAUCAGGAUUAGAUCCAAAAGACUCAAAGAGAAAAAAUCUCGACUUUAAUGGGCAAAAUCGUGAUAGGCCAAAGUGAAAGGUAUUACCCGAUAGAGUUUUUUUACCGCACCGUUCAUUUUGGGGCGAUAUGGUGUUAAUCUUGAACAGACUACAAACUUCUGAUAUCGUGCUCUUGUUCAAAUUUAGUGAUUUGUCAGAUAUGAUCUUUUUUGGCAUUCUAUACUGACAUAUGAUUUUUUUCCAGAAUUUGCUAACUGUCGACUUUGUGAUAUUGGCAUAUGAAGUAGCUUCCACCCACUUAGUAAAGUAAUCGACGACCACAAAGAUGAAUCGAUGACUAUCAGAAGCUUUUGGCAAGAUCGACCCACUGACAACUGUGCCCCACAUAGAGAAAGUCUAUGGAAAAGUCAUAACAUGAAGAGAUGAAGGAGGCACAUGAAUCUUGUCUCCAUCAAUUUGGUAAUUAUGACAUUUCUUGGUACAACUGAUGUAAUCCCCUUCCAUGGUGAACCAGCAAUGCUCGAAUCUCAUGAUUUGCUUGGCCAUUGUAAAACCAUUAGCAUGUAUUCCUCAGACACCCUUACAGACCUCUUCCAAGAUUUUCUUAGCCUUAACAGUGUCCACAUGUCUUAGUAGCUCAGGCAUAUCUCGGUACGAUCAUGCAAAAACAUCUUUGAAUUCUUGGAGUAACUCAAUGACGUCUCACUUUGUCUCUGCGGUGAUACAGGCUCCGAUCUUCACCUCUUUCUCUUCUCCUAAGCUCACAAUUUCCACUGAUUCCUUAUAAAGCAGGAUUUGUUUCUCGACUUUUUCUACCAUCCUCAACAAGUCCGAAGAUAGGCUACAAUCUAUGUCAUCUUCAAAGUCAUGAGAUCCCUCUAAACACAUGUCUCGCUCAAAAGGAGAUUCUGAGUCUGUAGCAAUGUCACUCAUGUAAUUGAUAUCUAAAGACCUAUUGUGGGUACAAAAGAAUAUACAAAGAAUGUAUGAAUUUAUGAAUAAUUAUUUGUACAGUAUGGUUAUGAAUGAAAGAUUGAUUUGGAAGAAAAUCCAAAAGAAUGAAAGAAUCAAAAAUGAUUACUCGUAAAGAAUGAAAGAAGAUUGACUUAAAAAUGAUCACAAAGAUGUAUUAAAAUAAUGACGUUCAGACAUGAUCCUAUUUCACAAAGGAGUUCUUAUUGCCUCUAGGCUAAAAGCAACAAGUGUGUUCUGAACAUUACUCUAAGUAAGCUCUAAAUACUACAGAGAUUUCUUCUGCAGUCUAAUUAUUUAGAAUACUCCCAAGUUUAUAAGGGUGGAUAUCUAACAAGGUCUCUUUUCAGUUGUCUUCAUGUAUGGCAUUGAUGUGAACAUUUCCUUCUUCUUCCUCUUUUUUUUUCACACUUCUUCACAAAGAUCAAUCUCUUUAUUGUCCAUCAUAUUUAGUUGGAUCUUGGCUAACCGCUCUUACAUUUGCAACUGUAGUUGGUAUUGCUCCCUCUUUGGAGUUGUUCAAGUUUUUCCAAUCUUGGUCCAUGUCUUUUUGCUUUGGUACCGUAACGAUGCUUAGUUAAUAGAUUUUUUUUCCCAGGUUAACUGAAAUAAUUUUACCUAAUUAAGGUCCUCUUGUGAAAAUCUAAUGCAUAUGAUGCAAUGUAAUGCAAAUGCAUAGAAUGAAUGCAAAAAGAAGUUGACUCCGAUUCAAUUCCAUUUAGAAAACUUUACUAAAAAACAAAUUUCUUUACAUAAAAUGGAUGCAUGUAUGGCCUCGCCCUCAUAUCCAAGAAACAACAUCGAUAUUUCCCUUUGUUCGAAUGUUUAAGAUAAAUCUCGUAAGUUUCCAAUGGAUGCCACUACUAGCUCCUUCUUUCUUGAUCCUGGUUGCAAUCCAUUGUCUGCCCAUUCUCGUAAUGCUCAUCACCUUCUUUAAAGAAGUCAGAAUGUUGGCGACUCUCAAAUAAUUAGCUUGAAUCUUCGGGCCACGAAGUAAAGUCAUGUACUCUUCUGUCACCCUUCUUUUGUUGUGUUUCUUGGGAAAUAUUCGGGCAGCCAUAUUAUCUUUCACUUUAUCAAAAAAUUCAUUUUCCAUGACAAGCUUUCUAAUUUAGUAAUCAAACUUGAAUCAACACCUUUUUUCUAAGAUGAAAAUGCAAUGCAAUCAUAACCAAAACAAAACGGAACGGGUUAGUACAAAGCAAAANNNNNNNNNNNNNNNNNNNNNNNNNNNNNNNNNNNNNNNNNNNNNNNNNNNNNNNNNNNNNNNNNNNNNNNNNNNNNNNNNNNNNNNNNNNNNNNNNNNNNNNNNNNNNNNNNNNNNNNNNNNNNNNNNNNNNNNNNNNNNNNNNNNNNNNNNNNNNNNNNNNNNNNNNNNNNNNNNNNNNNNNNNNNNNNNNNNNNNNNNNNNNNNNNNNNNNNNNNNNNNNNNNNNNNNNNNNNNNNNNNNNNNNNNNNNNNNNNNNNNNNNNNNNNNNNNNNNNNNNNNNNNNNNNNNNNNNNNNNNNNNNNNNNNNNNNNNNNNNNNNNNNNNNNNNNNNNNNNNNNNNNNNNNNNNNNNNNNNNNNNNNNNNNNNNNNNNNNNNNNNNNNNNNNNNNNNNNNNNNNNNNNNNNNNNNNNNNNNNNNNNNNNNNNNNNNNNNNNNNNNNNNNNNNNNNNNNNNNNNNNNNNNNNNNNNNNNNNNNNNNNNNNNNNNNNNNNNNNNNCAAAUAUAAGUAAAUUAAUUGUGAAUUAAAGCAAAAAAAUGAAAUUUAUAAAUACAAUGUUCCUUUCAUCAAUUUGCAUAAAGGUUAAAUGGUUUAGAAGAAAGCUUUCUAAAAAAAGACUACACUAAAAUGACCAAACCAUUUUGGAAAGAGGGAAAGAUGCUUAGGGGUAAUUUUUGUUAAAGAAAAGGCCACUAAAGACUUCAUUAAUGCUUAGGGUAAGAUACUUAGGGGCAAGGACUCUUAAUAUUUUUACAUUAUCUAUAAUAAUUCAAUUUGAUUUAGUUUUUUUAUUUUUAUAUUAAUUUUAAGUUUAGGAUUUUAAACUUAUUUUAAUAAAAUGAACUUUAUUUUAUGAUUUUUGUAUAUUAUUGGGUAAACUUUGACUUAUUAUAUAAGGCUUAGAAUCUCUAGUCCUAUGAUGAAAGGGUUCGGAAAUUAAAGCACAAAAAGUAUUUAUAAAGUGAAAACUAUGAACAAAACAGAGUAAUCACUAGGGAUAAUAAUAUAAUAUAAUCUCUCUUCCAACUUUGGCUUUAGUAUAAAUGAUCUUUCAUUCCACCAACAAGCCAUGUCUCUUAGGCUAUAUCAGAUGAAAUUUUUGUAGAAAUCAAGGUCGUAUUUCAUCACAUACUAAGCUCUCUUUCACCUUCAUGUUUUCUUCUUCCGUUAAAGACCUCAAUUUUUUUGUUUUUUCCUCGUCUUUCCUCUUGCACUCUUGUUUGUCUCCUUCAUCUUUCCCAUCCUCUUCGACCCAGUUAGCUUCUUCUAACCAGCUCUUAGCAAAAGCAGAUCGACAAUGCAUAAGCAAGAGAGCAUUUGUAGGUGGGACUGCAUUAGCUUGACCAUCAACAUGAUCGAAGGAGCAUUUACCAGAAAUCACAAUUCUUAAUAUCAAUUUGCAAGUCUGAGAAGAUUACAGAUUUAAAAACCUAAUUGUCUACUUAAAGGUCUAAAGUCAAAUACUGAGUUGGUUAUAACAUGUAAUUAAGUAAUGAAACCUGCAUUUAUAAUUUAUUGAAGGAAUCAGGCUGCCACAAUAUCUAUAAAUGAUUAAGUUCAAGCUAUACAAAUUAUAUUAAAAAUAAGAUGACCAUUACAAAAAAUAAAAAAAGAAGGCCCUUUUCAGCGACAAUAACAUGUAAUUAAGUAAACCAUGUAUUUUUUGUUUCUUAAUCUUAGCCUGAACUUCCGUUUGCUUACCAAUAUUUCUGGAAAAUGAUUUACUUUCUAAGAAUGAUUUACUUUUUUGGUGUUUGAAUGAAUCUGUAUAAAAUAUUUUCUGUUGUUUGGCAGAUUCCUGAAAAUAUUUCAAAAAAAACUGUUUUAAAUGAAACAUACAUUUGAGAAUUUAAUUGAGUUUAUUUAUAUCUACCAAUAAAUUUAUAUUUUACAUUAUUUUUACAUAUAUUUCAACCACAAUAUCAUUUCUCACCUCAUUAUUAUUUAUUUAUUUUCUAAUUUAAUUAUAAGGACAAAUUCUAUUUUUCAUUGUUUUUUCGUUUUACACUUUCAAUUUUCAAACGUUCCAAUUUUGAAUAUAAAAAAUAAAUAUCCAUUUAAUAAUUAUAUUUAAGUGUGAUUAUACAUGAUUGGUAACUUGUAAAUACACUAUUUUUAGUUUUUUCACUUUACCCAUAAUUAUUUAUUAAAAUAAUUUUAUAAAUAUAUAUUUUUAAUAUAAAAUAUAUUCAUUCGGGAGUCUUACCUUAUAAUAUCCACAUACAUGUUAUGGCUUAGGUUUGGAUAAUAUUAGACUUUGGAUUAACAGGAACGAUAGAAGAAAUUGAUGUUGUCAAGUUGCACCAUAGAAACUAUCAUAUUCUCCUCCAAUGUAAACAAACCAAAAACUACUGUUCUAUUUAUCAACCACUGCACAAGUAGUGUGUAUUUCUUUUGUUAUACAUAUAAGCACAACUCCGCAUAUAUGAAUUAUCUACCAACUACUCACGAAAGGCUUUUAAAAAAAUAUUAGUUAGUAAAGCCAUCCAAGAGGAAAUAUGCUACUAACGUGAAACGGGCAAAAUUACAUAGUAAAUAUGUCUUCAUGAGACUGCUGUAUUUCUUUAAGAACCAAAAGAACUAUAAGUGAAGGCAAAAUAGUUUAUUGUUUCAACUCUCUAUCCCCAUGCCUCAUUGUGCAAUGAAUAAAGUACAUCAAGCAGGGAUUUAUCCCUCGCCAUAAAUAUAUCGCACUAGUCUUUGCUUUAUACAAAUUUCUUGAAACACAACUUUGGAAUUUUAAUAUUUGGAACUCCUAAGCUACCUGAAAUAACUGCAAGUUACCAUGACUAAAGUGCAUACAUACAUAUAUGAAAGUUGCUCAAGCAAUGAUAAGAUAAUUAAUUGCUAAAAAUCUUUAUUGAUUUUGUGGAGAGACAAUCAGACAAGUCAUGUCAGAUUAAUGAUGGGACAAAAAGGGUUUCUGGACUUUUAAAGUUAUGAAUGCAUCUAUCAGGCUCAAACAUUUCCAAUAUCUAAUUUAUGGUGUACAUCUCAAAGCAAAGAAUGCAAAGCAUCAGGCUUAAAGAUCAUAAUAUGCACAAAAAAUGUAGUGGCCCUGCAAGGUCUGCAUCAUGUCAUGCAUGCAUAGAUACAUUACAUUACUACAAGCAAAUUUAUAGCUUUAUCGGUCUAUAACACGGUAGCAUAAUUAGAAACUAUCAAACAUGUCAGAGCGUGCAUGUCUGAAUCAAAGUACAAAGGCAAAAAUAUACAGGUUUCUUCUCACUACAGUAUAGUAUAAACAAACUUCUAUUGCCUGCAAAGGAUGGAAGAUGCUAACUCAAGCCUUACAAUAGUGCAUACAUCACAAGAUGCAUGCGAGCCAAUGGCGCUUCAAGAGACAUGAAACUUUACACAGUUAGAAUCUUCACAUUUACCCCAAAAGUUCAGACUUCAGACAAUAGAAAAUGGUAGAUAAACUAGCUUUUUAUAGUGUCAAACAUGCUGCAUUACAACAAAAUAAUCAGAUUGUUCUUCUCUGAUAAAACAAAAGGUUAACAUUUAGAGUUUAAAACAAACGAAAAAUGAAAAAAAUAAUUGGAAAUAGACUAUUAACCAAAUAAAAAAAUGAAAAAUAAUUUCUAAUAAAUAUAUGCUAAAUAAAAACCCAAAAUGGCAAUUGGUCUUGAAUCCAAAUCUCUUAAAAAUUCAAGAAACAAAUUCCAAUUCUAAAAAUCCCAGUCUCUUAACAAAACAAAUACCAAAUAUACCAAAUACCCUUUCCCUUACACAUAAAAGCUAAUUCAAGAGAUUACCAAAACAAAAAUGCAAACUCAAGAACCAAGCUUGAAAAACAACCAAAACCCCCACUUCAAAUCUUGGUCAACUUACCCUGAAAAAUCACAUAGAAAGAGAAAAAAAGAAACUCACAUGUGGCCAUGGAGAAAGCAACGAAUUUACAGAGUAACCAAAAUACAAUAACUUUGAAGAACAAAAACAAUCAGGGAAAUAACCAAAGAGAAAAGCAUCAAUGAAAUGGACUGAAGCAAUAAAACACUGUAGACUGGAAUGAAGCUACUUGAAGAGAAGCACCCAAAGAAGUCAAGACUCGGUGAGACCGGGCAAAAUUGGUCUUUCUUAGUCUUUGCUCUAUUCCCGUUACACAAGAAUGAGCAAAGAGGGGCAGCUGUAAGAGCCAAUUUUUGCCCGGGCCUAUACCAACAAAAUAACCCAAAUAAUAAAAACAAAAAUAGUCCAUUUUCAGCAAAUUUAAACCCAAAAAACUACAAGCCCAAACCCAAUAGGCCCAAAAAUCAGAAACCCUAAGCCCACAAACUUAAAGAUUUUCAGCAAACCCUAGUUGCCUCCCCUAAAACUUGGCACCGCAAGCUUCCAUGCGUGGCCUCCUCGUCUGCCACGCCCUCGCGUCGCCGCACGCCAGCACCCCAUCCACGCGCAUCUGACACUGUUCUGUCACCUGCAAAAGACAACCAACAGAACAACAAAUAGAGAAAACAAAUAGAAAAUGACAAAUGAGGCAGAGAUUAAACGUUUGUAAUCGGCUAUAAAAAGCCGAAUAAGGCAAUUGUACUCUUCUUCUUCCGAUUUUACGAACAAAAAAGAGAAAUAAAAAAACAAAAAAAAUAAAGGUGAUUUUUUAGAUCUGUUGUUUUUAUUUUUUUUAUUUUACUUCAUUUAUUUUUUUUCAAACAAAAACAAAAUAAAGAGGAGGGGGCUUACCGGAUGCCCGUGACCAUCGUCGGAUGGUUGGUCUCCGUCAUCGAGACCAAAUUCGGAGGGAGAGGGCUGUGGGCCUCUAUCUCGGACCUUAUGGGGUUCGAAAGCCCGUCUGCUCAACCCACCAAGAACCAGGCUUUAAAAGCCUUUCGUCGCGCUUCGUUGGCCGUCGUUUUGGUGGCGGUGCGGCGGAUAGACGAACGGUGGUGAGAGGCCGAUCGUCAGAGGGCAUGGGGAGUAUUGAGAGGGUUGCUGCAGUUUUUUAGUGUGAAGGGUAGGGAAAUGAGAAAAAUAAAAAAGGGUUGUUAAAGUAAAGACGAAAACGGCACCGUUUAAGGGAAGGUGAUCUGCGCAUUCUGCCCUAAUGGGUAAUUUGCGCAUUUGGUCCCUUCAUCUUGCGCUGAAGCGCAAUCUGACCUUUGUAUUUUUUUAAUUUGGGGCCGCGAAUUCUGUGUCUGCUUCAAUCUGGUCCUUAGACCGUGCACAGAACCUCACUGCAUUUAGGGCUGGGGAAUAUUUCCCUACAGGUCCCUCACGCUUCGAGCGUGUUUCAGUUCGGUCCCUUGCAACUUUUUUUAAUUAUUUGCAGUUUAAACCCCAAUAUUGUGACCCGAAUUUAAUUCAGUCCUCAGACCUAUUAUUCUCAUUUUUAUUUAUUUUUUAUUUACUUUUGUUUAUAUUUGUUUUUAAUUUUAUUUUAAAUAAAAAGGGGUUUUUAUUAAAUUUUCCUUUUAACUUUUUAUUUGUUUGUUUAUUUUAUAUUUAACAUUUAAUCUGAUUUUUAUUAGUUGUAUGUUUUUUAUGUUAUUAUUAUUAUUAUUCGAUGAUUUGAUUUAUAUUAAAUUUUAUAUAUAAUACAUGAAUGUUUUACUCCUUUUGGCAUUUUACUAGUUAUGUGUUUUAUUUUCGCUAUUAUAUUGUCAUUCAUAUCAUUGCUUUUGUGCAUAUAUGUUAGUGUUAGGUUUUGAUAGUAUCAAGGCUAUAUGAUUAUUAUAUCAUGUGUAUUAUGUUAUAGUUGUUGCAAAUGUAUGUUAUAAUAUUACUAUUAGUUAGAUAUGCUUUUUAUCUCAAGUAUUUCUUUUUAGUAUAGUCCAAAUCGCAUACGCGUUACUCUUAAAUAUUCCGUUAAUUCAUACUCAAAAUUCAAAAGGGUAAAAUUUCGAAAAUAAAGGCAAUAUUCCUUAUUUAGAAAAUUCGAGAAAAUCGUGCUCUAACUUACUGAGCUUUGAUUUUUCUUGCGUUGAUCUCAAAUAACCGAAUAUCCUUUUAAAAUUGAAAUAAAUGAGGUUUAAAUAAAAAAUAAAAGGCAAGCUUACUCUCAAAAUACAAGGUGUCGUGUCCUAACUUACUGGAUGUGACAUCUUGUUAAUUCGAGAUAAGAAUGCAUUUUUCAUUUUGAUUUAUUUGAGUAAUUUUUUAAAAUAACACAAUAUAAAGAGGGAUCGUAUUUUUAAAUUCUUUUCGAGUUUUUAGUUUUCGACACCAAGACAUUAAUUAAUCAACUAGGUACCAAUUUUGGGCGUAUCGAGGGUGAUAAUCCUUCCUCGUACGUAACCGACUCACGAAUCCAGUUUUCUAAAUUUCGUGGACCAAACUCGUUGUUUUAAUAAAAUUAAAUUGUUUAUUAAAAACAACCCCUCUUCAAGGUGAUCCGAUCACCCCUUAUCAAAAAGGAUUGGUGGCGACUCCCGUUUUCGUUUUCGUUUUCGUUUUCGUUUUCGUUUUCAUUUUCAAAAUCUAAGUCGACCCAGUUUUAACAAAAAAAUGGUGUCAACAGCUUGGCGACUCCACUAGGGAUGAAAUUUGUGAGAGUCAAGCCAUGUGUUGAUUAUUUCUUGUAUUUUUGUCAAAAGUUAAAAAUUCGAUUUAAAUUUAUGAUCCUCUCAUUGCAUCUCUUUUGUUUUGAGUUAUAUUUUUUAUCAUGUUCUGUAUUUUAUUUUUAUAUCUCUGCACAUUGCAUUGCGUGGCCACUGGUCACACCCUUUUCAGUGGGAGUGAGAAACUAGUCCUUUGUGAGGUUUUCACCUCCGUGCAGGAUAGUGGAUCACUUUCGGAAUACAUCCGUACCUAUGUCUUCGUGAGAUUUUCAUCUCCGUGCAGCCAUAGGGAAAUGUAUUCCCCUGAACCAAACUCGGUUCGUAUGAGCCUAUAAUGGGUGAGGAUCGAGGAAUCUACUGGUUCGGGUACCUUUGCUUUAGAACUAGACCUCAUAUAGUGAACCUAAGAGCCUACCCUAGGUAAAACCACUUCAAACCCCUAGUGGUCACCCGAAUAGAUGUUUUAUUUAUUCUUGUUUGCUUUUGCCUUGUACUAACCUGUUUUCUUUUUGGUUAUGAUUGCAUUGCAUUUUCAUCAUAAAAAAGAGGUGUUGAUUCAUGUUCAGUUGCUAAAUAGAGAGUUUGUCAUAAGAAAUUGGGUUUCUUGAUAAAGUGGAUGACAAUACGGUUGUCCUAAUAUGGUCCAAGAAAGCGUGAUAAGAGAAGGAUGAUAGCUUAAUGGAGGACUACAUGACUAUUGCUCCGUUGCCCGAGGAUUCAAGAUGACAAAAAUUAUUCGAGAGCCGCUGAACUUUCAUAAAGAGGAGCCAACGAGCUUCACGAUGAUGAAUGAGUAAUGAGACGCAGCCCAGAUCAAGCAAAAAGGAGAUAGAAGAGACGUCUCUCUUGAGGAGUUCGUAAGAUUUAUCUUAGUGCUCGAAUAAAGAAAAGGAUCGAAUGUCUCCGCCUAUGAGGGCAAAGCCGUAUAUGUAUCCGCUUUAUGUAAAGAGAUUUAUUUUCCAGUAAAGUUGUUCUAAUAUAAUUGAACCAAGAAUCAAUGUCUCUUUUUGCAUUCAUUUCAUGCAUUUGCAUUACAUUGCAUCAUGUGCAUUAGAUUUUUACAAAAUGACCCUAAUUAAUUAAAAUUAUGAUAGUUACCCUGGAAACCAACAAAAAUCCACCAACCAAAUAUCACUACGGUACUCGUCACCAAACAAAAGCAAUGGAUCAAAGGUUGGAAAGAUUGGAACAAUUACAAAAGGAGAUGCAAGAUCAGAUGCAAGAACGACUGGAUAAGAUCCAGCAAGACAUGCUAGAAUCCCAAAACACUAUGAUGAACCAAUUGAAGCAGUUAUUGGCUGGAGGGAAUGAUAAAGGAAAAAGCCUUGUAGUUGAUUCUGGGGUUGAUCAGGAGGACCCUGUUUAUCUUCCCGGUUUCACGCCGAAAAGUACCCAGGCACAACCAGAUAUGUGCCCACAAAGAAUACCUGUCAAUAUUAAACCUCAAUAUCCGGUUGGUGUCUCGAUACCAAUGCAAUUUUGAAUGGGCUCAAGUUCUAAUCCCGGGGACAACCCUACCAAUCCUGUGGUCUCGAAUCUCGAUGACAUGGAAGAAAUAGAAAAAGCAAGAAUGGACCUGCCAAAACGACUUGAGGAUCGAUGUAGAUGGCUAGAGGAAAAAUUUAGAGCCAUGGAGAACACUAACUACCAUUAUGGAGUUGACGCCAAGGAUCUGAGUUUGGUUCUUGAUUUAGUGCUCCCGCCUAAGUUCAAGAUGCUCGAAUUCAAAAAGUAUAAUGGGACUAGUUGUCCUGAAGCUCACAUCACAAUGUUCUGCUGAAGAAUGAUUGGGUACGUUAAUAACGAUCAACUACUAAUUCAUUGCUUUCAAGACAGUCUGAUUGGUUCGGCUUCCAAAUGGUACAACCAGUUAAGCCGCGCUAACAUCCGUUCAUGGAAAGACUUGGCACAGGCUUUCAUAAAGCAGUACAACCAUGUAACAGACAUGACACCUGAUAGAAUCACAUUGCAGAACAUGGAAAAGAAGCAAAGUGAGAGCUUUAGGCUAUAUGCUCAAAGAUGGAGAGAGGUAGCAACACAAGUCCAGCCACCUCUUCUGGAGAAAGAAACCACGAUGCUUUUCAUCAACACUCUGAAAGCCCCAUUCAUUAACCAUAUGUUGGGAAGCGCUACUAUGAACUUCUCAGAUAUGGUAAUGUCUGGCGAGAUGAUUGAAAAUGCCAUCAGAAGUGGAAGAAUAGAUGGUGGGGAGGAUAAUAGAAGGUCAAUCCCAAAGAAAAAGGAGAAUGAAGUGAACCAUGUGAGUACAUACAACAAGUAGAUUACGGUGAACCAGCCAAGGAAAGUGGUUGCUAGUCAACAAGGUUCAUCAAAACAAGAAUCUUAUGUGAAACAAGGAUUGAGAACCUCCAGUUCACGCCAAUUCCCAUGUCGUAUAAGGAGCUGUAUCAAAGCUUGUUCGAUGCGCGCAUUGUUACCCCUCUCUACACGAAACCUCCACAGCCUCCGUACCCCAAAUGGCACGAUGCGAAUGCACAAUUCAAAUAUCAUGCGGGAAAUACGGGGCAUUCCAUAGAAAAUUACAUUGCCUUUAAAAAACUGAUUGAAAGGCUUAUCAGUAUGGGCGUCGUUAAAUUUGACGAUUCCUCCAGUGCGGAAAAUCCAUUACCCAAUCAUAAUUGAUAAGUGGAGUGAAUGCAAUGCACAAGCAACUAAAGAAGGGACCUUGUUAGAUAUCCGUCUUUAUAAAUGUGGAAGUGUUCUAAGCAAUUCGACUGCGGAAGAAAACCCUAUAGUCUCUAGAGCUUUUUUAAAGUAAUGUUCAGAACAUUUUUGUUGUUUUUAGCCUAAAAAUGAUAGAAAUUUCCUUUGUGAAAUAGGCUCAUGUCUGAACGUUGUUAUGAAAUACAUCUUUGCAAUUAUUACUGAGCCAAUAUUUUCAUUCUUUACAAACAAUUCCAGAUUCUUUUAUUCUUUUGAAUUUUCUUCUAAAUUGUUAUUCAUUCAUUCAUAAUCAUAUUGUAUAAAUAAUUAGUCAUAAAUUUAUACAUUCUUUUGCAUAUUCUUUGGUACUUAUUAUGGGUCCCCAGAUAUUAAUUACAUGAAUGACACUUCUACAAACUCAGAUUUUCCUCUUGAGCAAGGCAUGUGUUUAGACGAAUCUCAUGGCUUUGGAAAUGACAUAGAUCGUAGCUUAUCUCUGAACUUGUCGAGGAUGGUAGAAUAAGAGGAUAAACAGAUCCUACCUCUCAAGGAAUUAUUAGAAAUUGUGAGCUUGGAAUUGACCUGACCUCAAACAUGAAGCAAGACCUUGUUCAAAGAUGACUUUAUAGGAUCAUACCAGGAUAUGCCUAGGAUAAACACUGAUAAAGAAAUCUGAACAACUCACGAUGUCAGAAAUUUGCAGUAGGAACGAUGCAAUUCUUUGUCGGGGUAAUGCCUUUCUCGUUGAGUCAUCAUAGCUUUGCCCAUUUGAAGUCGAGUUUCCAUCCCUUCAAGAUGUUUUCUGUCGUAGUUGCGCCUCAAAAGGGCUCUAUAAAAUAAAUGAGGGUUUUUCGCAUACAAGAUGAAAGUGAGAAAUCUUAUCUAUAAAAACAUUGGUUUUGAUCGAAAGGGUUCAGAUUCAAUCAAAAAAAAAUCAAAAAAAUCAAAAUCAAAAUCAAAAUGAAAAUCAAGAAUAAAAGAAAAAAGAAGAAAAAGAAAAUGGAGAGGCUAAGGUAAAAACCCGCAAAGGGCGCCUUGAGACCAAAGGGGAUUUGAGUUGAAAACCCGAAAACGGCGGCUCAAAUAUUGAUCAGAAUGGGGCAUGAAGUGAUCAGAGCAAUUCGAAUCUUGAUCAGAUUGGGGCAUGUGGUGAUCUUGUUAUACAUGAAUUAACAGGAAAGGGUAGACAACAUCUUGGGGCAUUGACAAAGUACUGUAGAUCUCCUAAAUACAUGUCAAACUCAGAAUAGUCUUCAGAAGGUUUGCACAGAGAAGUUCAAGCUGCGAUAUCUGAGGCACCCAAUUCUCAUAUUAUUUAUAUUGAAUUUGUUGUUCUUGGAAUACUUUAUUCUUUUCCAAGAUAUACAUUCCCAAUCAAUUUCUUUAUUAUCCUUCUUUACUAUUUUGGAUAAUUUAUUCAUUUCGAGCUAUGCUCAGAAUCAAUUUUAUUCUUAUCCAUUGUUAUGACCCUUUUUACAAGCAUGUCACAUUGGAAUAAUGAUUAAUGGACUAAUAAAACUUUCACAAAGGAAGUUUUGCAUAUUACUCUGAAAAGUUUCUAAAUAAUAUAGGAACCUGAAACAGGACUAUUGUUUAGAACACACCAAGUUUAAGGGUUGGAAAUUUGAGAAGGAAGAGUCUAAAUUUGGACUUUCUCUUUGGAUUUUGUUGUCAAAUGUAUUGAUUGAACAAAGUGACAAGAUGUCGAGUUAAUGACAAAGCUUAAAUAAACAAGAAAGCAAUGAUCACAAGGCAAUAGGAAGGGGUUCCCUCAGAGAAGAAAGCAUUCAUUUGCACAUGAGCCUUCGGCAUGACACCUUGAGAAUGGUGUAAGGAACCAUAGAGAUUUAGAUCCUGUAUCCUUGAAUUGUGAUAGAAAAGGAUCGAGAAAAGCCACAUAUUUCUACCCUUGGAUUACAGUGGAAAAAUGAUGGUACAAAUUUUGCGCCCCAAUGGAUUAAACUUUCAGGUUUACAGUGGGGGUAACCUGGCUAAAUGUUUCUUUGAAAACGCCAGCCGAGCAGGAGGGUGUUGUAGCACUUCAGUGACAAAGCCUUAAUAAACUUCGAGUAAUGACAACCUAAGCGGGAUCAUUCUCGGAAGAAUAAAAUUCUGCAUUCAUGCAAACACCAUUCACACAUGUCUAGUUAGGAGCAUUUGAUUCAUUUUGAUCAUGCCAUCCUAAUCAUUAGGCAUAACUAGGUUCAUUAUACAGGUCAUGUUCCAUAGAGAACAGAUCAGUGAAGAUCGAAAACAAAACCUUGCCUCCAUUAGUUGCAAUGUAGCUGGUUAAAGAUAGCAGAUCUUGCCUUCCUGCAUUAAUAGCGAAGCAGAUUGAAAAUAAAGCCUUGCCUCCAUCAGUUGUAGUGGAGCUGGUUAAAGAUAGCAGAUCUUGCCUUCCUACGUUAACAGCGAAGCAGAUCGAAAACAAAGCCUUGCCUCCAUCGGUUGUAGUGGAGCUGGUUAAAGAUAGCAAAUCUUGCCUUCCUACGUUAACAGUGAAGCAGAUCGAAAACAAAGCCUUGCCUCCAUCAGUACAGUGAAGCUGGUUAAAGAUAGCUGAUCUUACCUUCCUGCAUUGACAGUGAAGCAGAUAAAAAAUAAAGCCUUGCCUCCAUCGGUUGUAGUGGAGCUGGUUAAAGAUAGCAGAUCUUGCCUUCCUACGUUAACAGCGAAGCAGAUCGAAAACAAAGCCUUGCCUCCAUCGGUUGUAGUGGAGCUGGUUAAAGAUAGCAAAUCUUGCCUUCCUACGUUAACAGUGAAGCAGAUCGAAAACAAAGCCUUGCCUCCAUCAGUACAGUGGAGCUGGUUAAAGAUAGCUGAUCUUGCCUUCCUGCAUUGACAGUGAAGCAGAUCAAAAAUAAAGCCUUGCCUCCAUCGGUUGUAGUGGAGUUGGUUAAAGAUAGCAGAUCUUGCCUUCCUACGUUAACAGCGAAGUAGAUCGAAAACAAAGCCUUGCCUCCAUCGGUUGUAGUGGAGUUGGUUAAAUAUAACAGGUCUUGCCUUCCUGCAUUAACAGCGAAGCAGAUCGAAAACAAAGUCUUGCCUCCAUCGGUUGUAGUGGAGCUGGUUAAAGAUAACAGAUCUUACCUUCCUGCAUUAGCAGUGAAGCAGAUCGAAAACAAAGCCUUGCCUCCAUCGGUUGCAGUGGAGCUGGUUAAAGAUAGCAGAUCUUGCCUUCCUACGUUAACAGCGAAGCAGAUCGAAAACAAAGCCUUUCCUCCAUCAGUACAGUGGAGCUGGUUAAAGAUAGUUGAUCUUGCCUUCCUGCAUUGACAAUGAAGCAAAUCGAAAACAAAGCCUUGCCUCAAUCAGUUACAGUGGAGCUGGUUAAAGAUAGCAGAUCUUGCCCUCCUGCGUCAACAGUGAAGCAGAUCGAAGAUUACAUAUAACAGCCCGAUUUUGGGCCUAGUCGGAACAGUGGUUUCGGGACCACAAAUCCGACGAGGAAAAAUUUAUUUUUCUUAUAUUUUUAUGGUCUACGAUUUCACGGAAUGAUUUUUUGAAAAUUUUGUUCGAAAAUUUCGACGUUUGGGCACUCAAUUUAGUCAAAAGGACUAAAUUGUAAAAAGUGCAAAAGUUGAGUUCUAAAUGUUAGAGGUGUUCAAUUGUUAUGAAACUUUAGAUUGGAGGUCCUUAUAUGGUAAUUAGACCAUUGGUUAAGUUGGUAGACAAAAAUGGCCAUGAGAUAAGUGAAAUAGGAAAUUUUUAAGUUAGGGGCAAUUUGGUAAUCUAGUAAUUAAAAUGACUUAAAAGGAAAAAGAUGGCAAAUGGGGCUCAUCUUCUUCAUUGGGACGAAAUCAGCAAGGGGGGAGCCAUUGUUAGGGUUUUCAAGCUUCCAAGCUCCAUAAUAAGUGAUUCUAAGCCCCGUUUUUAAUGUUCUUUACGUUUUUGGAGUUCCGGUAACUUGAUUUUGCUUAUUCUAGCAAUAAUUUAAUCUAGGGUUUAUAUUUGGAAAAAUACUCAUAUGUGAAAUGUGUUUAUUUUGAUGUUUUAUGGUAGAAUAUGAAGCUAGAAAUUAUGUUAAGCAACUUUUUCUAAGCGAUUUUGAGUGAAAACGAGUAAAACGACAUAAUCGAUAAAAAUACUAAAUGUUCAUAAGUAAGUGUUAGAAUGGGAAUUUGGUGUUAUCAUAGAAGGGAAAAAUGUUCAGCAUGUCAUAAUACAUAAGAAUAAGGGAUAAAGUUUAAUUUCCGAGCCUAGGGACAAAAUUGUAAUUUUGUGAAACUUUAGGGGCAAAAAUGUAAUUUUUCCAAAAUGUGAUUUUUGGACUGGAUUGAAUAAUGUGAGUGUUAAAUAAGUUAAAUGUGUUAUUAUAAGUCAAGAAAGACAAGGAAUUGACUUUGAUUAGUGAAAAAAAUGAGAAAAAGUGAGAAAUUUCCCGAUUGAACAUUCGGAAUAAAAAGGGAUACGAAUGAAGUGACAAAAAUGAUCACAUAUGUGGCAUGGACUGUGUGUAGGCCACUAUGUGAAAGUGAAAGUGAUGGUCACGUGUGUAGUACUAUGUAUAGGCUACUACGUGUAUCAGAAUGAUAGGUCGCAUGUGUAGUACUAUGUGCAGGCUACUAUGCGUACCGGAUAGCUUCGAUCACGUGUGUAGUACUAUGUGUAGGCUACUACGUGUACCAGAAUGAUAGGUCGCAUGUGUAGUACUAUGUGAAGGCUACUAUGCAUACCGGAUAGCUUCGAUCACGUGUGUAGUAUUAUGUGCAGGCUACUACGUGUAUCAGAUAGUGAUGGUCACAUGUGUAGUACUAUGUGCAUGCUACUAUGUGAAUCUGCAUCAUUGAAUAUAAAGGUGGUUGCUAAGUGCUGAUUCCACCGUAUCCUUAACUGUGAAAGGGGUUGCUAUGUGCUGAUUCCCCAUAUCAUUGAAUAUAAAGGUGGUUGCUAAGUGCUGAUUCUACAGUAUCCUUGACUGUGAAAGGGGUUGCUAUGUGCUGAUUCCCCGUAUCAUUGAUUAUAAGGUGGUUGCUAAGUGCUGAUUCCACCGUGUAACGGUUAAUAUUCCGAAGUGUUCAUCGGGGAAAUUAGAUAAGUGAAAAUAUAUGUUAAUCGAAUAAGGUUACGUGAUGAAUAUUGGGUUCGAUAUUUAAUCGACCCUUAAGUAGGAUGAAAAGAAGUAAUGAAAUUAUGAAAAAGUAAAAUGUGCAACAAAACAGUUUUAGACAGUAACAAUAGUGUGACUUUGAAAAAUCACCAAAAAUGGUGGAAAUUGAAUUAGAGAGUGAAUAAGAUAUGAAAUGAAAUCUUAAGGAUUCUAUUUUUACAUGAAAGAAACAAGGAAAGCAAAAGAGUUACACAUUUUUAGAUUUUUGAAUUUUAGUGAGGCAGGGUCGGAUUGAUUUCAGAAUCCCCUAUUCUGAAUUUGGAAAAUAGAUAAAAAUUGUACAAAAAUAAUUAUGAGUUAUAAUUUAUAUGCUUAGAAUCCUUAAUGACUCUAUUUUCAAAGGAAAGAAAUGUAAAUAUCAUCCAAAUUCUGUACAAUGAGAUAAUUCAUUUUUAGUGAAGAGAGGUCAGUGAUGUUGAGUAGUGAAACAUGGGUGAAUUUAAAGAAUAAACUGUACUAAUUUUCCAAGGAAAAAAUUCUGAAAAAUUUAUGGUAAUAAUACAUAUGAGUCUAGUUUCAGGGAAAAUUAACAGAUCUUAAUUUGGAGCUCUGUAGCUUCAGAUAAAAAUGAUUUAGUGACGCUGAAUCAAAUGGACAGCUUUGAAUUUAAAUAUAAGUGAAUAGUGAAAUUAUGUAUAAUGCUAUUUAAGCAUGUUUUAUACAUAAAGGAUGUGGAAUGGAGAGGAGGAGGAGGACAAUAAAAUGUAUGAAAGAAUUGUGUAUAAUGGUCAUAUGCCGGAUUAUAAUCGGUAAAUGUUAAAUUGAAUGGUAAAUACGUAUUGGUACCGAAGAAACUAUUGCGGUGUUGAAAAGCAAUUGAUCAAAUAUAUAAGAAAUUUAGUCUUGAUAUAUAUAUAUGAUAAUAAUGAUAUAUGGAUGAUUAUAUCAUUGAGUUGCAUUGGUUAAUUCGGUUUAUGUGAUGGAAAUGUCAAGAACAUUUGUCUUUGAUAUGUGAUGAUCAUGGUUUAAGCUCAUAUGGGAAAAUAAAGUUUCAUAGGAUGAGAGUGUGGUAUUGAAAUAUAUAUAUUGGAUUGAGAAAUUAAUUUGAAUUGUGAACACGAAAUAUUGUAAAUUGAAUAAAAUGGAAAUGAAGCUUUGAAUUACAUGAGUAAGUAUCGGGUCUCGUAGGCCCUAUUUGUUAUGAAUAUAAUAUUUUGAGGAUAUGUUAUAUAGAAUUAUAAAAGCAUGUUAAAAAUUUGAAGAGUUCAAAUUUGAAUGAAAUUUUGUAACUCAGUUUAAUACGUUUACAUGUGUAAGUGUUCUAGUAAUGCCUCAUACCCUAUUCCGGAGUUGAAUACGGGUAAGGGGUGUUACAUUACAAGUCCUAUGUCCCUGACCAGCAGAGGAAUAGGUUGGAAAUUGCAGAUCUUGUCUCCCUAAGCAGUAGCAGAGCAGAUCGAAGACGGCGAAUCUUAUCUUCCCCAGGAGUAUGGAAACAGAUUUAAGCCACAAGUCCUAUGUCCCUGACCAGCAGAGGAAUAUGUUGGAAAUUGCAGAUCUUGUCUCCCUAAGCAGUAGCGGAGCAGAUCAAAGACGGUGAAUCUUACUUCCCUGGCGAUGCAGUGGAUCAGAUUGAAGCUACAACACCAAAUCUUGUUCCCCGACAUUGCAAUUAAAAAGAUUGAAGCCGCAAUGGCGAAUCUUACUUCCCUGGCGGUGCAGUGGAAUAGAUUAAAGCUACAACGGCGAAUCUUGUUCCCUGACAUUGCAGUCAAGACGAAAAAAAUCAAGCCUUGCCUCCAUCAAUUGCAGUGGAGCGGAUUAAAACCACAGAUCUUAUCUCCCUAAGCAGUAGUGGAGCAGAUCGCAUCAAGUCUUAUCUCCCUAAACAGUAGUGGAGCAGACAAAAGAAACCAAUCCUAUCUCCCUGAAGUUGCAGUGGAGCGGAUUAAAACCACUAAUCUCAUCCUCAUGGAGUUGUAGUAGAGUAGAUUGAAGUCGUAUCUCUAUGAAGUGCAAUGAAAUGGACUGAAGCAAUAAAACACAGUACACUGGAAUGAAGCUACUUGAAGAGAAGCAUCCAAAGAAGUCAAGACUCGGUGAGAUCGGGCAAAAUUGGUCUUUCUUAGUCUUUGCUCUAUUCCUGUUACACGAGAAUGAGCAAAGAGGGGCAGCUGUAAGAGCCCAUUUUUGCCCGGGCCCAUACCAACAAAAUAACCCAAAUAAUAAAAACAAAAAUAGUCCAUUUUCAGCAAAUUUAAACCCAAAAAACUACAAGCCCAAACCCAAUAGGCCCAAAAAUCAGAAACUCUAAGCCCACAAACUUAAAGAUUUUCAGAAAACCCUAGUUGCCUCCCCUAAAACUUGGCACCGCAAUCUUCCAUGCGUGGCCUCCUCGUCUGCCACACCCUCGCGUCGCCGCACGCCAGCACCCCAUCCACGCGCAUCUGACACUGUUCUGUCACCUGCAAAAGACAACCAACAGAACAAAAAAUAGAGAAAACAAAUAGAAAACGACAAAUGAGGCAGAGAUUAAACGUUUGUAAUCGGCUAUAAAAAGCUGAAUAAGGCAAUUGUACUCUUCUUCUUCCGAUUUUACGAACAAAAAAGAGAAAUAAAAAAUAGAAAAAAUAAAGGUGAUUUUUUAGAUCUGUUGUUUUUAUUUUUUUUAUUUUACUUCAUUUAUUUUUUUUCAAACAAAAACAAAAUAAAGAGGAGGGGGCUUACCGGAUGCCCGUGACCGCCGUCGGAUGGUUAGUCUCCGUCAUCGAGACCAAAUUCGGAGGGAGAGGGCUGUGGGCCUCUAUCUUGGACCUUAUGGGGUUCGAAAGCCCGUCCGCUCAACCCACCAAGAACCAGGCUUUAAAAGCCUUUCGUCGCGCUUCGUUGGCCGUCGUUUUGGUGGCGGUGCGGCAGAUAGACGAACGGUGGUGAGAGGCCGAUCGUCAGAGGGCAUGGGGAGUAUUGAGAGGGUUGCUGCAGUUUUUUAGUGUGAAGGGUAGGGAAAUGAGAAAAAUAAAAAAGGGUUGUUAAAGUAAAGACGAAAACGGCACCGUUUAAGGGAAGGUGAUCUGCGCAUUCUGCCCUAAUGGGUAAUUUGCGCAUUUGAUCCCUUCAUCUUGCGCUGAAGCGCAAUCUGACCUUUUUAUUUUUUUAAUUUGGGGCCGCGAAUUCUGUGUCUGCUUCAAUCUGGUCCUUAGACCGUGCGCAGACCCUCACUGCGUUUAGGGCUGGGGAAUAUUUCCCUACAGGUCCCUCACGUUUCGAGCGUGUUUCAGUUCGGUCCCUUGCAACUUUUUUCAAUUAUUUGCAGUUUAAACCCCAAUAUUGUGACCCGAAUUUAAUUCAGUCCUCAGACCUAUUAUUCUCAUUUUUAGUUAUUUUUUUAUUUACUUUUUUAUAUUUGUUUUUAAUUUUAUUUUAAAUAAAAAGGGGUUUUAUUAAAUUUUCCUUUUAACAUUUUAUUUGUUUGUUUAUUUUAUAUUUAACAUUUAAUCUGAUUUUUAUUAGUUGUAUGUUUUUUAUGUUAUUAUUAUUAUUAUUCGAUGAUUUGAUUUAUAUUAAAUUUUAUAUAUAAUACAUGAAUGUUUUACUCCUUUUGGCAUUUUACUAGUUAUGUGUUUUAUUUUCGCUAUUAUAUUGUCAUUCAUAUAAUUGCUUUUGUGCAUAUAUGUUAGUGUUAGGUUUUGUUAGUAUCAAGGCUAUAUGACUAUUAUAUCAUGUGUAUUAUGUUAUAGUUGUUGGAAAUGUAUGUUAUAAUAUUACUAUUAGUUAGAUAUGCUUUUUAUCUCAAGUAAUUCUUUUCAGUAUAGUCCAAAUCGCAUACGCGUUACUCUUAAAUAUUCCGUUAAUUCGUACUCAAAAUUCAAAAGGGUAAAAUUUCGAAAAUAAAGGCAAUAUUCCUUAUUUAGAAAAUUCGAGAAAAUCGUGCUCUAACUUACUGAGCUUUGAUUUUUCUUGCGUUGAUCUCAAAUAACCGAAUAUCCUUUUAAAAUUGAAAUAAAUGAGGUUUAAAUAAAAAAUAAAAGGCAAGCUUACUCUCAAAAUACGAGGUGUCGUGUCCUAACUUACUGGAUGUGACAUCUUGUUAAUUCGAGAUAAGAAGGCAUUUUCCAUUUUGAUUUAUUCGAGUAAUUUUUUUAAAUAACACAAUAUAAAGAGGGAUCGUAUUUUUAAAUUCUUUUCGAGUUUUUAGUUUUCGACACCAAGACAUUAAUUAAUCAACUAGGUACCAAUUUUGGGCGUAUCGAGGGUGCUAAUCCUUCCUCGUACAUAACCGACUCCCGAAUCCAUUUUUCUAAAUUUUGUGGACCAAACUCAUUGUUUUAAUAAAAUUAAAUUGUUUAUUAAAAACAACCCCUCUUCAAGGUGAUCCGAUCACACCUUAUCAAAAAGGAUUGGUGGCGACUCCCGUUUUCGUUUUCGUUUUCGUUUUCAUUUUCAUUUUCAAAAUCUAAGUCGACCCAGUUUUAACAAAAAAAUGGUGUCAACAACUGGCAAAUAAAUAAAGCCUAAGUAUUGCAUUGCAAAUGACAUAAUAUCACCCAUGUCUACAAUGUAAACUGACAGACAUAUUAAAAUUUAAAUUUAAAUCCAUAAAAAUUUAUGUACUUAUAUUCAUGCAUUUACACAAACACAGGAAAGAUAUAUAAAUUUACAAGAACAAACACAAUGUCAAAUCAAUAUAUUUCCUUCCUUCAAUACAAACAUCGUGUGUCAUCAACCAACAUAAAGAACAUAACAAAAAGUAUGCCCUAGUUUCAGCACUCUUUUAAGGCAGUUACUAAAAGUUGUUUUCAACCAUGUUAAGAAGCAUAUCAAGAAAUCAAGUUGAGGACUUCUAAUGAAAGUUGACAAGAAAUUUUCCAGAGAUGGAUGUACUAUCCAUGAUCCAUUCUAACAAUUUGAUCUUUAGUCUUACCUUCUAUUAUAAGAAUGAGUAGCCUUUGUUUCUGGCAAUUUUUGAUUGGUUCUAGUAUUCACUAAUAAGAAAGAUUUUCAUUUUUUGAAUACGUAUACAACCUGAAUCCAUUCUAUAUCAGUAACAACAAUAAUACACAUGAUAGAGUGAUAGAUUACGAGUUUCCAUACAAGAUUUCACACAUACAAUAAAAGAAAAAUAAGUGAAAUAAUUCCAUCUAAAAUGAAAUUAAAGAAAGCCAAAACUAAUGUAGUAGAACAGACAAUUGAGAAUGUUAAAUUUUCUUAUACUAGUUCCAUCUGUUUUAAAAAUAAAUAAAAAAAGAUUGCAAGGUAAAUCAGUAGUAAGAAAGAAAAAUAUGGAAUACCCACAAAAGGAUUGCAAACAAACAAGCCAAUUUAGAUCAAAAAAAUCAGAUUGAGAAACCAAUUAUUCAAGAAUUGUGAGUGUUGUCACCAUUUUUUUGCUAAAACGGGGUCGACUUGGAUUUUAAACAAAAACGAAAAUAGGAGUCGCCACCAAUCUUUUUUUGAUGAGGUGUGAUCGGGUCACCGCAAAAAAGUGGUUGUUUUUAAUAAAUGAUUUGAUUUUAUUAAAACAACGAUUUUGGUCCACGAAAUUUAGAAAAACGGGUUCGAGAGUCGGUUACAUACGAGGAAGGAUUAGCACCCUCGAUACGCCUAAAAUUGGUACCUAGUUGAUUACUUAAUGUCUUAGUGUCGAAAACUGAAAACUUUAAAGAGAUUUAAAAUACGAUACUAAAAAACUUGAAUGACAUGGAUUAAGAUUUAAGAGAAUAUUUGGCUAUUUGGCCAAACAAAAAAAUCGAAACCCAGCACAUUAGGGCACGUUUCCUCGAAUUUCCAAAUGCAAAAUAAUGCCUUACUCUGAAAUUUUAAAGGAUAUUUGGCUAUUUGGUCGAACGAAAAAAAAAUCGAAACCCAACACAUUAGGGCACGCUUUCUCGAAUUUCUAAAUGCAAAAUAUUGCCUUUAUUAUUUUUUAGAAAUCCUCAUAUCGAGAAAACAACAUAUUAUAUCCAAUGCGUUAGGACACAACGUAUCGAAUUCCCGAUAUGAGAAUACAUGCCAAAGAGUUUACUUAUUUAAAAGAUGUGUAACUAUCUCGAAUUUUAGAAAAAGGUAUCACGCCCAGUAAGUUAGGACACGAUCUUUUCUUAAUUCUCGAGAUCGUUUAAAACUUGGGAAAAAAAGAAAAAAAAAGAUCAUGCCCAGUAAGUUAGGACACGAUCUCUUCUUAAUUCCUGAGAUCGUUUAAAACUUGAGUUUGAAAAGAUUCGUGUAUUUAGAUUUAUUAUGAAAAUCGAAACCCAGUAAAUUAGGGUGCGACCUUCUCGAAUCUAAACACGAGAUUUUGCUUAUUCAAAAAUCAUAAUUUAUGCAUCGAAUAAAAUUAAUCUAACAUGAAAUAGUAGAAAUAAAACACGGUGUCAAUAUGUGAACAAAACAAAAAUGAAUACGAUGAUGUAGCAUAAAUAAUAUGAGUAAUAGCAAUGAAAAUAAAUUAGAUAAAAAGGACAAAUCAAUGACAUGAAAAUAAUAAUGCAUAUAAGCAAAUAAAAUCAAAACAUUCUUUCAAAAUAAAUAAUGAAAAUGUAAAUAAAGAAAUAAACAAAGAAAAUGUAUAAAACUAUAAAAAUAUAAAAGAGAUAUAUAUAUGUAUAUACAUGAAAUUAUGGAAAUAUGAAAAAUAUAUGUAAGUAAAUACUUUAAAAUUAUUAUAUAAAUAAAUACUUUAAAAUUAUUAUAUAAAAUAUAUAUUUAUAAGUAAGCAUAUACAUACAUAUAUACGUAUAUAAAUUAAAAUAUGUAUAUGUACAUGCAUGUAUAUGUAAAAAUUGUAGAAGGUAUACAAAAGUAUGAAUAUAUAUGAAAAUAGAAUAUGUACAUAGAUAUAUAGAUAUGCAUAUAAGUUAUAAAAUAUAAAGAAUGUACAAGUAUAUAUAUGUUAUAAAAACGCACUUAUGUAUAAAUAUAUAUAUGCAUAUAAAUAUAUAUAAAAAUUAUGAAAAUAAAAAUAAUAAAAAUAUAUAUAUAAAAAUAUGUGUUUAUAUAUUUACAAAAAUUAAAAAAUAUGUACGUAUACAUAUAUAUAAUAAAAAGUAUGUAUAUUAUAAAAAAUAUAUACAUGUGUAUAUAUAGAUAACAAAAUUUAAAGUUUAAAAAAAAGUAUAAAUAAGCAAAUAAUAAUUAAUAGUAAUAAUAAUAGCAUCAAAUUUACCAAAAUAACAAAGAAAAAAUGGCUAAAUUGAAUUUAAAAGAGGACUUUGGGGGGAAAUCUGCAAAUAAAUAAGGGGAAAGGACCAUCUUGAACUCGCGCAUGACAUGGAGGGACUAAAAAGGCAAUUUGUCCUUCUCCUUUAAAACGACGUGGUUCCAGCAGGGACUAAACUGUAAGCGCAACAAAUUGCUGGGUACAAUUUAAAAAAUUUAAAAAACCUAAUUUAAAAAUCAUUAAAAAGCGGAAGGGCUGAAAGCCUAAUUAGCCCUUCUGCUAAAAAACACGUGGAUCUUGCCUGGGUCGGGUCAGACUCGGGUCGGCUCUUGGGUUCAUGUCAAAAAAAGUCGUUUUGGCACCUGAGAGGCCUGCCCAAAACGGCGUCGUUUUGGAGGCCUAUUUAAGGCAAAAUUUUCACCAAAAAAAAUCAUUUUAGCAUAGUUCAGAAAAAAAUUCCCCCUCCCUUCUAUUUUCUCUGAAGGCCUGAGGGUCAGGCGAGAGUCCGGUCGGUCGCCACCGCGUCAGCCGCUGGUCGCCGACGACGGCACCGCCGUCCACGGUGGCCGGAAGGCCAAAAGUCACCCCUUUUUCCAGCGAAAAUCAAGGGUAAGUUUUCCCCUUUUUUAAAACUCAUUUUAAUGAAUGUAAAUGGUUUGAUUUUUUAAAAAUGAAAUGUAUAUAUACGUAAAUAGUUUUGAAAAAAAUAAAAAAAGACCUUGCCACGAUUGAAUCUGUUCUCUCCUUCAAUGCUCACUAUUUUUUUGUUUGUAUGCAUGAAUACUUUUUAUUUGUAUUCCCAAAAAAAACCCAUUUUUACAAUGUACGAAUGGCUUUAUAUAGCCUUUUACAAUUUUUCUAUUAUUUUCUUGUUGUUGCUGCUUUCUUUGCUUGUUUGUAGGUGAGCAGUUGGGAGCAGGUGAGGCCGCAAGGCGCUGGUCAGAGGCGGUGGCAAGUGGGGUGAUGGGACGGUGGCAGAAGGCCCUAGGUUUUCUGUUGUUUCUUUUUUUUUCUGAAAAUUGUUUAAUUUGUUGGGCCAUUGGGCUUAGGGUUGAAUUUGUUUGGGCUGUGUUGUAUUGGGUUUUGGGUAGGUUUGCAAUAGGCUGAAGGUUAAUUGGGUCCGGGCAUAAAAUUGGGUUGUACAGUGAGAGAACUGGAAAAUAUAAUGUUUAGGAACAAAAAUGAUUAUCCUCUUUUUAUUUGUCGACAGCCACUUGAUUUUAAGUCUUUGAACAUAAAUUUGUCGACAAAGAAGACAUACUUGGAUCAUCCAUUGAAUCCAUCUUUUGUUUUUCUAUGUUGAAUAAAAAAUUCAAUCGAAACACUCAAUCUAAUUUCUACUAUUUUGAUUCAAUACAUAUCAUAAUAGUUUUUUCAGUCAAAUGAAAAGGAAAACUAUUUACCUAUUUUAUGGAAAAUUGUCCUUUUUUUGUAUAAUUAUAGGUGUUUCAUCUAUUUUAUGGUCCUUACAGUGCUGACACGACCGUUAACAACAUUAAUGUGGCGUUCUAUGCCAGUGAUAGUUAGCUACAAUGUCAACAAAAAUAAAAAAAAUUAAAAAUUAAAAGGAAUAUUUAAAUUUAUUUUACUGGAAUGAACCUAAACAUAUGAUUGUCCAAGUUCAUUCGUUUCAAAACUUAAAUUUUUUUUAAAUUUAAAAAAAAAAUUAUGUUUUUUAUAAACGUGUAAAACACUUUUAAAAUUUAAUAAAAAUAUUUAAAACUUAAGUCCCUAAUGAAUAUGUCCAAAUUCAUUCAAGAUUAGUUUCAAAUAUACUAAAAUUAAUUUUCUUUAAAAAUUGAUAUGUGUGUCAAUAUUUUUCUAUUGCUACCUCUUAGGAUGAAUAAAAAAAAGAAAAUAUAUGAAUUUAAAUAAUUUAAAUUUUAUUAAUCUUAAGUCUAAAGAUUUUUUUAAUUGUAUGAAUAUAUCCAAUUAAAACAGUGUAUCUAUUAUUUCAUUACAUGUGUAUCUUAAAAGGUUUAAAAAAUUGGAUUAGAUUUUUUUAAUUGUAUGAAUAUAUCCAAUUAAAACAGUGUAUCUAUUAUUUCAUUACAUGUGUAUCUUAAAAGGUUUAAAAAAUUGGAUAUAUUCAUACAUUUAAAACAACUUUACACAAACAAUUAAUAAUAUUUAUUUUCUGAAAUAUAUUUUUUUAAAAUUUUUAUUCAUUCUAAAAUGUACCAAAGGAAUUAGAACAUUGAUACCCAUAUCAAUUUUUUUAAAGAAGAUUAAUUUUUAAUAUUUUUUAAACUUUGUACAAUUUAGAAAAACUUGAAUGAAUUUAGACAUAGACAUAACUUGUAAAUGAUUUUUAUCAAUUUUAAAUUUUUUAAAUUUAUUUAAUAUUUUUUAAAUUUUAAUAAUAUUUUUUAAAAUAUUAUUUUUAAUUUAAAAAUUUUUUAAGCUUCGAAACAAAUGAAGCGACAUCAGCAACUAUUCCUUUUAAAAAGUUUAAAUAUCCCUUUUAAUUUUUUAUUUUUGUUAACAUGGCAGUUUACGUGGUAUUGCCACAUAAGCAACUAUCGAUAACAUGAAGCACCACAUUAGAGCUGUUAACGGCCGCAUCAAUGUUGUAACAGUCAAUAUUAGUCAAAAGGCCAAUUUUGUUAGUUCAUGGGCUCAAUUGGGUGCAAAAAGUUUGCAGGGGCUUAAUUGAUUUUUUUUAAAAAAGUUUGAGGACCAAAAAUACCAUUAAACCCUUCUUUAACUAUUGAUCUUUCUUUUUCUAAGUAUCGGUCAACAUUAGUUAAAGGGCUUAUUUUGUCAGUUUUGUUAGUUUAAGGGCUCAGUUGGGUGCAAAAAGUUCGCAGGGGAUUAAUUGAUUUUUUCGAAAAAGUUCGACAAUCAAAAAUACCUUUAAGCCCUACUUUGACUAUUGAUAUGUCUUUUUUAAUUAAUUUUGUAUCCGUGCAUAGUAUAGGCACACGAUGUACAGGGUAUUUCCACGUAUACAUGUAAAGUGUAUUUUGAUGCCACGGCGGAAUUAGAUGAAAAUGUGAUUAUUAAAGUAGUAAUGUCACCUUCUAGUAAUUGUAAAGAAUUAUAAUUUUCUAGAUGCAUUUGGCUAGUAGAGUGUAAUUAUAUUGUAAUUCUUUUUGCCUUGUUUAGUAAUAUAAAUUGUAAUUACACAUUUACAAAUUUUAAAUUGUUUAAAAAGUAUUAAUUACUAUAAAUAGUUAUUAGUAAUACCUGAGAAAAAAUUUUAAACAAGUGACAUAAAUUAAAAUCAAAUCAUGUUAUGUUAGUCCAAGAAAGUAACCGACAACACGUUUGCCGAUAAAAAAGAAUAAGAAAACUAAACAUCUAUGCAAUUUUAUUAUUACUUUAGCAUUUCAUAUUUGUUAGGUUAUUCCUUUUCUAACAUUUAACAUAUACUUCUUAUCAUCAUCUAUUAGUUCAAUACCUUUUUCCUUGUACCAAUUAACCAAUAUGGAAAUUUUGUCCCUUGGUAAUAACCAGCUUGAAGGUUCCAUCCCUCGGAAAAUUGAAAAUUUGAAGAACAUCAAGAUUUUAAGCAUCCCUAAUAAUAGUUUUACUGGUCAUAUCCCCCUAGCUUUGUGUAGUUUGACAAAUUUGGAAUAUAUUGACCUUGGCAAGAAUCAAAUCAGUCGUUCAAUCCCAUCUUGUAUUGGCAGUUUAUCCAAUUUGGAUACCUUAAAACUUGAUUCAAAUCUAUUAAAAGGUCCUAUCCCUGAAGAAAUUGGUAGGCUUUUUCACCUAUCAAAUUUAAACCUCAGCUUCAACCAACUCUCAAGUAGUGUCUGUUGAAGCAUGGUCAGCAUGCAGCAACCAAGACAGUCGAGGGCAUCACAUGCAGAAGCUGCUAGUUCAUCAAGCCAGCAAGCAUGUUUUUGUUUCAUUUUGUAUACUAAGUUGAUGCAAUGUAACUUAGUUCAAUUUUAACUAUAUUAGGUUUAUGUUUGAUGUAAAUUGAUGGUGAUUGAGCUGAUUAAUCAGCUUUAUUGAUUUGUACAAGUUAAUUAGCUUAAGUUAAUAAGUUUGUUAGUGGUAGUAGGUUGUGAUUAGGUUAACCUACUGUUUUGUCAAGUUGUAAACUUGUUUAUGUAUUGGCUUUAUGCCAUUUUCAGUUUUUUGAAUGAAUUUAAUCAAGAUUUCAUCCAUAUGCUCUCUAUUUUAGCUUUGCUUUGAAAUUUGUUUUAUUUUUCUUCUUUGUUUCUGACACAAGUCUCGAUCAUUGCUUGGCAAGUUUCUUGUUGAACUUUGUUGUGUGUUGUUCUCAGCUCCAACAAUUGGUAUCUAGAGCCACAUUCUUAGAGGACCUAUUAUAACUCAACAAGAGGCACCAUGGCUUCAUUAGGUUUUUCACCAGCUUCACCACCUGUCUUCAAUGGAGAGGGCUUCAACAUUUGGGUAGUUAAAAUGAGGACUUACCUGCAGGCAUUCGACCUAUGGGAAGUAGUUAACUCAGAUACUGAGCCAGCACCUCUUCGAGCUAAUCCAACAGUUGUUCAAAUAAGGCAACACACUGAUGAAAGAACAAAAACACCCAAGGCCAUGUCAUGCAUACAGAAUUGUGUGACAGAUGUGAUCUUCAUGAGGAUCAUGGCCUGUAAAACACCAAAUGAGGCUUGGGAUAAGCUAAAAGAAGAGUUUCAGGGGAUUGAAAGAAUAAGAAAACAGUAGCUGCUCAACUUGAGAAUGGAUUUUGAAAAUCUCAAAAUGAAAGAGGAAGAAACAGUCAAGCAGUAUUCAGAUCGAAUUAUGGCUGUUGUAAACAGCAUAAGGCUCCUUGGAGAGCAAUUCAGUGAAGCUAGAAUAGUUGAGAAAGUCAUGUCCACUUUGCCAGAAAGGUAUGAAGCCAAAAUUUCAUCCCUCAAAGUCUCAAGGGACUUGACAACUAUCUCCUUAACUGAGCUAAUCAAUGCCUUGUAUGCACAAGAGCAAAGAAGAGCCAGCAGACAAGAGGAGCACCAGGAAAGGGCUUUUCAAGCCAAAACAAAAGAAGCCUCGAGCAUCAGUGCUCAGUAAGGCAAAAAGUUCUGGAAAAACAGGCCUAAACCUGAUGCUGCUAGAAGCAGUAACCAACUCUGUAAACAUUGCAAAAAGGCUGGUCAUCCAGAAGAUAGAUGCUAGUUUAGACCAGAUGCAGUAUGCCAAUACUGCAAGAAAAAUGGCCAUGUUAAAAAGGUUUGUAAGAACAGAAGCAAACCAAGGCAGAAUCAAUUUCAGCAACAAAAGGCAGAAGCUCGAGUGGCUGAAGAUAACAGUGAUCAUGAGGAACAGGGUUUUGUUGUGUCAUGUGCAACAAAUCAGAAGAAGAGUUCAAAGGGCUGGCUUCUGGACAGUUAUUGCACAAACCACAUGUCACCAGAUGAAACUAUCUUCAAGACCUUGGAUAGAACCUGCAAAACCAAGGUGAAAAUUGGAAAUGGUCAGUUCAUAAAUGCUGAAGGAAGAGGGGAUGUACUGAUUCAUACCCCUACAGGUGGCAAAAUCAUUUCAAAUGUACUUUUGGUACCUGAAAUCGACAGGAACCUUCUCAGUAUAACUCAACUACUUGAGAAAGGCUACUCAGUAGUGUUCAAGGAGAAAGAAUGUCAAAUUUUUUAUCCGAGUGGAUCAAACCUUAAAACAGUCACUAUGACUAACAAAUGUUUUGAAGUAGACUGGCCAAAUGGCUCACAUUCAGCCUGUAUAGCCUCCACUGAUGAUUCCAGGCUCUGGCACCAGAGGCUUGGACAUGCAAACUACAAAUCCAUAGCUUAGAUGGCCAAUGAAGGGUUGGCUGAAAACUUCAUCGAUUCAAUAAAGAAUGAUGAGCUUUGUGAAAUAUGUCAACAAGGAAAAUUGGCAAGAUUGCCAUUUCCUACAAGCACAGCAUGGAGAGCAUCAGAGAAGCUGCAACUUGUACACACUGAUGUGUGUGGACCAAUAAAGACUGAGACUUUUAAAGGGAACAGGUACUUUAUUCUCUUUAUUGAUGAUUAUACAAGAUACUUCUUGAUUUAUUUUCUGAAGUAGAAAUCAGAUGUUGCAUCUGUGUUCCUGAAGUAUAAGGCUGCUGUUGAAACUGAGUCUGACUGCAAGCUUAGAGCACUAAGGUCAGACAAUGGAACUGAGUAUACCACAGCUCAGUUCCAAGCCUACUGUGAAGAAGCAGGCAUCAAACAUCAACUGACUAAUGUGUAUACACCUCAGCAGAAUGGGGUAAGUGAAAGAAAAAACAAAAGUUUAAUGAAUAUGGCAAGAUGUCUUCUAUUUGAGAAGAAUUUGCCCAAAACUCUGUGGGCUAAAGCAGUUAACACUGCGGUCUACCCUCAAAAUAGGCUCCCAACCAAGGCCCUAGCUCAAAAGACACCAUUUGAAGCCUGGUUUGAAUUUAAGCCAUCAAUGGCUCAUCUUAGAACCUUUGGUUGUCUGUGCUAUGCACAAGUUCCAGCUGUGAAGAGAAGUAAGUUAGAUAAAAGGGCUCAAGCAGGGAUUCUAAUUGGCUAUAGCAUGGUUAAAAAGGGCUAUAGAAUUCUAGAACCUGGUACAAACAAGAUUCUGGUGAGCAAAGAUGUUGUGUUCAAUGAAAAAGAAUGCUGGAAUUGGGAGAAGGCUGAACCAGAGGCAGUAACUGAAGACCUGGCAUUGGACCAAGUUGAAAAUGAUCAAAACACAUCUGAAAUGGAUGUAGAUGAUGUCCCAAUCAGAGGCACUUGAUCAUUGGCUGAUGUCUAUGAAAGAGCACAAGUGGCUAUUGUUGAACUAAGUUGCUUUGAAGAAGCAGCAAGCCAGGAGGGCUAGAAGCAAGCAAUGAUUGAAGAAAUCAAGAUGAUUGAAAAGAAUCAGACCUAGAGUCUGGUUGAAAUACCAACAAACAGGAGGAUUAUUGGUGUCAAAUGGGUCUAUCGAGUUAAAAACAAUGCUGAUGGUAGCCUAAAUAAGUUAAAAGCUAGAUUGGUUGUGAAAGGCUUCAGUCAAAGGUAUAGAUCAAAUUACCUCGAGACCUUUGCACCUGUGGCUAGGCUCGAUACCAUAAGAUUGCUAGUUUCCUUAGCAGCACAAAAGCAGUGGAUGAUACACCAACUUGAUGUAAAAUCAACAUUUCUCAAUGGAUUCCUUGAAGAAGAAAUUUAUGUGGAGCAACCUUAAGGCUUCAAGGUGUCUGGCAAGGAAGAAAUGGUGUACAAGCUCAACAAAGCCUUGUAUGGCUUGCAAUAGGCCCCAAGAGCCCGGUACAGCAGAAUUGAUGGUUAUCUGACCUGUUUGGGAUUCAACAGGAGUCUUAGCGAGCCAACUCUGUAUGUUAAAUUGAUAAAUGAUGAAACUCAGCUCAUUGUUUCAUUGUAUGUCAAUGACCUAUUGGUGGCAGGAGGAGAUCGAGAAUUACUAGUCAAUUUUAAAACCAAAAUACAACAGCAUUUUGAUAUGUCAGACUUGGGGUUGAUGUCCUACUUCUUAGCCAUGGAAGUAACACAAGCUGAGAAAGGAAUUUGGCUAAGUCAGAAGACCUCAACAAAUUCUCAAUGGAGAAUUGCAAAGCAACCAGCACACCAGUUGCUGUUGGAGAAAAGCUAUCAAGCCAAGACAAGCAUGAAAAGGUUUGUGAAACAACCUACAGAAGUCUAGUUGGAUGUUUGCUAUAUUUGACUGCCACUAGACCUGACAUAAUGUAUGUUGUGAGUCUACUCUCGAGGUUCAUGCAUUGUUCAAAUGAAAGUCAUUUUAGAGCUGCAAAAAGAGUUCUGAGAUACAUCAAGGGAACUUUGUCCUAUGGAAUGCUGUUUACCAAGGCAGAAAAUUUGAAGCUUGUUGGUUAUUGUGACAGUGAUUGGGCUGGUUCAUUAGAUGAUAUGAAGAGCACUUCGGGUUAUGCAUUCAACUUAGGGUCUACUAUGAUUUGUUGGAGCUCAAAGAAGUAGGGAGUAGUAGCUCAGUCAACUGCAGAGGCAGAAUAUGUGGCUGCUGCUGCUGCAGUUAAUCAAGCCAUAUGGCUUAGAAAAAUUUUGACAAACAUUAACCAUGAGCAAAAUGAAGCAACAGAGAUAAUGUGUGAUAACCAAUCUGCUGUUGCAAUUGCAAAGAACCCUGUUUUUCAUGGGAGGACCAAGCAUUUCAAUAUCAAGUUUCAUGCAGUUCGAGAAAUGGAGCAGGCUCAUGUUAUUAAACUGGUUCAUUGCAGUUCUGAAGAGCAAUUAGCUAAUAUUUUGACAAAGGCACUCAGUGUUUCAAAGUUUCAACAUCUGAGAGCUAAAAUGGGAGUUUGCAACAUGCUAACCAAGGAGGAGUGUUGAAGCAUGGUUAGCAUGCAGCAACCAAGACAGUCGAGGCUAUCAUAUGCAGAAGCUGCUAGUUCAUCAAGCCAGCAAGCAUGUUUUUCUUUCAUUUUGUAUACUAAGUUGAUGCAAUGUAACUUAGUUCAAUUUUAACUAUAUUAGGUUUAUGUUUGAUGUAAAUUGAUGGUGAUUGAGCUGGUUAAUCAGCUUUAUUGAUUUGUACAAGUUCAUUAGCUCAAGUUACUAAGUUUGUUAGUGGUAGUAGGUUGUGAUUAGGUUAACCUACUGUUUUGUCAAGUUGUAAACUUGUUUAUGUAUUGGCUUUAUGCCAUUUUCAGUUUUUUGAAUGAAUUCAAUCAAGAUUUCAUCCAUAUGCUCUCUAUUUUAGCUUUGCUUUGAAAUUUGUUUUGUUUUUCUGCUUUGUUUCUGCCGCAAGUCUCGAUCCUUGCUUGGCAAGUUUCUUGUUGAACUUUGUUGUGUGUUGUUCUCAGCUCCAACAGUGUCUCUAUCUUGUCUGCCACUAAGCUUCGCAUUAUCGAUGCUGGAAAUAAUUGUAACAAGAUUUCUCCCGAUCCAUUUGAAAGCAAUAGUCGUUAUCACCCUAUAUGUGUCCUCCUCCAGUAACCAACAAAACCAACAGUAGUAGAACUCCUUCCUAUAUCAAAAUAUUCCUCCCAAUUGCCAUCUUCUCCACAUUCUCCGUUUUGGGAUGCUUUCUAUUUUCACGGUUUAAACUCAAGAAUAACAGCGUCGGUGUACAACCGACGAAGAAUGGGGAUUUGUGUUCCAUAUGGAACUAUGAUGGAAAGAUAGCAUACGAGGAUAUUGUUGCAGCAACAGAGGAUUUUGACUUUCAAUACUGUAAAGGAGUUGGUGGUUAUGGAAGUGUUUACAGAGCACAACUACCUUGUGGUAAAGUAGUUGCCUUGAAGAAACUUCAUCGUUUAGAAGCUGAAAAUCCAGCCUUUGACAAGAGCUUCAGGAAUGAGAUCAAGAUUCUAACAGAAAUACGACAUCGAAGCAUCGUAAAGCUUCAUGGGUUUUGUCUACACCGACGGUCCAUGUUUUUGAUCUAUGAGUACAUGGAAAAAGGGAGUUUGUUCUGCAACCUAAGAGAUGAAGUGUAAGCUGUGGAAAUGGAUUGGACAAAAAGAGUGGAGAUCAUCAAAGGCAUAGCGCAUGCUUUGUCUUACUUGCACUAUGAUUGCAGCCCUCCAAUAGUUCAUCGAGACAUAUCAAGUAACAAUGUUCUUUUAAACUCAAGCUUUGAGGCCUUUGUAGCUGACUUUGGGACUGCUAAAAUGUUGGAUCUUGAAUCAUCCAAUCAGACCAUUGUGGGCACAUGUGGUUAUGUAGCUCCAGGUGAUUUUCUUUGCUUUGUUUGAUGACAUUUUCUUCGGAAUUUAUAAAAUUAAUUGAACAUAUAAAUGAUUUUCUUUUUUAUCUGGUUUUUCGUACGCAGAACUUGCAUAUACAUUGGUUGUCACCAAAAAAUGUGAUGUCUAUAAUUUUGGAGUGGUGGCACUAGAAACGUUAAUGGGAAAGCAUCCCGAAGAAUUGUUAUCAUGGUUUUCAUCACCAACUUCUUUGGUAAAUAUGAGGCUGAUUGAUGUGCUAGACAACCGUUUACCACUUCCCACAAGUCAAUUAGUUGCACAAAAUCUUGUUCGCAUUGCUACUUUGGCAUCCGCCUGCCUAAAUCUGCAACCUAAGUCUCAACCAACAAUGAAAGAAGUGUACGAAGAGUUUCUUUGUGGCCAAACAUCCUUGGGAGUUCCCCUUCGGAUGAUCUCUUUGUUACAACUUGUGAACUGUGAAAUGCAUAUUGGAGAUAGAACUGAAACUUGUAAUGUUUAAACUCCAUGCACUUGUUCUUGAUUAGAUAUUGUUUAUCAAGCUUUGAUGAUUUGUUUGUAAACCAUAUCCUAUGUUCUAUAUGUUGGAAUGAAUUGCAAUGUUCAAUAAACUUGUUUAUUCGAUUGCUUUACAGAACAUAAAUUCGACAAUUUGAUGCAAAUAUUCAAACACCAUCCUAAUAGCUUCCUUUCAUUUCGUGCUUCUUUCAAGCAUGAAAGACCAACUCAAAGGAUAAAUCAAAUAUAAGUAAAUUAAUUGUGAAUUAAAGCAAAAAAAAUCAAAUUUAUAAAUACAAUGUUUCUUUCCUCAAUUUGCAUAAAUUUUAAAUGGUUCAGAAGAAAGCUUUCUAAAAAAGACUACACUAAAAAUGACCAAACCAUUUUGGAAAGAGGGAAAGAUGCUUAGGGGUAAUUUUUGAUAAAGCAAAGGCCACUAAAGAAUUCAAUAAUGCUUAGGGGUAAGAUGCUUAGGGGUAAGGUCUUUUAAUUUUUUUAUAUUAUCUAUAAUAAUUCAAUUUGAUUUAGUUUAUUUAUUUUUAUAUUAAUUUUAAGUUUAGGGUUUUGCACUUAUUUUAAUAAAAUGAACUUUAUUUUAUGAUUGUUGGAUAUUAUUUGAUAAACUUUGACUUUUAUAUAAGGCUUAGAAUUUUUAGUCCUCAGAUGGAAGGGUUCAGAAAUAAAGCACAAAGAAGUAUUUAUAAAGUGAAACUAUGAAGAAAACAUAGUAGUGACUAGGGAUAAUAAUAUAAUAUAAUCAUCUCUUCCAACUUCGGCUUCAGUAUAAAUGAUCUUUCAUUCCACCAACAAGCCAUGUCUCUUGGGCUAUAUCAGAUGAAAUUUUGUAGAAAUCAUGGUCGUAUUUCAUCACUACUAAGCUCUCUUUCACCUUCCUGUUUUCUUCUUCCAUUAAAGACCUCAAAUUUUUUAUUUUUUCCUCGUCUUUCCUCUUGCACUCUUAUUUGUCUCCUUGAUCUUCCUCGUCCUCUUCGAUCCUGUUAGCUUCUUCUAACCAGCUCUUAGCAGGAGCGGAUCGACAAUGCGUAAGCAAGAAAGCAUUUGUAGGUGGGACUGCAGCAGCUUGAUCAUCAACAUGAUCGAGGGAGCAUUUACCAGCAAUCACAAUUCUUAAUAUCAAUCUGCAAGUCUGAGAAGAUUGCAAAUUUAAAAAACCUAACUAUCUGCUUAAAGGUCAAAAGUCAAAUGCUAAGUUGGUUAUAACAUGUAAUUAAGUAAUGAAACCUGCAUUUAUAAUUUAUUGAAGGAAUCAGGCUGCCACAAUAUCUAUAAAUGAUUAAGUUCAAGCUAUACAAAUUAUAUUAAAAAUAAGAUGAUCAUUACAAAAAAUUAAAAAAGAAGGCCCUUUUCAGCGGCAGUAACAUGUAAUUAAGUAAACCAUGUAUUUUUCUAUUUCUUAAUCUUAGCCUGAACUUCCAUUUGCUUGCCAAUAUUUCUGGAAAAUGAUUUACUUUUUGGAAAUGAUUUACUUUUUUGGUGUUUGGAUAAAUAUGUGUAAAAUAUUUUCUGUUGUUUGGCAGAUUUCUUGAAAAUAGUUUAGAAAAACUGUUUUAAAUGAAACAUACAUUUGAGAAUUUAAUUGAGUUUAUUUUAUAUCUAUCAAUAAAUUUAUAUUUUACAUUAUUUUUACAUAUAUUUCAACCACAAUAUCAUUUCUCACCUCAUUCUUAUUUAUUUAUUUUCUAAUUUAAUUAUAAGGACAAAAUUCUAUUUUUCAUUGUUUUUUCGUUUUGCACUUUUGAUUUUCAAACUUCCAGUUUUGAAUAUAAAAAAUAAAUAUCCAUUUAAUAAUUAUAUUUGAGUGUGAUUAUACAUGAUUGGUAACUUGUAAAUACACUAUUUUUAGUUUUUUCACUUUACCCAUAAUUAUUUAUUAAAAUAAUUUUAUAAAUAUAUAUUUUUAAUAUAAAAUAUAUUCAUUCGGGAGUCUUACCUUAUAAUAUCCACAUACAUGUUGUAAGGCCCAAAAUUUUCCCGGGCCCAACAGUCCAAUUACAAAAAUAUAAACCCAAUUUAAACCCAAAUAAAUCAAAACCCUAGGGCCCAAAUGGCCCAAAAUCUAAAGUAAAUUUUUAGCUAAAUUUUAGCAGCAAAAAAACCCUAGCCGCAUGACCUGCUACUGCCGUCGCUUCGCCUCCUCGCGCGCCUGCGCCGCUCGCCGCCACCACUCGCCUAUCACUGGCCUUCCACGCCACUGACACCUGCAGAGAAAAAUAAAUGCAAGGCAACAGAAGAAUCCGGCCAAAUAAAGAGCAAAAAGACAAAGAAUAGAAAUCAAUAGUUGUAAUACGGCUAUAAAAGCCAAAAUGUUCUCGUUGUAUUUUUUUACGCACACUAAGCAAUCAAAAAGCAGAACAGAAAUUUGAAAAGGUUGAUUAAAAUCUCUUACUGUUUCCUGUUUGUUUUUCUCUUUUUUUUUAUUUUUUUAUUUUUUAUUUUUACAAAUCCAUUUGAACGAAAACUAGAAUAGAAAAGCAAGAAAAAGCUUACUUGGGCGUCACGAUCCCAUCGUCGGAGUCCCUUUCUCCGUCGCCGGAGCCGAGUUUUCAGAGAGGGGAUGAGGAAGACUUUAUUUUUCUUUCCCAUUUUUGUGGGCACGGGCUAAAAACCUUUCUCUUUUUCCAUGCGACUCCGGCCACCAUCCUUGGUGGCGUCGCAGUGGAGAUGUGGUGGAUGACGGCGGGGUUCCAAAGCUAGGCUUGGAGCCCUAGCAGAGAAAGGGGAAGCCCCUUUUCAUUUUAUUUUUCUAUUCUUUGUAACAAAUGAAACAGCAAAAAAAAAACUGUAGCAAUUAUAACAAUCGCAAACGGCGUCGUUUAAAGGGGGAGAGCUGCGCAUUCAUUCCCUAAAGGGGUAAUUUAUGCAAUUGGUCCCUUCUCUUCGACGCCUUAAUGCAAUAUGGUCUUUGGUUUUUUUUUAAAUUCGGUCGCAUAAUUCUUCAUGCAUUUCAUUUUAAUCCAUGCUGGGACUCAAUGCAUGAGGGUUGGGGAUAUUUUCCCAAUCAAUCCCUCAUAUUCAAAGCUUGUCCCACUUGGACCCUUAAUACCUCUUAUUUAUUUAUGGUUUUAACCCACCGAUUCUAGCCCGAUUCCAAUUCCAUCCUUGGUUCUGUAAAUACUUAUUUUUUUUUCUUUUAAAUUGUUUUUGUCUAUUAUCAUUAGUUUUUCUUAUUUGUCUUAAUUUCUUCUUUAUUUGUUUUUUUAUCGUAUAGCUAUAUUUUUCUUUUCUUUUCUUUUGCUAUAUAUAUUAUUUCAUUAAACAGUUUUAUUAUCAUUGUUUUUUUUAUUUUUUUUACUUUACGUUUUAUUUAUAUUAAACAUUUUUGUUUAUAUAUAACGUUUUAAGUUUCCUUUCCUAUAUUACAUUCCAAGCCUUUUAUAUACAAUACUGACUUGCUUUUAUAAAUUGUUUUUUUUUUAUGAUAAGAUGUGUUAUAUAUGUCAAAUCUUAUAAACUGCUUUCUACUAUCUCCUUUUAAAUUGUCAUUUUUAUCUUUAUUUUGAACUCAUUUUAUGUAUUAUUUAGUUAAAGUUGUUUUAUUACUUAAAAUUGUUUUAUAUAUCUUUUAAACGCAAGUUAUUUAUUAAAAAAUGUUUUAUUUGUUUUUUUCCGUUUCAAAGAUUAUUUCCUUCACAUUACUUAUCUUAUAUACAUUAGUUGUUAUAUAUAUAUAUAUAUAUAUAUAUAUAUAUAUAUCUUUUUUUGUAUAUUAUUAACCUUAAAUUUCUUUGUUUGCAUUAUCUAUUUUAAACUCAUCAUUAUUAUUUUAAAUAUAUUUUACAUUUUAUUUGACUUUAAUUUGCUUUAUACCUUCUAAAUUAUUGCUUGAUUUAUUGGUCUUUAUUUAUCGAUGUUUGAAUUUGAAUGAUGAAUGUUGUGAGAUUAUUGCCUUUGUGUAUAAUUUAAUUCGCUUAUUCGUUUUCUGGCGUUCACUUGCAUGAUAUUGUAUUCGUGUAUUAUUGUCCCAAGCGCGCUACCAUAUUUUAUUUCAUGUCAUUGCAUCGUGGAUGUCUCAACGUUUUCAUUCGAUAUAAUCCAUUUCGUUUUACUCCCAAACAAAAUAAAUGCACAUCUCUUAGUGUUGUACUCGCGACUAUUCGAAAAGAUUUUCUAAAUAAGGCAAUAUUUCGCGUUUGGAAAUUCGAGAAAACGUGCCCUAACGUGCUGAGUUUCGAUUUCUCGUUCGACCAAAUAGCCAAAUAUCCUUUUAAGAUUUUCUAAAUAAGGCAAUGUUUUGCGUUUAGAAAUUCGAGAAAAUAUGCCCUAACGCGCUGGGUUUCAAUUUUUCGUUUGACCAAAUAGCUAAAAUAUCCUUUUAAAAUUUCAAAAUAAAGUAAUAUUUCGCGUUUGGAAAUUCGAGAAAACGUGCCCUAACGUGCUGGGUCUCGAUUUCUCGUUGAACCAAAUAGCCAAAUAUCCUCCUCUUAAAUCUCAAUCCAUGUCGUUUGAGUUUUUUAGGAUCAUACUCUACAUCUCUUUAAAGUUUUCAAUUUUCAACACUAAGACACUAAGUAAUCAAUUAGGUACCAAUUUUGAGCAUAUCGAGGGUGCAAAUCCUUCCUCGUGCAUAACCGACUCUCGAACCCAUUUUUCUAAAUUUCGUAAAUCAAAAUCGUUGUUUUAAUAAAAAUUAAAUCAUUUAUUAAAAACAACCACUCUUCGAGGUGACCCAAUCACACCUCAUCGAAAAAAGAUUGGUGGCGACUCCCGUUUUCGUUUUUAUUUUCAAAAAAAUGGUGUCAACACAUGUUAUGGCUUAGGUUUGGAUAAUAUUAGACUUUGGAUUAACAGGAACGAUAGAAGAAAUUGAUGUUAAGUUGCACCAUAGAAACUUUUAUAUUCUCCUCCAAUGUAAACAAACCAAAAACUACUUUUCUAUUUAUCAACCACUGCACAAGUAGUGUGUAUUUCUUUUGUUAUACAUAUAAGCACAACUCCGCAUAUAUGAAUUAUCUACCAAAUACUCACGAAAGGCUUUUAAAAAAAUAUUAGUUAGUAAAGCCAUCCAAGAGGGAAUAUGCUACUAACGUGAAACGGGCAAAAUUACAUAGUAAAUAUGUCUUCAUGAGACUGCUGUAUUUCUUUAAGAACCAAAAAAACUAUAAGUGAAGGCAAAAUAGUUUAUUGUUUCAACUCUCUAUCCCCAUGCCUUAUUGUGCAAUGAAUAAAGUACAUCAAGCAGGGAUUUAUCCCUCGCCAUAAAUAUAUCGCACUGGUCUUUGCUUUAUACAAAUUUCUUGAAACACAACUUUGGAAUUUUAAUAUUUGGAACUCCUAAGCUACCUGAAAUAACUGCAAGUUACCAUGACUAAAGUGCAUACAUACAUAAAUGAAAGUUUCUCAAGCAAUGAUAAGAUAAUUAAUUGCUAAAAAUCUUUAUUAAUUUUGUGGAGAGACAAUCAGACAAGUCAUGUCAAAUUAAUGAUGGGACAAAAAGGUUUUCUGGAUUUUUAAAAGCUAUGAAUGCAUCUAUCAGGCUCAAGCAUUUCCAACAUCUAACUUAUGGCUUACAUCUCAAAGCAAAGAAUGCAAAGCAUCAGGCUUAAAGAUCAUAAUAUGCACAAAAAAUGUAGUGGCCAUGCAAGGUCUGCAUCAUGUCAUGCAUGCAUAGAUACAUUACAUUACUAUAAGCAAAUUUAUAGCUUUAUUGGUCUAUAACACGGUAGCAUAAUUAGAAACUAUCAAACAUGUCGGAGUGUACAUGUCUGAAUCGAAGUACAAAGGCAAAAAUAUACCGGUUUCUUCUCACUGCAGUAUAGUAUAAACAAACUUCUAUUGCCUGCAAAGGAUGGAAGAUGCUAACUCAAGCCUUACAACAGUGCAUACAUCACAAGAUGCAUGCGAGGCAAUGGCGCUUCAAGAGACAUGAAACUUUACACAGUUAGAAUCUUCACAUUUACCCCAAAAGUUCAAACUUCAAACAAUAGAAAAUGGUAGACGAACUAGCUUUUUAUAGUGUCAAACAUGCUGCAUUACAACAAAAUAUUCUUAUUGUUCUUCUCCGGUAAAACAAAAGGUUAACAUUUAGAGUUUAAAACAAACCGAAAAUGAAAAAAUAAUUGGAAACAGACUAUUAAACAAAUGAAAAUAUGAAAAAUAAUUUCCGAUAUAUAUGCUAAAUAAAAACCCAAAAUGGCAAUCGGUCUUGAACUCCAAUCUCUUAACAAUUCAAGAAACAAAUUCCAAUUCCAAAAAAUCCUAGUCUUUUAACAAAACAAAAACCAAAUAUACCAAAUACCCUUUCCCUUACACACAAAAGCUAAUUCAAGAGAUUACCAAAAAAAAAAAGGCUAAUUCAAGAACCAAGUUUGAAAAACAACUAAAACCCCCAAUUAAAAUCUUGGUCAGCUUACCUUGAAAAAUCACAUAGAAAGAGAAAAAAGAGAAACUCACAUGUGGCCAUGGAGAAAGCAACGAAUUUACAGAGUAACCUACAAUAACUUUGAAGAACAAAAAUAAUCAGGGAAAUAGCCAAAGAGAAAAGCAACAAGUUAAACCCCAUGAAGGAAAUUACAACUGCUCAUUGGAAAGCUAGAUUUUUGAGUUUCUUCAAAAUGCAGACUUGGUAAGGACGACGAGAUAACAAGACUCGGAUUCGAAGGUGAGGCCAACGAAUAGAGAUGAGGAGGAGAGGCAGAGGCUAAUGGACAAAGAGGAAGGAAAACGACUGUUGUGAUGAGAGUGGAGGAAAAUGGAAAAUGUCUUACCGAAAUAAAAUCGGUAAGACCUUUUCCAUAAAAAGCCAUUUCAUUUACCCUUGGUUUAGAAAAUGUUAUAAAAAGCCAUUUCAUUUACCCUUGGUUUAGAAAAUGUUCUGCUGAAGUAAUUUAUUUUCCAUCAAAAAAACACAGUAAAAUACAGAAAAUAUUUUAUGGAAAAUAUUUUACUGACAAAUAAGCAGAGCCUAAGUACUGCAUUGCAAAUGACAUAAUAUCACCCAUAUCAACAAUGUAAACAGACAGACAUAUUAAAAUUUAAAUUUAAAUCCAUAAAAAUUUAUGUACUUAUGUUCAUGCAUUUAUACAAACACAAGAAAGAUAUAUAAAUUUAGAAGAACAAACACAAUGUCAAAUCAAUAUAGUUCCUUCCUUUAAUACAAACAUCGUGUGACAUCAACCAACAUAAAGAAGAUAACAAAAAGUAUGCCCUAGUUUCAACACUCUUUUAAGGCAAUUACUAAAAGUUGUUUUCAACCAAGUUAAGAAGCAUAUCAAGAAAUCAAGUUAAGGAGGACUUCUAAUGAAAGUUGACAAGAAAUUUUCCAGAGAUGGAUGUACUAUCCACGAUCCGUUCUAACAAUUUGAUCUUUAGUCUUACCUUCUAUUAUAAGAAUGAGUAGCCUUUGUUUCUGACAAUUUUUGAUUGGUUCCAGUAUUCACUAGACCUGUCCAUGGGCCGGGCGGCUCGGUUCGGCCCGACGGCCCGCCCGAAAUAUGGGAGGGUUCGGGUAAAAAUAUAUGCCCGAAAUAUGGGCUUGGGCAAAAAAAUGAGACCCGUUUAAAAAAUGGGCCGGGCUCGGGCUCAACUUUUUUGGCCCGGGCCCGGCCCGGCCUGGCCCGAAUAUAAUAAAUAUAUAUUUUUAUUUUUAUUUUUUAAUUUUAAAAUACUUUAAAAAUAUUUUUUUAUUUUUUUAUUUUUAAAAUAUUUUUUUGUGUUUAUUAAAAACCGGGCCGGGCCAGGCCGGGCUUAUUAUUUUUUCCCGGGCCGGGCCUGGGCAAAAUUUUAGGCCUAUAUUUCAGGUCGGGCCGGGCCCGAGCCUAAGAGUUGGGCCGAAAUUUUUUUCCGGGCCCGGCCCGGCCCAUGAACAUGUCUAGUAUUCACUAAUAAGAAAGAUUUUCAUUUUCUGAAUACGUAUACAACCUGAAUCCAUUCUAUAUCAACAACAAUAGUACACAUGAUAAAGUGAUAGAUUACAAGUUUCCAUACAAGAUUUCACACAUACAAUAAAAGAAAAAUAAGUGAAAUAAUUCCAUCUAAAAUGAAAUUAAAGAAAGCCAAAACUAAUGCAGUAGAACAGAUAAUUGAGAAUGUAGAAUUUUCUUAUAUUAGUUCCAUCUGUUUAAAAAAAAAAGAUUGCAAGGUAAAUCAAUAGUAAGAAAGAAAAAUAUGGAAUACCCAUAAAGGGAUUGCGAACAAACAAGCCGAUUUAGAUAAGAAAAAUCAGAUUGAGAAACCAAUUAUUCAAGAACCGUGAAAGAACUGGAAAAUAUAAUGGUUAGGAGCAAAAACGAUUACCCUCUUUUUAUUUGUCGACAACCACUUGAUUUUAAGUUUUUGAACAUAAAUUUGUCAGCAUAGAAGACAUACUUGGACCCUCCAUUGAAUCCAUCUUUUGUUUUUCUAUGUUGAAUAAAAAAUUCAAUCGAAACACUCUGUCGAAACCAUUUUUUUGAAAACAACAAAAUUUUUAGGUUGUCGACUUUUAAAAAUGAAAAUUGGGAGUCGCCACCAAUCUUUUAGUAAGGUGUGAUUGGAUCACCUAAAAAAACGGCUUUGGUCUACGAGUUUUAGAAAAACGGAUCCGGGAGUCAGUUACGUACGAGGAAGGAUUAGCACCCUCGUAACGCCCAAAAUUGGUACCUAGUUAAUUAAUUAGUGUCUUAAGGUCGAGAAUUUGGAAAAACGUAAUCUUUAGCAAAACUUAAAAGGCUACGUAUUAAGACCCUUAUUAUUUCAGAGAAAGAAGAUACCACACCCAAUGCGUUAGGGCACAACAUUCUAAUUUUCCCCCAAAAAUGAAUUGGGCCAAAAUACUUAUACAAUAAAACUUUAAAAGAACAUCCACUUAUCCAAGAUUUAAGAAAUCACACCCAAUACGUUAGGGCACUAUUCCUUUAGAAUCCCAAACUCGGAAUAUUUCCUUUACUUUAAAAGAAAGUCCGCUUAUCCAAGAUUUAAGAAAUCACACCCAAUACGUUAGGGCACAAUUCCUUUAAAAUCUCAAACUCGGAAUAUUUCCUUUAUGAUUUUUAAAAAAUCUUCAUUUCGAGAAAUCAAUGCGUCACAUCCAAUACGUUAGGACACAACGUGUUGAAUUCCCAAUAAUGAGUUCUUAUUUUUUUAAUUAAAGAGAAAUGCUUGAUUGUUAGAUUUAACGAAGAAAAUCAGAACCCAAUACGUUAGGGCUCAAUUUCCUUGAAAAUCCUAAAUACAAGCACUAUCUCAAUUUUGAAAAGUUUGAAAUCGAGUAAAAAAAUGAUGUGAUGUUACAUUAAAUAUACAAUGCAAUAAUAAAUAAAUAUACAAGUGAAAGACAUAAGCAAAACUAUAAAAUAUAAAAAAAAAUAAAGGAUAUAAAGUGUGCUUAUAAUAAGUACAUUGAAGUUAUGGAGAAUACAAGACAUACAUGGAUUUAUAUGAAGAUAUAGACUAUAAGAUUCAUAUAAAAUAUAAUGCAUUUAUAAAAAGAAAUAUAUAAAUAUAUAUAUUAUAAAAUUUGUGUAAAAAAAAUAAAUAGGUAGUUAAACAUUUUCAAAAAUAAAUAAAUAAAAAUAGAUAUAUACGUGUAUAUAUAUAAAUAUAAAAGAACAUUCAUUAGAAAAAAAAAAUAAUAUGUAUACAUGUACAUAUAAAAUAUCUAUAGAUUAAAAAUAAUUAAAUAAUAUCUACAUUAUCAAAAUUGAAUAAAAUAAAUAAAUAUGUAUAUAUAUAUAAAUAUGAGAAAAAUAUUAAUUGAAAAAAAAAUAUAUAAUGUGUACAUAUAUAUAAAAAAUAAUUAUAUACAUAUAUAGAUUAUAAAAACGAUAAUUACAUAUAUACAAAAAAAUGAUAAUAAUUAAAUUAAUUAAUUUAAAAAAUAUUAAAAAAACUAUGAAGAAAACAUGUACAAGUAUACGUGUACAUAUUUACAAAAGUAAAAACAAGUUUUUGAAAUUAAAAAUAUAAAAGUAUAUAUAUUAUAAAAAAUGUUUGUAUGUACAUAAAAAUAAUAAUUAAAUAAUGAUAAUAAUAAUAAUAAUAAUAAUAAUGAUGAUGAUGAUGAGGAAGAUGAAAAAAUAAAAUUAAAAAAAAACGAAUUGCAAAAAAACAAAUAGUUAAAAAAAACUAAAAUAACAAGAAAUAAAUGAAAUUUAAGCAAAAUAAUGGGCGAAAUCGCGACACGCGAAUUACAUGGAGGGCCAAAUCGGAAAUAAUCCGCCUCCCCAAAACAGUGUCGUUUCGCUAACAUGAUUUAAAACAGUUUUUUAGAAAAAAAAACAUUGUUUGCAGCAUAAAAAAAAGAAAACAAAAAAAACAAAGGCUCUCUACUAGGGUUUUUAACCCCAGCCCCCUGACACCACCGUUCACUCUUGUCGAUACUCCGAUUGCGACAGAGACGGCACAAAUCCGGCGAUUCCAACUUGAGGAGUAAGCUCUUUCCUCCUUUCUUUAUAUUUUAAGCAAAAAUAAAUAAAGAGAUAAAGAAACUAAAAAUAUAUAUACAUCUAUGUAUAAAUGAAAAAUAAAAGAACGAUAAUCCUCAAGGUAAUAUAGAGAGAAAAAAACCUUUGUAUUCGAAAAAGAAAAUUUUCCUUCUCUCUCUUUUCAGUCUCUCUCUUUUCAGUCUUCUCUCUUUUUACAUUACAUUCAGUGGCUUUAUAUAGCCAUUCUAAAAAAAUCAUAUAAAGAAGAAACAAAUCUCUUUUAUUUGAUUUGUGAAUCUUUGAUUUCAUUUCCUUUUUUUUUCUUGCUUGAUAUGCUUGAUUUGAUUUUGCAAUCCUUGAUUUUCUUUCCUUUCUUGUUUGUUUCCUUGCAGGUGAAGAUCGAUGACGCUCGUGACUGCGGCGCAAAGUCUUCUUAGAAACCCUAGGGUUUCUGCAAAUGAUUUGAGCCACUGAAUUUGGGCCAUUUUCAAAAUUGGGCCACCGUUUUAAAUUGGUUUUGGGCCUUAUGGCCCGUUUGUAAUUUUGGGCCUUUUACCAGGGCCAAAAUCGGGUAUUACAGCUGCCCCUCUUUGCUCAUUGUCGUGUAACAGGAGAGCAAAGACUUAAAAAAUGCCCGAUUUUGUCCGAUCUUUGGUAUUUUUCUUCUUCAAAAAGCUUCGCCUCUUCCUACUGCAUCUUCAGUAGUAUAGGAGCUAGUGCUUCAAUUUAUUUCACUGCGACUGCAGGGAGAUAAGACUUACAAUCUUCAAUCUAUUCCACUAAUGCUUAGGGAGAUAAGAUCUGAAAUCUUCAAUCUAUUCCACUGUUGUCCAGGGGAGUAGAAUUACUGGCUUCAAUGUACUCCAUUAUAACCACAGUGAGGUAAAAUCCGCCAUCUUCGAUCUGCUCCACUACUGCUUAGGGAGAUAAGAUCUGAAAUCUUCAAUCUAUUCCACUGUUGUCCAGGGAAGUAGAAUUACUGGCUUCAAUGUACUCCACUAUAACCACAGGGAGGUAAAAUCCGCCAUCUUCGAUCUGCUCCACUACUGCUUAGGGAGAUAAGAUCUGAAAUCUUCAAUCUAUUCCACUGUUGUCCAGGGAAGUAGAAUUACUAGCUUCAAUGUACUCCACUAUAACCACGGGGAGGUAAAAUCCGCCAUCUUCGAUCUGCUCCAUUACUGCUGAGGGAGAUAAGAUCUGAAAUCUUCAAUCUAUUCCACUGUUACCCAGAGAAGUAGAAUUACUAGCUUCAAUGUACUCCACUAUAACCACAGAGAGGUAAAAUCUGCCAUCUUUGAUCUGCUCCACUACUGCUUAGGGAGGUAAGAUCUGAAAUCUUCAAUCUAUUCCACUGUUGCCUAGGGAAGUAGAAUUACUGGCUUCAAUGUACUCCUCUAUAACCACAGGGAGGUAAAAUCUGCCAUCUCCGAUCUGCUCCACUACUGCUUAGGGAGAUAAGAUCUGAAAUCUUCAAUCUAUUCCACUGUUACCCAGAGAAGUAGAAUUAUUGGCUUCAAUGUACUCCACUAUAACCACAGGGAGGUAAAAUCUGUCAUCUUUGAUCUGCUCCACUACUGCUUAGGGAGAUAAGAUCUAAAAUCUUCAAUCUAUUCCACUGUUACCUAGGGAAGUAGAAUUACUGGCUUCAAUGUACUCCUCUAUAACCACAGGGAGGUAAAAUCUACCAUCUUCGAUCUGCUCCACUACUACUUAGGGAGAUAAGAUCUGAAAUCUUCAAUCUAUUCCACUGUUGCCCGGGGAAGUAGAAUUACUAGCUUUAAUAUACUCCACAGGGAAGUAAAAUCUGCCAUCUUCGAUCUGCUUCGCUGUCAAUGCAGGAAGGCAAGAUUUGCUAUCUUUAACUUGCUCCACUACAACCGAGGAAGGCAAUGCUUAAUUUUCGAUCUGCUUCGCAGUCAAUGCAGGAAGGCAAGAUCUACUCUUUCACUGAUCUGUUCUCUGUGGAACAUGACCUGUAUAAUGAACCUAAUUAUGCCUAAUGAUUAGGAUGGCAUGAUCAAAAUGCAUCAAAUGCUCCUAACUAGACAUGUGUGAAUAGUGUUUGCAUGAAUGCAAAAUUUAUUUUUUCGAGAAUGAUCCCACUUAGGUUGUCAUCACUCGAAGUUUAUUAAGGCUUUGUGACUGACGUGCUACAACGCCUUCUUGCUUGACUGGCUUUUCUGAAGAAUCAUUUAGCCAGGCUGCCCCCCACUGUGAACCUCCAAGUUUAAUCCAUUGGGGUGCAAAGAUUCAUACCAUUGUUCUCCCACUGUAACCCAAGAGUAUAUGGCUUUUCUUCAAUCCUCUCCUAUCACAAUUCAAGGAUAUAGGAUCUAAAUCUUUCUAGUCUUUUACACCAUUCCCAAGUGUCGUACCAAAAGCUCAUACACAAAUGAAGGCUCUCUUCCCCGAGGUAACCUCUUUCUAUUGCCUGGUGAUCAUUACUUGCUUGUUGAUUUAGGCUUUGUCAUCAACACAACAUCCAAUGUUUUUGACAACAAAAUCCAAAGAGAGUCCUAGUUUAGACUCUUCCUUUUCAGAUUUCCAACCUUUAAAAACUUGGUACGUUCUAAACAAUAGUCCUAUUUUAGGUUCCCGUAUUAUUUAGAAACUUCUAGAGUAAUAUGCAAAACUUCCUUCAUGAAAGUUUUAUUAGUCCAUUAAUCAUUAUUCUAAUGCAACAUGCUUGCAAAAAGGGUAUAUCAAUAGAUGAGAAUACAAUUGGUUCUGUGCAUAGCUCGAAAGGAAUAUAUUAUCAAAAAUAGUAAAUAAGGAUAGCAAAGAAAUUGAUUGAGAAUGUGUAUCUUGGAAAAGAAUGACGUAUCCCAAAAAUAACAAACUCAGUAUAAAUAGUAUGAAUAUUGGGUGCCCCAAAUAUCGCAGCUUGAGCUUCUCUGUACAAACUUUGUGAAGAUCCUUCUGAGUUUGACAUGUGUUUAGGAGAUCCACAGUACUCUGCCAAUGCCUCAAGAUGUUGCCUACCUUUUCCUGAUAAUUCAGGUAUAACAAGAUCACCACAUGCCCCAAUCUGGUUAAACUUUGAGUUGCUCUAAUCACUUCGUGCCCCAUUCUGAUCAAUAUUUGAGCUGCCCUUUUCGGGAUUUCAACUCAAAUCCCCUUUGGUCUCAAAGUGCCCUUUGCGGGUUUUCACUUUGGCCUCUCCAUUUUUCUUUUUCUUUUUUUUGUUUUGUUUUGUUUUUUUUAAUCUAAACUAAUAGGAUUAGACAAGUCUUCGUUAUCCCUUUCGAUCAAAACCAAUGCAAGAUCUUCUUUGUGAUCAAAUUUCUUUCAUACAGUUUUUUUUUGGGCAAAAUUUAACUAUGACGAAAACUUUGGAUCUUCCUCUUCAAUUGGGAUGAAAUCCAACAACGGAGAAAUGGUAACUUAACUUCGACAAGUUAAACCAUGAUGAGCCAAAGGAGAAGGCAUUGCCCCUGCAAAGAAUUCUAAAUGUAUCGUUCAUGAUUUUAAUCUUGAACAUACUGUAAAUUCUUGAUAUCGUAUUGUUGUUUCGAUUACGAUGUCGGUGCUUACUCAAGCAUAUCCUGAUAUGACCAUAUGAAGACAUCUUUGAACUCUUUGAAGUAACUCAACAAGGUCAUGCUUCAUUUCUUCGGUUAUGCACGCUAUCUUAAGGUCCAUUGUCCCUUCAUGAAGUACGAUUUCAUUCUUGUUCUACCAUCCUCAAAAAGUCUAAAAAUAGACUACAAUCUAUAUCAUUUUUAAAGUCAUGAGAUCCCUCUAAACACAGAUCUCACUCAAAAGAAACUUCUGAGUCCGUAUCAGCAUCACUCAUGUCGUUGAUAUCAGGGGACCCAUAGUAGGUACCAAAGAAUAUACAAAAAAAUGUAUGAAUAAUCAUUUAUACAAUUAUGAAUGAAUAGAAUAAUAUGGAAGAAGAUCCGAAAGAAUGAAAGUAUAAUUAUUCGAAAAAGAAUGAAAGAACAUUGGCUUAAAAAAUGAAUGCAAAGAUGUAUUUUAUUAGAAUAACAACGUUCAGACAUGAGCCUAUUUCAUAAAGGAAUUCUUAUUGCCUCUAGGCUGAAGGCAACAAGUGUGUUUUAAACAUUACUCUGAGUAAUCUCUAAAUACUACAGGGGCUUCUUCUGCAGUCUAAUUAUUUAAAACACUCCCAAGUCUAUAAGGGCAAAAAUCUGACAAGGUCUCUUCUUCAGUUGUUUCAUCGUGAACACUUCUCAACACCCCUUCAUAUUCAAUCAUGACUGGGUACUAGAUGAACCAUCUAUCUUGACAAUACCCAUGUUGAUGAAUUGUUCAACUAGCUUUUUGAAGGUAAUGCAAUUUUCUAUAGAAUGCCCCGUAAUGCCUGCAUGAUAAUCACAUUGUGCACUUGCAUCAUACCAUUUGGGAUACGGGGGCUGUGGAGGCUUCAUAUGUAAAGGAGCAACGACAUGCGCAUUGAAUAAGCUUUGAUACAGCUCACUGUACGACGUUGGAAUUGGUGUGAACUGGAGCUUUUCAGUACCUGGCUUCACACCUAAUUCUUGUAUUGAUGAACCCUGUUGAUUAGCAAUCGAUUUGUCGUACGUAUUCACGUUGUGCACCUCAUUUCCCUUUUCUUUUGAGGCUUGCCUUCUGUUAUUUCCUCCAGCAUCAAUCUUUCCGCUCCUUAUGGCGCUUUCAAUCAUUUCACCAUUCAUGAUUAUGUCAGAAAAGCUUUUUGUUGCACUCCCUAACAUAUGUGUGAUGAAUGGUGCCUUCAAUGUGUUGACGAAAAGCAUCGUCAUCUCUCUUUCUAGCAGAGAUGGCUGAACUUGGAUAGCAACCUCCCUCCAUCUCUGUGCGUACUGCCUGAAACUUUCACUAGGCUUCUUCUCCAUGUUUUGCAGAGUAAUUCUAUCAGGUACCAUGUCAGUCACAUGACUGUACUGCUUUAUAAACGCCUGUGCCAAAUCUCUCCAUGAGUUAAUAUGGGUACGGUUCAAUCGAUUGUACCACUUGGAUGCUGCCCCUGCGAGGCUAUCCUGGAAGCAAUGACUCAAGAGUUGGUAAUUAUUGACAUAACCGGUCAUUCGUCUGCAGAACAUGGUAAUAUGAGCUUCGGGGCUACUGGUUCCAUUAUAUUUCUCAAACUCUGGCAUUUUGAAUUUGUAAGGGAGCACUAAAUCCGGAACCAAGCUCAAUUCUUUAGCAUCAAUUCCAUGGUAGCCCUCAGUACUUUCCAUCGCUCUAAGUUUUUCCUCCAGCCACUUGUACUUUUCCUCUAGCUGUUUUGGCAAUUCAUCAUUCAUUUUCUCUUUUCCGGCCGUCUCAUCGAAAUCAGGGAUAGCAUGAUUAACAAAGUUGGCUUCGGGGUUAGAGCCUGAUCCCGCCUAGAAAUUCAUUUGCGUUGCAACGUCACCCAGAGGGUUAAUGGUAAUAGAGGACCUACGCGGAUAUAUCUCAACUUGUUGGGGUGUAAAGUCCGGAGGAUAGACAAGUCCCUCAUUGUCACCUUCUUCAUUGUUGAGCACCAAUCCCUUUCCUUUGUCAACUCCUCCAGCCAAUAACUGAGUCAACUUAGCCAUCAUACUCCCUUGAGAUUUCAUUAUCUUUUCCAUCAUCUUUUGUUGAAUCUUUUCUAAUUGCUCAUUCAUUUGCUCUUACAUUUCUUUCUGGAACUGUUCUAGCCUUUGGUCCAUGUCUCUAGUUUUGGAUCGAGUUCCAUAGCAGUGUUUGAUAGCUUGAUUGGUUUCUAGAUUAACUGAUGAGUAAUUUAGAUUAAUUAGAAUCCCUUAAUAUAUUUAUUAAUGCAUAUGAAACAAUGCAAUGCAUGAAAUGAAAUGCCAUGUCAUGCAAAUAAAACACCAAAAGUCAGUAUAACAUAGAAACACAAGAUAUAAUCAAGAAAUAGUAAAGAUCUCUAAUUGGAUAUCUACUAGGGUUUAGUAUAAUUCUACCUAGGGUGGAUUCCUAAGGUUCAUUAUAUGAAGUUUGGCUUCUAGAGUAAAGGUACCCAAACCAGUAGAUUCCUCAAUCCUCACCCAUUAUAGGCUCAUAUGGACCGAGUUCAGUUCAGGGGAAUACAUUUCCCUAUGGCUGCACGGAGAUGAAAAAAUCUCACGAAGACAUAGGUACGGAUGUAUCCCGAAAGCAAUCCACUAUCCUACACGGAGGUAAAAUCCUCACGAAGGCAUAGUUUCUCACUCCCACUUAAAAGGGUAACAUUGCUCAACUCAUUAAAUGUAUAAUGCAAACAAUGUUUGAACAAGUAGAUAAUGAAUGCAAAAGGAUGUCAUGAGUUUGUUUUUUAAAAUAUUUUCUCGACCAUAAGACAAAAAUUAAUCAACUUUGUGGCUCGACUCUCUUCUUUUUUUAAAAAAAAUGUCCCCAGUGGAGUCGCCAAGCUGUCGAAACCAUUUUUUUGAAAACAACAAAAUUUUUAGGUUGUCGACUUUUAAAAAUGAAAAUUGGGAGUCGCCACCAAUCUUUUAGUAAGGUGUGAUUGGAUCACCUAAAAAAACGGCUUUGGUCUACGAGUUUUAGAAAAAUAGAUCCGGAAGUCAGUUACGUACGAGGAAGGAUUAGCACCCUCGUAACGCCCAAAAUUGGUACCUAGUUAAUUAAUUAGUGUCUUAAGGUCGAGAAUUUGGAAAAACAUAAUCUUUAGCAAAACUUAAAAGGCUACAUAUUAAGACCCUUAUUAUUUCAGAGAAAGAAGAUACCACACCCAAUGCGUUAGGGCACAACAUUCUAAUUUUCCCCCAAAAAUGAAUUGGGCCAAAAUACUUAUACAAUAAAACUUUAAAAGAACAUCCACUUAUCCAAGAUUUAAGAAAUCACACCCAAUACGUUAGGGCACUAUUCCUUUAGAAUCCCAAACUCGGAAUAUUUCCUUUACUUUAAAAGAAAGUCUGCUUAUCCAAGAUUUAAGAAAUCACACCCAAUACGUUAGGGCACAAUUCCUUUAAAAUCCCAAACUCGGAAUAUUUCCUUUAUGAUUUUUAAAAAAUCUUCAUUUCGAGAAAUCAAUGCGUCACAUCCAAUACGUUAGGACACAACGUGUUGAAUUCCCAAUAAUGAGUUCUUAUUUUUUUAAUUAAAGAGAAAUGCUUGAUUGUUAGAUUUAACGAAGAAAAUCAGAACCCAAUACGUUAGGGCUCAAUUUCCUUGAAAAUCCUAAAUACAAGCACUAUCUCAAUUUUGAAAAGUUUGAAAUCGAGUAAAAAAAUGAUGUGAUGUUACAUUAAAUAUACAAUGCAAUAAUAAAUAAAUAAACAAGUGAAAGACAUAAGCAAAACUAUAAAAUAUAAAAAAAAAAUAAAGGAUAUAAAGUGUGCUUAUAAUAAGUACAUUGAAGUUAUGGAGAAUACAAGACAUACAUGGAUUUAUAUGAAGAUAUAGACUAUAAGAUUCAUAUAAAAUAUAAUGCAUUUAUAAAAAGAAAUAUAUAAAUAUAUAUAUUAUAAAAUUUGUGUAAAAAAAUAAAUAGGUAGUUAAACAUUUUCAAAAAUAAAUAAAUAAAAAUAGAUAUAUACGUGUAUAUAUAUAAAUAUAAAAGAACAUUCAUUAGAAAAAAAAAUAAUAUGUAUACAUGUACAUAUAAAAUAUCUAUAGAUUAAAAAUAAUUAAAUAAUAUCUACAUUAUCAAAAUUGAAUAAAAUAAAUAAAUAUGUGUAUAUAUAUAAAUAUGAGAAAAAUAUUAAUUGAAAAAAAAAUAUAAUAUGUACAUAUAUAUAAAAAAUAAUUAUAUACAUAUAUAGAUUAUAAAAACGAUAAUUACAUAUAUACAAAAAAAUGAUAAUAAUUAAAUUAAUUAAUUUAAAAAAUAUUAAAAAAAACUAUGAAGAAAACAUGUACAAGUAUACGUGUACAUAUUUAUAAAAGUAAAAACAAGUUUUUGAAAUUAAAAAUAUAAAAGUAUAUAUAUUAUAAAAAAUGUUUGUAUGUACAUAAAAAUAAUAAUUAAAUAAUGAUAAUAAUAAUAAUAAUAAUAAUAAUAAUAAUAAUAAUAAUGAUGAGGAAGACGAGAAAAUAAAAUUUAAAAAAAACGAAUUGCAAAAAAACAAAUAGUUAAAAAAAACUAAAAUAACAAGAAAUAAAUGAAAUUUAAGCAAAAUAAUGGGCGAAAUCGCGACACGCGAAUUACAUGGAGGGCCAAAUUGGAAAUAAUCCGCCUCCCCAAAACAGUGUCGUUUCGCUAACAUGAUUUAAAACAGUUUUUUUAGAAAAAAAAAACAUUGUUUGCAGCAUAAAAAAAAAGAAAACAAAAAAAACAGAGGCUCUCUACUAGGGUUUUUAACCCCAGCCCCCUGACACCACCGUUCACUCUUGCCGAUACUCCGAUUGCGACAGAGACGGCACAAAUCCGGCGAUUCCAACUUGAGGAGUAAGCUCUUUCCUCCUUUCUUUAUAUUUUAAGCAAAAAUAAAUAAAGAGAUAAAAAACUAAAAAUAUAUAUACAUCUAUGUAUAAAUGAAAAAUAAAAGAACGAUAAUCCUCAAGGUAAUAUAGAGAGAAAAAAACCUUUGUAUUCAAAAAAGAAAAUUUUCCUUCUCUCUCUUUUCAGUCUCUCUCUUUUCAGUCUUCUCUCUUUUUACAUUACAUUCAGUGGCUUUAUAUAGCCAUUCUAAAAAAAUCAUAUAAAGAAUAAACAAAUCUCUUUUAUUUGAUUUGUGAAUCUUUGAUUUCAUUUCCUUUUUUUUUCUUGCUUGAUAUGCUUGAUUUGAUUUUGCAAUCCUUGAUUUUCUUUCCUUUCUUGUUUGUUUCCUUGCAGGUGAAGAUCGAUGACGCUCGUGACUGCGGCGCAAAGUCUUCUUAGAAACCCUAGGGUUUCUGCAAAUGAUUUGAGCCACUGAAUUUGGGCCAUUUUCGAAAUUGGGCCACCGUUUUAAAUUGGUUUUGGGCCUUAUGGCCCGUUUGUAAUUUUGGCCUUUUACCCGGACCAAAAUCGGGUAUUACACACUCAAUCUGAUUUCUACUAUUUUGAUUUAAUACAGAUCAUAAUAAUUUUUCAGUCAAAUGAAAAAGAAAACUAUUUACCUAUUUUAUGGAAACUUGUCCUUUUUUUUGUAUAAUUAUAGGUGUUUCAUCUAUUUUAUGGUCCUUACAGUGCUGACACGAUCGUUAACAACAUUAACAUGGCGCUAUAUGUCAGCAAUAGUUAGCUACAAUGUUAGCAAAAAUAAAAAAAAAUUAAAAAUUAAAAGGAAUAUUUAAAUUUAUUUUACUAAUGAACCUAAACAGAUGGUUGUCCAAGUUCAUUCGUUUCAAAACUUAAAUUUUUUUAAAUUUAAAAAAAAUUAAGUUUUUUUAUAAAUGUGUAAAACACUAUUAAAAUUUAAUAAAAAUAUUUAAAACUUAAGUCUCUAAUGAAUAUGUCCAAAUUCAUUCAUGAUUAGUUUCAAAUAUACUAAAAUUAUUUUUCUUUAAAAAUUGAUAUGUGUGUCAAUAUUUUUCUACUGCUACCUCGUAGGAUGAAUUAAAAUAUAUAUAUAUAUAUAUCAAUUUAAAUAAUUUAAAUUUUAUUAAUCAUACAUCUAAAGAUUUUUUUAAAUGACUAAUUAAAACAGUGUAUCUAUUAUUUCAUUACAUGUGUAGCCUCAAAGGUUUAAAAAAUUGGAUAUAUUCAUACAUUUAAAACAACUUUACACAAACAAUUAAUAUUAUUUAUUUUUUUAUUUUCUGAAAUAUAUUUUUUUUUAAUUUUUAUACAUUCUAAAAUGUACCAAUGGAAUUAGAACAUUGAUACACGUAUCAAUUUUUUUAAAGAAGAUUAAUUUUUAAUAUUUUUUAAACUUUGUACAAUUUAGAAAAACUUAGAAUGAAUUUAGACAUAGACUUAACUUGUAAAUGGUUUUUAUUAAUUUUUAAUUUUUAAUUUUUUAAAUUUAUUUAAUAUUUUAUAUAUUUUAAUAAUAUUUUAAAAUUUUAUAAAAUUUUAAAAAAUAUAUUAUUUUUUAAAAAUAUUAUUUUUAAUUUUAAAAAUUUUUAAGCUUCGAAACAAAUGAACUUGGUACUGCGACAUCAACAACUAUUCCUUUUAAAAAGUUUAAAUAUUGCUUUUAAUUUUUUAUUUUUGUUGACAUGACAGUUGACGUGGUAUUGCCACAUAAGCAACUAUCGCUAACAUGAAGCACCACAUUAGCGUUGUUAAUGGCCACAUCAACAUUGUAAAGGUCAAUAUUAGUCAAAGAGCAUAUUUGGCCAAUUUUGUUAGUUCAUGGGCUCAAUUGGGUGCAAAAAGUUUGCAGGGGCUUAAUUGAUUUUUUUGAAAAAGUUUGAGGACCACAAAUACCAUUAAACCCUUCUUUAACUAUUGAUAUUUCUUUUUCUAAGUAUCGAUCAACAUUAGUUAAAGGGCUUAUUUUGUCAGUUUUGUUAGUUUAAGGGCUCAGUUGGGUGCAAAAAGUUCGCAGGGGCUUAAUUGAUUUUUUCGAAAAAGUUCGACAAUCAAAAAUACCUUUAAGCCCUACUUUAACUAUUAAUAUGUCUUUUUUAAUUAAUUUUGCAUCCAUGCAUAGUAUAGGCACACGAUGUACGGGGUAUUUCCACGUAUACAUGUAAAGUGUAUUUUGAUGCCACGGCGGAAUUAGAUGAAAAUGUGAUUAUUAAGGUAGUAAUGUCACCUUCUAGUAAUUGCAAAGAAUUAUAAUUUUCUAGAUGUAUUUGGCUAGUAGAGUGUAAUUAUAUUGUAAUUCUUUAUGCCUUGUUUAGUAAUAUAAAUUGUAAUUACACAUUUACAAAUUUUAAUUUGUUUAAAAAGUAUUAAUUACUAUAAAUAGUUAUUAGUAAUACCUAAGAAAAAAAUUUUAAACAAGUGACAUAAAUUAAAAUCAAAUCAUGUUAUGUUAGUCCAAGAAAGUAACCGACAACACGAUUGCCGAUAAAAAAGAACAAGAAAACUAAACAUCUAUGCAACUUUAUUAUUGCUUUAGCAUUCCAUGUUUGUUGGGUUAUUCCUUUUCUAACAUUUAACAUAUUCUUCUUACCAUCAUCUGUUUGUUCUUGACCAAUUUCUUCAUUGUUGAUACAAGGUUCAACAAUGGAGGGAGUAAGGAGGAGGUAAGGUGGAGUGAGUGGUGGAAAAGUAUUUAUAAGAGAGGUCCUCUUGUCCAUUAGCAUGACAUGGCAGGAUAAAUGCUCAAUCCCACCAAAUGUGUAAAAGAUAUUCAUGAACAUAAAGGAUAUUCAUGAUGGGGGCCCAUUAUGUUAUUCAUUCCAUCAGUACAAGGUUAAUACGCCCAUGCAAGUCCUAAUGGCCUCAAGGAUGUGUUCACACCAAAAAAAAGGGGUGUUAGCCUUUCUAAAGGGUUGGUGCUCCUUUGAUCUUAGUGGAUGGUUCGGCAAGGCAUCUUCUUAGGCAAACUCAAUGAGAGGGUUAAUGUUGUCUAUACAAUUGACACGUGUCCAUGUGGCGGGGGUAUAACAUUCAUCAUCUAAAUCAAAAUCUGAAUAUGCAUCAUUAAGAUUAUCCAGAUCAUUUUUUUUAUCUAUAUCAUUAAGAUUAUUAAGAUCUAUUUUUUUUUCAUGUACUAAUUAAAAGUAUUGAUAAUUCCAAUUCCACCUAUAAAUGGAAUUGUGAAGUACACAACAAGUUAGAACGAUUGAACAUUGUUUUUUAGACUAUAUUGAUGUGGUUUGUUAAUCUGAGAAAUAUUUUUUUAGAACAACAAAUAUCCUCACAACCACAUUUCAAAGCUUUGAAUAAAGAGUUUGCAAGCUUUGUUUGGUACUUGUGUCUAGCUCUGUUCUUUCAAAUGAUAUCGUACCCCGUAAUAUAUUGCAAGAAAACCUUUUGCAUUUGCAUAAUCAACAUCUACCACAUAAUAUUUCCUAAAAACAUGUAACAAUUUAAAUAAUUUGUGAGAAAAAUAAAAUAACAGCAAGGUGAUGAUAAUAUUAAUGUAUUUAUGAAAUACAAUUUUGAUCUAUUUUCUCUCUCAAACAUCAUUCUUAGCAUUCUAGUAUUUGAGGCACAAAUCAACUUUAUAAUCCUACAAUUAUAAUAGUUUUUAUAAAUCUAAUUUGCAGUUUACUAUGUGUUCAAUAAUAAACCACCUUUUUAUAAUAUUUCGAUUGCUAUUAUUUCAUGCAAAUUAGAUAAAAGAAAUAAUAUAAAUUUUAUAAUAUAACAUUUAUAAACAAUGUUUUUAUAAAGUGUUGAAUAGCUUUUAUAAUAUAACAUUGAAAUUUUCAAAAUCAUGCACUUUUGGGUCCGAAUUAAACUGAUUUUUUUUUUUUAUAAUUUCAAAACAAUUGCAAAGAAAAUUCAUGAAAUUAAGUUGUUUUCAAAUAAUUAAUUCACAUUGGAAUUUUCAAAUAAGAUGUCACAUUAAUAAUAUUUCAAUCAUUAAAAUAUUAUAUAACACAUUUUGCCAUACAAGAAAAUAUGAAAAUACUAAAACUUAAUCCAGUUUAAUCUGCUCAAGGAAAUGACUAUCACUGAGCUAAUUCAAAUAAGCCUCUGAAAUUAGCUUAACUUCAUAAAAUUUCUUUGCAAUUUUUUGGAUAUAAAUAUAUAUAUAAAUAUAUAAAAGAAAAAGAAAACAAGUUGAUUGGAUCAUAUUAUUUUCCGUGAGAAAUUAAAAUACCAGCCAACAUGCAUGCAUUUAUUUUGUAGAAAAUUAAAACCAUAAAAAAAACAAAAAGCAAAGAUUCAACCCUUUUAUUAUAGCAUUUGUUAGGGGUGAGCAAAACUCGUUCGAUUCGAAAAAAUUAAAAAAUAUUCAAAUUUCAAGUUAAUCGAAUAAAGUGUUAAUUAAGAUAUUACAUUAAUAAUAUUUCAAUAAUUAAAAUAUUAUAUAAGACGUUUUUCCUUAUACAAGAAAAUAUGAAAAUACUAAAACUUAAUCCAGUUUAAUCAUCCUAAAGUUUCUAAUUUUGUUUAAAAGAAUUUUCAAAUAUAUAUGACUUUAAAUUUAUAUGUUCUAACAUGAAAUUCAUUAUAUUGUAGCAAGAUUUUAAUGUAAUAUGUUUAAUUUUUUAAUUUAACUCAAACAAUUUCACUCGAUUCGGCUCGGCUCGAAUUUUAUUUCACUCGACUCAAUUUGGAAAAAGUUCCAAAUUGAGUUAAGAUGAUAAAAUGAGACUCGUUAACUCGAUUAACUCGAAAUUAUUUUACUCGAUUUGAUCCAACACUCACCCCUAGCAAUUGCAUCAUUGAUACUUACAAAACAUAAAAAUGUAUACUCAUCUUUUCUAAUCAAUAUGCAGGCACGAAAUGGAAAUUUCCAUGAAAAAGAAGUAUCGCGUAUGAAAAAGUAAGUUCCAUGACAUCGGCUGAAGCAAUAACAACAAUUGCAAAAAGACAUUGACUCCUAUAGAAAUCCAUCAGUUUGGAAACUAUAACGUAUUUGCUACGACUGGGGGUUUUUUGGUGUGUCACCCGUUAGGCUUUCAAUUAUGUUGGUAAUAAAUAUAAUCUAUUUCAAUUAAAAAAAAUAGUAGAAUUUAGUAAUUUAUUAUGAACCCAAAUUAUUGGCAAAGUUAAAAUUAAUUUUUUUUCGACAAAAAUUUUUGGUGUGUAGUAUUUAUGUGUAAUCCAAUCUUCUCAUCAUAUUUUCCGAAUAAGCUAAAAGGUAUGGCAUGGUGUCUACCUUUGCUCAUCCAUGUCAGACUUGCAACUCCUUGUAUUCACCUUGAUUGUCGGCCUUCACUAAGGACUUAUAGUUAUACAAGUCAAGAGCAAAAAGAUAUGUCCCCUAAUAUCACUUUGGGUGAUGAGUCCUUUCUGAACCAUUCCAUCACCUUCGUAUGUCAUACCAUACCUAAAACAUUCUACUUUCAACAUCUAUCAAUGCGAAUCCAUUUGGUGAUGAAUCAAAGUAUGACGGUCAACAUACAAGUUUGUGUCUUUAAGUCUAAGGAUCAUUUACACUACCAAUACAUGGGAGUAUUUCUAUAAACAUUUGAGUGAAAUACCAAAUGGAACUCUCAUAAUAGGCCAAGUUAUAUUUUAUAAUUUUUUCGAACUUUUUAAAAUCAUUAAUAUUUUAUUUUUUAUAUUUGUAAUACAAUAAUUUUUAUAAUUUUUUUAUAACUUUUACAUUUUUAAAAAUAUUUUAAUAACUUGAACAUCAAUAUAUACUUCCACACGGCAUGUCACAUGUCAACUUGCCAUAGCUUCCGUCAACUAAUCAACAACCAAUAUUGAUAAAAUCAGUCAACAACAAUUUUCGUUAUUGAAAAGAGCCAAUUGAUUUUUUUCCAUUGAAUCCUCAAUUGGGUCUGUUUUUCUAUUAUGAGCUUAAUUAAUUUUUUAACUUUUUAUUAAGUUGUUUUUCCUUUAACCUUAUAUUAAUAUUCAUUACUUUAUUAAAAAAACUUACUUUUAGGUAAUUUUUCCAACCAAAAUGAUAUCAAAUUAACUCGUAACAUAAAUUCAAUAAAAUAUAUUAUAUAAACAUAUACAUAAAUUCAUUAAAACCUGUCAAUAGUGAAAACACCAUUAAUUUGUCUGAAGUCUCUACUUUUGGGAUCUUAAUGGGGGAGAAAAUUUUUAGAUAGAAACUGAAUACGAUAUAUAAAGUAAAUGCCACGUUAAAAGCUCAGUUCUUUGGAAAAUAAAUUCCAUCACGACUGAACCAAAAAUUCCCUUGUGUCAUAAUCUUUUGUGGAAAAUUAGGCACAUAAUGGAAAAGUAUAUCCACAAAAUGAUAGAAAAAGGCUUUGGGCCACAAUUAAAUCAACAUCUUUAAAUUGUUAAAUCAAAUUAAAGAUGGAAUCGUCGUUGUCAUGGGAUCCACACGGGGUGUACGUAUAAUGAAUUUCCCAUGUUUUUUGCAUGAAACUUUUGAUUCAAUGAGAAAGGAAAUAUUUUCAAAAUCAUGCAGCUUCGGAUUCUAAUUAAGCUUAUUUUUUUCCAAGCAAUUGCAAAGAUUUGUUUCGACAACAAAUAAUAAUCGGAUAAAAGUGUAAUUAUUAAAUAGUAAUUACAAAAGAUUUAUAAUUACAAAAUUAGAUCGUAAUUUUCUAUAUCAUAUUUCGUAGUACAAAUUGUAAAUUAUAAUUUAUAAUUACAUAGGUACUUAAUAUAUUUUAAAAAAAAUAUUAAUUACUAUAAUAAAUAAUCAGUAAAAUUAAAAAAUUUCUAAACAAGUAACAAAAAUUAAAAUAAAAUCAUCAUAUUUAAUAUGUUAGUCCAAGAAAAUAAUCGAUAAUACGAUUACUAAUAAAAAUAACAAGAAAAAUGAUUUAUAAAUAAGUAUAUUAUUUUCUAUAACAUAUAGUAUGGACACAUAAGUAAGUUAUAUUUAAAUUUUUUGACCAUAACUUUUUUAUAAAUAAGUAUGUAGUACACUUUUUAUAAAACAUAAAUUAUUUUUAUAAUAUACUUUUGGCUAUAACUUUAGAAACUUUUUAGGAUUUAAAUAAUAUAAUUCUUGUCAUAAUUUUAUAAAAUAUUAAAAAUAUAUAAUGUAAUUUUUUAGGACUUAUAAUAUGAUUUUAGAAAUUUUUAUUCAUAAUCAUCCCAAACACGCAUGCGUAUUUAUGUUUAUAAAAUAAUUUUUUUAACUUAAAUUUGUAAAAAAAAUAUUUUUUAAAGUUAAAUUAUGUAUGAAUUUUCAGUGAGAAAUUAAAUAUCGGGAAACAUGCGUUGAUGAAAAUUAAAAUCAGGAGGUAUCAUAAUUAUCAAGAAAUAUGGACCAUAGGAAGAGCAAAGAUUCAAUCCUAUAAUAUAGUAUUCGCAUUAUUGAUACUAACAACAUAGAAAUUUCCAUGAAAAAGAAAGCAUUGCGCAUGAUGAAUUAAGUUCCAUGACAAGGACUGAAGCAAUGACGACAACUGGCCCCUACAACUAUUGCAACAAGACCUUGAAUCCUUUGAUGAGUUCCUUUAAAUUCCUCAGUUUGGAAACCAUAACAUAUAUGCUACCACUAAAUCCUUACCAGAUUAAACAAUGGCCUCAUCCUUAACCAUUUCUGUUAUUCCAGGGGUACUGUGGGCUACCAUCCUUUCUUUUGCUACAACUGUGACAGCAGCAUAUCCAUCGCCAUUGGAGUCCGAAGCCAUAGCUCUGCUAGAAAGCAGGUGGUGGAGUAACCAUAGCAGCAAUACUUCACAAUGUUGCCAGUGGCCUGGUAUAACCUGCAACACUGCUGAAAGCAUCACCCAAAUUAACUUAUCUGAUGCGCCCAACAUUGAGGUUGGAGCUAGAUUUGGGAAACUGAAUUUCUCUUCAUUUCCAAAUCUUGUCCUUCUUAAUCUUAGUGAUCAUCAACUUAGAGGAAAAAUCCCGCAUCAGAUAGGUGAUCUAUCAGCAUUGAAGUACCUUGACUUGUCUUAUUGUGGUUUAUCUGGUGAGUUACCUCCUUCUCUAGGGAAGCUGACCCAAUUAGAAUUCCUCGACAUUUCCUAUAAUGAUAAUAUUAAUGGUUCCAUCCCUCCACAAUUGGGGAAUCUAGAGAACCUUGUGACUUUAAACUUAAGUCAAUGUGGAAUUGUUGGUCCAAUCCCUUCUGCUUUGGGUCAAUUAACCAGUCUCCAAUCUCUGAUCCUUUGGGGGAACCAAAUCAAUGGAUCUAUCCCAUUAGAAAUUGGAUAUUUGAGAAAUUUGACUUAUUUGAGUCUCUCCAACAAUAGAAUUGUUGGUCCAAUCCCUUCUGCUUUGGGUCAAUUAACCAGUCUCCAAUCUCUGAUCCUUUGGGGGAACCAAAUCAAUGGAUCUAUCCCAUUCGAAAUUGGAUAUUUGAGAAAUUUGACUUAUUUGAGUCUCUCCAAGAAUAGAAUUGUUGGUCGAAUCCCUUCUGCUUUGGGUCAAUUAACCAGUCUCCAAUCUCUGAUCCUUUCGGGGAACCAAAUCAAUGGAUCUAUCCCAUUAGAAAUUGGAUAUUUGAGAAAUUUGACUGAUUUGAGUCUCUCCAGCAAUGGAAUUGUUGGUCCAAUCCCUUCUGCUUUGGGUCAAUUAACCAGUCUCCAAUAUCUGCUCCUUUCGGGGAACCAAAUCAAUGGAUCUAUCCCAUUAGAAAUUGGAUAUUUGAGAAAUUUGACUUAUUUGAGUCUCUACAACAAUAGACUUGUCGAUUCAAUACCCAUUACUCUGUACCAAUUAACCAAUUUGGAAAUUUUGGACGUUGAUAAUAACCAACUUCAAGGUUCUAUUCCCCAAGAAAUUUGUAAUCUAGCAAAUUUAACUUCAUUGUACCUCUCCCAAAACAAAUUGACUGGUUCAAUCCCUUCUUGUGUUGGUAGUUUAUCAAAGAUGCUGUACUUAAGCCUUGGUUCUAAUCUAUUAAAAGGUCCUAUUCCCCAAGAAAUUUGUAAUCUAGCAAAUUUGACUUCAUUGUACCUCUCCCAAAACAAAUUGACUGGUUCAAUCCCUUCUUGUAUUGGUAGUUUAUCAAAGAUGCUGGACUUAAGCCUUGGUUCUAAUCUAUUAAAAGGUUCUAUCCCAAAAGAAAUUGGCAAGCUUUUUGAUCUAUCAUAUCUAAACCUUAGCUUCAACCAACUCUCAGGUCCUAUCCCUAUCUUGUCUGCCACUAAGCUUCGCAUUAUCGAUGCUGGAAAUGGUUGUAACAAGAUUUCUCCCGAUCCAUUUGAAGGCAAUAGUGAUUUAUCACCCUAUAUGUGUCCUACUCCACUAACCAAAAUAGCCAACAGCAGCAGAAUUCCUUACUAUAUCAAAACAUUCCUCCCUAUUGCGAUCUUAUUCACAUUCUCCAUUUUAGGAUGUUUGCUAUUUUCACGGUUUAAGCUCAAGAAUAACCAUGUCAGCGUACAACCAACCAAGAAUGGGGAUUUGUGUUCCAUAUGGAACUAUGAUGGAAAGAUAGCAUACGAGGAUAUCGUUGCAGCAACAGAGGAUUUCGACUUCCGAUACUGUAUUGGAGUUGGUGGUUAUGGUAGUGUUUACAAAGCAAAACUCCCUUGUGGUAAAGUAGUUGCUUUGAAGAAACUUCAUCAUUUAGAAGCCGAAAAUCCAACUUUUGACAAGAGUUUCAGGAACGAGAUCAAGUUUCUAUCAGAAAUACGACAUCGAAACAUAGUGAAGCUUCACGGGUUUUGUCUACACCGACGAUCCAUGUUUUUGAUCUAUGAAUACAUGGAAAAAGGGAGUUUGUUCUGCAACCUAAGGGAUGAAGUGAACGCUGUGGACAUGGAUUGGACGAAAAGAGUAGAGAUCAUCAAAGGCAUAGCACAUGCUUUGUCUUACUUGCACCAUGAUUGCUGCCCUCCGAUAGUUCAUCGAGACAUAUCAAGUAACAAUGUUCUUUUAAACUCAAGUUUUGAGGCCUUUGUGGCCGACUUUGGAACAGCUAGAAUGUUGGAUCUUGAUUCAUCUUAUCAGACCAUUAUUGUCGGAACUUGUGGCUACGUAGCUCCAGGUGGCGUUUUCUUUUUUACUUGAUUUACUGACCUUUUCUCUGAACAUAUAGUUGAAUUUCUUCUUACUAAUUUGUGUAGGUAGAACUUGCUUAUACAAUGAUUGUCACCGAAAAAUGCGAUGUUUAUAGUUUUGGAGUGAUAGCACUGGAAACAUUAAUGGGAAAGCAUCCUGAAGAAGUGUUAUCAUGGUUGUCAUCACCAACUUCUUUGGUAAACAUGAAGCUGGUUGAUGUGUUAGACAACCGUUUACCACUUCCAACAAGUCAACUAGUUACACAAAAUCUUGUUCAUGUUGAUACACUGGCAUUCGCUUGCUUAAAUCCACAAACGAAGUCCCGACCAACAAUGAAGGAAGUGUCUGAAUGGUUCCUUUCUCGCCAUACAUCCUUGGGAAUUCCUCUUUGGAUGAUCUCUUUGUUACAACUCAUGAACCGUGAAAUGCAUAUUAAAGGCAAAACUAAAACUUGUGAUGUUUAAAGUCCAUGCGCUUGUUGAUUAGAUAUUGUUUAUCAUGCUCUGAUAAUUUGUUUGUAAACCAUCUCUGGUUUUAUAUAUGAUGGAAUGAAUUGCAAUGUUUAAUAAACCCGUUUAUUCGGUUGCUUUAGAAGACAUAAAUUCUACAAUUUGAUCCAAAUAUUAAGACAUCAUCGCUGGCUGCUUCCUUGAAUUUUGUGCUUCUUUCAAACCAACUCAAAGAUAAAUAACAUAAAAGUAAAUUAAGGGUGAAUCAAAGCAACAAAAUGCAAUCAAUACAUACAUCAAGAAUUCACCUCAGCUAUCUAUAAUUCAUGAAACAAUCUCUCAACUUAUAAAAUGUAAGUGAGACUCCACAGACCUGAUAUCCAAACUCAAAAGCAAUAAAAGGCGUCAUCAGAACCCUGGCAAGUGAAGACGACAAUCUUUUCAAGCAAGGUAGCGAUACAACUUCCUGUCACCUUUAUCCCUCUCCAGGAACUCCCGCUCAAUAAGGGACUCGAUCCGUUUCUUAAUUACAACGGGGUUGGGCAGAAACCGUGACUGUAGCUGUUUUGUGACCUCAGCAACAAUGUUGUUAUGAUCCAGCACACGCCUAGCUUUCAUGAUCCUCACGAUUGCUGCCUCAAUUUGCGGUUUUCGAUCUUCCUCCACUCUCUGCCUAGUUUCUUGAUUUUCAGGUUCCGACUCCCUUUGCGCAGCCACAGUGCCUAUCUUGACCUUGAAGAACUUGCUUGUAUACUUGUCAUUGAAAAGAAAGGUAUCAGUGUCUACUAUGUCCUUGCUCAUAGGUUCUUUCCGAAGCACAUUUUUUCCCUUAACACAGGCAAGAGACUGCAAGCACCUUUUCAAGUCAAAGGUAGGAAUCUCGGUCACCUGCUCAAUCUCCUUAUAGCUUAGUCGAUCAGCAUCGUUGAAGAGCAUAAGGACACACAUCUGGUAUGUGGAAACAUUCAGUUCAUGCUUCUGUCCCUUACCAAAGGUUGCCUUCAAAUCAGCUGUCCCCAUGUUAGUUUGCCAAGACAAUCUCCGUCCGGUAUGGGUACCUAGGUAAUAAUUACGGAAUUUCUCACAUAUUCCCAGAAUUUCAGCAGGAAGUUUGCAUGUAGUAAUAGGUUGAGUUGGCCAAGAUCCAGUUGUCAGAACCUGGACAGAAAGCAUGGGACCAUCCCCUAUAUCCGAACCAUGACUUGCAUGGAAACCUUGCAUCGUAUCUUGUGAUGUCUUCAUAUCUGUGAACAUACCCUCCAACUUUGAGGUGAAUUGAUACCCACACUCUGUUUUGAGCUUAACAAUCAAACUUCUUUCAGCAUCAUCAGAGACGGACUUCCCUGAAAGAAGCCUUUUGGCCAAGUGUUGUUUGUAGUACUUCUCGAAAACAUCUUUCUCUUGAAGGUAACGGAAGAGCAUCAUCACCUUGUCGAGUAACAAUUCCACAUCCUCUUCAGUAACCCCCCUCAAACCUUUUCGAAGCUUAUCAUCAACAAACAAAGAGAUGAACUCUGGAGACCGAGAAUUCAGAUUGAUGAAAUAUUCAAACGAGGAAUUUAAUGCAUUUUGAAAAGUCUUGUCAUUUCUAAAUGCUGAAGUGAUAAUCUUGUCGUAUUUGUCCUUUAAAUCCAACAGAUGUUGCACAAAAUCGACAGGAUCCUUCAGCCUUUCGGGAUCAGUGAGUAACUGCUUACCAGUAUCACGAAUGUAUGAAGUCAUGACAUCUCUGAUUAAAACAAGCCCAUUGGAUACUCGACGAAACAAGUAAUACAUCCUUCCUAAGUCCUCAUAUUUUUCAUCGACAAUCAUAUUAAUCAACCCCGAGUUCUCCAUUUGCACAAGCCUGUGCAUAUGACUUUCAAUCAUCUCCGUUUCUACCACAUUUGUUAUCUUGACUUCACUUCUGGUGUCCAAGUAAUGUGAGACUCUCUCUAUUUCUUCAUUUAGGCGUCUCUCGGCUUUCUUUAGAUACUCCCCACAAUCACAUUACAGUCAUCUUCUAACCCACAAUCAUUUGUGCUAUGAGCUUUUGGGCACUAUUCCGGAUAAAAUGGACGGAGGCAAGAUCGAGAUGGGCUAGUUGCGAGACACACUCCUGGAUCCGGAUGAAGAUUCAACCGAAAUAGAAAGAAUCCGAUAUGCUCGGGCAUACAUUCUUCAGUUAAUUGGAGGUUAUCUAAUGAUAGACUUGUCACGGAGCCGCGUACAUCUAAUAUGGCUGCUGAAACUCGUUGAUUUUAGAGCAGCUGGUGAAUUCAGUUGGGGGUCUACCGUCUUGGCCACAUUAUAUCGGGAGAUGUGCGGGGCGACGUGACCGAGGAGAGUAAAAAUCAGAGGUUGCCUGUCACUACUGCAAUCAUGGGCACGGUUUCGCUUUCCAUUUUUAUGUCCUCGAGUGGACCACCCAUAUACAUUCCCAUUCAUAACGAGGUAAAUUUUAUAUUAGAUUUUACAAUUAUUAUGUAGAUAUUUAAAAAUAAAAGUAUGCUAAAAGUUUAUUUAAUUAGGUGGAACCAUCCGGCAAGUCAUGCUCGAUUACCUACCGAACUUGAAAAUAUACGGCUUCUAUUAGACCAACAGUCGGAAGCACAUGUAAGUAUUAAAUAAAAUUGAUAUUUCCAUCAUUCGCUAGUCGAUUGGUAAAUAGUAUUUAGUAUUUAGUAUUUAGUAUUUAGUAUUAUGUAUAUAACUAAUAUUUCUAUAAUGUUCACAUAGUUUCAAUGGACACCAUACGAGGAUCCGGCAAUUUGGGCAAUAAUUCCGGAUGAGUUCUUACAAAAUCGAAACGCUUGGCACGUGAAAGUCGUGUUGAUCAACUACACGACCAUGGAGCCACACCAGUCAGACAGAGUGCUACGACAGUUUGGAUGUAGACAACUAAUUCCCGUGGAACCUGAGGUGUUUGACGAUCAACACAAAAUCGACCUUCGGCAAUUGAAUACGGAUUGGCCAAGAUACUGGUUCGAGUACAUGGAAAUGUGGGAAGAUCGGUAUGAAUACAUACCUACUCUGGAACCAAUCAUCGUUCCGGAGUUAGUGUGGGUGCUGGAAUACAUGUCAUGGUUUAGGAUUCAUGGCAAGCUGUAUUUACUGACGCCAGAGGAGAGGCAGCGGCAAUUACGUGUCCAAAGGGAAAGGCGCAGGCCUCAAAAUCCAAGACGACAAGACGACGACGCUAGCCCCUCAACGAGGCCUAGACAUUCACCCGGCCCAUCAUCAGAGGUCAUGCAAUCACUAGGCCCAACGAGAGUACCGACACAGUCACCUGACCCAGCAGUCCAACCGAUGAUACCCACGCAACCGCUUUUUCAGAUGAUGCCAGGUGCGUUUCCUAGCCUUUUUAUAUAUCCUAACCCUUAUAUGUAUCCUUUUCCGAGUCCUAAGGCAGGUUGGAGCCAAUGGCCCGGUUCAGCUCCGUUUCCUGUUACGCCGAGUGGACCGCCGAUGUAUAGGUCAGCAGCACACGAGGGAUCGCAAGAGGGGCCGUCGAGGAGCUCUUCUUUUUACCAAUCCCCACCACCGUAUGAGUUUCAAACACCGUCACCGUUGGUGAUGCAAAAACCUCCACAUUCACUAUUCUUUGAAGGUGGAUCAUCGUCCCAACUCCGACAACCAGAUACCCUACCAGAAGAACCAGAAUCCCCGCCACAGGAACCACAACCGCCACCGGAAGCUGGACAAAGGAGGCAUCCAGCGCGUAACCAUCGACGGCCGCCAUGUGGCACUGAAUCCAGCGGGCACAGACAUUGAUUUUUGUAUUUAAAUUUAUUUGUACAAAUAUUUUGAAUAUUUUGAUACUAUUUGAUGUAAUAAAAUAGAAAUUGUUUUGAGUUAUUACUUAAAACCCUAAACUAAUUUCUUAAAAAUUUAUAAAUCUAUAAUUUAUAAUUUAAUUGACAAACCUUAAACCCCAAAACUAAAAACCCUAACCCUAAUCAUAACCCUUAACUUAAAAACUCUAACCUUUAAAUUAAAAACACUAAACCCUAAACCUAAAAACCAUAAACCCUUAAGCUAAAAACCUAACCUUAGACCCUAACCAUUAACCUAAAACACUAACCUUAAACCCUAAACUCAUAAACCUAAAUACCCUAACCCUAAACCCUAAACCCUUAACCUAAAAACCUUAACCAUUAACCUAAGAACCCUAAACCCUUAACCUAAAAACCCUAACCCUCAACCUAAAAACCUUAAACCCUUAACCUAAAAACCCUACACACUAAACUUAAAACCCUAAACCCUUAACCUAAAAAUCCUAACCCUUAACAUAAAAACCUUAAACCCUUAACCAAAAAACCCUAUACACUAAACUUAAAACCCUAAACCUUAAAUCUAAAAACCCUAACCCUUAACCUAAAUUUCAUAAACCCUUAACCUAAAAACCCUAACCCUGAACCUAAAUUCUAUAAACCCUUAAUCUAAAAACCCUAACCCUAAACCUUAACCUAAAAACCUUAACCCUCAACCUAAAAACCCUAACCCUUAACCUAAAAACCCUAAAUGCUUAACCUAAAAACCCUAACCCUCAACCUAAAAACCCUAAACCCUUAACAUAAAAACUCUACACACUAAACUUAAAACCUUAAACCCUUAACCUAAAAACUCUAACCCUUAACCUAAAAACCUUCAACCCUUAAACUAAAAACCCUAACCCUCAACCUAAAAACCUUAAACCCUUAACCUAAAUUCCAUAAACCCUUAACCUAAAAACCCUAACCCUUAACCUAAAUUCCAUAAACCCUUAACCUAAAAACCCUAACCCUCAACCUAAAUACCCUAAACCCUUAACAUAAAAACCCUAACAUAAAGGCUUAAAAACUAUCCUUGUCCCUUAACUUAAAUAUAAUUUGAUAAUUUUACUAACCAUUAAUACAAUUAUCAGUUAAUAACUUUACAUUCACGUAAUGUUAGAUUUGGAAAAAUGUUUUGACUAGUACUAACAAUUAAUAAUUUUAUAUAAUUUUAUAAUUUUUCUAACAAUUAAUACAAUUAUCAAUUAAUAAUUGAAAAAAUAUAAUUAGCAGCAAUUACAUUCAACUAUUGCGAUUAGGGCAUGAUCGACUUGUAUGGCCUAGAUUCCUACACCAUCCGCACAACUUUUGUUGACUGGCUGUUUCUCGGAUAGCCAUAUUGUUGCGUAUUCUAGUCGAGCAAGGUCGACCCCUUGGUUUGCGACGCAAUUUUCUAUCCAGUAACAGCUUAAAAUGAGCAAGAGAUACGGGCAGCCACUUACGUUCAUCUGGGGCCAGUGGGAAAACGUGUCUCUAGAUGUUGUACAUGUUUUCUAAUUUGUACACUUCGUCCACAUAGCUCAUCGGAUCCAGACGGAGAUUCUGACAAGAUACAAUAACAUGAGAGCAUGGAUAACAAAGUGCAUCAAAACUCUCACGGUCGCAAGUCCUAUUUCGCAAGUCUACAUGAUAUUGCCCACCAACAACACUUUGGAGCGGUCUAUCAAACUCUGUCACGCGAAACAAUAAGUUGUCUCAAUCGUGACACACGGUGUGCAUGGUGUUUGCCCGCGCCUUGGCCUUGUGAAUUUCUUAAACUACCUUGCUGCACCAUACAUGGCCUCUCUGCAUCUGGCCUGCAUAACUUGCUGCUCGCUUUGGAAAUAGUGCCACCAAACGAAAAUAUGUCUCUCGCACAACUGAUGUUAUCUGUAGAUGACGCAUUUUUUUAAGAACAGAAUUUAUGCAUUCAGCCAAGUUUGACGUCAUAUGGCCAUAUCGUAGGCCGUCGUCGUAUGCUUGUGCCCACUAUUUGAAACGUAUGUUAAAAGGUAGUACGCCCCUCCUUUGUUAAUUGAACGUAAAAUUGCCAACAUCUCGUGAAAACGGUCUUUAUUUAUUUCAUACCCUACCAAUAUAAGUUCAUAGAGAAUAUUACAUGCCACUUAUACUAAUAAAACUAAUUCAAAUUGACAAACGAAAAACACAAAUAUAGACUAAAUACACAUGUUGGUCACUUGUCGUCAUUCGUUCUUAGAUGGAUAUUGACUGUAGUAGUUGGGAGCAACGUGUCUUAGGCAAUAUCGAUGGUGCGUGCGCUGCCAUAAGCUUCCCUCUCGAUCAAAUGCAACUAGUAUAUCGGUGCCCCGAUCUAAAAUAACACAGAUAUCAGGUUGGGGGCACACAUGCCUCCUUAACCUAGAGAGAAAGAAAUCUCAAUCAUCAGAUGACUCCCCCGGUGUUAUUGCAAAUGCAAUUGGAAGAAUUCUCCCACCGCCAUCCUGUGCCACUGCAAGCAAUAGCCGAUGAGUAUACCUACCAAACAUAAAGGUACCGUCAAUUUGUACCAAUGGCUUACAGUAUGGAAAUGCGUCUCGGCAUUGCUUAAAGGUCCAAAACAGGUGUUUGAACACUCGGCAUCCACGUAGCAAUCGGCCGUUGUAGUACGCAUGUUCCGUUUGAAGGUCUAUGAUGGCACCUGGGACGUACCUCUCUAGCACUUGACACCACUGCCAUAUUUUAUUAUAUGAGGCAUCCCACCCACUAUGCAUCUUCUCCAAUUCCUUUUGCUUAGCUAUCCAAGCCUUGCGGUAAGACGGCGUGUACCCUAUUUGGCUACAGAUAUUGGCAAUUAACACCGGCACUGAAGUCUUGGGAUCUGCUUUUACCGUGGGCAGUAUCAAGCUAGCUAACAUAGCUAAAUCCAUCUUGGGAUGAUCUUGUAAAACACCUAUAAUUGGAGUACAUUAAAUAAUGCAACAUUACAUAAUAAAAGUAUUAUUCAGAAACCGUCAAUAUUGUACCUACAGCACAUGUAUGUGGACCUUUGUACUUUUUAAUCUCCCACAACCCUGUCCUUUUCCUUAACGAGGCGUAGGUUUUCCAUGAACAUGUGCCGUCUUGUACCGCAUACUUCACCUCAAACUUAUCAAAUUUCAAUUUAACGACGUGGUAGUUAACGUCGUUUUUGAUGCUAUGUUGUUUCAAAGCACCAAUAAAACUAUCCUUGUUGGUAAACUGAUUGCCAACUUUAAAUUCACCCGAAUCUAGCCCCGAACUUGUACGAUCACGCAACAGGUGUGGUAGAUCUGGAAACUCUAACGUAUCAUCUGCAGACAGAUCGACAUUAUGUAUGUGGGCUAGAGGUGAGUAUACUCUGAAUCAUGGAUUUUCUUCUUCAAUUGAACUCCUUUCAGCAUCUUCAUGUUCUGUUGGAAUAGGCUCCGGUUCAGAAAAUAAGCCAACUUCUGCACCAUCGGGCCCGAGCUCUCGAGGUGGAUCCACAUUACAGUCAUCUUCUAACCCACAAUCAUCUGCAGCGUACGAGGUCCCCUCACCGGUUGACGUCGUAGGGUGUACAUCAUCCCUUCUUCUGGGCAUUUCAUAACGUCCCCAAUUGGAUGUAGAUUGCCACCCACUAGAACUUGAUGUCGUUCCCUAAUACGUAUUUCUAGCAUCAAACGUCGAGCCACUGACGUACAUAUCCCAUCCACCAACAGAGUGUCUUGCAGGGGAUGUGCAUUCGACACCACUAUCAAAUAUGGGCUAUUCUGUGUUUUGUAACCUGCUAACCCAGUGUCAACUAGUGGUCAUGUAUACAUCUCGAACACCAGUCGCAAGUACAUCAUUUGGCGGUGUAAAUUGUACAUAUAACUCAAUAUAAGGUGCUCCACUAGCAAAAUGAGUCUGCACAAUUGCCUCCAAGUUACGAGCACCUUUUAUGUCGAACGAGUCAUAUGUCACCGGAUCAACAGAAGAACAAAAUCAACACGUGAUAGACAGAACUUUCAUUGGUGUCGUUCCAAAAAUUUUACGCCUAAUUCUUUUACGAAGUUUUGUCAAAUCUAUGUUCUGGUUAAAAACCAGUCGCACCGUAUUCUCCGAUAAAAAAACAACACCAUUCUCGGUAUGGCAAACCUCACCAUCGUAGUAAAUAACAGCACUAAUAUGUUCACUCAUAUUUGAAACUCUAACCUUCUUAGCCUCUCUAAAUUGUUUCUGCUGUGACUUAUGCAUUUUGAGAACAUUUUUUGCCUCAUUUAUAGCCUCAGCCCAAACAUGCUAUUGUAGCAAAAGCGCAUCCACGUGGGCACGAUUUCAUAAAUUCUUCUCAUAAAGCUUUUUUUUGGUAAAUUUAAAAAAAUAGGCUUUUUUUGGUAAAUUGCCCUCAAUUGGGUGCAAAAAGUUCGUAGGGGCUUAAUUGAUUUUUUUCGAAAAAGUUCGACGAUCAAAAAUACCUUUAAGCCCUACUUUAACUAUUGAUAUGUCUUUUUUAAUUAAUUUUACAUUCGUGCAUAGUAUAGGCACACAAUGUACGAGGUGUUUCCACGUAUACAUGUAAAGUGCAUUUUGAUGCCACGAAGGAAUUAGAUAAAAAUGUGAUUGUUAAGUUAGUAAUGUCACCUUCUAGUAAUUGAAAAGAAUUAGAUGCAUUUAGCUAGUAGAGUGUAAUUAUAUUGUAAUUCUUUGUGCCUUGUUUAGUAAUAUAAAUUGUAAUUACACAUUUACAAAUUUUAAAUUGUUUAAAAAGUAUUAAUUAAUAUAAAUAUUUAUCAAUAAUAUCUGAGAAAAAAUUUUAAACAAGUGACAUAAAUUAAAAUCAAAUCAUGUUAUGUUAGUCCAAGAAAAUAACCGACAACAUGAUUACCGAUAAAAAAAAAUAAAAAUAAACAUUAUAUGCAACUUUAUUAUUGCUUUAGCAUUCCAUGUUUGUUGGGUUAUUCCUUUUCUAACAUUUAACAUCUACUUCUUAUCAUCAUCUAUUAGUUCUUGACCAAUUUCUUCAUUGUUGAUACAAGGUACAACAAUGGAGGGGAGUAAGGAGGAGGUAAGGUGGAGUGAGUGGUGGUUUUGUGGAGGCCGGUUCACUUAAAGAGGUGGAGAGCCGAAAAGGAACAAGAGGAUAGGCUGAUUGCUGAAAGUGGAGAUGGCUGCUCAGAGUAACUUUAAGGAUUGGAAAAUCGAUCCAUUCUUCAUCGUUGGAAAGGUAUUUAUAAGAGAGGUCCACUUGUCCAUUAGCAUGACAUGGCAGGAUAAAUGUUCAGUCCCACCAAAUGUGUAAAGGAUAUUCAUGAACAUAAAGGAUAUUCAUGAUGGGCCCCAUUAUGUUAUUCAUUUGAUCAAUACAAGGUUGUUAUGCCCAUGCAAGUCCUAAUGGACUCAAGGAUGUGUUCACACCAAAAAAGGGGGUGCCAAGCCUUUCUAAAGGGUUGGUGCUCCUUUGAUCUUAGUGGAUGGUCCAGUGAGACAUCUUCUUAGGAAAACUCAAUGAGAGGGUUAAUGUUGUCUAUACUAUUGACACGUGUCCAUGUGGCGGGGAUAUAACAUUCAUCAUCUACAUCAAAAUCUGAAUAUGCAUCAUUAAGAUUAUUGAAAUCAUUUUUUUAUUUGUAUCAUUAAGAUUAUCAAGAUCUUUUUUUUUUCAUGUACUAUUUAAAAGUAUUGAUAAUUCCAAUUCCACCUAUAAAUGGAAUUGUGAAGUAUACAACAAGUUAGAACGAUUGAACAUUGUUUUUUGGACUAUAUUGAUGUGGUUUGUUAAUAUGAGAAAUAUUUUUUUAGAACAACAAAUAUCCUCUCAACCACAUUUCAAAGCUUUGAAUAAAGAGUUUGCGAGCUGUGUUUGGUACUUGUGUCUAGCUCUAUUCUUUCAAAUGAUAUCAUACCCCGUGAUAUACUGCAAAAAACCUUUUGCAUUUGCAUAAUCAAUAUCUAUCACAUAAUAUUUCCUAAAAAACAUGUAACAAUUUAAAUGAUUUGUGAGAAAAAUAAAAUAACAGCAAGGUGAUGAUAAUAUUAAUGUAUUUAUGAAGUACAAUUUUGAUCUAUUUUCUCUCUCAAACAUCAUUCUUAGCAUUCUAGUAUUUGAGGCACAAAUCAACUUUAUAAUCCUUCAAUUAUAAUAGUUUUUAUAAAUCUAAUUUGCAGUUUACUAUGUGUUCAAUAAUAAACCAACUUUAUAACCUUUUUAUAAUAUUUCGAUUGCUAUUAUUUCAUGCAAUUUAGAUAAAUAUAUAUAUAAAUUUUAUAAUAUAACAUUUAUAAACAAUGUUUUUAUAAAGUGCUGAAUAGCUUUUAUGGUGCUUAUGUUAAAGUGCUCAAAUAUGUGUCACACAAUAAUAGUAUAAAAAUUAUAACACACGAUUUAUAAGCAUAAUUUGCUAGGUUAAAAUUUGCUUUAAAAAAAUACAGGAGUUAGGUGACAUGGCAAGGGUUUCUCCUACCUUAAUCAAUAAUCGAGGGUUUGAUCCUUACUCUAGGUAUGGAGUAGUUUUAAAACUUGUGGCCAGUAUCUACCCCCUUAAUGGGCUUACAGAAUGUGAAAGAUUAGUUAUCGGGCUUGCUUAGGUAGAUAGAUUGAGAAAUCAAAAAAAAAUUACACAAAAUAUUUUGACUUAUGUGUCUAAUAGCAAAGCAAUUUUGACCCGAUAAGAUAUAUAUAAUUAUACUUAAAAAAAUAUAAAAUAUAUGUCCUAAAAUUAAAAUAUAUUAUUAUAUUAAAAUAUUUUUUGUAAAUUAAAAUAUAUUAUUAUUGCAUUAAAAUAAUUUUUGUAAACUUGUAUAAAAAAUAAUUUCUUAAAUCAUGUACAUGUGUUUAAAAAACUAUAAGGUAAUUAGUAAUUUAUUGUAAUUACUCGCGUAAUUACCCCAACUCUCAACCCCUAAAAAUUGAAUAGCAUAAUUGAGGUGCUAAAAUUACAUUCAAUUUAGUGAACCCACAAAUCACAAUGGUUUUCUAAACACGCCACACAUUUGCAAUAGCAAGUAAUUGCACUCAAAUCUAAUAUUUGCAUGAAAUAUUUGAAUUUAUAUGUCUAAUAGCAAAGCAAUUUUGACCCAAUAAGAAAUAUAUAAUUAUAUUUUAAAAAUAUAAAAUAUAUGUUCUAAAAUUAAAAUACUUUAUUAUUAUAUUAAAAUAACUUUUAUAAAUUUGUAUAAAAAAUAAUUUCUUAAAUCAUGUACGUAUGUUUGAAAAACUAUAAGGUAAUUAGUAAUUUAUUGUAAUUACUCGCAUAAUUACCCAACUCUCAACUCUCUAAAAAUUAAAUAGUAUAAUUGAGGUGCUAUAAUUACAUUUAAUUUAAUGGACCCAUCAAUAACAAUAGUUAGUCAAACAUACUAUACUUUUAUAAUAGCAAUUAAUCACACUCAAAUCUAAUAAUUAAUUUAUAUUGAAAUCUUCAAAAUCAUAUACUUUGUGGUCCAAGUUAAACUGAUUUUUUUUUUCAAAACAAUUGCAAAGAAAAUUCAUGAAAUUAAGUUGUUUUCAAAUAAUUAAUUCACAUUGGGAUUUUCAAAUAAAAUGUCACAUUAAUAAUAUUUCAAUCAUUAAAAUAUUAUGUAAGACAUUUUGCUUAUACAAGAAAUAUGAAAAAUUCUAAAAUUUAAUCCAGUUUAAUCUGCUGAAGGAAAUGACUCUAACACUGACCUAAUUCAAUUAAGCCUCUGAAAUUAGCUUAACUUCAUAAAACUUAAUCCAGUUUAGUCAUUCUAAAGUCUCUAAUUUUGUUUAAAAGAGUUUUUAAAUAUAUAAAUGAUUUUAAAUUUGUAUGUUUUAAUAUGAAAUUCAUUAUAUUGUAGUAAGAUUUAAUGUGGCAUGUUUAAAAUUUUAAUUUAACUCAAAUAAUUUCAUUUAAUUUGGCUCGACUCAAAUUUUAUUUCACUUGAUUCGAUUUGAAAAAAAAUUCAAAUUGAAUUAGAAUGAUAAAAUGAGACUCGUCAACUCGAAAUUAUUUUACUCGAUUCGAUCCAACACUCACCCUUAGUAAUUGCAUCAUUGAUACUAAUAACAACAUAAAAAAUGUAUACUUAUCUUUUCUAAUCAAUAUGCAGGCACGAAAUGGAAAUUUCCAUGAGAAAGAAGUAUAUCGCGUAUGAAAAAGUAAGUUCCAUGACAUCGGCUGAAGCAAUAACAACAAAUGCAAAAAGACAUUGACUCCUAUGGAAAUCCAUCAGUUUGGAAACUAUAACGUAUAUGCUACGACUCGGUGUUUUUUGGUGUGUCACCCGUUAGACUUUCAAUUAUGUUGGUAAUAAAUAUAAUCUAUUUCAAUUAAAAAAAUGAGUAGAAUUUAGUAAUUCAUUAUGACCCAAAUUAUUGGUGAAGUUAAAAUUAAAAUUUUUUCGACAAAAACUUUCAGUACUUAGUACUUAUGUGUAAUUCAAAUCUUUCCAUUAUAUAUCCCAAAUAAGUUAAAAGGCAUGGCGUGGUGUCUACCUUUGCUUAUCCAUGUCAGACUUGCAAUUCUUUAUAUUAACCUUAAUUAUCGGCCUUCAUAAAAAGAUGUGUAAUUAUACAAGUCAAGAGCAAAAAAGAUAUGUUCUCUCAUAUCACUUGGAGUGAUGAGUCCUUUCUGAACCACUCCAUCACCUUCGUAUGUCAUACCAUAUUUAAAACAUUACUUUAAGCACCUAUCAAUGUGAAUCCAUUUGGUGAUGAAUCAAAGUAUGACGGUUAACACAUAAGGAGAGUUUGUGUAAGUCUAAAGAUUGUUUACACUACCAAUACAUGAGACUAUUUCUAUAGGCAUUUGAGUGAAAUACCAAAUGGAACUAUCAUAGCAGGUCAAGUUAUAUUUUAUAAUUUUUUCGAAACUUUUUAAAAAUUAUUCACAUUUUAUUUUUUAUAUUUGUAAUAAAUUUUAUAAUUUUUAUAACUUUUACAUUUUUAAAAUAUUCUAAUAACUUGACAAGCAACAUCAACAUACUUCCACAUGGCAUGUCACAUGUCAACUUGUCAUAGCUUCCGCCAACCACAUCAACAACCAAUAUUGAUAAAAUCAGUCAACAACCGUUUUCGUUAGCGAAAGGAGCCAAUUGAUUUUUUUCUCAUUGAAUGCUCGAUUGGGUCAAUUUUUUUAUUAUGAACUUGAUUGAUUUUUAACUUUUUACUAAGGUGUUUUUUACACUUUAACCUUAUAUUAAUAUUCAUUAUUUUAUUAAAAAACUUAUUUCUAAGUAAUUUUUCCGACCGAAUUGAUAUCGGAUUAACUCCAAUAAAAUAUAUUAUAUAAACAUAUUAAAAUAUAUCAAUAAAGAAAACACCAUUAAUUUGUUUGAAGUCUCGACUUUUUGAGUCUUAAUGGGUGAGAAAUUUCUUAUAUAGAAACUGAAGACGAUAUAUAAAGUAAAUGCCACAUUAAAAGCCCAAUUCUUUGGAAAAUAAAUUCCAUCACGACUGAACCAAAAAUUAAAAUAAAAUCUAUCAUAUUUAAUAUAUUAGUCCAAGAAAAUAAUCGAUAAUAUGAUUACUAAUAAAAAUAACAAGAAAAAUGAUUUAUGUUAGGUUAUAACAAUAUUUUUUUUUUUUUGAACAAUGAGAUUUUGACCUAGACUAUUCCUUGAAAAGGUGAAUACUCGACUAAUAGGCCACAACUUAAAAUUUUUUAAAUUAUAACCAUUUUUAUAAUACAUGAAUUAGGUUUAAAAUAGUAUAAAAUUUAUAAUAUAUACCAACUAUAUAAAAAAUUAUUUAUAAGGUGUCCAAUAACUUCCAAAACACUUCUUAUAAAUAAUAAAUAUUUUUAUCUUAAAAAGUUUUUUUUUUUAAAUAAGUCAUGGAAAAAAAUUAUAAUUGUUUUAUAAAUAAGUAUAUUUUUUUGUAUAACAUAUAGUAUGGACACAUAAAUAAGUUAUAUUUAAAUUUUUUGACCAUAACUUUUUUUUUUAUAAAUAAGUAUUUGCAUAAUAUAGUAUUUGCAUAAUAUAAUGUUUGCAUUAUUGAUACUAACAACAUAGAAAUUUCCAUGAAAAAGGCCUUGAAUCCUUUGAUGAAUUAAGUUCCAUGACAAGGACUGAAGCAAUGACGACAGCUGGCCCCUGCAACUAUUGCAACAAGACCUUGAAUCCUUUGAUGAGUUCCUUUAAAUUCAUCAGUUUGGAAACCAUAACAUAUAUGCUACCACUAAAUCCUUACCAGAUUAAACAUGGCCCCAUCCUUAACCAUUUCUGUUAUUCUAGGGGUACUGUGGGCCACCAUCCUUCUUUCCUUUGCUACAACUGUGACAGCAGCAUAUCCAUCGCCAUUGGAGUCCGAAGCCAUAGCUCUGCUAGAAAGCAGGUGGUGGAGUAACCAUAGCAGCAAUACUUCACAACGUUGCCAGUGGCCUGGUAUAACCUGCAACACUGCUGAAAGCAUCACCCAAAUUAACUUAUCUGAUGCGCCCAACAUUGAGGUUGGAGAUAGAUUUGGGAAACUGAAUUUCUCUUCAUUUCCAAAUCUUGUCCUUCUUGAUCUUAGUGAUCAUCAACUUAGAGGAAAAAUCCCGCAUCAGAUAGGUGAUCUAUCAGCAUUGAAGUACCUUGACUUGUCCAAUUGUGGUUUAUCUGGUGAGUUACCUCCUUCUCUAGGGAAGCUGACCCAAUUAGAAUUCCUCGACAUGUCCUAUAAUGGUAAUAUUAAUGGUUCCAUCCCUCCACAAUUGGGGAACCUAAAGAACCUCGUGACUUUAAACUUAAGGCAAUGUGGAAUUGUUGGUCCAAUCCCUUCUGCUUUGGGUCAAUUAAUCAAUCUCCAAUCUCUGAUCCUUUCGGGGAACCAAAUCAAUGGAUCUAUCCCAUUAGAAAUUGGAUAUUUGAGAAAUUUGACUUAUUUGAGUCUCUCCAACAAUAGAAUUGUUGGUCCAAUCCCUUCUGCUUUAGGUCAAUUAACCAGUCUCCAAUCUCUGAUCCUUUGGGGGAACCAAAUCAAUGGAUCUAUCCCAUUAGAAAUUGGAUAUUUGAGAAAUUUGACUUGUUUGGAUCUCUACAACAGUAGACUUGUCGAUUCAAUACCAAUUACUCUGUACCAAUUAACCAAUUUGGAAAUUUUGUACCUUGAUAAUAACCAACUUCAAGGUUCAAUCCCUUCUUGUGUUGGUAGUUUAUCAAAGAUGCAGUACUUAAGCCUUGAUUCUAAUCUAUUAAAAGGUCCUAUUCCCCAAGAAAUUUGUAAUCUAGCAAAUUUAACUUCAUUGUACCUCUCCCAAAACAAAUUGACAGGUUCAAUCCCUUCUUGUAUUGGUAGCUUAUCAAAGAUGCAGUACUUAUGACUUGAUUCUAAUCUAUUAAAAGGUCCUAUUCCCCAAGAAAUUUGUAAUCUAGCAAAUUUAACUUCAUUGUACCUCUCCCAAAACAAAUUGACUGGUUCAAUCCCUUCUUGUAUUGGUAGUUUAUCAAAGAUGCAGUACUCAAGCCUUACUUCUAAUCUAUUAAAAGGUCCUAUUCCCCAAGAAAUUUGUGAUCUAGCAAAUUUAACUUCGUUGUACCUCUCCCAAAAUAAAUUGACUGGUUCAAUCCCUUCUUGUAUUGGUAGUUUAUCAAAGUUGCAGUACUUAAGCCUUGCUUCUAAUCUAUUAAAAGGUUCUAUCCCAAAAGAAAUUGGCAAGCUUUUUGAUCUAUCAAAUCUAAACCUUAGCUUCAACCAACUCUCAGGUCCUAUCCCUAUCUUGUCUGCUACUCAUCUCUACAUUGUCGACGCUGGAAAUGGUUGUCAAAAGAUUUUUCCCGAUCCAUUUGAAGGCAAUAGUGAUUUAUCACCCUAUAUGUGUCCUACUCCAGUUACCAAAAAAGCCAACAGCAGCAGAAUUCCUUACCAUUUCAAAAUAUUCCUCCCUAUUGCGAUCUUAUUCACAAUCUCCAUUUUAGGAUGUUUGCUAUUUUCACGGUUUAAGCUCAAGAAUAACCAUGUCAACGUACAACCAACCAAGAAUGGGGAUUUGUGUUCCAUAUGGAACUAUGAUGGAAAGAUAGCAUACGAGGAUAUCGUUGCAGCAACAGAGGAUUUCGACUUCCGAUACUGUAUUGGAGUUGGUGGUUAUGGUAGUGUUUACAAAGCAGAACUCCCUUGUGGUAAAGUAGUUGCUUUGAAGAAACUUCAUCAUUUAGAAGCCGAAAAUCCAACUUUUGACAGGAGUUUCAGGAACGAGAUCAAGUUUCUAUCAGAAAUACGACAUCGAAACAUUGUGAAGCUUCACGGGUUUUGUCUACACCGACGAUCCAUGUUUUUGAUCUAUGAAUACAUGGAAAAAGGGAGUUUGUUCUGCAACCUAAGGGAUGAAGUGAAUGCUGUGGAAAUGGAUUGGACGAAAAGAGUAGAGAUCAUCAAAGGCAUAGCACAUGCUUUGUCUUACUUGCACCAUGAUUGCUGCCCUCCGAUAGUUCAUCGAGACAUAUCAAGUAACAAUGUUCUUUUAAACUCAAGUUUUGAGGCCUUUGUGGCCGACUUUGGAACAGCUAGAAUGUUGGAUCUUGAUUCAUCUUAUCGGACCAUUAUUGUCGGAACUUGUGGCUGCGUAGCUCCAGGUGGCGUUUUCUUUUUUUACUUGAUUUACUGACCUUUUCUCUGAACAUAUAAUUGAAUUUCUUCUUACUAAUUUGUGUAUGUAGAACUUGCUUAUACAAUGAUUGUCACCGAAAAAUGCGAUGUUUAUAGUUUUGGAGUGGUAGCACUGGAAAUAUUGAUGGGAAAGCAUCCUGAAGAAAUGUUAUCAUGGUUGUCAUCACCAACUUCUUUGGUAAACAUGAAGCUGAUUGAUGUGUUAGACAACCGUUUACCACUUCCAACAAGCCAACUAGUUACACAAAAUCUUGUUCAUGUUGCUACACUGGCUUUCGCUUGCUUAAAUCCACAACCGAAGUCCAGACCAACAAUGAAGGAAGUGUGUGAAGAGUUCCUUUCUCGCCAUACAUCCUUGGGAAUUCCUCUUCGGAUGAUCUCUUUGUUACAACUCAUGAACCGUGAAAUGCAUAUUGGAGGCAAAACUAAAACUUGUGGUGUUUGAAGUCCAUGCGCUUUUUGAUUAGAUACUGUUUAUCAUACUCUGAUAACUUGUUUGUAAACCAUCUCUGGUUUUAUAUAUGAUGGAAUGAAUUGCAAUGUUUAAUAAACCUGUUUAUUCGGUUGCUUUAGAAGACAUAAAUUCUGCAAUUUGAUCCAAAUAUUAAGACAUCAUCGCUGGCUGCUUCCUUGAAUUUUGUGCUUCUUUCAAACCAACUCAAAGAUAAAUAACAUAAAAGUAAAUUAAGGGUGAAUUUAUCAACCACUGCACAAGUAGUGUGUAUUUCUUUUGUUAUGCAUAUAAGCACAACUCCUCAUAUAUGAAUUAUCUACCAAAUACUCACGAAAGGCUUUUCAGAAAAUAGUAGUUAGUAAAGCCAUCCAGGAGGGAAUAUGCUACUAACGUGGAACGGGCAAAAUUACAUGGUAAAUAUGUCUUCAUGAGACUGCUGUAUUUCUUUAAGAACCAAAAGCACCAUAAGUGAAGGCAAAAUAGUUUAUUGUCUCAACUCUUUAUAUCCCCAUACCUCAUUGUGCAAUGAAUAAAGUACAUCAAGCAGGGAUUUGUCCCUGGCCAUAAAUAUAUCGCACUGGUCUUUGCUUUAUACAAAUUUCUUGAAACACAACUCUGAAAUUUUAAUAUUUGGAACCCCUAAGCUACCUGAAAUAACUGCAAGUUACCAUGACUAAAGUGCAUACAUACAUAUAUGAAAGUUUCUCAAGCAAUGAUAAGAUAAUUAAUUGCUAAAAAUCUUUAUUGAUUUUGUGGAGAGACAAUCAGACAAGUCAUGUCAGAUUAAUGAUGGGACAAAAAGGUUUUCUGGACUUUUAAAAGUUAUGAAUGCAUCUAUCAGGCUCAAGCAUUUCCAACAUCUAAUUUAUGGCUUACAUCUCAAAGCAAUGAAUGCAAAGCAUCAGGCUUAAAGAUCAUAAUAUGCACAAAAAAUGUAGUGGCCCUACAAGGUUUGCAUCAUGUCAUGCAUGCAUAGAUACAUUACAUUACUACAAGCAAAUUUACAGCUUUAUUGGUCUACAACACGGUAGCAUAAUUAGAAACUAUCAAACAUGUCGGAGCGUGCAUGUCUGAAUCUACAAAGGCAAAAAUAUACAGGUUUCUUCUCACUGCAGUAUAGUAUAAACAAACUUCUAUUGCCUGUAAAGGAUGGAAGAUGCUAACUCAAGCCUUACAACAGUGCAUACAUCACAAGAUGCAUGCGAGCCAAUGGUGCUUCAAGAGACAUGAAAAUUUACACAGUUAGAAUCUUCACGUUUACCCCGAAAAUUCAGACUUCAAACAAUAGAAAAUGGUAGACGAACUAGCUUUUAUAGUGUCAAACAUGCUGCAUUACAACAAAAUAUUCAGAUUGUUCUUCUCCGGUAAAACAAAAGGUUAACAUUUAGGGAUUAAAACAAACGGAAAAUGAAAAAAUAAUUGGAAACAGACUAUUAAACAAAAUAAUUUCCAAUAUAUAUAUGCUAAAUAAAAACCCAAAAUGGCAAUCGGUCUUGAAUCCCAAUCACUUAACAAUUCAAGAAACAAAUUCCAAUUCCAAAAAAUCCCAGUCUCUUAACAAAACAAAAACCAAAUAUACCAAAUACCCUUUCCCUUACACACAAAAGCUAAUUCAAGAGAUUACCAAAAAAAACACUAAUUCAAGAACCAAGCUUGAAAAACAACCAAAACCCCCAAUUAAAAUCUUGGUCAGCUUACCCUGAAAAAUCACAUAGAAAGAGAAAAAGAGAAACUCACAUGUGGCCAUGGAGAAAGCAACGAAUUUACAGAGUAACCAAAAUACAAUAACUUUGAAGAACAAAAAUAAUCAGGGAAAUAACAAAAGAGAAAAGCAAUAAGUUAAACCCCAUGAAGGAAAUUCCAACUGCUCAUUUACAGAGUAAUCAAAAUAAAAUAUAGUGAUAUAACUUGAUAGGAUUGGAAAGCUAGAUUUUGAAGUUUCUUCAAAAUGCAGACUUGGUAAGGACGACGAGAUAACAAGACUCGGAUUCGGAGAUGAGGCCAACGAAUAGAGAUGAGGAGGAGAGGCGGAGGCUGAUGGACAAAGAGGAAGGAGAACGACUGUUGUGAUGAGAGUGGAGGAAAAUGGAAAAUGUCUUACCGAAAUAAAAUUGGUAAGAAGUUUUCCAUAAAAGGCCGUUUCAUUUACCCUUGGUUUAGAAAAUGUUUUCUGAAGUAAUUUAUUUUUCAUCAAACAAAUACAGUAAAAUAAAAAAAAAUAUUUUACGGAAAAUAUUUUACUAAUAAAUAAACAGAGCCUAAGUAUUGCAUUGCAAAAGAUAUAAUAUCACCCAUAUCAACAAUAUAAACGGACAGACAUAUUAAAAUUUAAAUUUAAAUUCAUAAAAAUUUAUGUACUUAUAUUCAUGCAUUUAUUCAAACACAAGAAAGAUAUAUAAAUUUACAAGAACCAACACGAUGUCAAAUCAAUAUAAUUCCUUCCUUCAAUACAAACAUCGUGUGACAUCAACCAACAUAAAGAAGAUAACAAAAAGUAUGGCCUAGUUUCAGCACUCUUUUAAGGCAGUUACUAAAAGUUGUUUUCAACCAAGUUAAAAAGCAUAUCAAGAAAUCAAGUUAAGGAGGACUUCGAAUGAAAGUUGACAAGAAAUUUUGCAGAGAUGGAUGUACUAUCCACGAUCCGUUCUAACAAUUUGAUCUUUAGUCUUACCUUCUAUUAUAAGAAUGAGUAGCCUUUGUUUCUGGCAAUUUUUGAUUGGUUCCAAUACUCACUAAUAAGAAAGAUUUUUAUUUUCUGAAUACGUAUAUAACCUGAAUCCAUUCUAUAUCAACAACAACGAUAAUACACAUGAUGGAGUGAUAGAUUACAAGUUUCCAUACAAGAUUUCACACAUACAAUAAAAGAAAAAUAAGUGAAUUAAUUCCAUCUAAAAUGAAAUUAAAGAAAGCCAAAACUAAUGCAGUAGAACAGAUAAUUGAGAAUGUAGAAUUUUCUUAUAUUAGUUCCAUCUGUUUAAAAAAAAAAAGAUUGCAAGGUAAAUCAGUAGUAAGAAAGAAAAAUAUGGAAUACCCACAAAGGGAUUGCGAACAAACAAGCCGAUUUAGAUCAAAAAAAUCAGAUUGAGAAACCAAUUAUUCAAGAACCGUGAAAGAACUGGAAAAUAUAAUGGUUAGGAACAAAAACGAUUACCCUCUUUUUAUUUGUCAACAACCACUUGAUUUUAAGUCUUUGAACAUAAAUUUAUCGACAAAGAAGACAUACUUGGACCCUCCAUUGAAUCCAUCUUUUGUUUUUCUAUGUUGAAUAAAAAAUUCAAUCGAAACACACAAUCUGAUUUCUACUAUUUUGAUUCAAUACAGAUCAUAAUAGUUUUUUCAGUCAAAUGAAAAAGAAAACUAUUUUUCCUAUUUUAUGGAAAAUUAUCCUUUUUUGUAUAAUUAUAGGUGUUUCAUCUAUUUUAUGGUCCUUACAGUGCUGACACGACCGUUAACAACAUUAACGUGGCGCUUUAUGUCAGCAAUAGUUAGCUACAAUGUCAGCAAAAAUAAAAAAAAUAAAAAUUAAAAGGAAUAUUUAAAUUUAUUUUACUAGAAUGAACCUAAACAUAUAGUUGUCCAAGUUCAUUCGUUUCAAAACUUAAAUUUUUUUUAAAUUUAAAAAAAUUAAGUUUUUUAUAAAUGUGUACAACACUAUUAAAAUUUAAUAAAAAUAUUUAAAACUUAAGUCCCUAAUGAAUAUGUCCAAAUUCAUUCAAGAUUAGUUUCAAAUAUACUAAAAUUAAUUUUCUUUAAAAAUUGAUAUGUGUGUCAAUAUUUUUCUAUUGCUACCUCUUAGGAUGAAUAAUAUAUAUAUAUAUAUAUAUCAAUUUAAAGAAUUUAAAUUUUAUUAAUCAUACUUCUAAAGAUUUUUUAAAUGUAUGAAUAUAUCCAAUUAAAACAGUGUAUCUAUUAUUUCAUUACAUGUGUAGCCUAAAAGGUUUAAAAAAUUAGAUAUAUUCAUACAUUUAAAACAACUUUACACAAACAAUUAAUAAUAUUUAUUUUUAUUUAUUUUCUGAAAUAUAUUUUUUUUAAUUUUUAUACAUUCUAAAAUGUACCAAUGGAAUUAGAACAUUGAUACACGUAUCAAUUUUUUUAAAGAAGAUUAAUUUUUAAUAUUUUUUAAACUUUGUACAAUUUAGAAAAACUUGAAUGAAUUUAGACAUAGAAUUAACUUGUAAUUGGUUUUUAUUAAUUUUUAUUUUUUUAAUUUAUUUAAUAUUUUAUAAAUUUUAAUAAUAUUUUAAAAUUUUAUAAAAUUUUAAAAAACAUUAUUUUUUAAAUAUUAUUUUUAAUUUAAAAAUUUUUUAAGCUUCGAAACAAAUGAACUUGGUACUGCGACAUCAACAACUAUUCCUUUUAAAAAUUUUAAAUAUUCCAUUUAAUUUUUUUUAUUUUUGUUGACAUGGCAGUUGACGUGGUAUUGCCACAUAAGCAACUAUCGCUAACAUGAAGCACCACGUUAACGCUGUUAAUGGCCACGUCAACGUUGUAACGGUCAAUAUUAGUCAAAGGGCCUAUUUGGCCAAUUUUGUUAGUUCAUGGGCUCAAUUGGGUGCAAAAAGUUUGCAAGGGCUUAAUUGAUUUUUUUGAAAAAGUUUGAGGACCAAAAAUACCAUUAAACCCUUCUUUAACUAUUGAUAUUUCUUUUUCUAAGUAUCGGUCAACAUUAGUUAAAGGACUUAUUUUGUCAGUUUUGUUAGUUUAAGGGCUCAGUUGGGUGCAAAAAGUUUGCAGGGGCUUAAUUAUUUUUUCGAAAAAGUUCGACAAUCAAAAAUACCUUUAAGCCCUAGUUUAACUAUUGAUAUGUCUUUUUUAAUUAAUUUUGCAUUCGUGCAUAGUAUAGGCACACGAUGUAUGGGGUAUUUCCACGUAUACAUGUAAAGUGUAUUUUGAUGCCACGGCGAAAUUAGAUGAAAAUGUGAUUAUUAAGGUAGUAAUGUAACCUUCUAGUGUCACGGGCCUCAGUGCAAAGCCCGUGACCAUGGCACAAGAUGCGCCCCAUGGAGGUCUAUCAAUAAGAUGAGGAACAUUUAGCCCACAAGAGCUGGCCCGAUUCAGAUAACUAUUGGAGAAGCCUAUCAGAUUGAAGCCUGGUUGGCCCAAUGAUGAAAACAUGGCAACUUAGGCUAAUAUGGUAACUAAUCUUAGAAGAUAGAGAUAAUCAUAUCUUGUAAAGAUUAGAUUUGAUUUGAUAUAGCAUAUCUUGUAAAAUCCCUAAAAUUAAGGGAUAUGGUUAAUCUUGUCCGUCGAUGUAAAUGUAUCUUGACAGUCGAUUUUGGGGGAGCUCAACUAUAAAUAGAGAGCCUCCCCCUCAUUUGUACUCAUUCCAUUGUAUUCUGAAUUCUUAAGAGUAAUAGAGUUCUGAGAGCAUUUACUCAAACACCUUGUGUGCAUUCUUUUUUUUGGCUUUCUAUUGUUCUUUGACUUAGCUUCUUUUGGCCUAAAUCGUUUCCGCUCUUCAAUUGGUGCCUUGGAGGAGUUCUUAAGGAAUCCUCAUUUGAGUUAAGGCUGACUUAGGCGAGUUUGGACGAACGGAUCACCUAAGGCCACACGGGUUGCGAGACGAAAACUCUAGCCCCGUGACAAGUGGUAUUAGAGCAAGGUUUGAACCAAGUAAUAUCUGAGUUGUUGGUUCAAAGGCACUGUUGGGAUGUCGAAAGAAGUUGUUGGUCAGAAUGAGCCAAUGGAGACCCGAGGAAGGGCCAGAAAUGUGAGUCGAUCAAGGGACUUAUUGUCAGCUUUAGAGGAUCGAGUUGUCACUCUCGAAGAGUCCAUGGGGGACGUCAAGGAAAGGAUCGACGAUGUCGAUGAUAGACACAAUGAUGGGUUACGAACAUUACAGGAACAACUCAGGGAAUUUGUGUGGGACACUAUCGGUUCCUCUGAGAAUAAGCUGGCUGAAAAGAACGAUGCUCUCGAGGCUAUGGUGACAGCCUUGAAGGAGGAGAUCAAUGAGCUUAAGAGGGAGCUCAAGAUUUUCAAGGCUGCCAUAGGGAAUGGAAUGUUGGUUUUAAAUCUGAAGCCACAAGCAAUGGAUAUGCCCAAGCCGAAGGCGUUUAAAGGGGCAAGGUCUGCAAGUGAAGUGGACAACUUUUGUUGGGCCAUGGAGCAAUACUUUUGUGCGAUGAACAUCGAAGAUGAUGUCACAAAGGUAAACACUGUUGCUAUGUAUUUCACUGAUGUUGCUUUGUUAUGGUGGCGACGUAGGUCCACUGAUGUGAGACGUAGUGGGACCGAGAUUGGGACUUGGAAGGAGUUCCAAAGUGAAUUUAAAGUACAGUUUUACCCCGAGUAUGCCGAGGACGAAGCUCGAGCAAAGUUGCGACGGCUAAUGCAACGAGGCACGGUUAAGGAGUAUGUACAGGAGUUCAGUAAACUCAUGCUCCAAAUCUCUGAUUUGAGCGAGAAGGAAGCAUUUUUCUCCUUUACAGAUGGGCUGAAACCAUGGGCGAAGCAAGAAUUGCACCGUCGAGGAAUUUAGGAACUUACCAAUGCCAUAAUGGUAGCGGAGUCCAUAGUGGAACUUGCUCCGAGAAGGGACAGGUUUGAAUCUUCCAAGCCCAGCAGGAGGGGCAAUGGUGGGUAUCAUGAGGAGGAUGAAGAGGGACAAAGCUAUGAUGGCAACGCAAGUAGUAGCGAUGGUGAUGAUAGGAAACCACAAGUUGGGAAGAAGAAACCCAAGAGGAAAAGAGACAAGCUGAAAUGCUUUCUCUGCGACGGUCCACACAUGUUGAAGAAUGUCCAAAAAAAUCCGCGCUUAAGGAGAAGCCGGUGGGAAAGGCCUUGGUACUUGGUUCAAGUGCAAGGGGUGUCGAAGCCAAGGAGGCCGAAAGCGAGAAAAAGCCAGUGGAGUUCUUCUUGCGUCAUGGUCUGUAUAGGUUGCGGAAGUGUCCAAGGAAGUCUAUCAUCGAUGGGAAUGAUGGAGUAGACAAAGAGCCCAAGAAGCUUGGUUCGAGCAAGGGAAAAGCCGAAGCCAAGAGGGCAAAGAGGAGCAAAAAGAAGCGAGUAAAGUGCUUCUUGUGCCGUGGUUCGCAUGAGAUACAGAACUAUCCAAAGCAAGCCAGAGUAAAAAGAAAGGCAACGUCUGAACUUGGUGAGUCAUCAGAGGGACUUCCACUUAAGGAAGAGGUGAGUUUGUCAUCGGACUUAGAGGAAAGAGUUACGAUGAAAACAGUGAAGUUGGGACCAAUGAGGCUCAAGUUGAGUAAAGCGUCGGAGUUGGCCGAGUCAUCGACUAGGCUUCCACCUAUGGGAGAGGUGGGUGGUGCAUCAGACUUCAAGGGAAAAGAAGUGAUGCAUGUGGGACAGUUGACCAGAGUAAAUACGAAGGUACAUUUCGAACACUGUGAUAGUGUUUUGCAUUCUAACUUGUUGACUUGGCAAGAACGUAGGGGCCCUUUCGAAGUUCUUGAGCAGAGAGGCCGAGAGACUGUGGGUAAAGCGAAGCCAAGUGUGGUGAAUCAAGAGGAUUCUGUUCGAGCAAAGUUAGAAUGUGGACAAGAGAGUGACAUAACUUCUUGUCAUCGAGAUGCACAAACGAGUAGGACGGUUCGAGUGAAGAAGUGACGUAAGCCGAAGCAAAAGUCCCGAAAGAAGGAAAAGGCUAAGGCGUUGAGACGAGAUCGAGGCGAAUCAAGCCAGUGCCAUUCGGAAGUCGCAACAAGGACGUUGCGAGAAUGGGUGGGGGAGAAUGUCACGGGCCGCAGUGCAAAGCCCGUGACCAUGGCACAAGAUGCACCCUAUGGAGGUCUAUCGAUAAGAUGAGGAACAUUUAGCCCACGAGAGCUGGCCCGAUUCAGAGAACUAUUGGAGAAGCCUAUCAGAUUGAAGCCUGGUUGGCCCAAUGAUGAAAACAUGGCAACUUAGGCUAAUAUGGUAACUAAUCUUAGAAGAUAGAGAGAAUCAUAUCUUGUAAAGAUUAGAUUAGAUUUGAUAUAGCAUAUCUUGUAAAAUCCCUAAAAUUAAGGGAUAUGGUUAAUCUCGUCCGUCGAUGUAAAUGAAUCUUGACCGUCGGUUUUGGGGGAGCUCAACUAUAAAUAGAGAGCCUCCCCCUCAUUUGUACUCAUUCCAUUGUAUUCUGAAUUCUUAAGAGUAAUAGAGUUCUGAGAGCAUUUACUCAAACACCUUGUGUGCAUUCUUUUCUGUGGCUUUCUGUUGUUCUUUGGCGUAGCUUCUUUUGGCCUAAAUCGUUUCUGCUCUUCAAUUGGUGCCUUGGAGGAGUUCUUAAGGAAUCCUCAUUUGAGUUAAGGCUGACUUAGGCGAGUUUGGACGAACGGAUCACCUAAGGCCGCACGGGUUGCGAAACAAAAACUCUAGCCCCGUAACACUAGUAAACGUAAAGAAUUAUAAUUUUUCUAGAUGCAUUUGGCUAGUAGAGUAUAAUUAUAUUGUAAUUCUUUGUGCCUUGUUUAGUAAUAUAAAUUGUAAUUGCACAUUUACAAAUUUUAAAUUGUUUAAAAAGUAUUAAUUACUAUAAAUAGUUAUCAGUAAUACCUGAGAAAAAAUUUUAAACAAGUGACAUAAAUUAAAAUCAAAUCAUGUUCUGUUAGUCCAAGAAAGUAACCGACAACACGAUUGCCGAUAAAAAAGAACAAGAAAACUAAACAUCAUAUGCAACUUUAUUAUUGCUCUAGCAUUCCAUGUUUGUUGGGUUAUUCCUUUUCUAACAUUUAACAUAUACUUCUUAUCAUCAUCUAUUAGUUCUUGACCAAUUUCUUCAUUGUUGAUACAAGGUACAACAAUGGAGGGGAGUAAGGAGGAUGUAAGGUGGAGUGAGUGGUGGAAAAGUAUUAAUAAGAGAGGUUCUCUUGUCCAUUAGCAUGACAUGGCAGGAUAAAUGUUCAGUCCCACCAAAUGUGUAAAGGAUAUUCAUGAACAUAAAGGAUAUUCAUGAUGGGGGCACGUUAUGUUACUCAUUCGAUCAGUACAAGGUUAAUACGCCCAUGCAAGUCCUAAUGGCCUCAAGGAUUUGUUCACACCAAAAAAAAAAGGGUGCUAGCCUUUCUAAAGGGUUGGUGCUCCUUUGAUCUUAGUGGAUGGUUCAGCGAGACAUCUUCUUAGGCAGACUCAAUGAGAGGGUUAAUGUUGUCUAUACAGUUGACACGUGUCCAUGUGGCGGGGGUAUAAAAUUCAUCAUCUAAAUCAAAUUUUGAAUAUGCAUAAUUAAGAUUAUCCAGAUCAUUUUUUUUAUCUGUAUCAUUAAGACUAUCAAGAUCUAUUUUUUUUCCAUGUAUUGAUUGAAAGCAUUGAUAAUUCCAAUUCCACCUAUAAAUGGAAUUGUGAAGUAUACAACAAGUUCGAACGAUUGAACAUUGUUUUUUAGACUAUAUUGAUGUGGUUUGUUAAUAUGGGAAAUAUUUUUUUAGAACAAGAAAUAUCCUCUCAACCACAUUUCAAAGCUUUGAAUAAAGAGUUUGCGAGCCUUGUUUGGUACUUGUGUCUAGCUGUGUUCGUUCAAAUGAUAUCGUACCCCAUAAUAUACUGCAAGAAAACCUUUUGCAAUUGCAUAAUCAACAUCUACCACAUAAUAUUUCCUAAAAACAUGUAACAAUUUAAAUAAUUUGUGAGACAAAUAAAAUAACAGCAAGGUGAUGAUAAUAUUAAUGUAUUUAUGAAAUACAAUUUUGAUCUAUUUUCUCUCCCAAACAUCAUUCUUAGCAUUCUAGUAUUUGAGGCACAAAUCAACUUUAAAAUCCUUCAAUUAUAAUAGUUUUUAUAAAUCCAAUUUGCGGUUUACUAUGUGUUCAAAUAAUAAACCAAAUUAGAUAAAAUAAAUAAUAUAAAUUUUCUAAUAUAACAUUUAUAAACAAUGUUUUCUAUAAAGUGUUGAAUAGCUUUUAUGGUGCUUAUGUUAAAGUGCUCAAAUAUGUGGCCAUACAAGAAUAGUAUAAAAAUUAUAAUACAUGCUUUAUAAGCACAAUUUGUUAGGUUAAAAUUUGUUUUAUAAAACAUAGGAGUUAAGUGAGAUGAAAAGGGUUUCUCCUACCUCAAUCAGUAAUUGAGGGUUUGAUACUGUAUUGGAGUUGGUGGUUAUGGUAGUGUUUACAAAGCAAAACUCCCUUGUGGUAAAGUAGUUGCUUUGAAGAAACUUCAUCAUUUAGAAGCCGAAAAUCCAACUUUUGACAAGAGUUUCAGGAACGAGAUCAAGUUUCUAUCAGAAAUACGACAUCGAAACAUAGUGAAGCUUCACGGGUUUUGUCUACACCGACGAUCCAUGUUUUUGAUCUAUGAAUACAUGGAAAAAGGGAGUUUGUUCUGCAACCUAAGGGAUGAAGUGAACGCUGUGGACAUGGAUUGGACGAAAAGAGUAGAGAUCAUCAAAGGCAUAGCACAUGCUUUGUCUUACUUGCACCAUGAUUGCUGCCCUCCGAUAGUUCAUCGAGACAUAUCAAGUAACAAUGUUCUUUUAAACUCAAGUUUUGAGGCCUUUGUGGCCGACUUUGGAACAGCUAGAAUGUUGGAUCUUGAUUCAUCCAAUAAGACCAUUAUUGUCGGAACUUAUGGCUACGUAGCUCCAGGUGGCGUUUUCUUUUUUACUUGAUUUACUGACCUUUUCUCUGAACAUAUAGUUGAAUUUCUUCUUACUAAUUUGUGUAUGUAGAACUUGCUUAUACAAUGAUUGUCACCGAAAAAUGCGAUGUUUAUAGUUUUGGAGUGGUAGCACUGGAAACGUUAAUGGGAAAGCAUCCUGAAGAAGUGUUAUCAUGGUUGUCAUCACCAAGUUCCUUGGUAAACAUGAAGCUGGUUGAUGUGUUAGACAACCGUUUACCACUUCCAACAAGCCAACUAGUUACACAAAAUCUUGUUUAUGUUGCUACACUGGCAUUCGCUUGCUUAAAUCCACAACCGAAGCCCCGACCAACAAUGAAAGAAGUGUGUGAAGAGUUCCUUUCUCGCCAUACAUCCUUGGGAAUUCCUCUUCGGAUGAUCUCUUUGUUACAACUCAUGAACCGUGAAAUGCAUAUUGGAGGCAAAACUAAAACUUGUGAUGUUUAAAGUCCAUGAGCUUGUUGAUUAGAUAUUGUUUAUCAUGCUCUGAUAAUUUGUUUGUAAACCAUCUCUGGUUUUAUAUAUGAUGGAAUGAAUUGCAAUGUUUAAUAAACCUGUUUAUUCGGUUGCUUUAGAAGACAUAAAUUCUGCAAUUUGAUCCAAAUAUUAAGACAUCAUCGCUGGCUGCUUCCUUGAAUUUUGUGCUUCUUUCAAACCAACUCAAAGAUAAAUAACAUAAAAGUAAAUUAAGGGUGAAUCAAAGCAACAAAAUGCAAUCAAUACAUACAUCAAGAAUUCACCUCAACUAUCUAUAAUUCAUGAAACAAUCUCUCAACUUAUAAAAUGUAAGUGAGAUUCCACAGACCUGAUAUCCAAACUCAAAAGCAAUAAAAGGCGUCAUCAGAACCCUGGCAAGUGAAGACGACAUUCUUUUCAAGCAAGGUAGCGAUACAACUUCCUGUCACCUUUAUCCCUCUACAGGAACUCACAUUAGUAUACAUUUUUAUUUAACAUAUUAUAUAAAUUACACUUUAUAAAUCAAAAAAACAAAUGAAACUCUGAGUAUUACAUAUAUAAUAAUAUACUGCAUAUUUCCUAAAAAAUGAUAAUAUACCGCACAUGUUACAAUGCAUUUUCAAAAAAAAGAAAAAGAAAUGUGACCAUAAUAUAUAAUUUAUAUUACAAACAAAGGUACUCAUAUUUUAUAGUUCAUCAUUUUUAAUGUUUGGGACUGUAGUCGGCCAUCACGAUUUGGUUGGUAACAAAUGAAUAUAUUAUGGAUAAACUAUUAUAGAGUUUACAAAAUUACUGCUUUUUAGUCACUCGAUUAUAAAAAGUUAUAAAAUAGCCAUUUAAUUAUUAUUAAAUUACAUUUUUGAUUAAAUGCAAAAAGUACAUAUCUUAUGUAAUUUAAUUGGUCAAAUUAUGAGAAUGAACCAUUGAUUUUCUCCAUGUUUAUAUUAAAUUUUAUACAGGGGUGCAAUUUGGGGUCAAAAGAGAAAAAGGAGAAGCAAUUGGGCUAGAUUGAAGAAAGGAGCAAAGAAGGCGAGCCAAAACAGAAUUUUUCCAAGUUGUAAUUAGCUGAAAUUUUAUUUUGACUUAGUGGGGGAUUAUGUAGAGAUUUUGAUAUCGUAGGAAUAUGUUUUUUUCCUUGAUUUUCUAUGGCUAGUGGCCUUUAAUUUGGCAAAUUUGUUCAAAGCCACUAGUAUAAAUAGAGGGCUACUAUGUUCAUUUAAUCAUCAAGUUUUUCAAUCAAGUUUUUAAUCAAGCUUUUAUCUUUUGAAUUCAAUCUUCUUUCCUUUUUGCAAAUUUAUUUGCUGACAUUAAUUCCUUAUAUUUUUCCAUUUAUUAGUUUCCAGCUUUGGAACUACUGCACCCAAACCUUGCCUCACCCACAUACAUCCACUUACAUUUCUUUUUCAUUUAUCCAACCCUCUCCAAAUAUGCCCAACUCCAACAUGCCCCAAACCUAGUCAACUAAACCCAUUUCAGCUUUAGGUCGGUGUUAACUUCGUCUAGACCGGUGAGUUAUGAACCCGAGCAAUUUAAAUCCUGAAUUCUAGUAUUUAUUAUUUCUCUGGAUUAAGAGUAUGAUUUCAUCAACUCACAAAGUCAAAUCAACACUAAGUCAAAAAAGACGUCGUUUGAGUUAGUGUGGUUAGACGUACAAUUGGGAUUCCGAAAGGAUCGAUUGUCUAAUCAGUUUUCCGUGAACACAUUGGCGUGCCAAGUGGGGAUUCUUGUUUGGUUCCGUCAAGGGAAGUAGUAAUCGGAUUUAAAUGUCCCACGCGAUUGAGGGCAUUGGUUCGUGCUAAGCUCUUCUAGAACGCAAAGAUGUAGGAGUUCUAAAUCACGAACGUUUUGUAGGUUGUUUGAUCGGCAAUGGUUAGUUAUAGGACAUUUCAUAACUAAUUUACACAAGGAAGAGUUGGUGUCCGAGGUGUCUUUGGUAGCUAUAACUAGCUUAUUGGAAAAGAGAAGUUCAUCUAAUUUCGAGGAUCGGUUCAAAGACGGAAAAACUCAUGCCUGAAGCUGAGCUAAAUUUAAUUGAUUUUUCUUCAAAUUUACUUAACUGUUUUUAUUAUUUAAUUGUUUCCAGCUUUUACUUUUUACGCAUUUUUUCCCCUGUUUAUUUCAGGUUUCAAAUUUUAUCCCCCCAAAUUUCUUGGGCAUGACAACUUCCCAAACAUAAAUAUGGUCGAGAGAGAGAAACAAUUUUCAGUAAUCUAGUCUCUAAGGGAUUGAUCCUACUCCCUAUAUUGCUCAAAUUUGCAAAUUAGGUGUAGGAUUUUAUUGGUGGAAUCAACAACCAUCAGUUUUGGCGCCGUUCCCGGGGACUGGCAACACUCACAAUUGUUUAAAUCGUCUUCAUGACUAAAUCUUCAUCCAGAGAUCUCGAAUACGACCCAGAGAUUUGAGAAAUCAAAAUGAGCACGACGAAAAAAGACAGAAGCUCUUAAACAUGCAAGUAAAGAAAAAGUUGAGCUAGGACAAGGGAUCUUAGAAUCCGACGUCGAAAAGUUGAGCUAAGAAAUUCGGGCAGAGGCAAUUCAACGUGGGAAACAAGUCAAAGUGGUUGAACCUGAGACCGAACCACUUUUUGAAAAAAAGAAGCAGAAGACAACCUCGGUGAACCAGAAAGGAUGGAAAACCGAACCAUUCGUCAACUAGCCACAUAAGCAACUAUUCCUUUUAAAAAAUUUAAAUAUUCCUUUUAACUUUUUAUUUUUGUUGACAUGGCAGCUGACAUGGUAUUUCCACAUAAGCAACUAUCGCUAACAUGAAGCACCACGUUAGCGCCGUUAAUGGCCACGUCAAUGUUGUAACGGUCAAUAUUAGUCAAAGGGCCUAUUUGGCCAAUUUUGUUAGUUCAGGGGCUCAAUUGGGUGCAAAAAGUUCGUAGGGGCUUAAUUGAUUUUUUUUGAAAAAGUUCGAGGACCAAAAAUACCAUUAAACCCUUCUUUAACUAUUGAUAUUUCUUUUUCUAAGAAUCAGUCAACAUUAGUUAAAAGGCCUAUUUUGUCAGUUUUGUUAGAUUAAGGGCUCAGUUGGGUGCAAAAAGUCUGCAAGGGCUUAAUUGAUUUUUUUGAAAAAGUUCAACGAUCAAAAAUACCUUUAAGCCCUACUUUAACUAUUGAUAUGUCUUUUUUAAUUAAUUUUACAUUAGUGCAUAGUACAGGCACACUAUGUACGAGGUGUUUCCACAUAUACAUGUGAAGUGUAUUUUGAUACCACGGAGGAAUUAGAUGAAAAUGUGACUAUUAAGGUAGUAGUGUCACCUUCUAGUAAUUGCAAAGAAUUAUAAUUUUUUAGAUGCAUUUGGCUAGUAGAGUGUAAUUAUAUUGUAAUUCUUUGUGCCUUGUUUAGUAAUAUAAAUUGUAAUUACACAUUUACAAAUUUUAAAUUUUUUAAAAAGUAUUAAUUACUAUAAAUAGUUAUCAAUAAUACUUGAGAAAAAAUUUUAAAUAGGUGACAUAAAUUAAAAUCAAAUCAUGUUAUGUUAGUCCAAAAAAGUAACCGACAACACGAUUAUAUGCAACUUUAUUAUUGCUCUAGCAUUCCAUGUUUGUUGGGUUAUUCUUUUUCUAACAUUUAACAUAUACUUCUUAUCAUCAUCUAUUUGUUCUUGACCAAUUUCUUCAUUGUUGAUACAAGGUACAACAAUGGAGGGGAGUAAGGAGGAGAUAAGGUGGAGUGAGUGGUGGUUUUGUGGAGGCCAGUUCACUUAAAGAGGCAGAGAGCUAGAAAGGAAUAAGAGGACAAGCUGAUUGCUGAAAGAAAAGAUGGUUGUUCAGAGUAACUUUAAGGGUUGGAAAAUCGAUCCAUUCUUCAUCGUUGGAAAGGUAUUUAUAAAAGAGGCCCUCUUGUCCAUUAGCAUGAUGUGGCAAGAUAAAUGCUCAGCCCCACCAAAUGUGUAUAUUCACGAACAUGAAGGAUAUUCAUGAUGGGCCCUAUUCUAUUAUCCAUUCGAUCAGUACAAUGUUGUUACGCUCAUGCAAGUCCUAAUGGCCUCAAGGAUGUGUUCACACCAAAAAAAGGGGUGCCUAACCUUUCUAAAGGGUUGGUGCUCCUUUGAUCUUAGUGGAUGGUCCGGCGAGACAUCUUCUCAGGCAGACUCAAUGAGUGGGUUAAUGUUGUCUAUACUGUUGACACGUGUCCAUGUGGCGGGGGUAUAACAUUCAUCAUCUAAAUCAAAAUCUGAAUAUGCAUCAUUAAGAUUAUCUAGAUCAUUUUUUUAUCUGUAUCAUUAAGAUUAUCAAUAUCUGCUUUUUUUUUCAUGUACUGUUUAAAAGUAUUGAUAAUUCCAAUUCCACCUAUAAAUGGAAUUGUGAAAUAUACAACAAGUUAGAACGAUUGAACAUUGUUUUUCAGACUAUAUUGAUGUGGUUUGUUAAUAUGGGAAAUAUUUUUUUAGAACAACAAAUAUCCUCUCAACCACAUUUCAAAACUUUGAAUAAAGAGUUUACGAGCCGUGUUUGGUACUUGUGUCUAGCUCUGUUCUUUCAAAUGAUAUUGUACCCCGUGAUAUACUGUAAAAAAACCUUUUGCAUUUGCAUAAUCAACAUCUACCGCAUAAUAUUUCCUAAAAAACAUGUAACAAUUUAAAUAAUUUGUGAGAAAAAUAAAAUAACAGCAAGGUGAUGAUAAUAUUAAUGUAUUUAUGAAAUACAAUUUUGAUCUAUUUUCUCUCCCAAACAUCAUUCUUAGCAUUCUAGUAUUUGAGGCACAAAUCAACUUUAUAAUCCUUCAAUUAUAAUAGUUUUUAUAAAUCCAAUUUGCAGUUUACUAUGUGUUCAAAUAAUAAACCAAAUUAGAUAAAAGAAAUAAUAUAAAUUUUAUAAUAUAAUUGUUAUACCUAAUUUUAGCUCGGGCUCACAUAUGGAAACAUAUUUUUUGAGGAUAUGCAAUCUUAUAUAUGAUAUGCAAUCCUAGAUAUGAUAUAUGCAAUCUUAGAUAUGAUAUGCAAUCUUAGAUAUGAUGUAUAAUCUUAGAUAUGAUAUGCAAUCUUAGAAGAUAUGAUUUUGAAAUCUUAGAGAUACCCUUUAAUCUCAGCCGUUGAUGUAAUUGAUCUGUACCGUUGGAUUUGGGGAGGCUCAACUAUAAAUAGAGGCCUCUCCCUUCAUUGCAUGAGGAGAAAAAAAGAGGAAAGGGAGGAAUAAAAAAAGAGAACGAUUGACAGUUUUUUAAAGGUGGCUUACUAUUUUUUUCGUUUGAUUAUUUUGUACUUAUUUACAAUUUUAAAAAAGGAGAAGGUGAUACCACUACGAAUUUUAUUUAUUUAUUUUUUAUUUAGCCCCUCCGCCUUUUAAUGUCUUUAUAAUUAGGUUUUUUUUAUUUUUUUAAAAAUUUUGCCCUUUAAUUUAUUUUAAUUUCAAUUUAACCCUUCUUGAACGACACCGUUUUAGAGGAGAAGGGAAAAUUUCCCUUCCAGCCCCUUUAUGUAAUUCGCGUAUUCAAUUUAGUCCUCCAGACUUUAUUUAUUUGCGAAAUUACCCCAUAUUUUUUAUUUGUAAUCCAAUUUAGCCUUUUUUUCAUAUUUUCUUCAAAAAUCAAUAUUUUUUUGAUGAUGCAAUUGUUCUUAUCUUAUAAUUCUUAUCUGUAAUUAUUAUUAUAUUGUAUAUAUGUUUUUUAAAAAAACAUGUAGUUAUGCCUUUUUUUAAUUAGUAUUUUUUUCGCGUACUUAUAUAUAUAUAUAUACUUGUUUUAUUUAUUUAAUUAUCUUUGAUAUUAUUUAUUUCAAACCUAUGUAUUUUUAUGUGCACUUGUAUGUAUUUUUUGUUAUUUAUUUUAAUUAUUCGCUUAUUAAUUUAUGUUUGCAUAUUUUCUGCUCAUUUAUUUAAUAUCUUUUGCAUGUCAUUAUUUAUAUUCAAUUGUUUGUAUUAUUUCCAUGCUAUUAUUGUACUUGUUAUCAUUGUUAUUAUGACAUUUGCGCAUAUAAAAUAAUGUUACAUUAUUUUUUAGAAAAAACUCAAAUUUAAAAAUAUAAUUUUCAAAAUUGAGAUAAUACUCGUAUUUAGGAUUGCUCAAGGAAAUUGAGCCCUAACGUAUUGGGUUCCGAUUUUUUUGAAAAUCUAACAAUCGAGGAUUGCUCUUUAAACCAACUAAAAACUCAUUAUUGGGAAUUCAACACGUUGUGUCCUAACGUAUUGGAUGUGACGCAUUGAUUUCUCGAUGUAGAUUUUUUAAAAAUCAUAAAGGAAAUAUUCCGAGUUUGGGAUUUUUAAAGGAAUCGUGCCCUAACAUAUUGGGUGUGAUUUCUUAAAUCUUGGAUAAGUGGAUGUUCUUUUAAAGUAAAGGAAAUAUUCCGAGUUUGGGAUUCUAAAGGGAUCGUACCCUAACGUAUUGGGUGUGAUUUCUUAAAUCUUGGAUAAGUGGAUGUUCUUUUCAAGUUUUAUUGUACAAGUAUUUUGGCCCAAUUCAUUUUUGGGGGAAAAUUAGAAUGCUGUGCCCUAACGCAUUAGGUGUGGUAUCUUCUUUCUCUGAAAUAAAAAGGGUCUUAAUACGUAGCCUUUUAAGUUUUGCUAAGGAUUACGUUUUUCCAAAUUCUCGACCUUAAGAUACUAAUUAAUUAACCAGGUACAAAUUUUGGGCGUUACGAGGGUGUUAAUCCUUCCUCGAACGUAACUGACACCCGGAUCCGUUUUUCUAAAACUUGUAGACCAAAGCCGUUUUUUAGGUGAUCCAAUCACACCUCAAUAAAAGAUUGGUGGCGACUCCCAAAUUUUCAUUUUUUUUAAAGUCGACAACCUAAAAUUUUUGUUUUUCAAAAAAAUAGUUUCGACAAUAACAUUUAUAAACAAUGUUUUCUAUAAAGUGUUGAAUAGCUUUUACGGUGCUUAUGUUAAAGUGCUCAAAUAUGUGGCCAUACAAGAAUAGUAUAAAAAUUAUAAUACAUGCUUUAUAAGCGCAAUUGGUUAGGUUAAAAUUUGCUUUAUAAAACACAGGAGUUGAGUGAGAUGAAAAGGGUUUCCUACCUUAAUCAGUAAUCGAGGGUUUAAUCCUCGCCUAAGUAUGGAGUAGCUUUAAAACUUGUGGCCAGCAUCUACCCCCUUAAUGGGCCUACAAAAUGCGAAGGAUUAGUUACCGGGCGCGCUUCGGUAGAUACAUUGAGGAAUCAAAAAAAAAAAUUACACCAAAUAUUUUGACUUAUGUGUCUAAUAACAAAGCAGUUUUGACCCGAUAAGAAAUAUAUAAUUUUAUUUUAAAAAAUAUAUAAAAUAUAUGUCAUAAAAUUAAAAUUUUUUAUUAUUAUUGUAUUAAAAUAAAUUUUAUAAACUUCUAUAAAAAAUAAUUUCUUAAAUCAUGUACGUGUGUUUGAAAGACUAUAAGAUAAUUAGUAAUUGAUUGUAAUUACUCACGUAAUUACCUCAACUCUCAACUCCCUAAGAAUUGAAUAGUAUAAUUGAGGUGCUAUUAUAUUCAAUUUAGUGGACCCAACAAUUACAAUAGUUAGCCAAACAUACUAUUCCUUUGUACUUGCAAGUAAUUACACUUAAAUCUAAUAAUUAAUUCACAUUAAAUUUUUCAAAAUCAUACACUUUGGGGUCGAAAUUAAACUGAUUUUUUUUUAGUUUCCAAACAAUUGCAAAGAAAAUUCAUGAAAUUAAGUUGUUUUCAAAUAAUUAAUUCACAUUGGAAUUUUCAAAUAAGAUAUCACAUUACUAAUACUUCAAUCAUUAAAAUAUUAUAUAAGACAUUUUGCCUUAUACAGCAAAAUAUGAAAAUACUAAAACUUAAUCCAGUUUAAUCAUUCUAAAGUUUCUAAUUUUGUUUAAAAGUAUUUUCAAAUAUAUAUGAUUUUAAAUUUGUAUAUUUUAACAUGAAAUUCAUUAUAUUGUAGUAAGAUUUUAAUGUAAUAUGUUUAAUUUUUUUAAUUUAAUUCAAACAAUUUCACUCGAUUCAGCUCGACUCGAAUUUUAUUUCACUCAACUCAAUUUGAAAAAAAAAUUCUAAAUUGAAUUAAGAUGAUAAAAUAAGACUUGUCAACUCGAUUAACUCAAAAUUAUUUUACUCAAUCACCGCUAGCAAUUGCAUCCUUGAUACUAAUAACAACAUAAAAAUGUAUACUCAUCUUUUCAAAUUAAUAUGCAGCCACGAAAUGGAAAUUUCCAUGAAAAAAAAACUAUUGCAUAUGAAAAAGUAAGUUCCAUGACAUCGACUGAAGCAAUAACAACAAUUGCAAAAAGACAUUGACUCCUAUAGAAAUCCAUCAGUUUGGAAACUAUAACGUAUAUGCUACAACUGGGUUUUUUUCGUGUGUCACCCGUUAGGAUUUGAAUUAUGUUGGUAAUAAAUAUAAUCUAUUUUAAUUAAAAAAUGAGUAGAAUUUAGUAAUUUAUUAUGACCCAAAUUAUUGGUAAAGUUAAAAUUAAUUUUUUUUCGAACAAAAACUUUCGGUGCUCAGUACUUAUGUGUAAUUCAAUCUUCUCAUCAUAUAUUCCGAAUAAGCUAAAAGGUAUGGCAUGGUGUCUACCUUUGCUCAUCCAUGUCAGACUUGCAACUCCUUGUAUUCACCUUGAUUGUCGGCCUUCACUAAGGACUUAUAGUUAUACAAGUCAAGAGCAAAAAGAUAUGUCCCCUAAUAUCACUUUGGGUGAUGAGUCCUUUCUGAACCAUUCCAUCACCUUCAUAUGUCAUACCAUACCUAAAACAUUCUACUUUCAACAUCUAUCAAUGCGAAUCCAUUUGGUGAUGAAUCAAAGUAUGACGGUCAACAUACAAGUUUGUGUCUUAAGUCUAAGGAUCAUUUACACUACCAAUACAUGGGAGUAUUUCUAUAAACAUUUGAGUGAAAUACCAAAUGGAACUCUCAUAAUAGGCCAAGUUAUAUUUUAUAAUUUUUUCGAACUUUUUAAAAUCAUUAAUAUUUUAUUUUUUAUAUUUGUAAUACAAUAAUUUUAUAAUUUUUUUAUAACUUUUACAUUUUAAAAAUAUUUUAAUAACUUGAACAUCAAUAUAUACUUCCACACGGCAUGUCACAUGUCAACUUGCCAUAGCUUCCGUCAACUAAUCAACAACCAAUAUUGAUAAAAUCAGUCAACAACAAUUUUCGUUAUUGAAAAGAGCCAAUUGAUUUUUUUCCAUUGAAUCCUCAAUUGGGUCUGUUUUUCUAUUAUGAGCUUAAUUAAUUUUUAACUUUUUAUUAAGUUGUUUUUCCUUUAACCUUAUAUUAAUAUUCAUUACUUUAUUAAAAAAAACUUACUUUUAGGUAAUUUUUCCAACCAAAAUGAUAUCAAAUUAACUCGUAACAUAAAUUCAAUAAAAUAUAUUAUAUAAACAUAUACAUAAAUUCAUUAAAACCUGUCAAUAGUGAAAACACCAUUAAUUUGUCUGAAGUCUCUACUUUUGGGAUCUUAAUGGGGGAGAAAAUUUUUAGAUAGAAACUGAAUACGAUAUAUAAAGUAAAUGCCACGUUAAAAGCUCAGUUCUUUGGAAAAUAAAUUCCAUCACGACUGAACCAAAAAUUCCCUUGUGUCAUAAUCUUUUGUGGAAAAUUAGGCACAUAAUGGAAAAGUAUAUCCACAAAAUGAUAGAAAAAGGCUUUGGGCCACAAUUAAAUCAACAUCUUUAAAUUGUUAAAUCAAAUUAAAGAUGGAAUCGUCGUUGUCAUGGGAUCCACACGGGGUGUACGUAUAAUGAAUUUCCCAUGUUUUUUGCAUGAAACUUUUGAUUCAAUGAGAAAGGAAAUAUUUUCAAAAUCAUGCAGCUUCGGAUUCUAAUUAAGCUUAUUUUUUUCCAAGCAAUUGCAAAGAUUUGUUUCGACAACAAAUAAUAAUCGGAUAAAAGUGUAAUUAUUAAAUAGUAAUUACAAAAGAUUUAUAAUUACAAAAUUAGAUCGUAAUUUUCUAUAUCAUAUUUCGUAGUACAAAUUGUAAAUUAUAAUUAUAAUUACAUAGUUACUUAAUAUAUUUUUUUAAAAUAUUAAUUACUAUAAUAAAUUAUCAGUAAAAUUAAAAAAUUUCUAAACAAGUAACAAAAAUUAAAAUAAAAUCAUCAUAUUUAAUAUGUUAGCCCAAGAAACUAAUCGAUAAUGAUUACUAAUAAAAUUAUAAGAAAAAUGAUUUAUUUUAGGUUAUAACAAAUAUAUAUUUUUUUUUUGAACAAUGAGAUUUGAACCUAAGCAAUUCCUUGGAAAGAUGAAUACUCGACCAAUAGACUACAACUUAAAGUUUUUUAGAAUAUUAUAACCAUUUUUAUAAUUCAUGAAUUAGGUUAAAAUAGUAUAAAAUUUUAAUAUAUAACAAUUAUAAAAAAAUUAUAAAGUGUCCAAUAACUUCCAAAACACUUCUUAUAAAUAAUAUUUUUUUAUCUUUUUUUUUUUAAAUAAGUCAUGGCAAAAAAUUAUAAUUGUUUAUAAAUAAAUAUUAUUUUCUAUAACAUAUAGUAUAGACACAUAAGUAAGUUAUAUUUAAAUUUUUUGACCAUAACUUUUUUAUAAGUAAGUAUGUAGUACACUUUUUAUAAAACAUAAAUUAUUUUUAUAAUAUACUUUUGGCCUAUAACUUUAGAAACUUUUUAGGAUUUAAAUAAUAUAAUUCUUGUCAUAACUUUAUAAAAUAUUAAAAAUAUAUAAUAGUAAUUUUUAGAACUUAUAAUAUGAUUUUAGAAAUUUUUAUUCAUAAUCAUCCUAAACACGUAUGCGUAUUUAUGUUUAUAAAAUAAUUUUUUAACUUAAAUUUGUAUAAAAAAUAUUUUUUAAAGUUAAAUUAUGUAUGAAUUUUCCGUGAGAAAUUAAUAUAUCGGGAAACAUGCGUUGACAUAUACUUUUGAUAAAUUCAAAUCAGGAGGUAUCAUAAUUAUCAAGAAAUAUGGACCAUAGGAACAGCAAAGAUUCAAUCCUAUAAUAUAGUAUUUGCAUUAUUGAUACUAAACAUAGAAAUUCCAUGAAGAAGAAAGCAUUGCGCAUGAUGAAUUAAGUUCCAUGACAAGGACUAAAACAAUGACGAUAACUUGCCCCUACAACUAUUGCAACAAGAGCUUGAAUCCUUUGAUGAGUUCCUUUAAAUUCAUCGUUUGGAAACCAUAACAUAUAUGCUACCACUAAAUACUUACCAGAUUAAACAAUGGCCUCAUCCCUAACCAUUUCUGUUAUUCUAGGGGUACUGUGGGCUGCCAUCCUUCUUUCCUUUGCUACAACUGUAACAGCAGCAUAUCCAUCGCCAUUGGAGUCCGAAGCCAUAGCUCUGCUAGAAAGCAGGUGGUGGAGUAACCAUAGCAGCAAUACUUCACAACGUUGCCAGUGGCCUGGUAUAACCUGCAACACUGCUGAAAGCAUCACCAAAAUUAACUUAUCUGAUGCGCCCAACAUUGAGGUUGGAGAUAGAUUUGGGAAACUGAAUUUCUCUUCAUUUCCAAAUCUUGUCCUUCUUGAUCUUAGUGACCAUCAACUUAGAGGAAAAAUCCCGCAUCAGAUAGGUGAUCUAUCAGCAUUGAAGUACCUUGACUUGUCUUAUUGUGGUUUAUCUGGUGAGUUACCUCCUUCUCUAGGGAAGCUGACCCAAUUAGAAUUCCUCGACAUUUCCUAUAAUGAUAAUAUUAAUGGUUCCAUCCCUCCACAAUUGGGGAAUCUAGAGAACCUUGUGACUUUAAACUUAAGUCAAUGUGGAAUUGUUGGUCCAAUCCCUUCUGCUUUGGGUCAAUUAACCAGUCUCCAAUCUCUGAUCCUUUGGGGGAACCAAAUCAAUGGAUCUAUCCCAUUAGAAAUUGGAUAUUUGAGAAAUUUGACUUAUUUGAGUCUCUCCAACAAUAGAAUUGUUGGUCCAAUCCCUUCUGCUUUGGGUCAAUUAACCAGUCUCCAAUCUCUGAUCCUUUGGGGGAACCAAAUCAAUGGAUCUAUCCCAUUCGAAAUUGGAUAUUUGAGAAAUUUGACUUAUUUGAGUCUCUCCAAGAAUAGAAUUGUUGGUCGAAUCCCUUCUGCUUUGGGUCAAUUAACCAGUCUCCAAUCUCUGAUCCUUUCGGGGAACCAAAUCAAUGGAUCUAUCCCAUUAGAAAUUGGAUAUUUGAGAAAUUUGACUGAUUUGAGUCUCUCCAGCAAUGGAAUUGUUGGUCCAAUCCCUUCUGCUUUGGGUCAAUUAACCAGUCUCCAAUCUCUGAGCCUUUCGGGGAACCAAAUCAAUGGAUCUAUCCCAUUAGAAAUUGGAUAUUUAAGAAAUCUGACUUUUUUGGGUCUCUACAACAAUAGACUUGUCGAUUCAAUACCCAUUACUCUGUACCAAUUAACCAAUUUGGAAAUUUUGUACCUUGAUAAUAACCAACUUCAAGGUUCUAUUCCCCAAGAAAUUUGUAAUCUAGCAAAUUUAACUUCAUUGUACCUCUCCCAAAACAAAUUGACUGGUUCAAUCCCUUCUUGUGUUGGUAGUUUAUCAAAGAUGCAGGACUUAGCCCUUGGUUCUAAUCUAUUAAAAGGUCCUAUUCCCCAAGAAAUUUGUAAUCUAGCAAAUUUAACUUCAUUGGCCCUCUCCCAAAACAAAUUGAGUGGUUCCAUCCCUUCUUGUGUUGGUAGUUUAUCAAAGAUGUGGUACUUAAGCCUUGAUUCUAAUCUAUUAAAAGGUUCUAUCCCAAAAGAUAUUGGCAAGCUUUUUGAUCUAUCAUAUCUAAACCUUAGCUUCAACCAACUCUCAGGUCCUAUCCCUAUCUUGUAUGCUACUGAUCUCUACAUUGUCGACGCUGGAAAUGGUUGUAACAAGAUUUCUCCCGAUCCAUUUGAAGGCAAUAGUGAUUUAUCACCCUAUAUGUGUCCUACUCCAGUAACCAAAAAAGCCAACAGCAGCAGAAUUCCUUACUAUAUCAAAAUAUUCCUCCCUAUUGCGAUCUUAUUCACAUUCUCCAUUUUAGGAUGUUUGCUAUUUUCACGGUUUAAGCUCAAGAAUAACCAUGUCAGCGUACAACCAACCAAGAAUGGGGAUUUGUGUUCCAUAUGGAACUAUGAUGGAAAGAUAGCAUACGAGGAUAUCGUUGCAGCAACAGAGGAUUUCGACUUCCGAUACUGUAUUGGAGUUGGUGGUUAUGGUAGUGUUUACAAAGCAAAACUCCCUUGUGGUAAAGUAGUUGCUUUGAAGAAACUUCAUCAUUUAGAAGCCGAAAAUCCAACUUUUGACAAGAGUUUCAGGAACGAGAUCAAGUUUCUAUCAGAAAUACGACAUCGAAACAUAGUGAAGCUUCAUGGGUUUUGUCUACACCGACGAUCCAUGUUUUUGAUCUAUGAAUACAUGGAAAAAGGGAGUUUGUUCUGCAACCUAAGGGAUGAAGUGAAUGCUGUGGAAAUGGAUUGGACGAGAAGAGUAGAGAUCAUCAAAGGCAUAGCACAUGCUUUGUCUUACUUGCACCAUGAUUGCUGCCCUCCGAUAGUUCAUCGAGACAUAUCAAGUAACAAUGUUCUUUUAAACUCAAGUUUUGAGGCAUUUGUGGCCGACUUUGGAACAGCUAGAAUGUUGGAUCUUGAUUCAUCCAAUCAGACCAUUAUUGUCGGAACUUGUGGCUACGUAGCUCCAGGUGGCGUUUUCUUUUUUACUUGAUUUACUGAACUUUUCUCUGAACAUAUAAUUGAAUUUCUUCUUACUAAUUUGUGUAUGUAGAACUUGCUUAUACAAUGAUUGUCACCGAAAAAUGCGAUGUUUAUAGUUUUGGAGUGGUAGCACUGGAAACAUUAAUGGGAAAGCAUCCUGAAGAAGUGUUAUCAUGGUUGUCAUCACCAACUUCUUUGGUGAACAUGAAGCUGGUUGAUGUGUUAGACAACCGUUUACCACUUCCAACAAGCCAACUAGUUACACAAAAUCUUGUUCAUGUUGCUACACUGGCAUUCGCUUGCUUAAAUCCACAAACGAAGUCCCGACCAACAAUGAAGGAAGUGUGUGAAGAGUUCCUUUCUCGCCAUACAUCCUUGGGAAUUCCUCUUCGGAUGAUCUCUUUGUUACAACUCAUGAACCGUGAAAUGCAUAUUGGAGGCAAAACUAAAACUUGUGAUGUUUAAAGUCCAUGCGCUUGUUGAUUAGAUAUUGUUUAUCAUGCUCUGAUAAUUUGUUUGUGAACCAUCUCUGGUUUUAUAUAUAUGAUGGAAUGAAUUGCAAUGUUUAAUAAAACUGUUUAUCCAGUUGCUUUAGAAGACAUAAAUUCUGGAAUUUGAUCAAAAUAUUAAGACAUCAUCGCUGGCUGCUUCCUUGAAUUUUGUGCUUCUUUCAAACCAACUCAGAUAAAUAACAUAUAAGUAAAUUAAGGGUGAAUCAAAGCAACAAAAUGCAAUCAAUACAUACAUCAAGAAUUCACCUCAACUAUCUAUAAUUCAUGAAACAAUCUCUCAACUUAUAAAAUGUAAGUGAGAUUCCACAGACCUGAUAUCCAAACUCAAAAGCAAUAAAAGGCGUCAUCAAAACCCUGGCAAGUGAAGACGACAUUCUUUUCAAGCAAGGUAGCGAUACAACUUCCUGUCACCUUUAUCCCUCUACAGGAACUCACAUUAGUAUACAUUUUUAUUUAACAUAUUAUAUAAAUUACACCUUAUAAAUAGAAAAAACAAAUGAAACUCUGACUAUUACAUAUAUAUAAUAAUAUACUGCAUAUUUCCUAAAAAAGGAUAAUAUACCGCACAUGUUACAACGCAUUUUCAAAAAAAGAAAAAGAAAUGUGACCAUGAUAUAUAAUUUAUAGGACAAACAAAGGUACUCAUAUUUUAUAGUUCAUCAUUUUUAAUGUUUGGGACUAUAGUCGGCCAUCACGAUUUGGUCGGCAACAAGUGAAUAUAUUAUGGAUAAACUAUUAUAGAGUUUACAAAAUUACAACUUUUUAGUCUGUAAAUUAUAAAAAGUUAUAAAAUAGCCAUUUAAUUAUUAUUAAAUUACACUUUAUAAAUGAUAAACAAAUAAAACUCCAAAUAUUACAUAUUUAAUAAUGUAAGCACAUUGUAAUAGGCCAAUUUUGGCCUGGCCCAAUAUUAACUAAAUUAAAAAAGAAACCAAAUAUAAAAAUUAAUAAUUGUCCAAUAACAGUCCAGAGUUACAAUGGCCCAAUUAACCCAAGAUCAAACAGCAGCCCAAAACCCCUAGCCCAAUUACAACUAGCCCAAAACCAAUAGCAAAAGAAAGACCAGAAAACCCUAGCAGAGACCAACAGCCGUCGUCGUUCCCCAUGCGCGCAACGCCUCCACGCUCCUCUAGCUGGCUGUACCUGCAAAACAAACGAAACCAACAAGGACAGCAAGGAAAGGCAAUAACAAAAAAAGAUCUAGCAAAUGAAAAAGAAGAAUAACAGAAAAUGAGAUUUUUCUUUCUUGUAAUUUUAUUUUUUGUUUUUAUCAGCUAUAUAAGGCCGAAUAAUCUGUAAAAAAGGGGGAGGAAAUUAAAAAAAGCAGUAAAAAAUCAAUCACAAUUUUUGAAAGUGAUCUAAAUUUCUUUUUUUCAUUUAAUUUCUUUGCUAUUUUCCUUAGUUUUUUUUCGUUGAUGGUUGCUUACUGUUUCAGAAAAGAAACACAAAAAAGGGAGAGGGUUUACCUUAGUGUCGGCGCCGAUUGGAUCUUUAUUUACUUCGUCGCAAUCGAAGCUCAAGCGAGGGUUGUAAAGCUAAAGGUAGCAAAUUUUAUUCCCCUGGCAUCGCAGUAGAUUAAAGCUGAAGGUAGCAAAUCUUAUUUCCCUAGAGUCGCAGUAGAUUAAAGCUGAAGGCAGCGAAUCUCAUUUCCUUGGCGUUGCAGUGGAACAGAUUAAAGCUGAAGGCAGCAAAUCUUAUUUCCCUGGCGUCGCAGUAGAUUAAAGCUGAAGGCAGCGAAUCUCAUUUCCUUGGCAUUGCGGUGGAACAGAUUAAAGCUGAAGGCAGCAAAUCUUAUUUCCCUAGCGUCGCAGUAGAUUAAAGCUGAAGGCAGCGAAUCUCAUUUCCUUAGUGUUGCAGUGGAACAGAUUAAAGCCGAAGGCAGCAAAUCUUAUUUCUCUAGCGUCACAGUAGAUUAAAGCUGAAGGCAACGAAUCUCAUUUCCUUAGUGUUGCAGUGGAACAGAUUAAAGCUGAAGGCAGCGAAUCUUAUUUCCCUCGCGUCGCAGUAGAUUAAAGCUAAAGGCAGCGAAUCUCAUUUCCUUGGCGUUGCAGUGGAACAGAUUAAAGCUGAAGGCAGUGAAUCUCAAUUCCUUGGCGUUGCAGUGGAACAGAUUAAAGCUGAAGACAGCGAAUCUUAUUUCCUUGGCAUUGCAGUGGAACAUAUUAAAGUUGAAGGCAGCUAAUCUUAUUUCCUUGGUGUUGCAGUAGAUUAAAGUUAAAGGUAGAGAAUCUUAUUUCCUUGGCGUUGCAGUGGAACAGAUUAAAGCUGAAGGCAGCGAAUCUUAUUUCCCUGGUGUCACAGUAGAUUAAAGCUGAAGGCAGCGAAUCUUAUUUCCCUAGCAUCACAGUGAGAUGGUUUGAAGUUAUCAUGGCAGAUCUUAUCUCCCUGAAGUUGCAAUGGAGCAGAUUAAAGCCACAAAACUUAUCCCCCCGACGUUGCAGUGAGGCAGGUUGAAGAGACAAAUCUUAUCUUCCUGAAGUUACAGUGAAGCAGAUUGAAGCCACCAGUCUUGUUUCCUUGAAGUUGCAGUGGAGCAGACUAAAACCACAAAUCUCGUCCCCUUUGAAAUCGCAACAGGGUAGAUUGAAGCUAUGAGCCGUAUAUAAAGUUACAGUAGAGUGGAUCGAAGCAACAAGAUGCAGUGGGCUGGAAUUAGGCUACUUGAAGAAGAGAAGCACUAAGAGAGGUGAAGACUCGGCAAGACUAGGCAAAAUUGUCCCUUUUUAAGUCUUUGCUCCUAUUUUUGUUACACGACAACGAACAAAGAGGCGCAACUGUAAUAGGCCAAUUUUGGCCUUGCCCAAUAUUAACCAAAUUAAAAAAGAAACCAAAUAUAAAAAUUAAUAAUUGUCCAAUAGCAGCCCAAAACCCCUAGCCCAAAACCAAUAGCAAAAGAAAGACCAGAAAACCCUAGCAGUAGACCAGCAGCCGCCGUCGUUCCCUACGCGCGCAACGCCUCCACGCGCCUCCAGCUGGCUGUACCUGCAAAACAAACGAAACCAACAAGGAUAGCAAGGAAAGGCAAUAACAAAAAAAGAGCUAGCAAAUGAAAAAUGAGAAUAACAGAAAAUGAGAUUUUUCUUUCUUGUAAUUUUAUUUUUUGUUUUUAUCGGGUAUAUAAGGCUGAAUAAUCUGUAAAAAAAAAGGAUAGGAAAUUUAAAAAGCAGUAAAAAAUCAAUCACAAUUUUUGAAAGUGAUCUAUAUUUCCUUUUUUUUCAUUUAAUUUCUUUGCUAUUCUCCUUAGUUUUUUUUUUCGUUGAUGCUUGCUUACUGUUUAAGAAAAGAAACACAAAAAAGGGCGAGGGUUUACCUUAGUGUCGGCGUCGAUUGGAUCCUUGUUCGCUUCGUCGUAAUUGAAGCUCAAGCGAGGGUUGUAAGGUCGAAGAUCGGCGGAGCUUUCAGCGGCGUGGGAAUGGGUUCAAAAACCCUAGUAGAGGAAAAAGGGGAUAAUAGUUUUUUUUAAAGAAUGACAGAAAGUAGUUUUUUUAAAAAAAAAUUGUUGAUUUUAUAUUAGGUAUGAAAUGUCGUCAUUUAAGGCCUGUUUCAGUGGCCUCAAAACGGUGCCGUAUAAGGCCAUGACCCGCGCGGUAACCCGACCUGAAGGAAGGAUCCACGUGUUUUUUAUUUAUGGGUAAUUUGCACCUCUGGUCCCGUUGCAUUUUUAUUUAUUUUAAUUCAGUUGUUUUCAUUUUUUCAAUUGAUACUGUAAAUUUUAUUCGGUUUCUGAUUCGGUCCUGAUGAAAUGGCGCGUUUCAGAGGGCGAGAAUAUUUCCCCAUCCAGUCCCUCUGAGUUAUUCGUGCCUUUCAAUUGGGCCCUUCAUUUUGUUUUAUUUUCGUUUUUUCCUUUUAAUUCAGUUUUGAGUUUAAUUUAAUCCAUACUUAUUUAAUUUAAUGUACUUGAUUUUUAUUCUGUUUAAAAUCUAUUUUUCUAUUAUUUUUAGAUAUAUUUAUUUUUAAAUCUAACUUUCUUUUUAUGUUUAAGUUUAAUAUAUUUUUAAGUUUAUUAUCAAUAUUAUAAUAUAUUAUUAUUCUAAAUUUAUCAUUAACAUUAUUUUAGGUGUAUCAUGUAUUUUUUAUUUAAAUUUAUCAUGUAUUAUCUUAUGCAUUCUUGUUGCAAUUUCAAUAUAAUUUAUACAUUUUUUUACGGUUUUAUUUUAUAAUACAUUUUUAAUUUCACUUAUAUAUUUCUUUGCUUUAAAGAUUAAUACAAUAAUACUCUUACAUAAUAUUUUUUAUUCAUAUAUAUAAUUUGUAUUAAACUAUUUUUAUUAUACAUAUAUAUAUACACAAAAUAUAUCAUCGAUUUCAUAUUAUUAUAUAUCUUAUCUAUUUCAUAUAUUUUAUUUCUUUCAAAACCCUACUCUAUUAUAUACUUGGUUUAUAUCAACUUUUUAUACAUACUAUUAUACAUAUAUUAUUAUAUGAAAUUUUUCAAUCCAUAUGUAAUAUUUAUUUAAAUUAAUAUAUAUAUUUUAUGCGUUUUGGAUUUCUUCUUAUACAAUAUUCACUUUAAAAUUCAUUUAGAUAUUAUUAUUCCAUAUAGUAUUCAUAUUUAAUUCUAUUUUUAAACUAUUUCAAGUCUUCACAUUAAUUACUUCUUUUUAAAUUUUUAUAUAUGUAAUUUUGUGUAUAUACAUUGAAAAUUUCAAAUUUCUUUUCUCUUUUUUUUUAGCUAUUUUAAAAUAGUUACAUUUUAUUUGUGAUAGGCUUUUAGGUCAUUAACUUUUAAAUAUUGGUGUUAAUAUUUACAUGUGAUGUGAGAUUAUUGUUAUUAUGUACAUUGUAUUGCUUGUUUAUAUUGAUAGAUUAUUCGUGUUCAUUUGUACGUAUUUUGGCUUACUAAUUAUUCUUUCGAGUUAUACAUUGUCAUCCCAUUGUGUUUUAUUUGUCAAAAAUUUCAUUUCAUUUAAACAUUGAAAUCAUUUUAUUCAAAAGUUUCCAAAAUAAUGCAAUACUCGAUCUUUGGAACUUCGAGAAAUCGUACCCUAACUUACGGGGUUUUGAUUUCCUCGUCGAACUAAAACGACCAAACAUUUUAGUUUUCAAAUACACAAAGUUUCAAUAAAAAUUUUUAAAGGUUAUCUUAUACUCGGGAAAUCCAACAUUGCUUCCUAACUUACGGGAUACGAUAUUUGGUUGCCCCGGGGUGAGAAGGCCUUUUAUACAUUCGUUCAAAUCUAUCCAAGAAUUAUUUUAAAAUAUGGCAUUAAUAAAAAGGGGAAAUCGUUUUUAAUCUCUUCGAAUUUUCAACAUUCGACUUUAAGACAUUAAAUAAUCAAUUUGGUACCAAUUUUGGGCGUUACGAGGGUGCUGAUCCUUCUUUGUAAGUAACUAACUCCCGAACCCAUUUUUACUGAAACUCUUAAACCAAAAUCAUUUUUAAGGUGAUCCGAUCACACCUCAAUAAAAGAUCGGUGGCGACUCCAAUUUUCAUUUUUUUUAAGUCGACACUAUUUUUAUUUUCAAAAAGUGGUUUCGACAGCUUGGCGACUCCGCUGGGGACUGGUUUUGAGAGUCAAGCCACAAAUUGAUUAAUUUUUGUCUUUUUGUCGAAAAAUCAAAUUUUGUUCUCAAUUCACAAUUUCCCUUUUUGCAUUUCAUCCAUUAUUUUCAUGGUUAAUCAUAGUGCGUUUGCUUGGUUGAUCCAAUUUUGUUAAUGUAUAUCUGCAUUUUGCAUUACAUAAGUUGGUCAAUUUUACCCUUCUUAAGUGGGAGUGAGAAGCUAUUCCUUCGUGAGGUCUUCACCUUCGUGCAGGAUAGUGGAUCACUUUCGAGAUACAUCCGUACCUAUGUCUUCGUGAGAUUUUCAUCUCCGUGCAGCCAUAGGGAAAUGAAUUCCCCUGAACUGAACUCAGCCCAUAUGAGGCUAUAAUGGGUGAGGAUCAAGGAAUCUGCUGGUUCAGGUACCUUUACUUUAGAACCAAACCACAUAUAGUGAACCAUAAGAGCCUACCCUAGGUAAGACCACGCCAAACCGCUAGUGGUCACUCGAAUAGGUGCUCUAUUUAUUUCUUGCUUGCUUUUUCUUGGCACUAACUUGUUUCGUUUUGUUCUGGUUAUGAUUGCAUUGCAUUUUCAUCAUAGAAAAGAGGUGUUGAUUCACCUUCAAUUGCUAAAUAGAGAGCUUGUCAUGGAAAAUGAAUUUUUUGAUAAAGUGGAAAAUAAUACGACUGGCCGAAUAUGUUCUGAGAAAACACAACAAGAGAAGGAUGAUAGCCUAACGGAGGAGUACACGACUUUUUUUCGUUUCCCGAGGAUUCAAGUUGACAAAGAUUAUUCGAGAGUCGUCAGCAUCCCAACAUUUUUUAAAUAAGCUAACAAGCAUCACGAGGACGAGUGAGUGAUGAGUCGCGGCCCAAAUCAAGCAAAAAAGAGCUAGUAUAGACAAUCAUUGGAAAAUUCACGAGAUUUAUCUUAACAUCCGGAUGAAGAAAAGGAUCAAUGUCUUCACCUGGAGUGUGAGGGAAAAGCCGUAUAUAUAUCCGCUUUAUGUAAAGAGAUUUGUUUUCUAGUAAAGUUAUUCUAAUAGAAUUGAAUCAGAAUCAACGUCUCUUUUUUGCAUUCAUUGCAUGCAUUUGCAUUACAUUACAUCAUAUACAUUAAAGUACACCAAAAGAUCCUAAUUGAUUAAAAUUAUUUCAGUUGAUCUGGAAAUCAACAAAAACCUACCAACCAAACAUCAUUACUGUACCUGAGUAAAAGGAAUGGACCAAAUGUUGGAGAGAUUAGAGCAAAGGCAAAUACAGAUGCAAGAACAAUUAACCAAAUUUUAACAAGAUAUGAAGGAUCAGAUGUUAGAGUUCCAAAGAAGUAUGAUAAGCCUGUUAACCCAGUUAUUGGAUAAAGGGUUAGAAAAAGGAAAAAAUCAGGUGGUCCACUUUAGGGAUGAUUGUGAAGACCCUGUUUCUUCUCCAGGCUUUACACCAACAAGCAUCCAGACACAACCAAAUGGGUAUCCAUAAAAGGUGUCUGUUAACAUUAGACCCCAAUACUAGACCGGUACCUCGACACUAAUGAAUUACCCGACAGGCUCAAAUUCCAAUAUGAGAGACAAUCUAACCAAUCCUGUGGUCCAUGAUGAUCUAGCUAAAACAAAACAGGUGAGAGUGGAGUUCCCAAAGCAAUUUGAAGAUCGUUACAAACAGAAAAGGCAAGAGUGGAGUUUCCAACUCAAUACUUUAAAGGCUCCGGGGAAUAGGAAGAAUGAAGUGAAUAACGCAAGCAUGUAUAACAGGGGAUACACAAAACCAAUUACUGUAGGCCAGCCAAAAAUAGUAACCGCUAGCCAUCAGGGCCUUUCAAGGCAAGAAUCUUACACGAGGACAAAUACAGAAAACGCCUAUACUAAUGACGUAUAGAGAGCUAUAUCAAAACAUGUUUGAAGCACAUAUAGUAUCGCCUUUCUACUUGAAACCAAUGCAGCCCCCAUUUCCUACAGGGUACGACACAAAUGCCCAGUGCAAAUACCAUGUAGGAAUCAUGGGGCAUUCGAUAGAAAACUGCACCGCUUUCAAAAAGCUAGUUGAAAGGCUCAUCAAUAUGGGUAUUGUCAAGUUCAAUGACUCAUCUAUUCCGCUACCCAAUCAUAUUGAUAAUAGGGUAAACACGAUGAGUUAAGAUAUUGGGAGAAGAAUCAAGAUAGACAUUGUAGAAGUAAAAACUCUAUUGAGUUGGGUCUAGAAGGAGAUGGCAAGAAGGGGAUUAGUCAUUUCGGAUUUAGGAGGAGGCCACGGAAAGACAAUGAACUAUUGUGAGUUCUAUCAUGAGAAGGGGCAUGAGAUCCAAGAGUGCGUGGAAUUCAGGGCUUUGGUUCAAGGCAUGAUGGACAAUAAAGAGAUGGAGUUCUGUGAGAAAAUUAUAGAAGAGAGAAGCCUAUGCAUAAUGUUGGGAAGUGUUCACAUCAAUGUCGUAUAUGAGGACACAACUGAAAAGGGGACCUUGUUAGAUAUCCGUCCUUAUAAACCUGGGAGUGUUUUAAAUAAUUGGACUGCGAAAGAAAUUCCUGUAGUUUUAGAGCUUACUCAGAGUAAUGUUCAGAACACACUUGUUACUUUUAGCCUAGAAGUGAUAAGAAUCCCUUUGUGAAAUAGGCUCAUGUCUGAACGUCAUUAUUUUAAUAAAAUACAUUUUUGCAUUUUGAGAAAAUAUUCUUUUACUCUUUUCAUAUGAAUAAUUAUUCUUUCAUUCUUUUAGAGAUUUUCUUCCAAUUCAUUCUUUCAUUUCAUUCAUAAUCGUAUUGUACAAAUAAUAAUUCUUAAAUUCACACAUUCUUUGAAUAUUUUUUGUACCUACAAUAGGUCCUUGGAUAUCAACGAAUGAGUGACACUGCUAUAGGCUCAGAAUUUCCUUUUAAACAAGACAUGUGUUUAGAGGGAUCUCAUAACUUUGAAAAUGACGUAGAUUGUAGCCUAUCUCCGAACUUGUUGAGGAUGGUAGAGCAGGAAGAGAAACAAAUUUUACCCUAUGAGGAGACAAUGGAGAUUGUGACCUUGGUGGAGGGAAAAGUAGUAAAAAUUAGAACAUGCAUAACCGAAGAAACGAAGCAAGACCUUGCUGAGUUACUUCAAGAGUUCAAAGAUGUCUUCGCAUGGUCAUACCAGGAUAUGCUCGGGUUAAGCACUGACAUUGUAAUCUGAACAACAGCACGAUGUCAGAAAUUUGCAAUAUGUUCAAGACUAACAUCAUAAACGAUGCAGUGGAGAAAACCUCUACCGGAGCAACGCCUUUCUCUUUGGCUUCUCACCAUUUUGCCCAUUGAAAUCGAGUUUUCAUCUCUUCAAGUUUUUGUUAGAUUUUAUCCCUAUUGAAGAGGAAGAUCCAAAGUUUUUCGUCAUAGUCAGAUGUACCAAAAAAAAUUUCGCCCCAGAAAGCUCUAUGAGAGAAACCUGAUAUCAAAGAAGAUCCUUUGCAUACAAAAGGAUUUCAUAAGAAAGUGAAUGUUAAGAUGGGAAGGAUCUUGUGUAGAAGAUUUUAUCUAGAAAAACAUUGAUUCUGAUCGAAAAGGAUAACAAGGACUUGCCUAAUCCUAUGAGUUCAGAUCCAAUCAAAAAAUAUUUUAAAAAACUUAAAAAAAUAAAAAAUAUUUCAAGAAUAAAAUGAAAAUAAAAAUGAUAAAAAAAGAAAAAAGGAAAAAGGAAAAGGAAAAGGAAAGGCCAAAGUGAAAACCCGCAAAGGGCGCUUUGAUAUCAAAGGGGAUUUGAGUUGAAAACCCGAAAAGGGUGGCUCAAAUUUUAAGAUAAGUGAGGCAUGGAUGUCACCGGGCUAAUAUCCCCGAAGGCUUCUGUACAGCCCAAAUUUUGCCCGGGCCCAACAAGUAGAGACCAAAAUACCAUCAGACCCAAUUAAAUUAAACCACCCCAAACUAAACCUAGCCCAAACCAACCCAAAAAUAAACUCAAUAAGAAUAGUCCAUUUUACAAAAAUAAAAACCAAUACAAACCCUAAGCCCAAAUUAAAAUACCAUCCCACUACCAAACUAAAACCCUAGCAGCCCUUACUGCCCAUGUGCGCUGUUCAGCCACCUCGCACGCCCCUUGCCUACUGCCGCUACUUGCCUAUCGCCUUAUCCGCAUGCUCUAACAUCUCUGCCAUCUACAAUACACAAGAAGAAGAAAACAAAAAGGACAAAACAACAGACAAACAAAUCGAAAGAAAACAAAGAAAAUGGAAAAAUAGUUUUGUAUUUUGGUUAUAAAGCCAAAAUGAGAGGCUUGUUAAGAUUCUUCUUCCUUUUACGAACACAAGAGAAAUAAAAAAAGUAAUAUUUCAAUGUGAUAUAUAUUUUUUUUGUUGUUUUAGAUCUAGUGCUUUAUUUUUAUUUCUUUUUAUCUACGAAAAUAAAAAAAGAAAAAUGAAGAAAAAAUGCACCUGGAUUCACACCCGAGCCCCAUCACCGGAAACCUUUUCCCUUGGCGCUGAAAUCGGGCCGAGAGGGGUGUAAGGGGUCUCUAUUUUUGGUUUCUUUCUUAAAAAAGGGCCCUGGCCUUCGAAUGGGAUUCAAAUUCGGGGUUAAAACUCCCUUUUACGCCACGUCGGCCACCGACCAUGGUGGCGCUAUGGCGGAGGCGCGCCAGAACCCUAGGCCAGAUCAUGGCCGGAGAAGGCAAUGGAGGCACAGAGGGAGAGAGUUUUCUAAUUUUUUUGUAAAAAUGGGAGAGAGGAAGUGAUUUUUUUUUAGGUAUUUUGGUUUAUAUAAGGUACCAAAAUGGUACCGUUUUGGGAAGGGCCAUUAAUGACCAAAAUGGCGCCGUUUUGGGCUAACCGACCCGAUCUGACUCGCUCCGGAAGGAGGAUCCGCGCGUUUUAGCCUUAAGGGGUUAUUUGCACGAGAAGUCCCUCCGCUUUUGCAGCAAAGUGUAAUCCGAUCCUUUUUUAUUAUUUUCUGAUUUGGGCCGCAAACUUUGCUUCUGCUUCAAUUUGGUCCAUAGACCAUGCGCAGAUGUUGUCCCCUGCAACGGCGUCGUUCAAAUAGCAUGGGAAUAUUUCCCUUUCGACCCUGUAUCUCUGGGUGCGUUUAGUUCAGGCCCCAAUUGUCUUUUUAUUUAAAUUCUGUCAUUUAAUUUUGUUUUAAUUUCAAUCUGGUCCUGGGUCCAUUUAAUUUAUUUGUUUAUUAUUAUUAGUAUUUUUUUAAACAAAAACUCUUUUAUUAUUAUCUGUUUUAAGUUUUUAUUUAUUUAUUAUUUAUUGUAAACUAUUAUAUAUAUACAUAUAUAUAUCUUUUAAAUUUUCGUAUGUAUGUAUAUAUUAUUUGAAACUAUUUGUACUUAUUUUUUUAUAUAUAAUAUUAUUUAUUUUAAAAUGUUCUAUAUUUAUUUAUUUUAAGUUUUCUGGUAUAUUUUUUAUUCGAAACUUUUAUUAUUUAUUGUUCUUAUAAAUCAUUCAUGUUAAAUUAUUAUUUACUUUAGAUUGUUAUAUAUAUUGUCUUGUUUUAUAUUCCUUUGGUUAUUAAUGUUGGUAUUAAAAUUAGAUAUAUUGUGUGCUCAUUUCCAUUGUGUGCACUAUAAUUUGCUUAUUCGUAUCCUCAUAUAUUUGUCAUGCAUUAAUGUAUCAUUUUAUUCAUAAAUUGUUAUGCCAUGUUCCAUUAUCGCUCAAUUUCAUUUCAUCACUUCAAAAGUUGCGCUCAAUUUGUAUACCUCAAUAAUAAACCGAUCUAUUUUAUCACGAACAAAACAAAUACACCUCGUUCAAGUGUUGCACUCGUCAUCAUUCAAAUCCAAGAAGAGUUUUAAAAUAAGGCAAUAUUUUGUGUUUGGAAAUUCGAGAAAACGUGCCCUAACGUGUUGGGUUUCGAUUCCUCGCUCUACCAAAUAGCCAAAUAUCCUUUUAAAAUUUCAAAGUAAGGCAAUAUUUUGCAUUUGGGAAAUUUGAGAAGACGUGCCCUAACGUGCUGGGUUUCGAUUUCUCGUUUAACCUAAAUAGCAAAAUAUCCUUUUAAACCAUGGCUCUUGAAUAAGCAAGAUUUCAUGUUCAGAUUCGAGAGAAAUCGUACCCUAACUUACGGGGUUUCGAUUUUCCUCGACGAGUCUAAAUUACCAAUAAUUUUAAAUCAAAGCACAAGUUAAAUAAAAACUUAUCCUCGGGAGUUCAAAAAUGUCGUGUCCUAACUCAUUGGAUGUAACAUUUUGUUAUAUCAAGGUAAGGAUUUCUAAAAAUGCAAAGGUAAUAUUCUGCAUGUGGAAUUUUGAGAAAUCAAGCCCUAACUUACUGGGUUCCGAUUUUUUUGACCCAAGUGACCUGAAUAUCCUUUUAAAAUUGAAAUAAAUGAGGUUUUAAUAAAAAAAUAAAAGGAAGCUUACUCUCAAAAAUACGAGGUGUUGUGUCCUAACUAACUGGAUGUGACAUCUUGUUAUUUUGAGAUAAGGAGGCAUUUUCUAUUUUGAUUUAUUCGAGUAAUUUUAAAAUAACACAAUAAAAAGGGAUAGUAUUUUUAAAUUCUUUUCGAGUUUUUAAUUUUCGACACCAAGACAUUAAGUAAUCAACUAGGUACCAAUUUUAGGGCAUUACGAGUGUGCUAAUCCUUCCUCGUACGUAACUGACUCCCGAAUCCGUUUUCUAAAUUUCAUAGACUAAAAUUGUUGUUUUAAUAAACUCAAAUUAUUUACUAAAGACAACCACAUUUUGAGGUGGUCCGAUCACACCUCAUCAAAAAAAGAUUGGUGGCGACUCCCACUUUCGUUUUAUUUUCAAAAUCCAAGUUGACCCCCUGUUUAUCAAAAAAAUGGUGUCAACAGCUUCUAUUGGGUAUCACUUCAUUUGUGAGGUUAUUAAUUACUUCACCAAAUGGGUAGAGACUGCUUCAUGCGCUAAUGUCACCAGGUCAGCAGUUAGCAAGUUUUUGAAAAAGGAGAUUAUAUGUCGAUAUGGAAUGUUUGAAAGAAUCAUAUCUGACAAUGCGCUGAAUUUGAACAACAGCACCAUAAUGGAAGUUUGCAGUCAAUUUAAGAUCAGACACAAUAAUUCGUCACCAUAUCGCCCAAAAAUGAAUGGUGUAGUGGAGGCGACCAAUAAAAAAUAUCAAGAAAGUUGUGAGGAAAAUGUCUGAGACUUACAAAGAUUGGCAUUACCAUUCACCCUUUUGGCUUAUCGAACGUCUAUCAGAACUUCCACCAGGGCAACGCCUUUCUCUCUGGUUUAUCGGAUGGAGGCAGUUUUACCCAUUAAAGUUGAAAUUCCUUCUCUCCGGGUAUUGGUUGAGCUAAGGUUGGAUGAAGCAAAAUGGAUCCAAUCUCGAUAUGAUAAAUUGAACCUAAUUGGAGAAAAAAGGCUAAAAGUUAUUCACCACGGUCAGAUGUAGUAGAAACGAAUGAUGCGAGCCUAUAACAAAAAGGUUCGUCCUAGAGAAUUCCAUGAAGGGGACCUGGUGUUGGAAAAUAUUUUUUUCUCUACAAAAGAUUUUAGAGGGAAAUGGAUGCCAAAUUGGGAAGGACCUUAUGUUAUAAAGAAGGCCUUUUCUGGAGGAGCAUUAAUUUUGAGUGAGAUGGAUGGUAAAAACCUGCCUAAUCCUGUAAACUCAGAUUCAGUCAAGAAAUACUUCACCUCUAAUUAGAAAACCCUAGCAGUAGACCAGCAACCAUCGCUAUUCUCUACGCGCCUCCAGCUGGGUGUACCUGCAAAACAAACGAAACCAACAAGGACAACAAGGAAAGGCAAUAACAAAAAAGGAGCAAGCAAAUGAAAAAAGAGAAUAAAAGAAAAUGAGAUUUUUCUUUCUUAUAAUUUUAUUUUUUGUUUUUCUCGGCUAUAUAAGGCCAAAUAAUCUGUAAAAAAGAGGGGAGAAAUUAAAAAAAAAGCAGUAAACAAAAUCAAUCACAGUUUUCGAAGGUGAUCUGAAUUUUUUAUUUAAUUUCUUUGUUGUUUUCCUUAGUUUUUUCGUUGAUGCUUGCUUAUUGUUUAAGAAAAGAAACACAAAAAAGGCGAGGGUUUACCUUAUUGUCGGUGCCGAUUGGAUCUUUGUUCACUUCGUCGAAAUAGACUCUCAAGCGAAGGUUGUAAGGCCGAAGAUCGAAGGAGCUGUCGGUGGCAUGGGAAUAGGUUCAAAAACCCUAGCAGAGGAAAAAUGGGAUAAUAAUUUUUUUAAAGAAUGAUAGAAAGUAGUUUUUUUUAAAUUGUUGAUUUUAUAUUAGGUAUGAAACGACGUCAUUUAAAGCAUGUUUCAGUGGCCUCAAAAUGGUGUCGUAUAAGGCCAUGACCCGCAGCGGUGACCCGACCUAAGGGAAGGUUCCGCGUGUUUUUUAUUGAUGGGUAAUUUGCAUCUCUGGUCUCGCCGCAUUUUUAUUUAUUUUAAUUCAGUUUUUUUCAUUUUUUCAAUUGAUACUGUAAAUUUUAUUCGGUUUCUGAUUCGGUCUUGAUGAAACGACGCAUUUCAGAGGGCGAGAAUAUUUCUCCAUUCAAUCCCUUUGAGUUAUUCGCGCCUUUCAAUUGGACCUUUCAUUUUGUUCUAUUUUCAUUUUUUCCCUUUAAUUUUGUUUUGAGUUUAAUUUAAUCCAUACUUAUUUCAUUUAAUGUACUUGAUUUUUAUUCUGUUUAAAAUCCAUUUUUCUAUUAUUUUUAGAUAUAUUUAUUUUUAAAUGUAACUUUCUUUUUAGGACAUUCUACAUUCAUUCAUACACCUCUAAUUAGGAUAUUUUGAUUUAUUCAGAUCAUAACAUCCUACUCAUUAGGCAUAAAUAGGCCUAUGCAAUGAUUAUACAAGUCAUGUUCCCUAGAGAACAGAUUAGUGAAACCACAAAUCCCAUACCACUGAAGUCGCAGUGGAAUGGUUUGAAGAAGAUGGCGAAUCUAAUAUCCCUGAAGUUACGGUGGAGUAAAUUAAAGCCCAUAAUCUCAUUUCGUUGGCGUUUCAGUGGAAUAGAUUAAAGCUAAAGGCAACGAAUCUUAUUUCCCUGACGUCGCAGUAGAUUAAAGCUGAAGGCACCAAAUCUCAUUUCCAUGAUGUUGCAGUGGAACAGGUUAAAGCUAAAGCCAACGAAUCUUAUUUCCUUGGGAUCGCAGUAGAUUAAACCUGAAGGUAGUGAAUCUCAUUUCCUUGGCUUGUAGUGGAAUAAAUUAAAGCUGAAUGCAGCAAAUCUUAUUUCCCUAGCGUCGUAGUAGAUUAAAGCUGAAGGCAGCGAAUCUCAUUUUCUUGGCAUUGUAGUGGAACAGAUUAAAGUUGAAGGCAGCGAAUCUUAUUUCCCUAGUGUCGCAAUAGAUUAAAGCUGAAUGCAGCGAAUCUUAUUUCCUUGGCGUUGUAGUGGAACAAAUUAAAGCUGAAGGCAGUGAAUCUUAUUUUCCUGGCGUCGCAGUAGAUUAAAGCUAAAGGCAGCGAAUCUCAUUUCCUUGGCGUUACAGUGGAACAGAUUAAAGCUGGAGCCAAUGAAUCUUAUUUCUCUAGCGUCACAGUAGAUUAAAGCUGAAGGCAGCGAAUCUUAUUUCCCUAGCGUCGCAGUGGGAUGGUUUGAGGUUAUCAUGGCAGAUCUUAUCUCUAUUAAGUUUCAGUGGAGUAGAUUAAAGCCACAAACCUUAUCCCUCUGAAGUUGCAGUGGGGCAGGUUGAAGAGACAAAUCUUAUUUUCCUAGCAUCGCAGUGGAAUGGUUUGAAGAAGAUGACGAAUCUUAUAACCCUGAAGUUACAGUGGAGUAGAUUAAAGCCGAUAAUUUAUUUCUUUUGCGUUGUAGUGGAACAGAUUAAAGCUAAAGGCAGCAAAUCUUAUUUCCCUUGCGUCGCAGUAGAUUAAAGCUAAAGGCAGCGAAUCUUAUUCCCUUGGUGUUGUAGUGGAAUAGAUUAAAGCUGAAGGCAGUAAAUCUUAUUUUCCUAGCGACGCAGUAGAUUAAAGCUGAAGGCAACGAAUCUCCUUUUCUUGGUGUUGUAGUGAAACAGAUUAAUGUUGACGGCAGCAAAUCUUAUUUACUUGGCGUCGCAGUAGAUUAAAGUUGAAGGCAGCGAAUCUCAUUUCCUUGGCGUUGUAGUGGAAUAGAUUAAAGCUAAAGGCAGCGAAUCUGAUUUCUCUGGCGUCGCAGUAGAUUAAAGCUGAAGGCAGCGAAUCUUAUUUCCCUAGCGUCACAGUAGAUUAAAUCAGAAGGAAACGAGUAGGAUGGUUUGAAGUUAUCAUGGCAUAUUUUAUCUCCUUGAAGUCGUAGUAGAACAGAUUAAAGCCACAAACCUUAUCCCUCUGAAGUUGCAGUGGGGCAGGUUGAAGAGACAAAUAUUAUUUUCCUGAAGUUACAGUGGAAUGGUUUGAAGAAGCUGAAGGUAGCGAAUCUUAUUUCCCUGGGGUCACAGUAGAUUAAAGCUGAAUGAAUCUCAUUUCCUUGGCGUUGCAGUGGAACAGAUUAAAGUUGAAGGUAACGAAUCUUAUUUCCUGGGGUCGAAGUAGAUUAAAGCUGAAGGCAAAGAAUCUUAUUUCCCUGGCACCGCAAUAGACUAAAGCUAAAGGCGGUGAAUCUUAUUUCCUUGGCGUUUGAGUAGAACAGAUUAAAGCUGAAGGCAGCGAAUCUUAUUUCCCUGCCGUUGCAGUAGAACAGAGUAAAGCAGAAGGCAACAAAUCUUAUUUCCCUGACGUCGCAGUAGACUAAAGCUAAAACCUACGACUCUUAUUUCCCCAGCGUUGCAGUGGAACAGAUUAAAGCUGAAAGCAGUGAAUUCCAUUUCCUUGGCAUUGCAGUGGAACAAAUUAAAGCUGAAGGCAGCAAAUCUUAUUUUCUUGGCAUCGCAUUAGGUGAAAGCUGAAGGCAGCAAAUCUCAUUUCCUUGGCGUUGCAGUUGAACUGAUUAAAGUUGAAGGCAGCAAAUCUUAUUUCACUGGCGUCAGAGUAGAUUAAACCUUAAGGCAGUGAAUCUUAUUUCCUUAGCGUUGCAGUGGAACAUAUUAAAGCUGAAGGCAAUAAAUAUUAUUUCCUUGGCAUUGUAGUAGAACAGAUUAAAGCUGAAGGCAGCGAAUCUUAUUUCCCUGUCAUCGCAGUAGAUUCAAGCUGAAGGUAGCGAAUCUUAUUUCGUUGGCAUUGUAGUGGAACAGAUUAUAGCUGACGGCAGCGAAUCUCAUUUUCUUGGCAUUGUAGUGGAUCAAAUUAAAAUUGAAGGUAGCAAAUCUUAUUUCCUUGGCGUCGCAUUAGAUUAAAGCUGAAGGUAGCAAAUCUCAUUUCUUUGGUGUUGCCGUGGAACAGAUUAAAGCUGAAGGCAGCGAAUCUUAUUUCCCUAGUGUCGCAAUAGAUUAAAGCUGAAGGCAGCGAAUCUUAUUUCCUUGGCGUUGUAGUGGAAUAAAUUAAAGCUGAAGGCAGUGAAUCUUAUUUUCUUGGUGUCGCAGUAGAUUAAAGCUAAAGGCAGCGAAUCUCAUUUCCUUGGCGUUACAGUGGAACAGAUUAAAGCUGGAGCCAACAAAUCUUAUUUCUCUAGCGUCACAGUAGAUUAAAGCUGAAGGCAGCGAAUCUUAUUUCCCUAGCAUCGCAGUGGGAUGGUUUGAGGUUAUCAUGGCAGAUCUUAUCUCUAUUAAGUUUCAGUGGAGCAGAUUAAAGCCACAAACAUUAUCCCUCUGAAGUUGCAGUAGGGCAGGUUGAAGAGACAAAUCUUAUUUUCCUAACAUCGCAGUGGAAUGGUUUGAAGAAGAUGACGAAUCUUAUAACCCUGAAGUUGCAGUGGAGUAGAUUAAUGGCAAUAAUCUUAUUUCUUUUGCGUUGUAGUGGAACAGAUUAAAGCUAAAGGCAGCAAAUCUUAUUUCCCUGGCGUCGCAGUAGAUAAAAGCUAAAGGCAGCGAAUCUUGUUCCCUUGGUGUUGUAGUGGAAUAGAUUAAAGCUGAAGGCAGCAAAUCUUAUUUUCCUGGCGACGCAGUAGAUUAAAGCUGAAGGCAACGAAUCUCCUUUUCUUGGUGUUGUAGUGAAACAGAUUAAUGUUGAGUGCAGCAAAUCUUAUUUACUUGGCGUCGCAGUAGAUUAAAGUUGAAGGCAGCGAAUCUCAUUUCCUUGGCGUUGUAGUGGAAUGGAUUAAAGCUGAAGGCAGCAAAUCUUAUUUCCCUAGCGUCACAGUAGAUUAAAUCAGAAGGAAACGAGUAGGAUGGUUUGAAGUUAUCAUGGCAGAUUUUAUCUCCUUGAAGUCAUAGUAGAACAGAUUAAAGCCACAAACCUUAUCCCUCUGAAGUUGCAGUGGGGCAGGUUGAAGAGACAAAUAUUAUUUUCCUGAAGUUACAGUGGAAUGAUUUGAAGAAGAUGAUGAAUCUUAUAUCCCUAAAGUUACAGUGGAGUAGAUUAAAGCCAAUAAUCUCAUUUCUUUAGCGUUGUAGUGGAAUAGAUUAAAGCUGAAGGCAACAAAUCUUAUUUCCUUGGCAUCGGAGUAGAUGAAAACUGAAGGCAUCAAAUCUUAUUUUCCUAGCGUCACAGUAGAUUAAAGCUAAAGGUAGCGAAUCUCAUUUCCCUCGCGUUGCAGUGGAACAGAUUCAAGUUGAAGGUAGUAAAUCUUAUUUCCCUAGCCUCGCAGUAGAUUAAAGCUGAAGGCAGUGAAUCUCAUUUCCUUGGCGUUGCAGUGCAACAGAUUAAAGCUGAAGGUAGCGAAUCUUAUUUCGCUGGGGUCACAGUAGAUUAAAGCUGAAUGAAUCUCAUUUCCUUGGCGUUGCAGUGGAACAGAUUAAAGUUGAAGGUAACGAAUCUUAUUUCCUGGGGUCGAAGUAGAUUAAAGCAGAAGGAAGCGAAUCUUAUUUCUUUGGCGUUGCAGUGGAACAGAUUAAAUCUGAAGGCAGCGAAUCUUAUUUCCCUGGAGUCGCAGUAGAUUAAAGCUAAAGGUAGCAAAUCUUAUUUCCCUGCCGUUGUAGUAAAUUAAAGUUGAAGGCAGCGAAUCACAUAUCUUUGGCAUUGGCGUCGCAGUAGAUUAAAGCUGAAGGCAGCGAAUCUUAUUUCCCUGGCGUGGCAGUAGAUUAAAUCAGAAGGACACGAGUCUUAUUCCCUCAGCGUUGCAGUGGAACAGAUUAAAGUUGAAGUCAGUGAAUUUUAUUUCCUUUUCGUUGCAGUGGAACAGAUUAAAGCUGAAGCAGUGAAUCUUAUUUCCCCGGCGUCGUAGUAGAUUAAAACUGAAGGCAGUGAAUCUUAUUUCGAUUGCAUUGUAGUGGAACAGAUUAAAGUUGAAGGUAGUAAAUCUUAUUUCCCUAGCGUCACAGCAGAUUAAAGCUGAAGGCAGCAAAUCUCUUUUCCCUGGCAUUGCAGUGGAACAGAUUAAAGCUGAAUGUAGUAAAUCUUAUUUCCCUGGCAUCGUAGUAUAUUAAAGCUGAAGGCGGUGAAUCUUAUUUCCUCAGCGUUGUAGUGGAACAGAUUAAAGCUAAAGGCAGCGAAUCUUAUUUACCUGGAGUCGUAGUAGAUUAAACUUGAAGGCAGCGAAUCUCAUUUCCCUGGUGUUGCAGUAGAUUAAAGCUGAAGGAAGCAAAUCUUAUUCCUUUGGCAUCACAGUGGAACAAAUUAAAGCUGAAGGCAGCGAAUCUCAUUUCCCUAACAUCGUAAUAGAUUAAAGCUGAAGGCAUCGAAUCUUAUUUCCUAAGCGUUGCAGUGGAACAGAUUAAACCUGAAGCCAGUGAAUCUUAUUUCCUUGGCGUCACAGUAGGUUAAAGCUGAAUGCAGCGAAUCUCAUUUUCUUGGCAUUGCAGUGGAACAGAUUAACGCUAAAGGCAGUGAAUCUUAUAUCCCUAGCGUCGCAGUAAGCUAAAGUUGAAGGCAAAGAAUCUUAUUUCCUUGGCGUUGCAGUGGAACAUAUUAAAGUUGAAGGGAGUAAAUCUUAUUUCCUUGGCGUUGCAGUGGAACAGAUUAAAACUGAAGGUACCGAACUUUAUUUCCAUGUCGUCGCAGUAAAUUAAAGCUGAAGGUAGCAAAUCUUAUUUCCUUAGCAUUGCAAUGGAACAGGUUAAAGCUGAAGGCGGCGAAUCUCAUCUCCUUGCCGUUGUAGUGGAACAGAUUAAAGCUGAAGGAAAGGAAUCUUAUUUCCCUGGCACCGCAAUAGACUAAAGGUAAAGGCGGUGAAUCUUACUUCCUUGGCAUUUCAGUAGAACAGAUUAAAGCUGAAGGCAGCGAAUCUUAUUUCCCUGCCGUUGCAGUAGAACAGAGUAAAGCAGAAGGCAACAAAUCUUAUUUCCCUGACGUCGCAGUAGACUAAAGCUAAAGCCAACGACUCUUAUUUCCCCGGCGUUGCAGUGGAACAGAUUAAAGCUGAAAGCAUCGAAUUCUAUUUCCUUGGCAUUGCAGUGGAACAAAUUAAAGCUGAAGGCAGCAAAUCUUAUUUCCUUGGCAUCGCAUUAGGUGAAAGCUGAAGGCAGCAAAUCUCAUUUCCUUGGCGUUGCAGUUGAACUGAUUAAAGUUGAAGGCAGCAAAUCUUAUUUCGCUGGCGUCAGAGUAGAUUAAACCUUAAGGCAGUGAAUCUUAUUUCCUUAGCGUUGCAGUGGAACAUAUUAAAGCUGAAGGCAAUAAAUAUUAUUUCCUUGGCAUUGUAGUAGAACAGAUUAAAGCUGAAGGCAGCGAAUCUUAUUUCCGUGUCAUCGCAGUAGAGUCAAGCUGAAGGUAGCGAAUCUUAUUUCGUUGGCGUUGCAGUGGAACAGAUUAUAGUUGACGGCAGCGAAUCCCAUUUUUUUGGCAUUGCAGUGGAUCAAAUUAAAAUUGAAGGUAGCAAAUCUUAUUUCCUUGGCGUCGCAUUAGAUUAAAGCUGAAGGUAGCAAAUCUCAUUUCUUUGGUGUUGCAGUGGAACAGAUUAAAGCUGAAGGCAGUGAAUCUUAUUUCCCUGUCGUCGCAGUUGAUUAAAGUUGAAGGCAGCAAAUUUUAUUUCCUUGGAGUUGUAGUAGAACAGAUUCAAGCAGAAGGCACCAAAUCUUAUUUCCCUGACGUCGCAAUAGACUAAAGCUAAAGCCAGCGAAUCUUAUUUCCUUAGCAUUGCAGUAGAACAGAUUAAAGCUGACGACAGCGAAUUACAUUUCCUUGGCAUUACAGUGGAACAAAUUAAAGCUGAAAGAAGCAAAUCUUAUUUCCUUGGCGUCGUAUUAGAUUAAAACUGAAGGCAGCGAAUCUCAUUUCCUUGGCGUAGUAGUGGAAAAGCAGAAGGCAGCAAAUCUUAUUUCUCUAGCGUCGUAGUAGAUUAAAGCUGAAGGCAACAAAUCUCAUUUCCCUGGCGUUGCAGUGGAACAGAUUAAAGCUGAAGUAGUGAAUCUUAUUUCCCUGGCGUCAUAGUAGAUUAAAACUGAAGGCAGUGAAUCUUAUUUCGAUUGCGUUGUAGUGGAACAAAUUAAAGCUGAAGGUAGUAAAUCUUAUUUCCCUAGCGUCACAGCAGAUUAAAGCUGAAGGCAGCAAAUCUCUUUUCCCUGGCAUUGCAGUGGAACAGAUUAAAGCUGAAUGUAGUAAAUCUUAUUUCCCUGGCAUCGUAGUAGAUUAAAGCUAAAGGCGGUGAAUCUUAUUUCCUUAGCGUUGCAGUGGAACAGAUUAAAGCUAAAGGCAGCGAAUCUUAUUUACCUGGAGUCGUAGUAGAUUAAACUUGAAGGCAGCGAAUCUCAUUUUCCGGGUGUUGCAGUAGAUUAAAGUUGAAGGAAGUGAAUCUUAUUCCUUUGGCAUCACAGUGGAACAAAUUAAAGCUGAAGGCAGCGAAUCUCAUUUCCCUAACGUCGUAAUAGAUUAAAGCUGAAGGCAUCGAAUCUUAUUUCCUAAGCGUUGCAGUGGAACAGGUUAAACCUGAAGCUAGUGAAUCUUAUUUCCCUGGCGUCACAGUAGGUUAAAGCUGAAUGCAGCGAAUCUCAUUUUCUUGGCAUUACAGUGGAACAGAUUAACGCUAAAUGCAGUGUAUCUUAUAUCCCUGGCGUCGCAGUAAGCUAAAGUUGAAGGCAGAGAAUCUUAUUUCCUUGGCGUUGCAGUGGAACAUAUUAAAGUUGAAGGCAGUAAAUCUUAUUUCCUUGGCGUUGCAGUGGAACAGAAUAAAACUGAAGGUAGCAAACUUUAUUUCCAUGUCGUCACAGUAAAUUAAAGCUGAAGGUAGCAAAUCUUAUUUCCUUAGCAUUGCAGUGGAACAGGUUAAAGCUGAAGGCAGCGAAUCUCAUCUCCUUGCUAUUGUAGUGGAACAGAUUAAAGCUGAAGGCAAGGAAUCUUAUUUCCCUGGCACCGCAAUAGACUAAAGGUAAAGGCGGUGAAUCUUAUUUCCUUGGCGUUUCAGUAGAACAGAUUAAAGCUGAAGGCAGCGAAUCUUAUUUCCCUGCCGUUGCAGUAGAACAGAGUAAAGCAGAAGGCAACAAAUCUUAUUUCCCUGACGUCGCAGUAGACUAAAGCUAAAGCCAACGACUCUUAUUUCCCCGGCGUUGCAGUGGAAUAGAUUAAAGCUGAAAGCAGCGAAUUCCAUUUCCUUGGCAUUGCAGAGGAACAAAUUAAAGCUGAAGGGAGCAAAUCUUAUUUCCUUGGCAUCGCAUUAGAUGAAAGCUGAAGGCAGCAAAUCUCCUUUCCUUGGCGUUGUAGUUGAACUGAUUAAAGUUGAAGACAGCAAAUCUUAUUUCGUUGCCGUCAGAGUAGAUUAAACCUUAAGGCAGUGAAUCUUAUUUCCUUAGCGUUGCAGUGGAACAUAUUAAAGCUGAAGGCAAUAAAUCUUAUUUCCUUGACAUUGUAGUAGAACAGAUUAAAGCUAAAGGCAACGAAUCUUAUUUCCCUGUCAUCGCAGUAUAUUCAAGCUGAAGGUAGCGGAUCUUUUUUCGUUGGCGUUGCAAUGGAACAGAUUAUAGCUGACGGCAGCGAAUCCCAUUUUCUUGGCAUUGCAGUGGAUCAAAUUAAAAUUGAAGGCAGCAAAUCUUAUUUCCUUGGCAUUGCAUUAGAUUAAAGCUGAAGGUAGCAAAUCUCAUUUCUUUGGUGUUGCAGUGGAACAGAUUAAAGCUAAAGGCAGCGAAUCUUAUUUCCCUGUCGUCGCAGUUGAUUAAAGUUGAAGGCAACAAAUUUUAUUUCCUUGGAGUUGUAGUAGAACAGAUUUAAGCAGAAGGCACCAAAUCUUAUUUCCCUGACGUUGCAAUAGACUAAAGCUAAAGCCAGUGAAUCUUAUUUCCUUAGCAUUGCAGUAGAACAGAUUAAAGCUGACGACAGCGAAUUACAUUUCCUUGGCAUUACAGUGGAACAAAUUAAAGCUGAAAGAAGCAAAUCUUAUUUUCUUGGCGUCGUAUUAGAUUAAAGCUGAAGGCAGCGAAUCUCAUUUCCUUGGCGUAGUAGUGGAAAAGUAGAAGGCAGCAAAUCUUAUUUCUCUAGCGUCGUAGUAGAUUAAAGCUGAAGGCAACAAACCUCAUUUCCCAGGCAUUGCAGUGGAACAGAUUAAAGCUGAAGCAGUGAAUCUUAUUUCCCCGGUGUCGUAGUAGAUUAAAAUUGAAGGCAGUGAAUCUUAUUUCGAUUGCGUUGUAGUGGAACAAAUUAAAGCUGAAGGUAGUAAAUCUUAUUUCCCUAGCGUCACAGCAGAUUAAAGCUGAAGGCAGCAAAUCUCUUUUCCCUGGCAUUGCAGUGGAACAGAUUAAAGCUGAAUGGAGUAAAUCUUAUUUCUCUGGCAUCGUAGUAUAUUAAAGCUGAAGGCGGUGAAUCUUAUUUCCUUAGCGUUGCAGUGGAACAGAUUAAAGCUAAAGGCAGCGAAUCUUAUUUACCUGGAGUCGUAGUAGAUUAAACUUGAAGGCAGCGAAUCUCAUUUUCCGGGUGUUGCAGUAGAUUAAAGUUGAAGGAAGUGAAUCUUAUUCCUUUGGCAUCACAGUGGAACAAAUUAAAGCUGAAGGCAGCGAAUCUCAUUUCCCUAACGUCGUAAUAGAUUAAAGCUGAAGGCAUCGAAUCUUAUUUCCUAAGCGUUGCAGUGGAACAGGUUAAACCUGAAGCUAGUGAAUCUUAUUUCCCUGGCGUCACAGUAGGUUAAAGCUGAAUGCAGCGAAUCUCAUUUUCUUGGCAUUACAGUGGAACAGAUUAACGCUAAAUGCAGUGUAUCUUAUAUCCCUGGCGUCGCAGUAAGCUAAAGUUGAAGGCAGAGAAUCUUAUUUCCUUGGCGUUGCAGUGGAACAUAUUAAAGUUGAAGGCAGUAAAUCUUAUUUCCUUGGCGUUGCAGUGGAACAGAAUAAAACUGAAGGUAGCAAACUUUAUUUCCAUGUCGUCACAGUAAAUUAAAGCUGAAGGUAGCAAAUCUUAUUUCCUUAGCAUUGCAGUGGAACAGGUUAAAGCUGAAGGCAGCGAAUCUCAUCUCCUUGCUAUUGUAGUGGAACAGAUUAAAGCUGAAGGCAAGGAAUCUUAUUUCCCUGGCACCGCAAUAGACUAAAGGUAAAGGCGGUGAAUCUUAUUUCCUUGGCGUUUCAGUAGAACAGAUUAAAGCUGAAGGCAGCGAAUCUUAUUUCCCUGCCGUUGCAGUAGAACAGAGUAAAGCAGAAGGCAACAAAUCUUAUUUCCCUGACGUCGCAGUAGACUAAAGCUAAAGCCAACGACUCUUAUUUCCCCGGCGUUGCAGUGGAAUAGAUUAAAGCUGAAAGCAGCGAAUUCCAUUUCCUUGGCAUUGCAGAGGAACAAAUUAAAGCUGAAGGGAGCAAAUCUUAUUUCCUUGGCAUCGCAUUAGAUGAAAGCUGAAGGCAGCAAAUCUCCUUUCCUUGGCGUUGUAGUUGAACUGAUUAAAGUUGAAGACAGCAAAUCUUAUUUCGUUGCCGUCAGAGUAGAUUAAACCUUAAGGCAGUGAAUCUUAUUUCCUUAGCGUUGCAGUGGAACAUAUUAAAGCUGAAGGCAAUAAAUCUUAUUUCCUUGACAUUGUAGUAGAACAGAUUAAAGCUAAAGGCAACGAAUCUUAUUUCCCUGUCAUCGCAGUAUAUUCAAGCUGAAGGUAGCGAAUCUUUUUUCGUUGGCGUUGCAAUGGAACAGAUUAUAGCUGACGGCAGCGAAUCCCAUUUUCUUGGCAUUGCAGUGGAUCAAAUUAAAAUUGAAGGCAGCAAAUCUUAUUUCCUUGGCAUUGCAUUAGAUUAAAGCUGAAGGUAGCAAAUCUCAUUUCUUUGGUGUUGCAGUGGAACAGAUUAAAGCUAAAGGCAGCGAAUCUUAUUUCCCUGUCGUCGCAGUUGAUUAAAGUUGAAGGCAACAAAUUUUAUUUCCUUGGAGUUGUAGUAGAACAGAUUUAAGCAGAAGGCACCAAAUCUUAUUUCCCUGACGUUGCAAUAGACUAAAGCUAAAGCCAGUGAAUCUUAUUUCCUUAGCAUUGCAGUAGAACAGAUUAAAGCUGACGACAGCGAAUUACAUUUCCUUGGCAUUACAGUGGAACAAAUUAAAGCUGAAAGAAGCAAAUCUUAUUUUCUUGGCGUCGUAUUAGAUUAAAGCUGAAGGCAGCGAAUCUCAUUUCCUUGGCGUAGUAGUGGAAAAGUAGAAGGCAACAAAUCUUAUUUCUCUAGCGUCGUAGUAGAUUAAAGCUGAAGGCAACAAACCUCAUUUCCCAGGCAUUGCAGUGGAAUAGAUUAAAGCUGAAGCAGUGAAUCUUAUUUCCCCGGUGUCGUAGUAGAUUAAAAUUGAAGGCAAUGAAUCUUAUUUCGAUUGCGUUGUAGUGGAACAAAUUAAAGCUGAAGGUAGUAAAUCUUAUUUCCCUAGCGUCACAGCAGAUUAAAGCUGAAGGCAGCAAAUCUCUUUUCCCUGGCAUUGCAGUGGAACAGAUUAAAGCUGAAUGGAGUAAAUCUUAUUUCUCUGGCAUCGUAGUAUAUUAAAGCUGAAGGCGGUGAAUCUUAUUUCCUUAGCGUUGCAGUGGAACAGAUUAAAGCUAAAGGCAACGAAUCUUAUUUACCUGGAGUCGUAGUAGAUUAAACUUGAAGGCAGCGAAUCUCAUUUCCCUGGUGUUGCAGUAGAUUAAAGCUGAAGGAAGCGAAUCUUAUUCCUUUGGCAUCACAGUGGAACAAAUUAAAGUUGAAGGCAGCGAAUCUCAUUUCCCUAAUGUCGUAAUAGAUUAAAGCUGAAGGCAUCGAAUCUUAUUUCCUAAGCGUUGCAGUGGAACAGAUUAAACCUGAAGCCAGUGAAUCUUAUUUCCCUGGCGUCGCAGUAGGUUAAAGCUGAAUGCAGCGAAUCUCAUUUUCUUGGCAUUGCAGUGGAACAGAUUAACGCUAAAGGCAGUGAAUCUUAUAUCCCUAGCUUCGCAGUAAGCUAAAGUUGAAGGCAGAGAAUCUUAUUUCCUUGGCGUUGCAGUGGAACAUAUUAAAGUUGAAGGCAGUAAAUCUUAUUUCCUUGGCGUUGCAGUGGAACAGAUUAAAACUGAAGGUAGCGAACUUUAUUUCCAUGUCGUCGCAGUAAAUUAAAGCUGAAGGUAGCAAAUCUUAUUUCCUUAGCAUUGCAAUGGAACAGGUUAAAGCUGAAGGCGGCGAAUUUCAUCUCCUUGCCGUUGUAGUGGAACAGAUUAAAGCUGAAGGCAAUGAAUCUUAUUUCCCUGGCACAGCAAUAGACUAAAGGUAAAGGCGGUGAAUCUUAUUUCCUUGGCAUUUCAGUAGAACAGAUUAAAGCUGAAGGCAGCGAAUCUUAUUUUUUCUGUCGUUGCAGUAGAACAGAGUAAAAGUAGAAGGCAACAAAUCUUAUUUCCCUGACGUCGCAGUAGACUAAAGCUAAAGCCAACGACUCUUAUUUCCCCGGCGUUGCAGUGGAACAGAUUAAAGCUGAAAGCAGCGAAUUCCAUUUCCUUGGCAUUGCAGUGGAACAAAUUAAAGCUGAAGGCAGCAAAUCUUAUUUCCUUGGCAUCGCAUUAGGUGAAAGCUAAAGGCAGGAAAUCUCAUUUCCUUGGCGUUGCAGUUGAACUGAUUAAAGUUGAAGGCAGCAAAUCUUAUUUUGCUGGCGUCAGAGUAGAUUAAACCUUAAGGCAGUGAAUCUUAUUUCCUUAGCGUUGCAGUGGAACAUAUUAAAGCUGAAGGCAAUAAAUCUUAUUUCCUUGGCAUUGUAGUAGAACAGAUUAAAGCUGAAGGCAGCGAAUCUUAUUUCCCUGUCAUCGCAGUAGAUUCAAGCUGAAGGUAGCGAAUCUUAUUUCGUUGGCGUUGCAGUGGAACAGAUUAUAGCUGACGGCAGCGAAUCCCAUUUUCUUGGCAUUGCAGUGGAUCAAAUUAAAAUUGAAGGUAGCAAAUCUUAUUUCCUUUGCGUCGCAUUAGAUUAAAGCUGAAGGUAGCAAAUCUCAUUUCUUUGGUGUUGCAGUGGAACAGAUUAAAGCUGAAGGCAGCGAAUCUUAUUUCCCUGUCGUCGCAGUUGAUUAAAGUUGAAGGCAGCAAAUUUUAUUUCCUUGGAGUUGUAGUAGAACAGAUUAAAGCAGAAGGCACCAAAUCUUAUUUCCCUGACGUCGCAAUAGACUAAAGCUAAAGCCAGCGAAUCUUAUUUCCUUAGCAUUGCAGUAGAACAGGGUAAAGCUAACGACAGCGAAUUACAUUUCCUUGGCAUUACAGUGGAACAAAUUAAAGCUGAAAGAAGCAAAUCUUAUUUCCUUGGCGUCGUAUUAGAUUAAAGCUGAAGGCAGCAAAUCUCAUUUCCUUAGCGUAGUAAUGGAAAAGCAGAAGGCAGCAAAUCUUAUUUCUCUAGCGUCGUAGUAGAUUAAAGCUGAAGGCAACAAAUCUCAUUUCCCUGGCGUUGCAGUAGAACAGAUUAAAGUUUAAGCCAAUAAAUCUUAUUUCCCUGGCAUCGCAGCAGAUUAAAGCUGAAGGCAGCGAAUCUCAUUUCCUUAGUGUUGCAGUGGAACAGAUUAAAGCUAAAGGUAGCGAAUCUUAUUUCUCUGCUGGCGCAGUAAAUUAAAGCUGAAGGAAGUGAAUCUUAUUUGCUUGGCGUUAUAGUGGAACAGAUUAAAGUUAAAGGCAACAAAUCUUAUUUCCCUGGCGUCGCAGUAGAUUCAAGUUGAAGGCAGUGAAUCUCAUUUCAUUUGCAAUGCAGUAGAAUAGAUUAAAGCUGAAUGCAGCAAAUCUUAUUUCCCUGGCAUCGCAGUAGAUUAAAGAUGAAGGCAGCGAGUCUUAUUUCCUUAGCGUUGUAGUGGAAUAGAUUAAAGCAGAAGGCAGUGAAUCUUAUUUCCCUGGCGUCGCAGUAGGUUAAAGCUGAAGCCAGAGAAUCUCAUUUUUUUGUAGUCGCAGUGGAACAGAUUAAAGCUGACGGUAACAAAUCUUAUUUCCCUAGCGUCGCAGUAGAUUAAAGCAGGAGGCAACAAAUUUCAUUUCCCUAGCAUUGUAGUGGAACAGAAUAAAGCUGAAGGCAGUAAAUAUUAUUUCCCUAGCGUCGCAGUAGAUUAAAGCUGAAGGCAACGAAUCUCAUCUCCUUGGUAUUGCAGCGGAACAGAUUAAAACUGAAGGCAGCAAACCUUAUUUCCCUGGCGUCACAGUAGAAUAAAGAUAAUGCCAGUGAAUCUUAUUUCCCUGGCGUUGCAGUGGAACAGAUUAAAGCUGAUGACAGCGAAUCUCCUUUCCUUGGCGUUGUAGUGGAACAAAUUAAAGCUGAAGGCAACAAAUCUUAUUUCCUUAACGUCACAUUAGAUUAAAGCUAAAGGUAGCAAAUCUCAUUUCCUUAGUGUUGCAGUGGAACAGAUUAAAGUAGGAGGCAACAAAUCUUAUUUCUCUAGCGUCGCAGUAGAUUAAAGUUAAAGGCAGCAAAUAUCAUUUCCCUGGCAUUGCAGUGGAACAAAUUAAAGUUAAAGGCAGUAAAUUUUAUUUCCCUGGCAUCGCAGUAGAUUAAAGCUGCACGUAGCAAAUCUCAUUUCCUUGGUGUUGCAGUGGAAUAGAUUAAAGUUGAAGGCAGCGAAUCUUAUUUCCCUGGCAUCGCAGUAGAUUAAAGCUGAAGGCAGUGAAUCUUAUUUCAUUUUCGUUGCAGUGGAACAGAUUAAAGUUGAAGGUAACGAAUUUUAUUUCCCUAGCGUUGCAGUAGAUUAAAGCUAAAGGCAGCGAAUCUCAUUUCCAUUGCAUUGCAGUGGAAGAAAUUAAAGCUGACGGCAUCAAAUCUUUUUUCCCUAGCGUCGCUCUAGAUUAAAUUUAAAGGCAUCGAAUCUCAUUUCCCUGGCGUUGCACUGGAACAUAUUAAAGCUGAAAGAAGUAAUCUUAUUUUCCUGACGUCACAGUAGAUUAAAGUUGAAGGCAGCGAAUCUCAUUUUCUUGGCAUUCGAGUGGAACAGAUUAAAGCUAAAGGAAGCGAAUCUUAUUUACCUGGCGUCGCAGUAGAUUAAAGUUGAAAGCGGUGAAUCUUAUUUCUCUGGCUUCACAGUAGAUUAAAGCUAAAGGAAAGGAAUCUUAUUUUCUUAAUUUUGCAGUAGAACAAAUUAAAGCUGAAGCCAACAAAUAUUAUUUCUCUGUCGUCUUAGUAGAUUAAAACUAAAGGCAGCGAAUCACAUUUCCUUGGCAUUGCAGUGGAACAGAUUAACACUGAAGGCAGCGAAUCUUAUUUCCCUAGCAUCGCAGUAGACUAAAGCUGAAGGCGGCGAAUGUUAUUUCCUUGGCGUUGCAGUGGAACAGAUUAAAGCUGAAGGCAGUGAAUCUUAUUUCCCUUGCAUCGUAGUAAAUUAAAGUUGAAGGCAGUGAAUCUUACUUUCUGGGCAAUACAGUGGAACAGUUUAAAGCUGAAGGCAGCAAAUCUUAUUUCCUUGGCGUCGCAGUAGAUUAAAGCUGAAGGCAGCAAACUUAUUUCCUUGGCGUUGCAGUGGGAUGGUUUGAAGUUAUCAUGGUAGAUCUUAUCUCCCUGAACUUGCAGUGGAACAGAUUAAAGCCACAAACCUUAUCCCCUUGAAGUUGCAGUAGAGCAGAUUAAAGCCACAACCCUUAUCCCCAUGAAGUUGCAGUGAGGCAGGUUGAAGUGACAAAUCUUAUCUUCCUGAAGUUGCAGUGGAGCAGAUUGAAACCACCAGUCUUAUUUCCCUGAAGUUGCAGUGGAGCAGACUAAAACCACAAAUCUCUUCCCCUUUGAAAUCGCGACAGAGUAUAUUGAAGUUACGAUUCGUAUCUGAAGUUGCAGUAGAGUGGAUCAAAGCAACAAGAUGCAGUGGGCUAGAAUUAGGCUACUUGAUGAAGAGAAGCACCAAGUAAGGUGAAGACUCGGCAAGACUAGGAAAAAUUAGCCCUUUUUGAGUCGUUGCUCCAUUUUCGUUACACGACAAUGAGCAAAGAGGAGCAACUGUAAUAGGCCAAUUUUGGCCUGGCCCAAAAUUAACCAAAUUAAAAAAGAAACCAAAUAUAAAAAUUAAUAAUUGACCAAUAACAGUCCAGAGUUACAGUGGUCCAAUUAACCCAAGAUUAAAUAGCAGUCCAAAACCUCUAGCUCAAUUACAACUAGCCCAAAACCAAUAGCCAAAGAAAUACAAGAAAACCCUACCAGUAGACCAACAGCUGCCGCCAUUCCUCACGCGCACAACGCCCCCACGUGCCUCCAGCUGGCUGUACCUGCAAAACAAAUGAAACCAACAAGGGCAACAAGGAAAGGCAAUAACAAAAAAAGAGCUAGCAAAUGAAAAAGGAGAAUAAUAGAAAAUAAGAUAUUUCUUUCUUGUAAUUUUAUUAUUUUAUUUUUAUCGGCUAUAUAAGGCCGAAUAAUCUGUAAAAAAAGGGGGAGAAAAUUAAAAAAAGCAAUAAAAAAUCGAUCACAGUUUUUAAAAGUGAUCUAAAUUUCUUUUUUUCCAUUUAACUUCUUUGCUAUUUUCCUUAGUUUUUUUCGUUGAUGCUUGUUUACUGUUUAAGAAAAAAUACACAAAAAAGGGGUGAGGGUUUACCUUAGUGUUGGUGCCGAUUGGAUCCUUGUUCAUUUCGUUGCAAUCAAAGCUCAAGCGAGGGUUGUAAAGCUGAAGUCAGCAAAUCUUAUUUCCCUGGCGUCGCAGUAGAUUAAAGCUGAAGGCAGCGAAUCUGAUUUCCUUUGCGUUGCAGAGGAACAGAUUAAAGCUGAAGGCAGCAAAUCCUAUUUCCCUGGUGUCACAGUAGAUUAAACCUGAAGGUAGCGAAUUAUAUUGCCUUGGCGUUGCAGUGGAACAGAUUAAAGUUGAAGGCAGUAAAUCUUAUUUCCCUGGCGUCGCAGUAGAUUAAAGCUGAAGACAACGAAUCUCAUUUCCUUGGCGUUACGGUGGAAUAGAUUAUAGCUGAAGGUACCAAAUCUUAUUUCCCUGGCGUCAUAGUAGAUUAAAGCUAAAGGCAGCGAAUCUCAUUUCCUUGGCGUUAUAGUGGAACAGAUUAAAGCUGAAGGUAGUAAAUCUUAUUUCCUUGGCGUCGCAGUAGAUUAAAGCUGAAGGUAGUGAAUCUUAUUUCCUUGGCGGUGUAGUGGAAUAGAUUGAAGCUGAAGGUAACAAAUCUUAUUUCCUUGGCCUCGUAGUAGAUUAAAGCUAAAGGUAGCGAAUCACAUUUCUUUGGUAUUGCAGUGGAACAGAGUAAACCUUAAGGCAGCGAAUCUUAUUUCCCUGGCGUUGCAGUAGAUUAAAGCUGAAGGCAGCGAAUCUCAUUUCUUUGGCAUUGUAGUGGGAUAGAUUAAAGUUGAAGGCAGCGAAUCUUAUUUCCCCGACGUCGUAGUAGAUUAAAACUGAAUGCAGCAAAUCUCAUUUCAUUGGCGUUGCAGUGGAACAGUUUAAAGCUAAAGGCAGCGAAUCUUAUUUCCCUAGUGUCGAAAUAGAUUAAAGCUGAAGGCAGCAAAUCUCAUUUCCUUGGCGUUGCAAUGAAAUAGAUUAAAAUUGAAGGUAACGAAUCUUAUUUCCUUGGCAUCGCAGUAGAUUAAAGCUCAAGGCAGAGAAUCUUAUUUCCUUGGCGUUGCAAUGGAACAGAUUAAAGCUGAAGGCAGCGAAUCUUAUUUCCCUGGCAUCAUAGUGGGAUGGUUUGAGGUUAUCAUGGUAGAUCUUAUCUCCCUGAAGUUGCAGUGGAGCAGAUUAAAGCCACAAACCUUAUCCCCUUGAAGUUGCAGUGAGGCAGGUUGAAGUGACAAAUCUUAUCUUCCUGAAGUUGCAAUGGAGUAGAUUGAAGCCACCAGUCUUAUUUCCCUAAAGUUGCAGUGGAGCAGACUAAAACCAUAAAUCUCGUCCCCUUUAAAAUCGCGACAGAGUAGAUUGAAGCUACGAGUUGUAUCUGAAGUUGCAGUAAAGUGGAUCGAAGUAACAAGAUGCAGUGGGUUGGAAUUAGGCUACUUGAAGAAGAGAAGCACCAAAAUAGGUGAAGAAUCGGUAAGACUAGGAAAAAUUGUCCCUUUUCUAGUCUUUGCUCCAUUUUCGUUACACGACAACGAGCAAAAAAAGGCAGCUGUAAUAGGCCAAUUUUGGCCUGGCCCAAUAUUAACCAAAUUAAAAAAGAAACCAAAUAUAAAAAUUAAUAAUUUUCCAAUAACAGUCUAGAGUUACAGUGGCCCAAUUAACCCAAGAUCAAACAGUAGCCCAAAACCCCUAGCCCAAUUACAACAAGCCCAAAACCAAUAGCAAAAGAAAGACCAGAAAACCCUAGCAACAGACCAGCAGCCAUCGCCGCUCUCCACGCGCGUCCAGCUGGCUGUACCCGCAAAACAAACAAAAUCAACAAGGAUAGAAAGGAAAGGCAAUAACAAAAAAAGAGCUAGAAAAUGAAAAAGGAGAAUAACAGAAAAUGAGAUUUUUCUUUCUUGUAAUUUUAUUUUUUGUUUUUCUCGGCUAUAUAAGGACGAAUAAUCUGUAAAAAAAGGGGGGAGAAAUUAAAAAAAGCAGUAAACAAAAUCAAUCACAGUUUUCGAAGGUGAUCUAAAUUUUCUUUUUCAUUUAAUUUCUUUGUUGUUUUCCUUAGUUUUUUUUCGUUGAUGCUUGCUUACUGUUUAAGAAAAGAAACACAAAAAAGGGCGAGGGUUUACCUUAAUGUCGGCGCCUAUUGGAUCCUUGUUCGCUUCGUCGCAAUCGAAGCUCAAGCGAGGGUUGUAAGGCCGAAGAUUGGCAGAGCUUUCGGCGGCAUGGGAAUGGGUUCAAAAACCCUAGCAGAGGAAAAAGGGGAUAAUAGUUUUUUUUAAAUAAUGAUAGAAAGUAGUUUUUAAAAAAAAUUGUUGAUUUUUUAUUAGGUAUGAAACGGCAUCGUUUAAGGCCUAUUUUAGUGGCCUCAGAACUGUGUCGUAUAAAGCCAUGACCCACGUGGUGACCCGACCUAAGGGAAGGAUCCACGUGUUUUUUAUUGAUGGGUAAUUUGCAUCUCUGGUCCCGCCGCAUUUUUAUUUAUUUUAUUCAGUUGUUUUCAUUUUUUUCAAUUGAUACUGUAAAUUUUAUUCGGUUUCUGAUUCGGUCCUGAUGAAACGACGCGUUUUAGAAGGCGAUAAUAUUUCUCCAUUCAGUCCCUCUGAGUUAUUCGCAUCUUUCAAUUGGCCCCUUCAUUUUGUUUUAUUUUCUUUUUUUUUCCAUUUAAUUUUGUUUUGAGUUUAAUUUAAUCCAUGCUUAUUUAAUUUAAUGUACUUGAUUUUUAUUCUGUUUAAAAUCCAUUUUUUUGUUAUUUUUAAAUAUAUUUAUUUUUAAAUCUAACUUUCUUUUUAUGUUUAAGUUUAAUAUAUUUUUAAGUUUAUUAUCAAUAUUAGUUCAAUAUUAUAAUAUAUUAUUAUUCUAAAUUUAUCAUUAACAUUAUUUUAGGUGUAUCAUGUAUUUUUUAUUUAAAUUUAUCAUGUAUUAUCUUAUGCAUUCUUGUUGUAAUUUCAAUAUAAUUUAUACAUUUUUUUACGGUUUUAUUUUGUAAUACAUUUUUAGGUCAUUUUAUUUGUGAUAGGCUUUUAGGUCAUUAACUUUUAAAUAUUGGUGUUAAUAUUUACAUAUGAUGUGAGAUUAUUGUUAUUACGUACAUUGUAUUGCUUGUUUAUAUUGAUAGACUAUUCGCGUUCAUUUGUCCGUAUUUUGGCUUACAAAUUAUUCUUUCGAGUUAUACAUUGUCAUCUCAUUGUGUUUUAUUUGUCAAAAAUUUCAUUUUAUUUAAACAUUGAAAUCAUUUUAUUCAAAAGUUUCCAAAAUAAUGCAAUAAUUGGUAUUUGGAACUUCGAGAAAUCGUGCCCUAACUUACGGGGUUUCGAUUUCCUCGUCGAACUAAAACGGCCAAACAUUUUAGUUUUCAAAUACACAAAGUUUCAAUAAAAAUUUUUAAAGGUUAUCUUAUACUCGGGAAAUCCAACGUUGCAUCCUAACUUACAGGAUACGAUAUUUGGUUGCUCCGAGAUGAGAAGGCCUUUUUUACAUUCGUUCAAAUCUAUCCAAGAAUUAUUUUAAAAUAUGGCAUUAAUAAAAAGGGGAAAUCAUUUUUAAUCUCUUCGAAUUUUCAACAUUCGACUUUAAGACAUUAAAUAAUCAAUUCGGUACCAAUUUUGGGCGUUAUGAGGGUGCUAAUCCUUCCUCGUACGUAACUAACUCCCGAACCCGUUUUUACUAAAACUAGUAGACCAAAAUCAUUUUUAAGGUGAUCCGAUCACACCUCAAUAAAAGAUCGGUGGCGACUCCAAUUUUCAUUUUUUUUUAAGUUGACAUUAUUUUUUAUUUUCAAAAAGUGGUUUCGACAGUCAACAUACAAGGAGAGUCUGUGUGUCAAGUCUAAGGAUUAUUUAUACUACCAAUACAAGGAGUAUUUCUAUAAACACUUAGGGGAUGUUUGGUUGAAGGUAAUGGUUAUGCCAUUACCAGUCUAUUACAAGCCUAUUCUACAGGCCCACUUAAGAUGUUUGGUUCAAGGGAAUACCCUAUUACACAUGUAUUCUGUUCCAGGCUUAAGUAGAGAUAAUUAGGGAUCUUUAUUCCCUUCCCUCUUCACCGUUUACCCAUUCGUUGCCAUAUGAACCCUAUUUUACCCUCACAAAUUCUUACCUCAAAAUCACUCGAACGACAACCAUUUCUUGCUUCCUUCGACUCCGACAUUCCUCCCCUUCAUCCAAGGUCAAGUAAACGUUUUUCCUUCUACUGUUACUUUCAUUUUCCUACCUGUCUAUUUUUUUCUUACCCAAGUUGCGUGCCAAGUGGGGGCAUUAAGGUGGCCUGGGACGAGAGAGAAUUGAACAACCAGUCGGCUUGGGAAGGGGUUGAGUAGGCCUUUGCUGGCUCAGCGUGUGAGAGGGAGGUAUGCCGAAACAGUGCAGUACAAUAACAUCAAAUUUCAAGUGUGGGGUUUAGGUAUGCCGAUCACUACUUCUUAAUCUGGAUCUUUAACAUGUAUAGUAUAUUUUUUAUAGUACUGUCCUGAAAGUUUGAUAAUAUUUUCUUAUCUAUUUGAUUAUUUGAAGGUAAAGAGAUGGCGAAGUUCAUAAUUUCUUAUAUCAAAGGCUUGAGAUAAUGCUUGUUGUUAUAAAUCUCAACUGUAUAAAGUAGCUUUAAUCCGCAACUUACAUGAUUCUUUUGCCUCUUGCCGAUAUCUUUAUAUGUCUGUUCUUGGUAUUUCUUCCGUAAAACCAUCAUAGUAGCAGCUUUAAGCAAAUUUACAACACUGAUCACUCUUUAUCAUCAAAGCUUUACUUUUCCGAUACUGGAUGAAAUAUGAUAUAGUGUGGGAUAUUCUGUCUCUAGCUGCCAAUCCAAAAGCUAUUUCUGCAAACUUAAGGUUCUCCUUUUCUGAUUCCAAGUUUGUUGUUAUUCAAAGCCACUGAACUUCGUCAAAACUAAUAGUACUAAGUUGUGGAAUUUUAAUGCUUUAUUAUUAGACUAAAAUGUAUUCAUUUAAUACCUUGUUCUGCAAUUUUUUCUUUCUUUUAUCUUUUGGAGCUUUAAUAUUUUAACACAAGUGAUGUCAAUUUUUUGUCUUGAUAAUAUCUUUAUUAUUUACUGAUGCAAGUGGACAGACAUAUAUCAAGUAACUUUCACAAACAUGCAUUGCUUUUAUAUUCCUUCAUUAUUUACUAAUAUUCUACUGGCCAAUGGCAACUUUGAAAUAAGAUGUUUGGUUUCUGGAAGCUCUCUGUAAAGUUUGUCUUUAUGAGUCUACAUCUGGCCGCUUAGAAAUUUAAUUAAGCUAAUAGUUUUUGCUCUUAAACUUAUAUGACAUUCUGUAAGUUCUUUUAAAUUGUAAAAGAGGUGUAUGCCUAGAUUUUAUAACUAUUGUUAUUAACAAUCCCAUGGCUAAUAAGUGAAUUUCCAUUUUCUUUUUACCUUUAGAACAAACUAACUUUGAGUCUGUCAUAGUAUCUCAAUAUUUUAUACAUGGGAUGCCACUAUUUGUACUACUUUUAUAAUUAGGACUUGGGAUUUAAUUUAUUAGCGUUAUUCCAGGUUAUCUCAAUGUCUAAAAGUGUUGAAAUGAAAUAAAAGUUUACAUCUAUGCUUUCCUGUGGUUCAUGACAGACGAAAAGGUUAAUCAUCCUAUUCAAUUUUAGUAUAUGGUUCAUAUUUUGUUCCCAUAUUCAAUAAAACGGUGCUUCUAGUAUAGGCCAGCCUCUGUAGUAACAUUUCAUGCAUUGUAAAUGAAAUAUAGAUUAUUUUGCUAUGGUAUAUCUUAUAAAUAUUAAUCAUCCUCUUUCUUAAAAACUUCCUAAAACCUUGCUAUGGUAUAUCUUAUAAAUAUUUCAUGCAUUGAAGAUAAUAUAUAGAUUACUUUGCAGGCGGCAACAUUGAUCUCAUGGUCUACUGUAGUAACAUUUGUGUUUUAGAAGUUUGACAAAAAGAAAGAAUGCUACAUGAAAACCUUCUUUCUGCUUCCUAGAAUGUGAUUCUGACUUGUUUAUAUGUCUGUAACCAACAACACUUACUUGGUGUUUACAAUAUCUUACUUCAUUUUUCAAUGCUUGUUUUAUGUAUUUCAUUAAUGCUUCUUCUGGACAAGUUUCAAGUGUAAAUCUUUUACAGGAAGAGGAGCUGAGCGAAGCAGCAGUUCUUAUUUUUCUUAAUUUUGCAGAUAAGCAGAUUGGUAAGUUUCAUGUCUCACAUGUAAUUCAUGUUAUCAUUGAAUAUACUUGGCAAAAUUGCCUUGCAGCCUAUGCUAUGAUGAGAUUCAUUGUAUGUAUUUAUAAGUAAGAACUUCAAAAUGAUUUAUGCCCGUGUUCUAUGCAUCUUUCAACAAUAGAAACUAGUUUUAAAUUAUAUUUAUCCACUCCUUGAACAAAUCAUCUUUUAAGUGGUAGAAUGCUGAGUCAUUUGUUCAUGCACAUUGAGUUGUUCAUCAUCAAAGUAAGGGAUCUGUGAACCUAUUUGAUCAUCCUCAGUAACUCCUAAAGGAAAUUAAUUUAUUGGUCAUCAUUGUAGGUUGAAGGUAGCAACAAGAAGGGGGAAAAAUAUCACUCAAGGGUGUGAUAAGAUAACAAUACCCUCCCAAUGUCUUUGUUGUAAGUUGGUUAUGUGUUCAACUUUGGAAAGAUGAAAUUUGUUAAUGGAAAAGGAAGCUGCCAAGUUAAAGAGCAGCACACCCUCGUAGGCUACCAAAUGUCAAGAGUCAAGAACAACAAAAAAAAUCAACAAAGAAAAGGGACAUAAACAAAUAUCUCCACUGGAAUGAUGAUACCAUUACUCUUUUCUAGUAAUACGGGAAAUACAAUAUAUCCAUGUUAAACUACAUUUACAAUUCAAAUUUGAUCUUUUUACUUUAAACAAGAAAGUUUUGGUUAUAUUUAAUUUUCGAUAUGUUUUUAUUUUUGAUAUGUUUCAUUUAAAACUAUUUUAAUCUUUUAAUAUAUUAUUAAACUAUUUUUAUUUUCGAUAUAUUUAAUUUAUGUUAUAUUUAAUUUUGGUCUUCAAAAAUGUUUUAUAGUACUUAUAUUGUUUGAUUAAAAACUAUAAUUAACACUACAAAAAUUAUCUCAACAAACGAAACAAUAAAAAAAAAAAGUAAAAUGCUACAAACAAAUCAUGUUAUGGUAAGAAUGUAAUGUAUAUGGAGUUUUAGAUUUUAUUUAAAUAAAAUAAUAAUUGAAUAUUUUAAAAUACAUAAUUUUUAAGAUAUUUAACGCACUAUAUACCAAUAAUCAAAUUGAGUUAAUACAAAAUAAAAGAAAUUAAGACCUAUUUUCUUUCUCAUAAAAAUAUUAAAUUCAUAUUAAUCAAAUGGGUUUUUUUAAAUAAUUAUUAAACAUCAGCCAUCAAUUAAUCAAAUCUUCAAAAACACAUUCUUUUCUUUUCUUUCUUUUUUUUCUUUUUUGGAUGAUUGAUAAAGAAAUGAAUGUCAAGUUUUUUACUCGCAAAGAUAGUUGUAAUUUCUAUUUUGUGCUUUGUAAAUAUUCUUAAUAUAUAUUGUUUAUUUUUCUUUGAUAGUGUGUUAUAGCUUCCUCUUCUUCUUUGGCUUGUUUGAUUGCUUCCUUCACUCAUAGUUGAGCGUCUUGUAUCCUGUGAGGGUGCACAAUAAAAUCAUUAUUGCAUGUUGUUUGCUCCAUAAGUUUAUUCGAACCUAUAUGAGUCUUGAUCCUAUUGAAGCGGAGUUGGGAGAAAGAUUACCUAGUAAUGUGAUAGAUGACGACAAACCGAAUAUCGUAAAUAUUCAUCCAUCGGAUGCAUGGGCUACUUGGAGGAUAGAACUAGCCAACCAAAUGUUUAUUCUACCAAUACAGGAAGUAUUUCUGUAAACACUAAGGUGUUUUUCACCCUAUAACCUUAUAUUAAUAUUUGUUACUUUUAUGAAAAUUUAAGUUUUAAAUAAUUUUUCGACUAAAUUAAUAUUAAAUUAGCUUGUAACACCAAUUUAAUAAAAUAUAUAAAACAAGCAUAAAUAUAAUUUCAUUAAAACCUGUCAAUAAAAAAAGUACCAUUAAUUCCUUUGAAGUCCUCACUUUUUGGGUCUUAAUGGGUGAGAAAUUUCUUAAAUAGAAACUGAAGACGAUAUUUUAAGUAAAGGGGACGUUAAAACCCAAGUCUUUGGAAAAUAAAUUGCAUCACGACUGAACCAAAAAUUCCCUUAAGUUAUAAUUAGGCACUUAAUGGAAAAGUAAGUCAACAAAAUAAUAGAAAAGGACUUGGGCACAAUUAAUUUAUACUCUAAUGUCUCGUGUAUAAUGCUAUAAGGAUAAUGCUUAUUUAUUAUUAUCUAUUAUAUAGAAAUAUGGACCAUCAGAAACAAAAAAAGCAAAGAUUCUAUCCUUUUAUUAUAUAUUAUUGAUACUAACAACAUAGAAAUUUCCAGGAAAAAGAAAGCACAACACAUGAAGUAAAUUACAUGACAUCGACUGAAGCAAUGAUAACAACUGGCCCCUACAACAAUUGCAACAAGACCUUGACUCCUAUAAUCACUUUCCUUAAAUUCUUCUCUUUGGAAACUAUAACAUAUAUGCUACUACUGAACCUUUAGCAAACAAUUAAGUUUACGUAAUUCAACAUGGCCUCAUCCUCAACCUUUUCCGUUAUUUUAGGUGUUGACACCAAUUUUUUUGUGAAAAUGGGGUCGACUUGAAUUUUGAAAACGAAAAUUAAAAUGGGAGUCGUCACCAAUCCUUUUUGAUAAGGUGUGAUCGGACCACAUUGAAAAGUGGUUGUUUUUAAUAAACAAUUUAAUUUUAUUAAAACAACGAUUUUGGUCCAUGAAAUUCAGAAAAAUAGGUUCGGAAGUCGGUUACGUACGGGGAAGGAUUAGCACCCUCGUAACGCCCAAAAUUGGUACCUAGUUGAUUAUUUAGUGUUUUUAGUGUCGAUGAUUGAAAACUUUAAAGAAUUUUAAAAAUACGAUCCUAAAAAUUUUCGAACAAUAUGGGUUGAAAUUUAGGAUUCUCUUGUUCCGAAAGAAUAUCACAUCCAGCACAUUAGGAUACGAUACUUUAAACUCUCGAAACCAAGAUCACCUUAUGGUUUCCAAAACCCAUACUUUGAAACUUUAAGAGGGUAUUUGGCUAUUUGGCUAAACGAGAAAUCGAAACCCAGCACAUUAGGCCACGUUUUCUCGAAUUUCCAAACACAAAAUAUUGCCUUAAUUUAAAAUUUUCUUUUUGUAUUUGGAUAAAAAUUAUAUCUGACGGAACAAUAAUUAUGAUAAUGUAAGUAAAAAUAAUACGAGCAAAACAAAAAUAAUAAAAGAUAAAUAAAAAAACAAAUCAAUCACGUACACAACAACAAGCAAAUAAACAAGUAAAAAAAACUAAAGCAUUUAAAGUAAUAAUAAUGGAUAUGUAGAUGAGCGAGUAAAUGAACAUCAAGUGAAGCCAUAAUAACAACAAAGAAAAUAGAUAAAAAUUAUAAAAUAUAAAAGUAUAUAUGUACAUAUAAGAGAAAUAUAUAUGUAUAUAUAUACAUAAAAUUAUGAAAAUAUGAAAAAUAUAUGUAUAUAUAUAUAUUUUAAAGAUGUAAAACAUAAAAAGAUAAACAUGUGUGUAUGUACAUACAUAUAUACGUAUAUAACAAUCAUGGAAUAUAAAAAGUAUAUAUGUAGGUAUAUAUAUGAAUCAUAAAAUAUAAAGAAUAUAUAUAAAAUACAUGUUUUAAAAGUAUAAAGAAUAUGUAAGUAUAUAUAUAUUUAUGAAAAUAAAAUACAUAUAUAGACAUGUAUAUAGAUAUGUAUAAAAAUUAUGAAAUAUAAAUAUAUAUAGGUACAUAUAUGUAUAUAUAGAUAAAUUAAAAAAUAUGCAUAUGUAUAUAUAUAUUAUAAAAACACAUGUAUGUGUAGAUAUAUAACGAAGAUUUUAAAUUUAAAAAAUAUAAAUGAGCAAAUAAUUACAAUAAUAAUUAAUAAUAAUAGUAAUAAUAUUAAAUUUAUUAAGAAAAUAAACAAAAUAACAAAAUGACUAAAUUAAACUUUAAAAUGAAAUUCGGGGUUUAAAUCAACAAAUAAAUAAAAAGGGGGAUCUUUCUGAACGCGCGCAUAACAUGGAAGGAUUAAAAGGGAAAUUUUCCCUUCCCCACUAAAACGGCGCCGUUCAAAUAGGGACUAAACUAUAAACUGCGAAGAAUUAUGGGGUAAGAUUGAAAAAUCCUAAAAUACUUGAUUGAAAAACCAUUUAAAAGUGGAGGGACUAAAAGGGUAAAUAACUCAAAGCUUAAAAACACGCAGAUCCCUUAGAGGGGGUCGGGUCGGCCAGCGGGUCAGGUUAAAAUGACAUCGUUUUGGUGCCUGAGAAGGCUGCCCAAAACGGCGUCGUUUUGGAGUUUUAUAAAUAUAAAAAAUAAUUCGAAAAAACAUUUGAAACCCUAUUUUUUAAAAAAGGAAGCCCCCGUCUCUUUCUCUGUUUUCUCUCUGGGCUUUUCCCAGAAUCCGACGAUGGGACCGCCGUAUAUGCAUAUAUAUAUAUUAGAACAAAAAAAGUAAAAAUAAAAAAUAAAAAAAUAAAUGAAUGAAAAAGGUUUCGAAAACUAAAACCUUUAUCUCUGUUUUUAUUUCAUUCUCUCUUUUUUGUUUUUUUUGUCACCCCCCUUACAGAUUUUUCAAUCGGCCUUAUAUAGCCGAAAUAAUAAUACAAAAAAUCUCUUUCUGGUAUCCCUAUUUGCUGUUUCUUGUUGGUGUCUGUUGCAGGUAUUUGACGUUUGAUGGAGUAGGUGGCAGAGUUGGUGGCCCCAGCGUUAGAGGCAGCGGUGGCAGGGCAAGUGGGCGAGGGGUCAGAAGGGGUGGCUAUGGUUAGGCAGUAGGCUAGGGUUUCAGUUUUUUCUGAAAAGUUUUAAACAUUUUGGGUCACUGGGCCUUCAUUUUUUUAGGGGUUGUAAUUUUUAAUUAUUUUUGGGCUUGCUGUAUUUGUUUUGCUGGUAUGGGCCCGGGAAAAAUUGGGCUUGUACAACUUCCCCUCUUUGCUCAUUGUCGUGUAACGGGAAUGGAGCAAAGACUAAGAAAGACCAAUUUUGUCCGGUCUUGUCGAGUCUUGCUUCUUGGUGCCUUUCUUCUUCAGGUAGACCAAUUUUGCCCGGUCUUGCCGGUCUUGUUGCUUUGAUCCACUCUACUGCACUUCAGAGAGAUAUGACUUGUAGCUUCAAUGUUCUUCGCAGCAACUUCAAAGGGACGAGAUUCGUGGCUUUAGUCUGCUCCACUGUAACGUCAGGGAGAUAAGACUUGUCAUGGUAAAUUUAAUCCGACCUACUUCAACUUCAGAGGUAUAGGAUUAGUAGCUUCAGUAUACUCUACUGCAACUUUUGGGAGAUAAGACUUGUCAUGGUAAAUUUAAUCCAACCUACUGUAACUUCAGAGGUAUAGGAUUUAUAGUUUUAAUCUGCUCUACUGUAACUUCAGGGAGAUAGGAUUUGUAUUUUCAACUUGCCCCACUGCAACUUCAUGAGGAUAAGGUUUGCUAGUUCAGCCUGCUCUACUGCAACUUCAAAGAGAUAAAGUUUGAUAUGAUCUGAUUUACUGCAACUUCAGAGAGAUGAGAUCUGUUAUUUAUAGCUUGAAUCUGUUUCACUGCAACUUUAGGGAAAUAAGAUUUGCUAUCUUUAAUCUGCUUUGCUGCAAACUAUGGUGUCUUUGAUCUGCUUCGCUGUCAGUACAAGAAGGCAAGAUCUGCUAUCUUCAGUCUGCUUCACUACAAACCUAGGGAGGCAAGACUAGUGUCUUCGAUCUUCUUCGUUGUUAGUACAGGAAGGCGAGAUCUAUUAUCUUUAGUCUGCUCCGCUGUCAGUACAGAAAGGCAAAACUGGUGUCUUUGAUCUGCUUCGCUGUCAGUACAGGAAGGCAAGAUCUGCUACCUUCAGUCUGCUCCGCUGUCAGUACAAGAAAGCAAGGCUAGUGUCUUCGAUCUGCUUCACUGUCAGUACAGGAAGGCAAGAUCUGCUAUCUUCAGUCUGCUCUGCUGUCAGUACAGGAAGGCAAGGCUGGUGUCUUUGAUAUGCUUCGCUGUCAGUACAAGAAGGUAAGAUCUACUAUCUUCAGUCUGCUCCGCUAUCAGUACAGGAAGGCAAGGCUGGUGCAUUCGAUCUGCUUCACUAUCAGUACAGGAAGGCAAGAUCUGCUAUCUUCAGUCUGCUCCGUUGUCAGUACAGGAAGGUAAGGCUGGUGUCUUUGAUCUACUUCGCUGUCAGUACAGGAAGGCAAGAUCUGCUAUCUUCAGUUUGCUCUGCUGUCAGUACAUAAAGGCAAGGUUGGUGUCUUCGAUCUACUUCACUGUCAGUACAGGAAGGCAAGAUUUGCUAUCUUCAGUAUGCUCCGCUGUCAGUACACGAAGGCAAUGCUAGUGUCUUCGAUCUGCUUCGCUGUCAGGACAGGAAGGCAAGAUCUGCUAUCUUCAUUGAUCUAUUCUUUGGGGAACAUGACCUGUAUAAUCUAUUUUAUGAACCUAAUUAUGCCUAGUGAUUAGGAUGACAUGAUCAGAAUGAAUCAAAUGCUCCUAACUAGACAUGUAUGAAUGACAUUUGAAUGAAUGCAGAAUGUCAUUUUUUCGAGAAUUAUCCUUCUUUGUCACUUAGGUUAUCAUUACUCAAAGUUUAUUAGGGUUUUGUCACUGACGCGCUACAACUCCUUCUUGCUCGGCUGGCAUAUCCAAAGAAACACUUAAUUAGAUUGCCCCUCCACUGUGAACGUCAAAGUUCAAUCCACUGGGACGCAAAAUUUGUACCAUCAUUCUCCCACUAUAACCCAAGGGUAGAAAAAUAUAGCUUUUUCUCAAUCCUCUCCUAUCGCAAUUCAAGGACACGGAAUGUGAAGCUCUUUGGUCUUUUACCCCAUUCCAAGGGUGUCAUACCAAAUGCUCAUGCACCAAUGAAGAAUUUUCUUCUCCCAGGAAACCAGUUUUUAUUACUUGGUGAACAUCGCUUGUUUGCUCAUUAAAGUUUUAUCACCGAGACAACAUCUUGUUAUUUUGUUCAAUCAAUGUUUUGACGACAAAGUCCAAAAAGAUGGUCUUAAUUUAGACUUUUCCUUCUUAGAUAUUUCAACCUUUAAACUUGGUGUUUUCUAAACAAUAGUCUUGUUUCAGGUUCCUAUAUUAUUUAGAAACUUCUAGAGUAAUAUGUAAAAUUUCUGUUGUGAAAGUAUUAUUAGUCCAUUAAUCAUUAUUCCAAUGCAACGCUUGCAAAAGGUCAUAACGACAUAUAAAAUAGGAUUAAUUUGAGAGCCUGACUCGAAAUGGAUAAAUCAUCAAAGAGAGUAAGAAUAACAAAGGAAUUGAUUGGGAACACAUAUCUUAAGAAAGAAUGAAGUAUUCUAAGAACAUCAAAUUCAAUAUAAAUAGUAUGAAGACUAGGUGCCACAGAUAUCGUAGCUUGAACUUCUCUAUAAAAACUUUCUGAAUACCAUUCUGAGUUUGACAUGUGUUUAGGAGAUCUGCAGUACUUUGUCGAUGCGCCAAGAUGUCACUUACCCUUUUCUGUUGAUUUAGAUAUAGCAAGAUCACCACAUGCCCCAAUCUGAUCAAAAUUUGAGCUGCUCUGAUCACCUCAUGUCCCAUUCUAAUCAAAAUUUGAGCCACCCUUUUCGGGUUUUCAACUCAAAUCCCCUUUGGUCUCAAGGCGCCCUUUGCGGGUUUUCGCCUUGGCCUCUCCUUUUUCUUUUCUUUCUCUUUUUCUUUUCUUUUCUUUUCUUCUUCUUUUUUUAUUUUCUUGAUAUAUUUUUUUAUUAAAUCUAAACUCAUAGGAUUACGCAUGUCCUUGUUAUCCCUUCCGAUUAAAAUCAACGUUUUUCCAAAUAAGGCCUUACACAUAAGGUCCAUCCUAGUUUGGCAUCCACUUUCUUAUAAAGUUCUUUUUUUGUAUGGGAAGGAUCUUCUUCAAUACUAGGUCCCUCUCAUGGAAUCCUCUAGAGCGAACUCUUCUAUUUUUUUUGAGCUCACAUCAUUUGCUUUUGGCACAUUUGACCAUGAUGGAUAACUUUGAACAAUCCUUUUCAAUCAGGAUUAGAUCCAAAAGACUCAGAGAGAAAAAAUCUCGACUUUAAUGGGCAAAAUCGUGAUAGGCCAAAGUGAAAGGCAUUACCCGAUAGAGUUUUUUUACCGCGCCGUUCAUUUUGGGGCGAUAUGGUGUUAAUCUUGAACAGACUACAAACUUCUGAUAUCGUGCUCUUGUUCAAAUUUAGUGCUUUGUCAGAUAUGAUCUUUUUUGGCUUUCUAUACUGACAUGUGAUUUUUUUCUAGAAUUUGCUGACUGUCGACUUUGUGAUAUUGGCAUAUGAAGUAGCUUCCACCCACUUAGUAAAGUAAUCGACGACCACAAAGAUGAAUCGAUGACUGUCAGAAGCUUUUGGCAAGAUCGACCCACUGACAUCUGUGCCCCACAUAGAGAAAGUCUAUCGAAAAGUCAUAACAUGAAGAGAUGAAGGAGGCACAUGAAUCUUGUCUCCAUCAAUUUGGCAAUUAUGACAUUUCUUGGUACAACUGAUGUAAUCCCCUUCCAUGGUGAACCAGCAAUGCUCGAAUCUCAUGAUUUGCUUGGCCAUUGUAAAACCAUUAGCAUGUAUUCCUCAGACACCCUUAUAGACCUCUUCCAAGAUUUUCUUAGCCUUAACAGUGUCCACAUGUCUUAGUAGCUCAAGCAUAUCUUGGUACGAUCAUGCAAAAACAUCUUUGAAUUCUUGGAGUAACUCAAUGACGUCUCGCUUUGUCUCUGCGGUGAUACAGGCUCCAAUCUUCACCUCUUUCUCUUCUCCUAAGCUCACAAUUUCCACUGAUUCCUUAUAAAGCAGGAUUUGUUUCUCGACUUUUUCUACCAUCCUCAAUAAGUCCGAAGAUAGGCUACAAUCUAUGUCAUCUUCAAAGUCAUGAGAUCCCUCUAAACACAUGUCUCGCUCAAAAGGAGAUUCUGAGUCUGUAGCAAUGUCACUCAUGUAAUUGAUAUCUAAAGACCUAUUGUGGGUACAAAAGAAUAUACAAAGAAUGUAUGAAUUUAUGAAUAAUUAUUUGUACAGUAUGGUUAUGAAUGAAAGAUUGAUUUGGAAGAAAAUCCAAAAGAAUGAAAGAAUCAAAAAUGAUUACUCGUAAAGAAUGAAAGAAGAUUGACUUAAAAAUGAUCACAAAGAUGUAUUAAAAUAAUGACGUUCAGACAUGAUCCUAUUUCACAAAGGAGUUCUUAUUGCCUCUAGGCUAAAAGCAACAAGUGUGUUCUGAACAUUACUCUAAGUAAGCUCUAAAUACUACAGAGAUUUCUUCUGCAGUCUAAUUAUUUAGAAUACUCCCAAGUUUAUAAGGGUGGAUAUCUAACAAGGUCUCUUUUCAGUUGUCUUCAUGUAUGGCAUUGAUGUGAACAUUUCCUUCUUCUUCCUCUUUUUUUUUCACACUUCUUCACAAAGAUCAAUCUCUUUAUUGUCCAUCAUAUUUAGUUGGAUCUUGGCUAAUCGCUCUUACAUUUGCAACUGUAGUUGGUAUUGCUCCCUCUUUGGAGUUGUUCAAGUUUUUCCAAUCUUGGUCCAUGUCUUUUUGCUUUGGUACCGUAACGAUGCUUAGUUAAUAGAUUUUUUUUCCCAGGUUAACUGAAAUAAUUUUACCUAAUUAAGGUCCUCUUGUGAAAAUCUAAUGCAUAUGAUGCAAUGUAAUGCAAAUGCAUAGAAUGAAUGCAAAAAAACGUUGACUCCGAUUCAAUUCCAUUUAGAAAACUUUACUAAAAAACAAAUUUCUUUACAUAAAAUGGAUGCAUGUAUGGCCUCGCCCUCAUAUCCAAGAAACAACAUCGAUAUUUCCCUUUGUUCGAAUGUUUAAGAUAAAUCUCGCAAGUUUCCAAUGGAUGCCACUACUAGCUCCUUCUUUCUUAAUCCUGGUUGCAAUCCAUUGUCUGCCCAUUCUCGUAAUGCUCAUCACCUUCUUUAAAGAAGUCAGAAUGUUAGCGACUCUCAAAUAAUUAGCUUGAAUCUUCGGGCCACGAAGUAAAGUCAUGUACUCUUCUGUCACCCUUCUUUUGUUGUGUUUCUUGGGAAAUAUUCGGGCAGCCAUAUUAUCUUUCACUUUAUCAAAAAAUUCAUUUUCCAUGACAAGCUUUCUAAUUUAGUAAUCAAACUUGAAUCAACACCUUUUUUCUAAGAUGAAAAUGCAAUGCAAUCAUAACCAAAACAAAACGGAACGGGUUAGUACAAAGCAAAAUCAAACAAGAAAAAUAGAGUACCUAUUCGGGUAACCACUAGAGGUUUGGAGUGGUUCUACCUAGGGUAGGCUCUUAAGGUCUUCUACAUGUGGUUUGGUUCUAAAGUAAAGGUACCUGAACCAGUAGAUUCCUCAAUCCUCACCCAUUAUAGGCUCAUAUGGAUAGAGUUCAGUUCAGGGGAAUACAUUUCCCUAUGGCUCCACGGAGAUGAAAAUCCCACGAAGACAUAGGCACGGAUGUAUCCCGAAAGUGAUCCACUAUCCUGCACGGAGGUGAAAACCUCACGAAGGAGUAGCUUCUCACUCUCACUUAAAAGGGUGUGACCAACGGUCAUGCAAUGCACUGUGUCGAGAUAUAAAAAUUUAAAAUACAAAACAUGAUGAAAACUAUAACUCAAAACAAAUGAAAUGCAAUGAGAGGAUCGUAAAUUUUAACCAUAUUAUCAACUUUCGACAAAAAGACAAGAAAUAAUCAACUCGUGGCUUGACUCUCUUAUUUUGGUCCCCAGUGGAGUCGCCAAGCUGUUGACACCAUUUUUUUCUGAAAACGGGGUCGGCUUGGAUUUUGAAAACGAAAAUUAAAAUGGGAGUCACCACCAAUCCUUUUUGAUAAGGUGUGAUCGGACCACCUUAAAAAGUGGUUGUUUUUAAUAAAAAAUUAAAUUUUAUUAAAAUAACGAUUUUGGUCCACGAAAUUCAAAAAAACAGGUUCGGGAGUCGAUUACGUACGAGGACGGAUUAUCACUCUCGUAACACCCAAAAUUGGUACCUAGUUGAUUAUUUAGUGUCUUUAGUGUCGAAGAUUGAAAAUUUUGAAGAAUUUUAAAAAUACGAUCCUAAAAAUUUUCGAACAAUAUAGGUUGAAAUUUAGGAUUCUCUUGUUCCGAAAGAAUAUCACAUCCAGCACAUUAGGAUACGAUACUUUAAACUCUCGAAACCAAGAUCACCUUAUGGUUUCCAAAACCCAUACUUUGAAACUUUAAGAGGGUAUUUGGCUAUUCGGCUAAACGAGAAAUCGAACCCCAGUACAUCAACGCACGUUUUCUUGAAUUUCCAAACACAAAAUAUUGCCUUAAUUUAAAAUUUUCUUUUUGUAUUUGGAUAAAAAUUAUUUCCGACGGAACAAUAAUUAUGAUAAUGUAAGUAAAAAUAAUACGAGCAAAACAAAAAUAAUAAAAGAUAAAUAAAAAAAACAAAUCAAUCACGUACACAAUAACAAGCAAAUAAACAAGUAAAAAAAACUAAAGCAUUUAAAGUAAUAAUAAUGGAUAUGUAGAUGAGUGAGUAAAUGAACAUCAAGUGAAGCCAUAAUAACAACAAGAAAAUAGAUAAAAAUUACAAAAUAUAAAAGUAUAUAUGUACAUAUAAGAGAAUAUAUAUGUAUGUAUAUACAUAAAAUUCUGAAAAUAUGAAAAAUAUAUGUAUAUAUAUAUUUUAAAGAUGUAAAACAUAAAAAGAUAAACAUGUGUGUAUGCACAUACAUAUAUAUGAAUAUAACAAUCAUGGAAUAUAAAAAGUAUAUAUGUAGGUAUAUAUAUGAAUCAUAAAAUAUAAAGAAUAUAUAUAAAAUACAUAUUUUAAAAGUAUAAAGAAUAUGUAAGUAUAUAUAUAUUUAUGAAAAUAAAAUACAUAUAUAGACAUGUAUAUAGAUAUGUAUAAAAAUUAUGAAAUAUAAAAAUAUAUAUAGGUACAUAUAUAGAUAAAUUAUAAAAAUAUGCAUAUGUAUAUAUAUAUAUAUUAUAAAACACAUGUAUGUGUAUAUAUAUAAAGAAGAUUUCAAAUUUAAAAAAUAUAAAUGAGCAAAUAAUUACAAUAAUAAUUAAUAAUAACAGUAAUAGUAUCAAAUUUAUUAAGAAAAUAAAAAAAAUAACAAAAGGACUAAAUUAAACUUUAAAAUGAAAUUCGGGGUUUAAAUCUGCAACUAAAUAAAAACGGGGAUCUUUCUGAAUGCAUGCAUAACAUGGAGGGAUUAAAAGGGAAAUUUUCCCUUCCCCUCCAAAACGGUGUCGUUCAAAUAGGGACUAAACUGUAAACGCGAAGAAUUGUGGGAUAAGAUUGAAAAAUCCUAAAAUACUUGGUUGAAAAACCAUUAAAAAGUGGAGGGACUAGAAGGGAAAAUAACACAAAACUUAAAAACACGCGGAUCCCCUGGAGGGGGUCGGGUCGGCCAGUGGGUUAGGUUAAAAUGGCGUCGUUUUGGUGCCUGAGAAGGCUGCCCAAAAUGGCGUCAUUUUGGAGUUUUAUAAAUAUAAAAAAAUAAUUCCAAAAAAUAUUUGAAACCUAUUUUUUUAAAUUAAAGGAAGCCCCUCGUCUCUUUCUCUGUUUUCUCUUUGGGCUUUGCCUAGAAAACUCAAAAAGGUAUUUUUUUUUUGCUUUUUUGCUGCAUAUGCGUAUAUACGUAUAUAUUUUAGAACAAACGGAAGUAAAAAUAAAAAAUGAAAAAUAAAUGAAUGAAUGAAAAAGGUUUCGGAAACUAAAACCUUUAUCUUUAUUUUUAUUUCAUUCUCUCUUUUUUGCUUAUUUUUGUCACCCACUACAGAUUUUUCAAUCGGCCUUAUAUAGCUGAAAUAAUAAUAUAAAAAAUCUCUUUCUGCUAUCGCUAUUUGCUGUUGCUUGUUGGUGUUUGUUGCAGGUUUUUGACGUGUGAUGGAGCAGGUGGCAGAGUUGGUGGCGCGGCGUAAGAGAUGACGAUGGCAGGGCAAGUAGGCGAGGGGUUAGAAAGGGCGGCUAGGGUUAGGCAGUAGGCUAGGGUUUUAGUUUUUUUCUGAAAAGUUUUAAACAUUUUGGACCAUUGGGCCUUCAUUUUUUUGUAAUUUUUAAUUGUUUUUGGGCUUGCUGUACUUGUGUUGCUGGUAUGGGCCCGGGCAAAAUUGGGCUUGUACAAUAGGGAUACUACAGGCUACCAUCUUUCUAAUUUCCAUUGCCAGAAUUGUGACAGUAGCAGAUCCAUCGCCUUUGGCGUCCGAAGCCAUAGCAAUGGUAGAAAGUGGGUGGUGGAGUAACUAUAGCAACAAUGCUUCAGAAUGUUGCCAGUGGCCAGGUAUAUCAUGCAACACUGCUGGAAGCAUCAUCCAAAUUGACAUUUCUGAUGCGCCCAAUAUUGAGGUUGGAGAUAGAUUUGGGAAAUUUAAUUUCUCUUCAUUUCCAAAUCUUGUCCUUCUUGAUCUUAGUGAUCGUCAACUUGGUGGAAAAAUCCCACAUCAGAUAGGUAAUCUAUCAGCAUUGAAGCACCUUGACUUGUCCAAUUGUGGUUUAUUCGGUGAGUUACCUCCUUCUCUAAGAAACCUAACCCAAUUAGAGUCCCUUGACAUUUCCUAUAAUUAUAAUAUUAAGGGUUCCAUCCCUCCACAACUAGGGAAUCUAGUGAACCUUGUUAGUUUAAAUUUGAGUUGGACCAGUCUUAGUGGAAACAUUCCAUUGUUUCUUGGGCUAUUGACCAACCUUAGGCAUCUACUUUUGGAUAGGUAUCAAUUUGAUGAUGGUAA